UUUAUAGCUUCCUAGCUUCCAUGCUCUUGUGCCCCAGAAAGGGCAUUGCAGUCACUGCAUGCAGAAAGCAAUCAUAGUGUCAGUACUAAAUGGUAGUGUGGAAACCAGAGCCCUAUCGAGAAAGAGCAGACCUGUCAUUUGGCCUGAAACUCUAAUAAUUAAAAAUGGAUUGCCAGGAUAUGAACUCACAAUAUUUUUGGAUCAACCGACACGAGUGUUGAAAGCAUCUUCAUGGAAGUAUUUUUUUUCUCGAUUUCUAGAUCAGUUGCAGAGUAUAUGUGCUACUCACUACUCUCAAUGUAAACAAUAUUUCUCAGUAUGUGUCGGUUUACAGAAACUGAAACUGUAGCUGUCACUACAGGGCUAUUAAGCAUGUUCUGUGCUACUCACUACAGGGCUAUUAAUCAUGUUCUGUGUUACUCACUACAGGGCUAUUAAGCAUGUCCUGUGCUACUCCUAGGAACUGCUGACAAAUUGUAGCAAAUUUAUCGUUCUUCCUGCAAUAUAAACAAGAUAAACCAAAUUUACCUUUUUUCCUGCAUUAGUUGCAUAACCUUUUCUCUUCCUGUUUCAGGAUGUGCUUGUCUUGGAUAUUGGGGGCCAACCUGAAGCGGUGCAAGCUAACUUCAAGACAUAUACCUACAAGGCCAGAGAAUGGUGCUACAGGAAUGGCGUUCGAGUUGAUGCUACCAAGAUUUGCGGGAGAAAGAAACAUGUCUUCACGACCCCACUGAAAAAAACACUCUACACGAUUGUUAAGAACGGAGAUAAUACUAUAACAUUUAUAAAACAAGGUAGGCAUUGGUGGGAAAAGGGAUACUGCACUGGUGGCAAGGCAUAUGAGAUGAUGCCAGAUAAAGGAUGCAAAAAUUACAUGGAAUGCGCAGACACGGAUCACAUUACACUGCCCUUCUAUGGAAACCACCGUUACAUCUCCAAUGGUGACCCUGGAGGGACACUUAUAGGUGUUCGCUAUCUGAGAAAAGCAUUCACCGCCAUACUUGAGGGCGAAGGGCGCGUAGAUCCCAAGUUUAUUGGCGUAUUUGUCUUGUAUCUCGCUGAAGCUCCGACUUUUGAGGUCAUAUUCCAGGCACUAUAUGAGAAUAUACCUAAUCCAAAUUCCUACCGCCUCGACUUCUUUGUUCCAUAUACCAACACACUCGUGCGCCGCUGGAACAAAUUGAGCAAAUAUGCAAUGAAGUAUAUGCACUGUCUACGAGAAGGCAAGGAGCUUCCAGAACUAGACGAGGAGGUUGCUUUGACUGAAUUAAGCUCCAUUCAAGAGGUUCUCAACCUGGUUAAGAUCCUUCAGUUGGAUGCCUAUAAUCAUGGCAUAUUUAUCCACGAGCCAACACAGAACCCGGACCCAGAGGUGUGGAGUGCAGUGGAUAAUGUAUCUGACCGCAAGAAGAAGUAUGAAAGAAGUCCAACUGCUCCUGAGAGUUAUGUUGCUCAGGUCGAUGAAAGCAUGUUCCAUAUGUUGAAUAUCAACGGGAAAGUGGAGAGCUUAUACAUUGACAAACCCCCCAAUUCAGCACUGAAACUGCGCCAAGGGCAUGGCUUGCUUUCAAACAAAGAAACGAGCUUUUCAAGAUCCAUUGCUAAAAGAAGGAUGAGCACAAGUGAAUCUGCUAACGAGGUGUGUACACAGUUAAACAAUACUUUAAUCCUCUGCAUAUCCAUAUUCUGAUCUUUUGGAACCUUGAAUUGCAGAUACUGGAUACACCAAAAGAUAAGCUGCUCCAGACCAGCAAGGUGAAAAUACCUCGUUUCAGCAUCAUAAAUACCUCACUGAAUGAGGACUUCCUUCUUAAAAGGAUUAGAUUGACAGCUCAAAGGCAGCAUCUAUUUGGUUACCAACCACAAGAGAAAAAGGUUUGAAAAAAAUUGUCUAGUUUGAAUGAUCUGCUAUUCACUUUAUAAUACCGUUGCACCUAUUAUUUGCAGGUUUGUUGUUUUGGAGGAACUACCCUGAGGAAUGCAAGUGAAAGGUUCAUAUCAAGCAGAAUAUUGACCAGAAGAAUGCUCGUGCUGAAACCACUGAUGCUCGGGAUGCACAUGCAGAACUGCCCACAGUGGCGAACAACAGUGCCAGCUAUCAAGGGCCAAGGACACGAUGCUAUCCAUCAGUUUAUUCCUCUAAGCCCGCACGGUCCUAGGCAAGGUUUCAUUGGAAGGUAUUCUCUCUUGCUCCAAAAUACCCAACUGUACACUAAAAUAAGCACCAAGACGGACAAAGUACCCAACUGCUUAUUCUUCUGUUCUCCAAUAUUAAAUUGUUGUGUUUUUCUGUAGCCAACCACUAACGUUCGUUAUGCAUUCCUCUAAUACGAUAAGAAUUUCAAUAUGAUGUCUAUGAUGGCCAUCAAUGUACUUCAUUGUAUUUAUGUUGGUAACUCUUUAGUACCAAAUAACUUGAAGCUAAUGUCGAAUGCUAAGCGUUGCGGUUUCCUUUUCAGGGUAACUUCCCUGAUCAGUAAGCUCAGGCAGAGUUGGAAGUCCUGAUGGUGGGGGUGUUGCAUGAACAUGUGCUAUUUCAGUGGUGCUGUUAACAUGAUGCUGGGAGCCUAUUGCUAUGGUGGUUGGCGUGAAGCCCGUGUUUGCCAUGUCUGAAUAUGUUCGCUAACCCCCAUCUAGGAUUUUGCUGUUUGUUGAUAGGUUAGCUUUAUUUUCGUGAUGUUUCUGCAUUCUCCAAAAUCAGGCAUUGUUGGUUUCUUGCGGAAAGAUGGGAAAUCUAUUGAUGACGUUCAUUAGCCGCCAUGUCAAGUAGAGAAUUAUCAUAUGCAAAACUAUUGUGAUAGGUGAUUCGAUUAAUUCUGCCAUGAUGAUUUCCAGUUUUCCACUAUCUGAAAGUGGGUUGUCAUGCCUGCAAUACAAGCCUUAGGAGCUAUAUUUUGCAGGAUGGUUGGUUGAUGAUGCCAAAGAGGAACAAGCAAAACAUCUUUUCAAUCUUCCAAAUGAAUCUAAGGUUCCAAAAUUUGAAAUGUUUUCCAAGCUUUGGACAUAAAAGUAUUUUGAACUUGAACUGACGAUUAAAUCUGAAAAAUACUAACAGAAGAAGCAAAAUCAUCAUAAUUUCACUGUGUUCUGAACUUAUGAUAUAGCUAAUCAUUGAUACUCGUUAGAGGUAUCUCUGACCAUUCUGCUCUUUUGAUACAUACUGGGUUUAUUAAGGCUGCAGCUGCCAGGCCUUUUAAGUUUUGAGCUUUACUGGCUUGUCAGGGGUGAGCUGCCGAAUGUAGUCUCUAUAAUAAUUUGGAAUUCUAUCGCUCCUAAAAAUAACAGCCUGGAUUGGUGGCAGGCUGUUAUGAGGAAGUUACGAAGCGGGCUUAAGGGUUGGGAUCUAAAUGUUGAGGGGAGUGAGUUACAAGAGAAAGAUAAGUUUUAUUAUUAAUGCUUCAGAUAUACUCCCUCCGUAAAGAAAUAUAAGAGCGUUUAGAUCACUAUACAAGUAGUGAUCUAAACACUCUUGUAUAGUGAUCUAAACGCUCUUAUAUUUCUUUACGGAUGGAGUAGUGAUCUAAACGCUCUUAUAUUUCUUUAUUAGUGAUCUAAAUGCUCUUGUAUAGUGAUCUAAACACUCUUGUAUUUCUUUACGGACGGAGUAGUGAUCUAAACGCUCUUAUAUUUCUUGAUGGAGGGAGUACUUGAUAAGAAGUGCGAGCUUGCUGUAGUCUCAGCAGCUAACUAUGAGAAAAGAAAUACGUACUAGCUUGCAAGAUGAAUUGAAUAAAAUCUUAGAGAGGAAGAAAUCAAAUGGUACCAGCCACAGGGCCGGAGGCUCAUGCGAACGAAGCCACGGGCACUAAACUGAGCAUCCAACAGUGCAGGGGUAAGUGGCAACGGCAGACACCUAGCAACGUCGACGGAAACGUGACGAAGACCACCAGAUCAUGCAAGCGAGAGGCACAGGUCCGGGUGCACGCGGCACCAGGACCAGCCUGAUCAUACAUCAAAAUUAGCUCCUGCCAAACGUCCCGGACAAGGAGAAAAAGAAAAGGAACUUGGUCAGUGAGAAUUUCAUAAAAGAAGAAAGCGGACCAAAACAAAGAUGCAUUCCUCUGACGAUAGAAGGUACCUGAGCAUGUGCUCAUCUGGUGAACAGAGGCAGGCCAAAGGAUGCUGCUGCCGGUGCCCCCGUCAAGACUCACACCUCACAGCAAUCGCAGCGACAGAGAGGGGCCGUUAUAGCAACCUGCGAAAAACAAAAUUGCAACCCUUAGGGAACGGUAGAGCAAGCAAACGACAGCCCAGAGACAGAUAAAAAAGCAAUCUUUUUGAGAAUGAAAAUAGCAAAGACGCUGCAGGGUGGAGGAGCCUGCAACCUGUCCGAUGAGAAUCGCCGGGAGAUCCGCCAGACGGGGCAGCAGCAGCCCAAAUCGAAGAGUAAUCGAUCGACGAGGGGCUGGGGAAAGAGGAGCCGCCGCAUCGGAAGANNNNNNNNNNNNNNNUCGGAAGAGGGGGAAAACAGGAUUUGAUGGGAGUUACUGCGACUAGGGACGAGGCCGAAACUUGCUGUGGAGCAAGGACGCGGAGCUGAGCUUCUGCCGGCCGGGGCGACCCAUCACCACUCACUACAUGCCCCUGGACCUGCCGGACGGGGCGACCCAUCACCACUCACUGCAUGCCCCUGGACCUGCCGGCCGCCGGCGCCGGGCACGACUACGCGAUAGGCGCCGCCGCGAGCUUCCGGUGGUGCAGGCGAGCGCGCGGGAGAGGUGUCUGGCAGCGCCGACGAGACGCAAAGACGCCGGCCAUUGCUGAGGCGGAGGCGGCUAGGGUUCGUGGCCUGGCCUGGUGGCGUGGGUGCGCGUGGGCGAUUGGGUGGCUUGUUUCCUUUUUUCUUUUUUUAGGGGAAAGUCGGGGUAGCUUGUUUCCUUGGGCCUCCUUUGUUUCGCGUGGGUUAGAGCAAGUCUGGCACAUCCCGCCGGCCCGCAAAACGCGUUUGCCGCAAAACCAUUUUUAUGCAGACUCUCCAAACGGAUCCGUAAAAAAAAUAUUCGCGGAAUAUGUUUUUUUACUGGUCGGCUUCUGUAAGUUCUGCUCGGACUCCACCGCAACGAUCCGCAAACAGAAAACUGCAAAUCUCGUAUUUGACAUAGGGUUCGGCAAACAAGUUCAAAUUCAAACGAAAUAAACAAUUUGCGCACAAAUAAAAGCGAAGUUCAUUACGCAAAAGAGGGCAUGCAAAGGUUUUGCACCCAUGUCCGGCAUCAUCUUGGGGGUCGAUCUUCACUCCGUGCCAUGGACUCCAUAUUGAAGUUCACCGGCGCCACCGAAUCCACAUCCGUCGCUUGUUCCAACUCCCGCACCGAAAUCAUCCACAUUGACACCAUAUGGAGCAGAGAAAACAUCACGGGACCUGGAUCACGGACCGGUCGAGGCGACCAUUCUCCUCUUCAAGAUCUCUCUCCUUGCCAUAUCAUGUCAUGUUUUGGUGAGGUCGUCCAUGUCAUUGCGGUUCAUUGACAUGAUCGUGUUCUCCUCGCGAGCAACAAUGACAUCGAUUUGGUUUCAGAGGCGCGUGCUUUUCUCUCCUCAAUGGCAGCUUUGCGGAGCCCCUCUUCCUUGAGCAUUUGCCUUUUUCUUGCUUCUCUUUUGCCUUCUUCUCGGCCAACUCUUUCUUGAUCUCCAACGACUUCAACAACAUCAACUCGUUUGAUUGCACCAUGGCAUCAAUCUUCUCCCUCAAGCUCGCUGCUUCUUGCUCUCUCUUCAUCUUCUCUUUAGUCUUCUUGUCGCCAUCGGGCUUGUGCAAAUUUCUUGGGCCAUCACCAUCCUCAUCUUCAUCCAUGUUUAUAAGUGAGCCUCUUUUUGGUGGGGAUUCUCUGUCGAUCAACUUCCACUUGUCGCACUUUUGGAGCAACUCCCAACAAUGCUCUAAUUUGAAGAAUUUGCCUUCCGAAGCUUCCAUGUCCUUGUAUCUAUGUUGAGCAAUCUUGUCCUACAAAAUGUGAACAAAGUGAUGCAAUCAUUUCUCAUGAUACAUUAUGAUGAUGCACAAAUUGAACAAAGGAAAAAAAACAAACUCACAUAGUCGGACUCCACGGUGCCACUUGGAGGUGCAUUGCGUACUUGCUCCAAGCAAGCUGCCUAACGGCUGCACACAUAGGUUUGAUAUUCUCCCAACGCCCUUGAAGUGACCGAAAUGUGCGUGCAGUCCUAUUAGGAUACUUUUUCAUAAUGCGGAAGUAUUGAUCUUCGAUCCUUUGCCAAUAUAUCUUGGCGGUUUGAGAAACACCCAUGCAUGCAUCAAGAGACACCGCACUCCAUGCUUGGAUCAAAGCUUGAUCUUCCAAGAUCGUGUAGUUCUUCGAUCUUUGGCUUUUCCCACCCUUUGCUUGCGAUUGCUCAAACGCUUCCGCUUCGAUCUCCUCCAAUUCAUCCGCAGCACCAUGAUCAUCCACGCCGCCGUCCGUUUCAUUGUUGUUGAAUGGUUCGAAAGAGGCUUGAUCAAUGUCAACCGCGUUCGUGUCCAACAUGUUCAUGAACUCGGUUGUUGCAUUGUUCGAACCAUCGCUAUAGAAAACGAUAACAAGUCACGAGCUAUCAAGACUAAUUGCAAAAAAUGAAAAGGAAUCGCCAAGAUCGAAGAGGCAUACCUUCCGGCCAUUUCGUCAAACACCUCGGCCGCGGGGGGAGCAGAAUUGUUCAACGGCAUCGCCGAAGCACCUCCUUGCGGGGGGUGAAGUCAGAGGUUGAAUAAGGUGGCUUCCUUGAAGCCGGAACCUUCCUCCGCUUUACGGCCGCGACCUUGCCGACCUUCUGCGCCGCCGGCCGGGAUCGCACUGCGGCGUUGGAGCCCGGAGCGCGGGCCGUCGCGGUGGGGGCAGCCGGAUUCCCGCCAUGCAUGACCACGGUGCCCUGCCUGCAUGACCACGGUGCCCUGCCUCUUUCGGGAAGGCGUGGCAUGUGCUUGGGCGACGGCGUCGGGGGCAACAUGGCCGGCGACGAGAUCCGCCCAAGGGGAAGGAGCAUGCGCGACCUCGACGGUGACGGGGGACAACAUGGGGUCCUCCAUGGCGGCGAGGAACGACCGAGGAGGAGGAACCGGAGCUUGCGAAGGGGGGGCAAUGGUGGCGGAGGGUGCGGGGAGCAGGGAAAGGGCAUGCGGAAAUGUCCCUCCCGCCAAAUCUCGCGUCGGAUAGGGGUUCAGCUCGGGUUGGCCUCCCAGCCCAUGAAGAUGGAGGUCGGGGCGAAGAUUUGCCGCGCCCCGCAAAAAAUAAUGCGGGUCGUCGCGGGAUGCGGGGUCUGCUCGUGCAGAUUUUCCGGCCCCGACCCGCAAUUUGGCGGUUAUUUUGCGGGUCGGGGCGGGAUGCGGGGUCUGCUAGAGUUGCUCUCAGAGGGGUUUCCACAUGAUUAAGGCCAACUCGAUCUCACGACGUCCGCUUCGGCCUGCUUUCGGCCGUUUGGUAUGGUCGGUACAUACAAUGCCACACAUUCCAAAUCGUAUCCGUAAUGAACAUGAUAUAAAAAAUCGCAAAACUCAAAUAAAUGUUGAAAAAUCAAUCAAUACGCAAGCAUAAUGAUUAAAACAUAAUUAAACAAACAUUAGUCUUUACGGUUUCUACAGUGCUUAGAACAUAAUUAACAUAAUAAAAACUAAAAAAAUAAGCGCCGCCGGCGUGCUGCUCCCGUGCCCGUCACCGUCACACGCGUCAUCGUUGUCGUCCUCGUCGCCAGUAAGGUCGAUGUAGGGCGACGACAUCCAUAGGUGGGACAGUGGUCCCUGGUAGGAGGAACACGCCUGCACCACCUCCCCCACGGCGACGGCUCACGCUCCGGUGACCGCGGAGGCAUGGGGCAGCAAGACCCGACCACCACAGCGACGACUCGCGCUCUAGUGACCGCGGCGGCAUGGGGCGGCAAGACCUGACCCCUACGGUGUUAGUCAUGUCAGUGGCCGUGCACGACCAGCUCCACCGCUGGCCCACUAGGCCCGCGUGGAACGUGGCGACGGGCUGCUCCUCUAGCACCUCCUCCUUCACGACUGUCAUCUCCACCUCUGGUACGACACGUCACCAGCCGCAGGGAGGGUCAGCAUGGUGUCCAGCCCCACCCAUUGGCGCUCAUCGUGUGUGUUCUUAGAGUCUUCCAAGACACGUUGAAUGAUCCGGGCCUCCUCCUCCUCUGCCAUGGGAGGUGGUGGUGGUGGCGACAGUGUACGCCCGCGCACCCGGAGACGUGCCCGCCGCGGGCUAGCUGGGCGACCAGCAAAGUAUGACACGCGGCGCACGUCGUGCUCGUCCCGAAACCAAUGGUCCCAUAGAGGGGGUUCGACGGCGUACCUGAGGUCGUAUUACAGGGCAUCAAGCAGGCGACAGCGUCGGUCGAUCUCCUCGUGGCAGGCACGGCCACUCAUCAGGAUCGACGGGAUCGGCACCCGAUCCGCAGACAAUUGCCAGUUAUUGGGCAGGUGAACGUCGCUCUAGGGGAGCGGCGUACCUGCUUCCCAAUAACGUCGGCAAACAUUCACGUGGGCGUACUGUCGGUCACGCGCCGGGCGGCCGGAGGUGCGAUGGCAAAUGCGGACGGUGCAGGGGCCCUCCGUGGGGGUGGUGUGGGCUGUGAGCUGGCGGUGGAGCGGUGAUACGGCUCCAUCGUAUCUACUUUUCCAAACUCUUUUGCCCUUGUUUUGGACUCUAAUUUGCAUGAUUUGAAUGGAACUAACCUGGACUGACGUUGUUUUCAGCAGAAUUGCCUUGGUGUUAUUUUUGUGCAGAAAUCAAAGUUCUCCAAACGUCUUGAAAAUUUAUGGGGAGCAAUUUUGGAAAAUAAGAAAAAUGUCUGCGCCAAGUUCCACCUCAGGGGGUGGGCCAGUGGGCCACAAGCCCUGGCUCCGCCACCACCCCCCUGGUGGCGGUGGGCAGGCUUGUGGGGCCCACAUGGCUCUGCCGCCCCCAAUCUCAGGUCUAUAAGAUCCCUUUCGUCCCAGAAAAAAUAAAAAGAGAAGUUUUCGUCGCGUUUGCGAUACGGAGGCGCCGCCACCACCUGUUCUUCAUCUGGAGGGCAGAUCUGGAGUCCGUCUUGGGCUCCGGAGAGGGGAAAUCGUCGCCAUCGUCAUCAUCAACCUUCUCCCCUCUCCAAUUCCAUGAAGCUCUUCGUCGUUCAUGAGUAAUCUAUUCGUAGGCUCGCUGGGCGGUGAUGAGUAGGAUGAGAUCUAUCAUGUAAUCGAGUUAGUUUUGAUGGGGAUUGAUCCCUAGUAUCCACUAUGUUUUGAGAUUGAUGUUGAUACUACUUUGCCAUGCUUAAUGCUUGUCACUAGGGCCCGAGUGCCAUGAUUUCAGAUCUGAAAUUAUUAUGUUGUCACCAAUAUAUGUGUGUUUUAGAUCCGAUCUUGCAAGUUGUAGUUACCUACUAUGUGUUAUGAUCCGGCAACCCCGGAGUGACAAUAACCGGAACCACUCCCGGUGAUGACCAUAGUUUGAGGAGUUCAUGUGUUCACCAAGUGCUAAUGCGUUGGUCCGGUUCUUUAUUAAAAGGAGAACCUUAAUAUCCCGUAGUUUCCUUUUGGACCCUGCUGCCACGGGAGGGAUGGACAAUAGAUGUCAUGCAAGUUCUUUUCCCUAAGCACGUAUGACGACACGCGGAAUGCAUGCCUACAUCACAUUGACGAACGGGAGCUAGCCACAUAUCUCUCCAUGUUAUAGCUGUUGCAUGAUGAAUAUCAUCGAAACAAAUCACUGACCCAUUGCCUACGAGUUUGUCCUACUGCUGCUGCUGCUACUGCUGUUGCUACUGCUGUUACUUGUCUUGCUCUGCUGCUGCUGCUACUACUGCUGCUACUACUGUCGCUUGCUACUGUUGCUACUUGCUACUGCUGUCACUACUGCUGUUCCUUGCCGCUGCUAUUGCUCGCUACACUGCCGUUACUCGCUACUUUGUUGUUACUAUGCUUGCAGAUACUAAUCUUUCAGGUGUGGUUGAAUCUGACAAUUCAACUGCUAAUACUUGAGAGUAUUCUCUCACCUCCCGUCGUGCGAAUCAACAAAUUUGGGUCGAAUACUCUACCCUCGAAAACUGCUGCUUAACCCACACGCUGGUGGGCCAUCAACAACAUUCUUCUAGUUGCGUUGCGGGGGAGUGCUAGCAGCAUUCUUCUGGUGCUGUUGCAGGGGAAGGUUUGUUGUCAUCAGCAUUCGUCUAGCCAUCGCUAGAGAUUGCAAUCAUCAUUUUUCUGGCACCGUUGCCGGGGAGGUAUUGCUAUAUUCUCUGAGUCACUUGGGAUUUAUAUCUGCUGAUCACUAUGAAGAAUCUGAAGGAUCCGAAGACCAAAGUCUUGCCCUCAACUACGAGGGGAGGUAAGGAAUUGCCAUCUAGCUCUGCACUUUAUUCACCUUCAGUUAUGAGUAAGUUUGCGACAUCACCUCCUGCUAGAAAUCUUGAUAUGCCACCUGUGCUUGAUGAUGCUUGUGAUACUACUGCUAGAGAUGCUAUGCGUGAUACUGCUAGAGAUGCUAUGCUUGAUACUAUGCCUGAUGAUACUAUGCUUGAUACUCCUAGAGAUGCUAUGCUUGAUACUGCCUUGCCUGAUGAUGCUAGAGAUGCUAUUAUGCCUGAUGAUGCUAUGCUUGAUACUGCUAGAGAUGCUACUUUGCCUGAUGUUCCACUAGGAGUGUUCCUUGAUGCUCAUAUUGCUAGAGUUACUGCCAAUGCUCGUGAUGCUUCUGAUACUGCCGAUACUAUUGAGAUAGAACCUGCUUUUGCCCUUGCUAGAUCUAGCUCUCCUAGAUAUGAAUUGCCUGAUAUACCUGAGGGUUACGUUAUGAAGGGAGAGAUAGCUGAGGAUUUUCUUGCGUGUAAGGAUGCCUAUGACGCUGAGAAAUUACUUCUCAAGUGGAAGGAAAAAUCUCGGGAAACUAGGAUGAAAAUUGACCCGAAGUUUGCCACUUCGCCUAUCUUUGUCACCGAUAAGGAUUAUGAAUUCUCUGUCGACCCUGAGAUAAUCUCUCUAGUCGAAUCUGAUCCUUUUCACGGUUAUGAGUCUGAGACGGUCAUAGCCCAUCUUUCCAAACUAUCCGAAAUAGCCAACCUUUUCACUAAUGAGAAGAAGAUCCGCCACUACUAUAUCCUUAAGUUGUUCCCUUUCUCUCUAAAGGAUGACGCUAAAGUCUGGUUCACCUCUCUUGCUCCUGGAUGGGUGCGUAGUCCCCAGGAGAUGGUCUAUUACUUCUGUGAGAAAUAUUUCCCUGCCCAUAAGAAGCAAGCUGCCUUGCCGGAAAUAUACAACUUUGCUCAACUCCAAGAAGAGAGUCUUCCACAAGCUUGGGGGAGGCUCGUCCAGCUACAAAAUGCUUUGCCUGAUCACCCUCUUAAGAAGAACGAGAUACUUGAUAUCCCCUAUAACGGACUUAUCGAUGCCUCUAGAGACCACCUAGAUAGUUGUGUCGGUUGCGUUUUUAGGGAACAAACUGUAGAACAAGCUGAGACCCUACUGAAUAACCUCUUGAUCAACGAUAAUGCUUGGACUAUUCCAGAACCACCUCCUAAGCCAACUCCUAAGAAAAGAGGUAUUCUAUUCCUCAGUCCCGAAGAUAUGCAAGAAGCCAAGAAAUCUAUGCAAGAGAAAGGCAUUAGAUCUGAAGAUGUAAAAAAUCUACCACCUAUCGAAGAUAUCCAUGGUCUCGAUAACCCGAUACAGGUAGUAGAAGUGAAUUCUCUGCGUAGGUUUGAUGAGAGUGAUAUUCCUUUUGAUAAACCUGCUAGCCUAUGCUUUGAUGAAUUUGACAACUUUGUUGCCAAACAACAGAGUUUCAAUGAUUAUGUUAGCCGACAUUUGGAACAAAGUGCUCGUAUGCUUAGCCAUUUAAGUGCUUGUGUAGACAGAAAUGUCAAUGAUCUGAAGCUUCUGAGUAAACAUGCCUCUAUGAUUGCUACUCAGGUAGGACAAGUACUUAAAGCUCAGAAUGACUUGCUCAAUGAAUUAAAUGACAACUCUGUCAGAGUCAUUACUAGAGGAGGCAAAAUGACUCAGGAACCUUUGUAUCCUGAAGGUCAUCCUAAGAGAAUUGAUCAAGAUUCUCAAGGAAUCAAUGCUGAUACACCUAGUCAUCCUAAGGAGAAGAAGAAGGAUGAUAGGAACCUGCACGCCAGUUCACCAAAUACCGUCACACCUGAAGAACCUAAUGAUAUCUCUGCGCUGAUGCAGAAACACAAUUUGGUGAUGAACAUGAACCUAGUGACAAUAUGGACAAUGAUGUUCAUAAUAAUGCUCAACCUAGCAACGAUGAGGAUGUGGAGAUUGAACCUACGGUUAAUCCUGAUAAUCCACAACCUAAGAGAUACGACAAGAAUGACUUCACUGCUAGGAAGCAUGGUAAAGAAAGAGAGCCAUGGGUUCAGAGACCUAUGCCCUUCCCUCCUAAGCCAUCCAAGAAAAAGGAUGAUGAGGAUUUUGAGCGCUUCGUUGAGAUGAUAAGACCCGUGUUUCUGCAGAUGCGGCUAACUGAUAUGCUAUGUCUCCGUAUGCCAAGUACCUGAAAGAUAUCGUGACUAAUAAAUGGAAGAUACCAGAUCUUGAGAUCUCCACCAUGCUUGCCAAUUACACUUUUAAAGGUGGAACUCCUAAGAAACUUGGUGAUCCCGGAGUGCCCACUAUACCUUGCUCCAUCAAAGGAAACUACGUAAGAACUGCCUUAUGUGACCUUGGAGCCGGUGUUAGUGUUAUGCCGCUCUCUCUUUAUCGUAGACUUGAGUUGGAUAAGUUGACACCCACUGAAAUUUCUCUGCAAAUGGCCGACAAAUCGACUGCUUUCCCUAUCGGCAUUUGCGAGGAUGUGCCUGUUGUGGCUGCUAAUACCACUAUCUUAACAGACUUUGUUAUCUUGGAUAUUCCCGAGGACGAUGCCAUGGCUAUCAUCCUCUGAAGACCCUUUUUAAACACUGCGGGGGCUGUUAUAGAUUGCAACAAAGGCAAUGUCACUUUCCAUGUCAACGGUAAUGAGCACAUAGUGCACUUUCCGAAGAAACGAUAUCCAGUACAUUGCAUCAAUGCUAUCGAAAAGACUUCAUCGAUUCUCAUUGGGAGCUUUGAAUGCCCUAUUCCUCGUGUCAAGAUGAAGUAUGAUUUGCUUGUUGGGGAGAUUCAUAUCCCCAUUGAGGUGACUUAGUGGCUAUUCGAAAAUUCUCCGUUCUCUCUUGUGAUUCGAGAAGGUUUUGUCGUAAGGACUUGAUCAAUCCCAUUGACGGAUUUCUUUCAAUGACCAUGAAACGGAUGAAUCAAAGAGUCACAUACCUCUGUUUUAAGCUUUCUUUUUCUUUUGCUUAGAAGAAAAAUGAUAGAAUUAGUUUAGUUUUUCCUGUUUUCUGUUUUAGCGUCCCUGAGAAAAAUACCUCGAAAAUAAAAGUUCUCCGAUGGUCUUGAAAAUUUAGUAUAAUUUUUUCUGGAAUUUUUGAAAAUUUCGGGGCCUGAGAGCUGGCCUGGGGGCCUGACCAGUGGGCCACAAGCCCUGUCACCGCACCUACCCCCUGGUGGCGGGGUGCAAGCUUGUGGGGCCCACAGGCACCCCCUCCACUCAUUCCAGCUCUCAGCCUCUUCUUCCACCUCCAGAAAAAAUUGUUUCGCAGCUCAAACCCGUGUUCUUGCUCAUUUGGCUGUGAUUUUCGAUAUCCUUUCUCAAAGCACCAUUCUCUGAACUGUUUUGGGGAAAUUGCUCCUUGGUAAGUGACUCCUCCAUUGGUCCAAUUAGUUUUUGCUCUAGUGCUUUAUCCUUCGUGUAUUCUUGCUACCUUGGUGACCCUGUUCUUGAGCUAGAAAUGUUGAUUUUAGUUGGUCCCAAGUAGUUUUAGUGCGUGAUACGGUCUCUAGGAACUAGUGGGAGUAGUUGCUACAAGUUGGGUUAAUCCUUAUUCACUUUUCUUUCGAAGUCUCUAAAAAGUUCAAAAUUUUUCAGAGCUAGAAAAAGGAAAAGAUGAGGAGGUUCUUGAGAGGCUCUUCAAGCCGUAACCCCAAGGAGGAUGAGAAGAACCACCCCAAGUACGUAGUCCCUCGAGUCACAAAAGUUCGAGUGUGCGAGUGGCCAAGUGAUGAAUUUUUGCGCGCCACCGGACUUUUUGAAGACUUUUAUUACUUGGUGGAGAACGCAGGUCUGACUGCGUUUGUUGAACAUAAGUGCCCACAAUAUCUCCUCCUCACCAAUAUUUUCGUUCAAAGCUUCAACUUUCAUCCGAGGAAGAAUCCUCCCAUGGUUGAGUUCAUGAUAUAUGAUGUCCCCCAGUGCAUGACGCUGCAGGACUUUUGCAAUGUAUGCAAAUUACCUUAUGUUGGGGAUAUUCGUGACCCUCGUCCACGGGACUUGGAGGAUUUCAUUGGUUCUAUUGCUGUUGGAGAGGAGAGAGGAGUGUCUCGUGCUAGAAUUGCUAGCAUACAUUUUCCUAUGCUUCGGUACUUCUCACUAUUUGUGGGAAAAUGUUUGAUUGGCCGUGGGGAGGCUGGAUCACUUAGUUCUCCAGACCUUGCGGUUUUGCGCGAAGGCCUUUAUAACGAUAAGACCUAUAGCCUGGGCGCUAUAGUAGCUCAACGGUUGAACCUGAAUCGUUCUGAAGGUGUCGUCUAUGGAGGUAUCUACGCUACCCGUCUUGCCAGACACUUUGAGAUACCGAUUAGACUGGGAGAGGAAGGAGAGAUGCUUCUCCCUGAGAGAUAUCUGGAUUAUGACAGCAUGGUUCGCCAUGAUUUUCUGGAUAGAGAUGCUAGUAGAUGGAUGAUUUAUAACCUGGUGUUUAGUCAGGGUACUCGAGAGACUAUUACUUUGCCUGCUCCUUCUUUGUUCGAUCUUCAUGCAGGCAGGUACACUAUUAUGCCCGUGGACAUCUACGCAUAUUGGGGCUUGGCCCAACCACAGGCGCAUGUGCCCGAGCCGCCAGUCGAGUUCCAGACGCCAGUUUAUCAGUGGGAGCCAGAGGAGCUCACACAGCAGUGGCAUUCACCGUCUGCUCCCGAGUAUCUUGGAGCUGGUUAUUUCCCACCUUGGGAGUAGACCAAGCUAGGUCAAAAGCCUAAUCUUGGGGGAGUACGUGUUCUCACCGACUUUACGUUCAUGCUUAUGCUUUCACUUUGUUAGCCGGUGUUUACACUUUGCCACUGUAUUAUCCAUGCUAGUUUAUUUUCGUUUUCUUGUUUUCUUGUUUUGUGUCCUUUUGAGAAAACCCAAAAGAUUUUUCUUUCUUCUUUUGCUUGUUGGGAGCUUUCCCGUGUAAAUAGUUUUCUUUUUCUUUGUGUCAAGGUAGAAGAUAUUGGUUACAAUGUUUAUUGGUUCUUGCAUGCUUACCUGUUUAGCUUUCAAAGAGCCAUAUUACUUUGUCUUCUCCUUUGUGUUUGCCUGCAGAUUCAGCUUAGUCCAACGCGCUUAUUAUCGUUUUCAUCGUUCGAUCGUGCAAAUGAAAGGUAACAAUGAUGAUAUAUGAUGAAGUGACCGAGACUGAAAAGCUGGUAUGAACUCUAUCUAUUUUGUUUUUGUAAAUAUGACUAGCUUGUCGACCCAUAUUUAGCUUUGUUGUGAGAGAACCAUGUUUGCAAUGACAACUUAGAGAUCAUAGUUUCUGAUGCCAUGCUUAUUUAGCUGAGAGCUUAUAAUGGUUUGUCUUGAAUGCCAACAUAGAUUUUGAGAUGGCUAUGAUGUAGUAUGAUAGGAUGGUAUUCUCCUUUGAAUGUUUCAAGUGGCUUGACUUGGCGCAUGUUCAUGCAUGUAAUUGAAACAAAAUCAACAUAGCCUCUAUGAUGUUCGUGUUCAUGGUGAUUUAUAUCCUGUUCAUGCCUGCAUUCAAUGUUAGUCAAACUCAUUGCAUCUUGAUGACUGUUGUUGCUCUCUAGUUGGUCGCUUCCCAGUCUUUUGCUAGCCUUCACUUGUACUAAGCGGAAUACUGCUUGUGCAUCCACUUCCAUAAACCAAAAGUUUUUCCAUGAGAGUCCACCAUACCUACCUAUUUGUGGUAUCUACCUAUCGUUCCAAGUAAAUUUGCAUGUGUCAUUCUCUAAACCUUCAAGAAAUAAUCUGUUUUGCAUGCCCGAACCGCUCAUGUGGUGACAGAGGGCUAUUAGUAUCUUCCAUGCUAGGAGUGUUAUCCUCGACAUGUGUUUAUUCACAGUCAUUCACGAGAAACGGCCCGGUAAUUGGAAUGCCCAGUUCCACGCUUAAAUCUAAAACAUAACUGUAAAACAAGACUCCCCCCGGAUUGAUGUUAGUAUGGACGGUACCCGAGGAUUCAGCUAGCCGUGGAGUGUGAUUGAUUGGUGGUGGGGGAGUUAAAACUUUACUUUUCUGUUUGGGAACCGCCUAUAGCAUGAGUAGCAUGGAAGAUAUUGAGAACUCUUGGUCAUUGCGUUGACAAUGAAAGCAUGCCACCCAAAAUUAUUAUCUCUGUUUUCAAAGCUUGAGCUCUGGCACCUCUGCAAAUCAAUGCUUCCCUCUGCGAAUGGCCUGUCUAUUUAUUUUCCUGUCAAGCCAUCCUCCUCUAUAUAAGCACCAAUUAGAGAGCACCUCUGUCAUUUUUAUGCUUUGCUUUUGAUUGAUAUUGAGUAUGACUAUGACUGGAUCUUCAUUGCUAUGAAUUACAAUGUUUAGUCAGCCCUCGAUCUUUGAAAGUGCUCUGCAUUUAUGUUUUGCGAUCUCAGAAAGAGCUAGCGAGAUACCACCUAUUCAUAUUACUUCAUACUUGUUUUGAUUGAAGUGUUGGUAUUUGAAACUCAUUAUUAUUUGCUCGUUAGCUGAUUAUGCCAUUGAUAUUAGUUUACCGUGAGACCUUUAUGUCACUUGCUUAUGUGGUUAACUUGUGAUCUUGCUGAAAUUUUGGUUAUGAGUUAGACAUAGUUGCAACAACAAGAUCAAACAGAGUUUGUCAAAGUUUUUCUUUCUCUCUCAGUUUGUCAACUGAGUUGCUUGAGGACAAGCAAGGUUUUAAGCUUGGGGGGGUUGAUACGUCUCCAUCGUAUCUACUUUUCCAAACUCUUUUGCCCUUGUUUUGGACUCUAUUUUGCAUGAUUUGAAUGGAACUAACCUGGACUGACGCUGUUUUCAACAGAAUUGCCUUGGUGUUAUUUUUGUGCAGAAAUCAAAGUUCUCCAAACGUCUUGAAAAUUUACGGGGAGCAGUUUUGGAAAAUAAGAAAAAUAUCUGCGCCAAGUUCCAGCUCAGGGGGUGGGCCAGUGGGCCACAAGCCCUGGCUCCGCCACAAACCCCCUGGUGGCGGUGGGCAGGCUUGUGGGGCCCACACAGCUCUACCGCCCCAAUCUCAGGUCUAUAAGAUCUCUUUCGUCCCAGAAAAAAUAAAAAGAGAAGUUUUCGUCGCGUUUGCGAUACGGAGGCGCCGCCACCACCUGUUCUUCAUCUGGAGGGCAGAUCUGGAGUCCGUCUUGGGCUCCGGAGAGGGGAAAUCGUCGCCAUCGUCAUCAUCAACCUUCUUCCCUCUCCAAUUCCAUGAAGCUCUUCGUCGUUCAUGAGUAAUCUAUUCGUAGGCUCGCUGGGCGGUGAUGAGUAGGAUGAGAUCUAUCAUGUAAUCGAGUUAGUUUUGAUGGGGAUUGAUCCCUAGUAUCCACUAUGUUUUGAGAUUGAUGUUGAUACUACUUUGCCAUGCUUAAUGCUUGUCACUAGGGCCCGAGUGCCAUGAUUUCAGAUCUGAAAUUAUUAUGUUGUCACCAAUAUAUGUGUGUUUUAGAUCCGAUCUUGCAAGUUGUAGUUACCUACUAUGUGUUAUGAUCCGGCAACCCCGGAGUGACAAUAACCGGAACCACUCCCGGUGAUGACCAUAGUUUGAGGAGUUCACGUGUUCACUAAGUGCUAAUGCGUUGGUCCGGUUCUUUAUUAAAAGGAGAACCUUAAUAUCCCGUAGUUUCCUUUUGGACCCCGCUGCCAGGGGAGGGAUGGACAAUAGAUGUCAUGCAAGUUCUUUUCCCUAAACACGUAUGACGACACACGGAAUGCGUGCCUACAUCACAUUGACGAACGGGAGCUAGCCACAUAUCUCUCUGUGUUAUAGCUGUUGCAUGAUGAAUAUCAUCCAAACAAAUCACCGACCCAUUGCCUAUGAGUUUGUCCUACUGCUGCUGCUGCUACUACUGUUACUUGUCUUGCUGUGCUGCUGCUGCUACUACUGUUGCUAUUACUGUCGCUUGCUACUGUUGCUACUUGCUACUGAUGUCACUACUGUUGUUCCUUGCCGCUGCUAUUGCUCGUUACACCGCCGUUACUCACUACUUUGAUGUUACUAUUGUGCUUGCAGAUACUAAUCUUUCAGGUGUGGUUGAAUCUGAUAAUUCAACUGCUAAUACUUGAGAGUAUUCUCUCACCUCCCGUUGUGCGAAUCAACAAAUUUGGGUCGAAUACUCUACCCUCGAAAACUGCUGCGAACCCACGCGUUGGUGGGCCAUCAACAACAUUCUUCUAGUUCCGUUGCCGGGGAGUGCUAGCAGCAUUCUUCUGGUGCCGUUGCAGGGGAAGGUUUGCUGUCAUCAACAUUCGUCUAGCCAUCGCUAGAGAUUGCAAUCAAGUGGCGGCCGGAGGAUGAACCAGCCUCAUGGUCGUGCGCCCCCUUGCGGUCGGUGCUCCACCACACCAUCGAUGCCGGCGACCGGAGAGCUCGAGGAAGGGGAGGGGAGAACUAGGGUUUGGGUGUCGGGUUUCGAGGAGGCAGCAUGACUGGAGUGGGAGCAUGGACUGUGACCGGUCCACGGUUUCCCAUUUUAGAAGGCAGCGACCACUCGCUUGGGUGGAUGAUAGGUGGGGCCGACUGCGCGUGCACAAUUAAUUUGGGCGGUGGAAGGUAGGUGCAUGCGUGCCAUGCAGCCCCGAUGCGGACGAGAGGCAUGCCCGUUCGUUGUCCGCCUAGACCCAAACCGGACGCAUGUUUGCACUUGGAAUGGGUCGGGACGGACACAAAACGGAUAAGAUGGGUCCAGGCCGUUGCGCACUGGGUUGUGGGGUUUGUCCGUUUUGCCCCAAACGGACAAGGCCAGGAGGGAUGGGGUCGUGCACUCGAGUGGGCCUAAUCCCACGAGCCCGAAACAUCAGCUGAAACUCGCUGAUGUACCUCUCGCCUCCUGAGCCUGCCGCCCGGAGCCCGCCGUGCGCCACUCUGACACCAGGCGUCCACCUCCCCACCCGCCGCUCGACACUCUGGCCGCGGCGGCCACCCCCCCUCUCUCUCUCCUCCCGCUAUGGCUGGAUCCCGCUCGCCGUCGGUGUCCUCCCGGUUGGCACACGAGCGCCCUGUGAUGUCGGGUCUCGGCUUCUCUUCAUCGUCUGCCUCCUCGAGCACCCACGAGCAGGCUACGACAUCGUCGGUGCUGAGGUUGGGCGCAGACGGCCGUCGCCACGAAGCCCCUUGUGUUCAGCCGCCCCCCUCCAGGAGAUCCAAGUGGCGCAGUCGCCAUGACCACGCCCCCAGCAGCAUCCGCUGUCGUGCCUGGAGCAGCCCCGACGUGAGGUCGCGCCAGAGAUGGUUGGGCUCUGCUUCUGUUGCUUCCAAGACAAUCUCUUUCGACAGGACUACACCAACGACGAGGCCUGUAUUCGCUGCGACCUCUUUGGGCGCGGGUCUCGCAACUGCCGGCGCCCUCGCAACCUAGUCGGAGUUGCACGAUGGUGAAUUCCAACCAACCCUCUCCCUCGGGGCCUGCGAGUAGUACUUUGAUUUUUGAUGAGACCAAUAAAAAUUUGCAAUAAGUAUAUGAGUUCUUUAUGGCUAAUGUGACACCAUGGACAUACACAAUCUCACCUCCUCAUAUUUGCUAGCCUCUCCACUACAGCGCAUAGCCCAUUCUCACCUUGAGAAUUGGUGCAACUUUCGCCGGUGCAUCCAAACCCUGUGACAUGAUACGUUCUGUUGCACAUAUCCUCCUCAAAACAACCACCAUACCAACCUAUUAUGCCAUUUACAUAGCCAUUCCGAUAUAUAUUGCCAUGCAAAUUCCAUCAUCACUUCACAUGACUAGUUCGUUCAUCAUCAUAUUGCUUUGCAUGAUCAUAUAGAGUCGACAUAGUAUUUAUGGCAAAGCCAUCGUUCAUAAUAGCAUUUUUGGCAAAGCCACCAAAUAACAUAUGCCAAAUACAUGUCACGCUAGAUCAUUGCACAUCCUGGUGCACUGCCAGAGGCAUUUAUAUUGGAGUCGUAUUGCUUCAUUCAUCAUAUCGAGUUAUCCAUGAGUUGUAAGUAAAUAAAAGUGUGAUAGUCAUCAUUAUUAGAGCAUUGUUCCGGUGAGGAAAUAAAUAUGGGGAGGCCAAAUAAGCCCACCAUAAAAAAUGAAAGAGAGAAAAAGAGAGAAGGGACUUUGCUACUAUCCUUUACAACACUCGUGCCUCAAAGUGACACCAUGUUCAUCAUGUAGACAAUCUCAUGUUGUAUCAUUCAUAUGCUAGUGGGAAUAAAAAAAACUGGCUUGUAUAUUCCAAUAAUGGGCUUCCUCAAAUGCGUGAGGUCUUUAUGAGCAAGCAACUUGGAUGCACACCCCACCUAGCUUCAGUUGAGCUUUCAUACACUUAUAGCUGUAGUGCAUCAUUUGCAUGGCAAUCCCUACUCCUUAUGUCAAUACCUAUCAAUGGGUAUCUCCAUAACCCAUUGAUAUCUGCUCCGCCUCUCAACCCCUUUGAAACCUUCCAUCUUAUUCUAUUCCACCUAUAUGAUAUGUCCAAUGGUUUGCACUCAUGUAUUGCGUGAAGAAUAAAAAGUUGAUGCAUACUGAAAAGCUAUGAUCCAAUUACCUGACUUAGGCACCGUGAUACUUAACAUUUGUAGUUAUAUGGUGAAGAUGGAGCCAUGCCUUGCCAAUAUAAUAAAGAUGGAUAGAGUUGAAACAAUCUUUGAAGAUCUUAUACUUUGAAAAAUUAAUUGUUUUGUUGCUUAUACUUAUAAAUAUUGUUGUGUUAAUAUUUGUUAAUUCAUCGUUCCUCAUUGAGCAUACAUGCAUAAGAAUACCUCAUGGAUAGCAUGUCACAUGAAAAAUUCUGUUUUUAUCAUUUACCUACUCGAGGACGAGCAGGAAUUAAGCUUGGGGAUGCUUGAUACGUCUCCAACGUAUCUAUAAUUUUUGAUUGUUCCAUGUUGUUAUGUUAUAAGUUUAGAACACUUUUUAUGCACUUAUCUACCAAUUUAUAUUAUUUUUGAGAACUAACCUAUUGACCAAGUGCCCAAUGGAUGUUGUUGUUUUCUGCAUGUUUUCCACUUUUCAGGUUCCAAUACCAAACGAAGCCCAAUUGACCUGAAACUUAUUGUGAUUUUUUUCUGGACCAAAACAACAUUGUGAUGCAUCCGAAGAAGGCCUGGGGGUGCACGAGGCCCCCACAAGCCAAUAGGGCGUGACCUCGGGGACGCCAUGAUGGCUUGUGGCUGCCUCGUGGCUCUUCUGACCCCGUUCUCUCGCCUAUAAAUUCUUAUUUUCCCUAAAACCUUCGAAGGAGGUCCCAAAACACUUUUUACGUUGCCGCGAGUCUCUGUUCCGACGGGAGGCCAUCUAGAGCUCCAUUCCGGCACUCUGUCGGAGGGGGAUCGAUCAUAGAGGGCUUCUUCAUCAACCUUGCUGCCCUCGUGGUGAUGUGUUAGUAGUUCACCACACACCUACGGGUCCAUAACAGUACCUAGAUGGCAAUCUCUCUCUCUCUUUGAUCUUCAAUACAAUGAUCAUCGCAUCUUUGCUUUGAUCCAUAUGAUGUAACUCUUUUGUACGGUGUGUUUGUUGGAAUCCGAUGAAUUGUGGGUUUACGUUCAGAUUAUUCAUGAUAAAUAUUUGAGUCUCCUCUGAUAUAUAAUAUGAUUUUUAUGUGCAUGAUUAUGAUAGCUUCGUAAUUCUCUCAGAUCUACUGAAAUAGUUUGGCCAACUAGAUUGAUAUUUCUUCGGUGAGAGAGGUGUGUUGUAGUAGAUUCAACCUGACGAGUUUCUAUAUCCCAUUGACAGAAGGGACAAGUUACGACUUUGUGUUGCUGCUACUAAGGGUAAAAUGAUGGGGUCUAUUCAUAUUGGUUGAGUUUACUUUGUCUACAUCUUCUCAUCGUACUCCAAGCAUUACUUAGUUUGUCAUGAACUUAAUACGUACAGAGGCAAGCAUAGAAGCGCCCUUGAAGUGAAGUAAUAGUAAUAGGUGCACGCAAGAGUCGGCCUAUUUGUUUAUGGAUGUGAUGCCUAUAUUUACAUGAACAUUGCCACGAAAAUCACAUAACUAUCCACUCAUCUAUCAAUUGCCCAACAGUAAUUUGUUUACCCGCCGUGUGCUAUUUUCAUGAGAGACGCCAUUAGGGAAAGCUAUGGCCCCGGGGUCUAUUCACAACAUAUUGCUAAAACCUCCAAUGCCAUGCUGCCAUUUAUUUCCUUUUAUUUUAUUUUGCAUUUUAAAAUUAUUUACACACCUCAUUUGCUUGCAAAAAACGAGACCAAGGGGAUUGACAACCCUCUUGCCCGCGUUGGGUGCAAGUUGUUUGUUCUUUUGUGUGCAGCCGCUGAAGAAGGUUAUGGUUGAUAUUCCUAUUGGUUUGACCUUGGUUUCGUAACUGUGGGAAAUACUUACGCAAUUUUUGUUGCGAUAACCCAUUCCUCUUCAUGGAAAACCCAACGCACAUCACGAGUAUCAGAGACGUAUCACCUUCGUCUGACAGCUUUUAGUGAAAGGUCACGGCCGGUCACGACCACUGAUGAGUUAUGAAAGCUUGAUUCGUUAUUCGAAGCAAUUCCUCCAUUGGCACGUCCCGUCAAUAUGGAGACCAUGCCCCAUUUUUUAAGGGAUGUGAUCAAUGAUUUGUGCUAACCCACACGUGCACAACGACACGAUUAUAUCGGGAAGUGGCAAGGUGUGCAACGCGGUAAAGGGGUUCUUGGUAUUAUGGUAGCUUAUAUAAGGAAAACAACCACCAAAGCCUCCAUAUGCUUAUCAGGUCCCUCGUUGUUGUCGCCUUCCCAAUCUCUUGAGAUCUAAGCGCCCAGAUCCAUCCCUCGCUCAAAUAUCCUCAAGCCACUCCCUGAGUUCGGCCAUGGUCGGUUCUGGUUCCAAGGGCAAGUGGUAGGCAUCCAACAUCACCAAUGACGACAUUCAGGAGUUAAAGCACGUCGGCUAUCUUACGGUCAAUGUAGUCCAUCGCGCUCCAGAGGAGGGCCAGGUCAUCCCCAUGCCCGCGGACUGGGCAGUGCCCUCCGAAUUCCGAUAUGAACCUCCCACAAGGCUGGUGUCAUGUAUCAAGAAGGGACUCGACUGGGGUUAACCGGAGGUGAAGUCGUUGCAAAAGUGCAUCUCCCAGUUGUUAAAGAAGAAACUGAAACUGACCAACAUGGUUCAGAUCAUGCUUUGCGUUGGCUCCUACCUUACAAACAUCGGGCCGCUCCAAUGUGGUCCUACAAGCCCGAUGACCCUUCCACUGUGCUCCACUUUUACCACACCACCCACGACAAGUUGUGGAAGGUGUUGUUCAAGCCCCAAAAAAAUUUGCCGGACAAGGAUGGAAACAUCGGCCUUGAUGCCGCACACCCUCCUCGGGAGGUAUGAUAACGUUUUACUAUUAUGUCCGGUACUACCUUUUAACAAGGAACUUAACCCUUUCUUCCCCGCAUUCGUAAAGCUUGCUAGGAAUGAUGCGCGGACCGAUGGCCCGACACCGCUGCCCGAGGGCCCCAGGACGACAUUGCUGACGGAAAUGUUGGUUGAGGAAUCGUACAAGGCGCCGGAGAAGAAAGAGAAGAAGAAGGAUGAGAAGAGGGAGGCCCAAGGAGGCCUCUGAUACGUCUCCAACGUAUCUAUAAUUUUUGAUGGUUUUAUGCUAUUAUCUUGUCAAACUUUGGAUGUUUUGUAUGCCUUUUAUAUCUUUUUUGGGACUAACUUAUUAACUCAGUGCCAAGUGCCAGUUCCUGUUUUUUCCGUGUUUUUGACCAUUUUCAGAGGAGGAUUUUAAACGGAGUCCAAACGGAAUAAAACUUCCGAAAAGAUUUUUUUUGGAACAGAAGAUACGCAGAAAGCUUGGGAACCAAGGCAGGGAGUCCCAGGGGAGGCCACAAGCCCUCAUGGCGCGGCCAGGGGGGCCCGCACCUCCCAGGCUUGUGGGCUCUCUGGGCCUCCCCUGCCCUAGCUCCUUCGCCUAUAAAUUCCCUAAAAUCCCUAAAAAAUCAAGAGAUCCACGAAAACACUUUUCCGCCGCCACAAGCUUCUGUCUCCGCAAGAUCCCAUCUGGGGCACGUUCUGGUGCCCUGCUGGAGGGGAGAUUCGGAUACGGAGGGCUUCUUCAUCAACACAAUGAUCUCUCUGAUGAUGCGUGAGUAGUUCACCAUAGACCUAUAGGUCCAUAGCUAGUAGCUAGAUGGCUUCUUCUCUCUCUUGGAUCUUCAAUACAAAGUUCUCCAUGAUCUUCAUGGAGAUCUAUCCGAUGUAAUCUUCUUUUGCGGUGUGUUUGUCGAGAUCCGAUGAAUUGUGGAUUUAUGAUCAGAUUAUCUAUGAAUCUUAUUUCAGUUUCUUCUGAUCUCUUAUAUGCAUGAUUUCAUAUCCUUGUAAUUCUCUUCGAGUUGUGGGUUUUGUUUGGCCAACUUGAUCUAUGAUUCUUGCAAUGGGAGAAGUGCUUGGUUUUGGGUUCAUAACGUGCGGUGACCUCACCCAGUGACAGAAGGGGUAGCGAGGCACGCAUCGUGUUGUUGCCAUCAAGGGUAAAAAGAUGGGGUUUUCAUCAUUGGUUUGAGUUUAUCCCUCUACAUCAUGUCAUCUUGCUUAAGGCGUUACUCUGUUCGUCAUGAACUCAAUACACUAGAUGCAUGCUGGAUAGCGGUCAAUGUGUGGAGUAAUAGUAGUAGAUGCAGAAAGUAUCGAUCUACUUGUCUCGGACGUGAUGCCUAUAUGUAUGAUCAUUGCCUUAGAUAUCGUCAUGACUUUGCGCGGUUCUAUCAAUUGCUCGACAGUAAUUUGUUCACCCACCGUAAUAUUUGCUAUUUUGAGAGAAGCCUCUAGUGAACACUAUGGCCCCCGGGUCUACUUCACACCAUAUUUUCAGCCUUACUCUUUUACUUUGUUGCACUUUCCGCCUUCAGAUCUCACUUUGCAAUCAAUCUUGAAGGGAUUGACAACCCCUUUAUAGCGUGUGGUGCAAGCUCUUUUGUGUUUGCGCAGGUACUCUGGACUUGACGAGAUUCUCCUACUGGAUUGAUACCUUGGUUCUCAAACUGAGGGAAAUACUUACUGCUCCUGUGCUGCAUCACCCUUUCCUCUUCAAAGGAAAAACCAACGCAAGCCAAGUCUCCGUCAACGUGCCAAUUUCUGGCGCAGUGUCGCAAACUCAUCUCUUGCAUUUUUUUUGCCUCUCGUUUCCCUCUCCCCCACUUCUGAAAAACAAAAAUUUACAAAACAAUUUGCCUUUUCGUUUGCCUUUUUCGUUCGCCCUUUUCUCUCGCUUGCUUUCUGUUCGUUCGUGUGGGAUAGUCUACCUGUCCUCAUGGCUAGACCCACCACUUCGAACGAUACACCCGAGAACGAAGUUCUCAAUUUCAAACAAAGUGAGGAAGAAAACUUAAAGGACGUUUGGUAUAGGAUUUGCAAUGCUCAGAGUAGAUCUACUUGUAAGCAAUCUACUACCGUCCCGCUUCGCAGUUUUUAUGUCGGUAUUUCUCCUUGCAAUGGGUAUAUUCUUGACACCAUUGUAGGCGGAAAUUUCUUGGGUAGCCAUAUGAUACGUCUCCAAUGUAUCUAUAAUUUUUGAUCGUUUCAUGCUAUUAUCUUGUCAAACUUUGGAUGUUUUGCAUGGCUUUUAUUUAUUUUCUGGGACUAACUUAUUAACUCAGUGCCAAGUGCCAGUUCCUGUUUUUUCUAUGUUUUUGACCCCUUUCAGCCGAGAUUUUGAAACGGAGUCCAAACGGAAGAAAAUCCCCGAAAAGAUUUUUUCUGGAACGGAAGAAGAUCGGAGGACUUGGGAGACAAGCCAGAAGAGCCCUAGGGGCGCCACAAGCCCCCACCCCGCGACUAGGGGGGUCGCGCCAUCCAGGCUUGUGGGCCCCCUGGAGGUCCCCUGACCUAGAUCUUGCGCCUAUAAAUUCCCAAAUAUUCCCAAAAAAAUCAAGAGACGAUCGCAAUUACUUUUCCGCCUCCACAAGCUUCUCUCUCCGCAAGAUCCCAUCUGGGGCAUGUCGUGGUGCCCUGCCGGAGGGGGGAUUCGGACACGGAGGGCUUCUUCAUCAACACCAUGACCUCUCCGAUGAUGCGUGAGUAGUUCACCAUAGACCUACAUGUCCAUAGCUAGUAACUAGAUGGCUUCUUCUCUCCCUUGGAUCUUCAAUACAAAGUUCUCCAUGAUCUUAAUGGACAUCUAUCCGAUGUAAUCUUCUUUUGCGGUGUGUUUGUCGAGAUCCGAUGAAUUGUGGAUUUAUGAUCAGAUUAUCUAUGAAUCUUAUUUUAGUUUCUUCUGGUCUCUCUUAUGCAUGAUUUCAUAUCCUUGUAAUUUUCUUUCAGUUGUGGGUUUUGUUUGGCCAACUAGAUCUAUGAUUCGUGCAAUGGGAGAAGUGCUUGGUUUUGGGUUCAUACCGUGCGGUGACCUCACCGAGUGACAGAAGGGGUAGCGAGGCACGUAUCGUGUUGUUGCCAUCAAGGGUAAAAAGAUGGGGUUUUCAUCAUUGGUUUGAGAUUAUCCCUCUACAUCAUGUCAUCUUGCUUAAAGCGUUACUCUGUUCGUCAUGAACUCAAUACACUAGAUGCAUGCUGGAUAGCGGUCGAUGUGUGGUGUAAUAGUAGUAGAUGCAGAAAGUAUCGGUCUACUUGUCUCAGACGUGAUGCCUAUCUGCUAGAUCAUUGCCUUAGAUAUCAUCAUGACUUUUAGCGGUUCUAUCAAUUGCUCGACAGUAAUUUGUUUACCCACCGUGAUAUUUGCUAUUAUGAGAGAAGCCUAUAGUGAACACUAUGGCCCCCAGGGUCUACUCCACACCAUAUUUUCAGCCUUACACUUUUUGCUUCGUUGCACUUUCCGCCUUUAGAUCUCACUUUGCAAACAAUCUUGAAGGGAUUGACAACCCCUUUGAAGCGUUGGAUGCAAGCUUGUUUGUGUUUGCGCAGGUACUUUGGACUUGACGAGGCCCUCCUUCUGGAUCGAUACCUUGGUUCUCAAACUGAGGGAAAUACUUACUGCUCUUGUGCUGCAUCACCCUUUCCUCUUCAAGGGAAAAAAAAUCAGAGAAGUAACAAGAAGAAUUCCUAUGCUCCAGGGAAGGACUUAUGUUGCCGCAGCAGAAGAAUUUCUGGCGCCGUUGCCGGGGAGGAGGAUCAAGUCAAGAAUAGUCUCCCGUCAACAUGCCAGUUUCUGGCGCCGUCGCCAGGGAGGAAGAUCAAGUCAAGAACUCAUCCAAGUAGGUGUGGGAAACUCAUCUCUUGCAUUUACUUUGUUUGCCAGUUGCCUCUCGUUUUCCUCUCCCCCACUUCACCAAUUUUCCUUUUUUGUUCGCCUUUUCGUUCGCUUUUUCGUUCGCCCUUUUCUCUCGCUUGCUUUCUGCUCGUCUGUGUGGGAUAGUCUAUCGUGAUGGCUAGAUCCACCACUUCGAACGAUACUCCCAAAAGCGAAGUUCUCAAUUUCAAACAAAUUGAGGGAGAAAACUUAAAAGACGCUUGGUAUAGGAUUUGCAAUGCUUAGAGUAGAUCUACUCAUAAGCAAUCCACUACGGUCUUGCUUCGCAGUUUUUAUGUGGGUAUUUCUCCUUGGAAUAGGUAUAUUAUUGACACCAUUGUAGGUGGAAAUUUCUUGGGUAGCCAUACCAUUGAUUCUUACAGAGCUGUGAUAAAUUUGGUAGGCUCACCCCCACUCAUGGUUAAUGGAACUACCUUAACUCUGGAACAUGUGAUGCAUAGGCUGGACGCUAUUGAAAAUAAAGUUGCUACGAUUGAACUCAUUGAGAAUUUGGAUAAAAAGAUCCACAAUCAAAUUACUCAGUACGGAUCCAAGGUGGGAAUGGUUUUGAAAAAUUUAAAGGAGAAGGAACCCUCAGUUAAUGAAAAGCUAGGUCAUGAUUCGGCUAGGAUUGGCAAACUAGAGGAUGUUAUAACCAACUUGGGUUCCGCUUUUGCCGCUGUGCAGAAUACUCCAAAUUUUGCCCACAAUAAAAUCACCAAGUCUGUCUUUGUUCCUAAAAGUAGUGGUGAAUCAUCUAGUAUGAAAGAUGAAAACCUGAAGAUGGUAAGUGAUCACGCUACUUAUGGUUUGAGCACCAAAGACGACGAUACAUGAUUCUAUCGCUCCUAUGCCUAACUAAGGGCGUUAAACAAUAGCGCUUGUUGGGAGGCAACCCAAUGAAUUUAUCUUUUUCUUUCUGUUUUGUUGCGUCCACACUUUCAUAAUUCUGUUGUGAUUGUGUUUUUUGUGUUUCUUUUUGUGUUUGAGCCAAACAAAACCUUUAUGACUAGUCUUGGUAAUGGUUGUUUGAUCCUGCUGGAAAAAGACAGAAACUUUUCGCUCACGAGAUGAUUUUUCAUUUUUAUUAAGAAAGAGCUUUUGAGUUGAUUCUUUUUUAUGCUGAUUUAUAUGCUUUUUCCCCAUACCUUCGUAAUGUUUCAUAUUUUUUGAGGUACCAGAAGUAUAUGAAGUAUACAGAUUGCUACAGACUGGUCUGUUUUUGACAGAUUCUGUUUUUGUUGAGUUGGUUGCUUGUUUUGAUGAAAUUAUGGUUAGUAUCGGGGGUACUAGCCAUGGAAAAGUGAGAAUACAGUAGCCCAUCAUCAACAUAGAUGGAAUUCAAGUUUGCCACAGUACCAAAAGAAGUGGUAGUUUGUUUUCUUGUACUAAUGUUAUCACAAGUUUCGGUUUAAGUUUUGUGUUGUGAAGUUUUCAAGUUGUGGGUGACGUUCUCAUGGACAAAGAGAUAAGGAGUGUAAAUAGCUCAAGCUUGGGGAUUCCCAAGGCAUCCCAAGCCAAAUUGAAGGACACCAAAAAAGCCUAAGCUUGGGGAUACCCCGGGAAGGCAUCCCCUCUUUCGUCUUCAAUCCAUCGGUAACAUUACUUGGAGCUAUAUUUUUAUUCACCACAUGAUAUGUGUUUUGCUUGGAGCGUCCUGUAUCUUAGGAGUCUUUUCUUUUUGUUGUGUCACAAUCAUCCUUGCUGCACACCUUUUUGAGAGAGAGAGACAUGCACUCAUCGUGAUUUUGCUAGAAUGCUCAUAGUGCUUCACUUAUAUCGUUUGAGCUAGAUACUUUUGCUCUUGUGCUUCACUUAUAUAUUUAGAGCACGGCAGUGCGUGAUUUGGUAGUUGGCUUAUGCUAUGAAGAUAGUCCCAAAUGUGCUAGGUACCCAAUGAGGAUGCAAAAACCUCCAUCUUCAUGUGCAUUGAAUAGAAAGAGAAGUUUUGAUUCCUCUCAAUUAGUUUUGAGACGUGGAUACAGUAAUAUUGAGAGUUACGUUAGUAGGGUGUUGUGAAUCUAGAAAUACUUGUGUUGGAGUUAGUGAUUCCCGUAGCAUGCACGUAUGGUGAACCGCUAUGUUAGGAAGUCGGAGCAUAAUUGAUCUAUUGAUUGUCAUCCUUUGUGUUGAGGUCGGGAUCACGCGAUGGUUUACACCUACCAACCCUUCCCCUCGGAGUAUGCGUUUAGCACUUUGUUUCGAUUACUAAUAAAAACUUUCGCAAUAAGUAUAUUAGUUUUUCAUGACUAAUUUGAGCCCAUGGUAUAGAUGCACUUUCACCUUCCACCAUUGCUAGCCUCUCUAGUGCCGCGCAAUUCUCGCCGGUGCACAAACCCACCAAAUUCCUUCCUCAAAACAGCCACCAUACCUACCUACUAUGGCAUUUUCAUAGCCAUUCCGAGAUACAUUGCCAUGCAACUCCCACCGUUCCGCCUCAUGACUUGUGCCAUCACUCUCAUAUUGCCAUUGCAUGAUCAUACUAGAUCGCUGCACAACCCGGUACACUGCCGGAGGCAUUUCCUAUGGAGUCAUCAUCAUUGUGAUCUUUGAGCUUUGAGUAACUAAAAAGUGUGAUGAUCAUCAUUAUUAGAGCAUUGUCCCAUGUGAGGAAAAAAGAGGCCAAAGAGCCCCAAAACAAAAAAUGAGAAAAGAAAAAAGAGUCCUAAGAGCCCAAAUAAAAAAAUGAGAGAAAAAGAGAGAAGGGACAAUGCUACUAUCUUUUUCCACACUUGUGCUUCAUGUUAGCACCAUGUUCUUCAUGAUUGAGAGCUUCUUGCUUUGUUACUACCAUAUGCUAGUGGGAAUCUUCGUUUUAUAACUUGGCUUGUAUAUUCCAAUGUUGGGCUUCCUCAAAAUUUCCCUAGGUCUUCGUGACCAAGCAAGUUGGAUGCACACCCACUAGUUUUCUUCUUGAGCUUUCACAUAAUUAUAGCUCUAGUGCAUCUCUUGUAUGACAAUCCCUACUCAUUCACAUUGAUAUCUAUUAAUGGGCAUCUUCAUAGCCUAUUGAUACGCCAAGUAAGUGUGACCAUCUCCUCUUUUUUGUCUCACAUCCACCACCACACUCUAUUCCACCUAUAGUGCUAUAUCCAUGUCUCGCGCUCAUGUAUUGCGUGAUAGUUAUAAAAAGUUUGAGAAAUUAAGAGUGCGAAAGCAAUUACUUGGCCAAUUCCAGGGUUGUGCAGGAUUUACACUAGUUGUGUGAGGAUGAUGGAGCAUAGCCAGACUAUAUGAUUUUGUAGGGAUAACUUUCUUUGGCCUUGUUAUUUUGAAAGUUCAUGAUUACCUUGCUAGUUUGCUUGAAGUAUUAUUGUUUUCAUGUCAAUAAGCAAACUAUUGUUUUGAAUCUUACGGAUCUGAACAUUCAUGCCACGUGAAAGAAGUUGCAAAGGACAACUAUGCUAGGAAGCAUUCCACAUCAAAAAUUCAUUCUUUAUCACUUCUCUACUCGAGGACGAGCAAGAGUUAAGCUUGGGGAUGCUUGAUACGUCUCCAACGUAUCUAUAAUUUUUGAUGGUUUCAUGCUAUUAUCUUGUCAAACUUUGGAUGUUUUGCAUGAAUUUUAUUUAUUUUCUGAGACUAACUUAGUAACUCAGUGCCAAGUGCCAGUUCCUGUUUUUUCCAUGUUUUUGACCCCUUUCAGAGGAGAUUUUGAAACGGAGUCCAAACGGAAGAAAAUCCCCGAAAAGAUUUUUUCUGGAACGGAAGAAGAUCAGAGGACUUGGGAGCCAAGCCAGAAGAGCCCCAGGGGCCCCACAAGCCCCCACCCCACAGCCAGGGGGCGCGCCAUCCAGGCUUGUGGGCCCCCUGGAGGUCCCUUGACCUAGAUCUUGCACCUAUAAAUUCCCAAAUAAUCCCAAAAAACCAAGAGACGAUCGCAAUUACUUUUCCACCACGGCAAGCUUCUGUCUCCGCAAGAUCCCAUCUGGGGCACGUCCCGGUGCCCUGCCGGAGGGGGGAUUCAGACACGGAGGGCUUCUUCAUCAACACCAUGACCUCUCCGAUGAUGCGUGAGUAGUUCACCAUAGACCUACGGGUCCAUAGCUAGUAACUAGAUGGCUUCUUCUCUCUCUUGGAUCUUCAAUACAAAGUUCUCCAUGAUCUUCAUGGAGAUCUAUCCGAUGUAAUCUUCUUUUGCGGUGUGUUUGUCGAGAUCCGAUGAAUUGUGGAUUUAUGAUUAGAUUAUCUAUGAAUCUUAUUUGAGUUUCUUCUGAUCUCUCUUAUGCAUGAUUUCAUAUCCUUGUAAUUCUCUUCGAGUUGUGGGUUUUGUUUGGCCAACUAGAUCUAUGAUUCUUGCAAUGUGAGAAGUGCUUGGUUUUGGGUUUAUACCAUGCGGUGACCUCACCCAGUGAUAGAAGGGGUAGCGAGGCACGUAUCGUGUGAAAGUGCAGUCAUGCCAUUAAUCGUGUUUUGGUGUUGCUGACAACACACAUAUAGAUAACUAAUCACUAAUCCCCUUUAAGCUAUUGUGAAUGAUCAUGUGUUUAUAAGGACAAGCUCGUGUGCUAACAAGGACAAGAUCAAGAUAAGCAUUCCUGAGCACUACAUGCUUGAUUCUUGUGGAUGUUCACAUGGUGGACAAAUGAAGAUGAAUACAUAAGCUAGGCUUUCCACAUUGUGUAUGGGAGAGCUACUUGAAGACUUCAUCAUGUCUUGCUUUCGACUUGAGCCAAGAAGGAACAACAACAUCAAGCUCAAGUGAAAGGGCUAACUCAAUGGUAUCAGUUCCUUUGACGUUAGUGGUGCGGAGUGAUGAUCAGCGAAUAAAAGUAUACACUCAAGUAUGGUUCAUCGGUACCCCUUUUAUAAUUCUUGAGUCUUUAGGGAUCCCGCACUAUUAAGAGGGGAUCACAGGUUUUGCGAUGAACUUGCUCAAACUACAUCUCCACUGUUCUGCUCAGACCACAUCUCCACUGCUCUGUUGUUAUCUGAAAACAGAACAAAUGCCUCAGACAUCCGGCUUCCUCCGAACGUCCGAGGGCCGGAUGACCGACUGCUUCGGAAAUCCGGAAUCCUAUACCAGAGAAACUUGAGCCAUAUAACUCGGACUUCCGGCUCCCUCCGGACGUCCGAGGGCCGGACGUCCGACCAACUUCGGAAAUCUGGAAUUGUGCACCAGAGAAACUUGAACCAUAUAACUCGGACUUCCGGCUCCCUCCGGACGUCCGAGGGCCGGACGUCCGACCUCCUUCGGAAAUCCGGAAUCUCGCGCCAGAGAAGUUUGAGUCGAAUAACUCGGACUUCUGGCUUCCUCCGAACGUCCGGUCCCUGUUCAACUACACAGUGAUUCCAGAUAUAUAUACAUCUCUUGGACGACCGACCACUGUCGGACGUCGGACACCUUGUGGGCGUCCGGACAUCCGAGAAACUGCCGGAUGUCCGACCCCUGUCAGACUUAAAGUGUCCCCAACGGCUAUUUUACUCUCCCCACUAUAUAUACCCCUCCCACUUCGUGAGAGGGUGCCCCAACACAGCUAUAUCCUCAUAAGAACACAUUUCUACCUCACACACAUUUGCUUACACCAAAUCUUAGAUCCCAAGAGCAUUUGUGAGCCCCUUUGAGAGUUGUUCCAAUCAAAAGAUAGAUCGUCUCCCUCUCCUUCUCUCAACCCAAGCUAUUUGAGAUUUGAGCAAGUUUUGAGCAUUCCCCGUGAUCUUGUUACUCUUGGAGGUUGGAGACUCCUAGGCGGUAGGAGUUCUUCGGAGAGGAAUCAAUCCGUGUGAUUACCCCCCGGAAAAGUUUGUGAGGGUUUGGAAGCCACCUCAAAGGCUUACCACUAGUGGUUGAGAAACGCCUUCGUGGUGUUAUCUCAAAUCGAGAAUAGGGUGAGCCUUCGUGGCGUUGGUGUGCCUUCGUGGUAACAUCCACCUCUCUAACGGUGACUAGCUUCCCUCCAAGGAAGUGAACAUCGGGAUACAUCUUCGUCUCAGUGACCUUGGUUAUCCUUAACCCUAACUCCUUACUUGUGGUUUACUUGUGUUACUUGAGCAUACAUACAUUGCAUAUUGUUUGUGCUCAUUAUAUUGUGUUGGCUAUUUCUUGUACAAGAUUAAUCAUUCAAGCAUACCCUCUAUAUCUACUCGUUCACACUUGCAGCUUUUGAUAUAUCGUGUGCUAUAGUGUGGUCUAGUAUCUUGUGUCGUUCACGUACUUGUCGUGUGAUAUAGCUCAAGUAAGUUUGUGUAACUUACUUGUGCUUGUUAGUAACUGUAUUUUGUCCAUCUUGGUAGAUCGUGUUGUUGAUACACGUUGCAGUGCCUAGUGCAUUUAGGAUUUGUGCUUGACAAGUAUCCUCUUAGUUUAUUUCCGCAUUAGGUUUGAGCCAAAUCCUAAGAAGUUUUUAAAUAGCCUAUUCACCCCCUCUAGGCGUCAUCGAGGUCUUUUCAUCGUGUUGUUGCCAUCAAGGGUAAAAAGAUGGGGUUUUCAUCAUUGGUUUGAUAUUAUCCCUCUACAUCAUGUCAUCUUGCUUAAAGCGUUACUCUGUUCAUCAUGAACUCAAUACACUAGCUGCAUGCUGGAUAGCGGUCGAUGUGUGGAGUAAUAGUAGUAGAUGCAGAAAGUAUCGGCCUACUUGUCUCGGACGUGAUGCCUAUAUGCUAGAUCAUUGCCUUAGAUGUCGUCAUGACUUUGCGCAGUUCUAUCAAUUGCUCGACAGUAAUUUGUUCACCCACCGUGAUAUUUGCUAUUAUGAGAGAAGCCUCUAGUGAACACUAUGGCCCCCAGGGUCUACUCCACACCAUAUUUUCAGCCUUACACUUUUUGCUUCGUUGCACUUUCCGCCUUCAGAUCUCACUUUUCAAACAUUCUUGAAGGGAUUGACAACCCCUUUGAAGCGUUGGGUGCAAGCUUGUUUGUGUUUGCGUAGGUACUUUGGACUUGACGAGGCCCUCCUUCUGGAUCGAUACUGUGGUUCUCAAACAGAGGGAAAUACUUACUGCUCCUGUGCUGCAUCACCCUUUCCUCUUCAAGGGAAAAACCGACGCAAAUCAGAGAAGUAACAAGAAGAAUUCCUACGCGCCAGGGAAGGACUUUUGUUGCCGUAGCACCAUACCGUUGAUUCUUACGGAGCUGUAAUAAAUUAGGUAGGCUCACCCCCACUCAUGGUUAAUGGAACUACCUUAACUCUGGAACAUGUGAUUGAAAAUAAAGUUGCUACAAUCGAACUCAUUGAGAAUUUGGAUCCAAGGUGGGAAUGGUUUUGAAAAAUUUAAAGGAAAAGGAACCCAUAGUUAACGAAAAACUAGGUUAUGAUUCCGCUAGGAUUGGCAAACUAGAGGAUGUUAUAACCAACUUGGGUUCCGCUUUUGCCGCUAUGUAGAAUACUCCAAAUUUUGCCCACAAUAAGGCCACCAAGUCUAUUUUUUUUCCUAAAAAUAGUGGUGAAUCAUCUAGUAAGAAAGAUGAAGACCUUAAGAUGAUGAUUGAUCACGCUACUUAUGGUUUGAGCACCAAAGAUGACGAUAGAUACGUGAUUCUAUCGUUUAUGCCUAGCUAAGGGCGUUAAACAAUAGCGCUUGUUGGGAGGCAACCCAAUGAAUUUAUCUUUUUCUUUCUGCUUUGUUGCGUCCACACCAUCAUAAUUCCGUUAUGAUUGUGUUUUUUGUGUUUCUUUUUGUGUUUGAGACAAGCAAAACCUUUAUGACUAGUCUUGGUGAUGGUUGUUUGAUCCUGCUGGAAAAAGACAGAAACUUUUUGCUCACAAGAUUAUUUUUAAUUUUUAUUCAGAAAGAGAUUUUGAGUUGAUUCUUUUUGCUGCUGCUUGAUAUGCCUUUUUCCCAGGCAGUCGUAAUUUUUUAGAAUUUGUGAGGUACCAGAAGUAUACGAAGUAUACAGAUUGCUACAGACUGGUCUGUUUUUGACAGAUUCUGUUUUUUGUUGAGUUGGUUGCUUGUUUUCAUGAAACUAUGGAUAGUAUCAGGGGGUACAAGCCAUGGAAUAGUGAGAAUACAGUAAUCUAACACCAAUAUAAAUAGAAAUCAAUAUUGCUACAGUACCUAAAGAGGUGGUAGUUUGUUUUCUUGUGCUAAUGAUAUCACGAGUUUCUAUUUAAGUUUUGUGUUGUGAAGUUUUCAAGUUUUGGGUGAUGUUCUCAUGGACAAAGGGAUAAAGAGUGGAAAGAGCUCAAGCUUGGGGAUGCCCAAGGCAUCCCAAGCCAAAUUCCAGGACACCAAAAAGCCUAAGAUUGGGGAUGCCCCGGGAAGGCAUCCGCUCUUUCGUCUUCAAUCCAUCGGUAACAUUACUUGGAGCUAUAUUUUUAUUCACCACAUGAUAUGUGUUUUGCUUGGAGCGCCUUGUAUCGUAGGAGUCUUUUCUUUUUGUUGUGUCACAAUCAUACUUGCUGCACACCUUUUGAGAGAGAUAUGCACUCAUCGUGAUUUUGCUAGAAUGCUCAUCGUGCUUCACUUAUAUCUUUUGAGCUAGAUAAUUUUGCUCUAUGUGCUUCACUUAGAUCUUUUAGAGCACGGCGGUGCGUGACUUGGUAGUUGGUAGUGCUAUGAAAGUAGUCCCAAAGGUGAUAGGUACCCAAAGAGGAUACAAAAACCUCCAUCUUCAUGUGCAUUGAGUAGAAAGAGAAGUUUUGAUUCCUCUCAAUUAGUUUUGAGACGUGGAUUUGGUAAUAUUAAGAGUUAUGUUAGUAGGGUGUUGUGAAUCUAGAAAUACUUGUGUUGAAGUUAGUGAUUCCCGUAACAUGCACGUAUGGUGAAUCGCUAUGUUAGGAAGUCGGAGCAUAAUUGAUCUAUUGAUUGUCAUCCUUUGUGUCGCGGUCGGGAUCGCGCGAUGGUUUACACCUACCAACCCUUCCCCUAGGAGUAUGCGUUUAGCACUUUGUUUCGAUUACCAAUAAAAAAAAUCGCAAUAAGUAUGUGAGUUCUUCAUGACUAAUGUGAGUCCAUGGUAUAGAUGCACUUUCACCUUCCACCUUUGCUAGCCUCUCUAGUGUCGCGCAACUUUCGCCGGUGCACAAACCCACCAUAUGCCUUCCUCAAAACAGCCACCAUACCUACCUACUAUGGCAUUUUCAUAGCCAUUCCGAGAUAUAUUGCCAUGCAACUCCCACCGUUCCAUCUCAUGACUUGUGCCGUCACUCUCAUAUUGCCAUUGCAUGAUCGUAAGAUAGCUAGCGAUAUGUUUCAAUGCCAUACGCCCAGCUAGAUCAUUGCACAUCCCGGUACACUGCCGGAGGCAUUUCCUAUAGAGUCAUCAUCGUUCUGAGCUUUGAGCUGUGAGUAAAUAAAAGUGUGAUGAUCAUCAUUAUUAUAGCAUUGUCCCAUGUGAGGAAAUAAAAAAAUGCCAGAGUUGCCAAAAGAAAUAGGCCAAAGUGCCCAAAUAAAAUAAAAAUAAAAGAGAGAGAGAAAAAGAGAGAAGGGACAAUGCUACUAUCUUGUUCCACACUUGUGCUUCAUAAUAGCACCAUGUUCUUCAUGAUUGAGAGCUUCUUGCUUUGUCACCACCAUAUACUAGUGGGAAUCUUUAUUAUAUAACUUGCCUUGUAUAUUCCAAUGACGGGCUUCCUCAAAAUUGCCCUAGGUCUUCGUGAGCAAGCAAGUUGGAUGCACACCCACUAGUUCUCCUUUUGAACUUUCACAUACUUUUAGCUCUAGUGCAUCCUUUGUAUGGCAAUCCCUACUCAUUCACAUUGAUAUCCAUUAAUGGGCAUCUCCAUAGCCCUUUGAUAUGCCGAGUCAAUGUGACCAUCUCCUCUUUUUUGUCUCACAACCACCACCACACUCUAUUCCACCUAUAGUGCUAUAUCCAUGGCUCACACUCAUGUAUUGCAUGAUAGUUGUAAAAGGUUUGAGAAAGUAAGAGUGCGAAAACAAUUACUUGGCCAAUACCGGGGUUGUGCAUGAUUUAAGUUAGUUGUCUGAGGAUGAUGGAGCAUAGCGAGACUAUAUGAUUUUGUAGGGAUAACUUUCUUUGGCCUUGUUAUUUCGAAAGUUCAUGAUUACCUUGCUAGUUUGCUUGAAGUAUUACUCUUUUCAUGUCAAUAGCAAACUAUUGUUUUGAAUCUUACGGAUCUGAACAUUCAUGCCACAUGAAACAAGUUACAAAGGACAACUAUGCUAGGUAGCAUUCUACAUAAAAAAUUCAGUCUUUAUCACUUCCCUACUCGAGGACGAGCAGGAGUUAAGCUUGGGGAUGCUUGAUACGUCUCCAACGUAUCUAUAAUUUUUGAUGGUUUCAUGCUAUUAUCUUGUCAAACUUUGGAUGUUUUGUAUGCCUUUUAUAUCUUUUUUGGGACUAACUUAUUAACUCAGUGCCAAGUGCUAGUCCUGUUUUUUCCGUGUUUUUGACCCUUUUCACAGGAGGAUUUUAAACGGAGUACAAACGGAAUAAAACUUUCGAAAAGAUUUUUUCCGGAACAGAAGAUACGCAGAAAGCUUGGGAACCAAGGCAAGGAGUCCCGGGGGAGCCAACAAGCCCUCAUGGCGUGGCCAGGGGGGCCGCGCCUCCCAGGCUUGUGGGCUCCUUGGGCCUCCCCUGCCCUAGCUCCUUCUCCUAUAAAUUCCCUAAAAUACCUAAAAAAUCAAGAGAUCCACGAAAACACUUUUCCGUCGCCGCAAGCUUCUGUCUCCGCAAGAUCCCAUCUGAGGCACGUUCUGGUGCCCUGCCGGAGGGAAGAUUCGGAUACGGAGGGCUUCUUCAUCAACACCAUGACCUCUCCGAUGAUGCGUGAGUAGUUCACCAUAGACCUACGGGUCCAUAGCUAGUAGCUAGAUGGCUUCUUCUCUCUCUUGGAUCUUCAAUACAAAGUUCUCCAUGAUCUUCAUGGAGAUCUAUCCGAUGUAAUCUUCUUUUGUGGUGUGUUUGUUGAGAUCCAAUGAAUUGUGGAUUUAUGAUCAGAUUAUCUAUGAAUCUUAUUUGAGUUUCUUCUGAUCUCUUAUAUGCAUGAUUUCAUAUCCUUGUAAUUCUCUUCGAGUUGUGGGUUUUGUUUGGCCAACUUGAUCUAUGAUUCUUGCAAUGGGAGAAGUGCUUGGUUUUGGGUUCAUACCGUGUGGUGACCUCACCCAGUGACAGAAGGGGUAGCGAGGCACGCAUCGUGUUGUUGCCAUCAAGGGUAAAAAGAUGGGGUUUUUAUCAUUGGUUUGAGUUUAUCCCUCUACAUCAUGUCAUCUUGCUUAAGGCGUUACUCUGUUCGUCAUGAACUCAAUACACUAGAUGCAUGCUGGAUAGCGGUCGAUGUGUGUUGGCGCUGUUGUUUGAGAAGUAGCAGCCUCCGCCCAAGAGGACCCCCGGAUGCUAAGUUCGGGGACAACCAAGCCCCUUCUGCUCAUGAGGGUGAGCAGGGAUAGGACAGGGAGGAGAGCAACUUCUCCCGAACAAGGAAGAGGGCGGCGUCUGAUGACACUAAAGGGAAUCCGCCUCAUCCUGCCCCAAAAAGCAAUGUAGGAUCAAGGUGGCCCUCUCCGAUGACAGACCGGACUCCUCUGACGAGUCUGAGGCUUUCGAAUUGGUUCCUCGAAGGAACCCCAGGGCCAAGCCCCGGCCCAAAGGUAUGAAUUCGAAGACUCUGUUGUACAUCCAUAUUGACACUAGUGGAUAAAUGUCUAGCCACAACUUACGUUGGUGGCAUGUCAUUUCUCACCAACGCAAGCACUAAUAUUUUCAAAUAGUGCUGGCGUGCCAAAUUAAUUUACGCCAGACAUAAUAUUUCCACUUAAACAAUUUUUACAUCAUUAUUUCUAUGAUUUCUAAUUUUGAGUAUUUAAUUAUGUUUAGUCUUUCAUUAAACUUGACCAGUCUUUUUAAUUUGGGUUAUUAUUAGCUAUGGCGUUGCAGUUUAGGACCACGCCAGCAACGACCCACCUGAGGCAACUGCCACGCCUUAGUAAAAGGCCUAGUCGGCCCCUUUCAUUUCAACUCCCCCUCGACCAGCCGCCACUCCUCGUCGCCCGUCGCAGCCUGAUGCCGCCCCGUCGCCGCCUGUCUCGCCCCUUCGCUGCCCAGCAAGGUUUAAUCCUUUCCGUCCUCUACAUCUCCUUCCUCGGCACUCACAUGCACCCCCUCUGUCAACGCAUAAUCCAUAUGUGGGAUUCAUCUAUAAGUUUAUUUAGGAUUGCUCUGUGUAGAAAUUUUAUUCAUAAUCCAAUGUAAAAUCCGAUCUAAUAGUGCAUUUUGAGUAGAAAUUUAAUUUGGUAGUGUAGUAUGGAAUCCGAUUAUAUUUCUGUAGAAAUGUUAGUCAUAAUCCAAUGUAAAAUCCAAUUUAAUAAUGCAUUUUGAGUAGAAAUUUAAUUUGCUUUGUGUAGCACUUUGAGUAGAAUUUGUUUAUCUGUGUCUCCUUCUGUGGAAUUUGUUUAUUUGUGUAUACAUGUUACUAGCAUAGAAUUACACAUGUUACUUGUGCCAAUUCACUAGUCUAGAAUCCGAUUAUAUACUCAGUUUUCAAUAUGUUUUGUGUAGAAUGGCGCAACCAACACCAUGUCGAGUGUGCAAGUCAAGGUGCGCAACUAGCCUUGAAACUGCCACAUUGUUCGGCAUUUACUUCCAGACGUAUUUUGUUCCUACAACGGUAACAAAUUAUAUGACCCUUCUAAUAGUUUGUUCUUUUGAUUUUGUUGCUAUUUCCACUAGUACAUUGUGUGUGUGCAUUUGGUUUUUCUUACAAAGAUCGUCCCUUGCAAUGUGAGAUUGGAUUUCGAUGAGCUCAUUACUUGGGACACUGUCAUCUUCGACUCUCCUGAGCCCCCCUACACUAUGGAGGUCAAUAAGGGAAGGAACAUAACCCAUAUUGGAGGAGAUGAAUGGGGUUGUUUCAUCGCGCGUAUGUAUCUCACUAGGGGUGAAUUGAUCAGCUUCUUGUUCAGACGAGAAACUUGAAGGCUCGCUGUUAUCUAUCUCAACUAUGAGGAAGAAGAUGAUGACCCACUUGAUGAAGCACUCUUUGCCCAAAGAAUGACCAGACCGAGUGAGGAUGAAAUGGACACGCUCUGGGGAAGGCUUCCGCCACGUGAUGCCUACGUCAAGAUGCCAUUCGUGACCCGCCUGACACGGACGAUGGUUAACCGCCAUGUCAUGGUAUGUUUCUUAUUAUGCAGUAGUGUGAUAUGCUUACAGUAUGUAUAGUAAUGUGAUCAUCAUAUUUUUUUCAAAAAUUACCUAAGAGGCUAUGUGAGAGUUGUGGCAUCGAGUUGGAUGAAGAAGGCAUUGUUGGACUACGUCUUACCACAAGGGGAUCUGUCGCCACCUAUGCUUACGCAGUGGAUAUGGAUGGACACACUAUCUUCAAUGUGGCUGGGUGGACCAACUUCCUCACUAGCAAGAAUUUCCGGGUUGGACAUGUCAUAUUAGUCACUAUCAGGAACACCCCACGCCAUGACUUGAGGAUGAUGAUCGUUUUUAACAUCCUUUAACUAUGUUAGUUUGCUCGUGUGGAAUGAACUCAUGUUUGUGAGGAUUGUCAUUAUAAUAGCGACUUAUUAGCUAUAGCUAGCACUGCUUGUGAGAUUGACACUUAUUAUUAACUCAAAUGCAAUGUUCUAUUGGGAUAAUUCCUUGUGUGCAAUGCUAAAUGCUAAAUGUCAUGUGAUGUCAGUUUUUUUCUGUUGCAUGAAAUGUUCCUAGCAUGCAACGUACAUUGCAUGCCGCUAGGUGAGCGAUUAUAGUGGUGGCUUGCCUACGUGGCACACCAUCAGCACAUAGAAUACCGCAGAUGUGGGACCCAAUGCCACCAUUUUUUAACUGUGGCUCCAUAUUGGUGGCGUCGGGUUUCCAUGCGAGCACAAACUUUUUUGCCACGUCAUAGCUAGGCUUUUCUACACUAGUGCGAGGUUCGUUACUGAUGAUAUGCAUGUCUUUCAAGUUGUAGCCCACCGCGUGACCUCCCCACCGAUCACGCAUCGGAGGGGGGUUCUAUGCCAGCCAAGCUAGUAGAGAGCACGACCACAUCGCACACUACCCCUCCUCCAAUUGUCAAGGAGACCGAGGAGGUGUUGUCUCGAUAGACCCCUCAUGGGCCGAACACGGGGGGGGGGGGGGGGGCGGGGGGGGGGGGGGGGUGACGUCAUGACCGAGGUUAAUACAUUGGUUGCCGAAUAAGAGGAGGGAGAAUCCCUUCUUUGGCAAACAAAGCGGGGGAGCCCUGUCAAUCCGAGCUCUCUUAGAAGACAGUCCCGAAGUCCCCGAGGCCCACAUAGUUGUCCAUUCUGGCAUCCACCAAGGGGGGGGGGGCGAGGAUCCUCCACAAGUGACACCCAUAGCAGAGCGGGCCGAAAACGGGUGGCCGACCAUGAUGGAGGAGGCUUUGAAUGGCCCCUCCAUCGCCGAAGAACACCAUGCUCUCCUGGGUGUGGUUUUACAAAGCAUUCGCUCUAUUGACAGCAUACUGAAGGAGGCUUUCGAUGACCUCUUCACGGGUUUCAAGGUAAAUCAUGUAAUACCCUUUUACAAAGAGAAUUUAUUUUAUAAGGUUAUGCGAUCCUCCUAUAGAGUAGCCCUUGAGCCGUGACUGAGUUUGAAAAACUCAACUCAGGGUCAAAUAGCUCAAAAACACUUAUAAUAGUAAAGGCGAAUUGUAGCCCCGAGUCUCUCACAUGAUUGAAGAAAACCUAGUAGGGGAUCCAAAAACCUAUAACUCGGGAGUCUGACAUGCAUGAGUUGUUGUGUAGGCCUCGUCUUCGGUAGUAGCCACCAAUAUCAUGAAGCUCAGAGAAGUGAAUCAGAAUCUCGAGAGCUCCAAUGAAGAGCUCGACCUUCUCAACAAGCGGUCUACCAACACGCAAGGUAAGUCCGGACUGCACUAUUUAAUACCGUUGUUUUCCUUAGCAAGUGAGGUAUUUGGGUUUUAUCCCUAAGUGCGGGGUGCUUAUUAUAACUGCAGUUGUCAUCAUGGAGGUCGAGAACCUCAAGGCCGAACUGAAGAAGGCGAGGUGAUGACCCACAAGUAUAGGAGAUCAAUAGUAGUCCUUUCGAUAAUUAGAGUGUCGAACCCAACGAGGAGCAGAAGGAAAUGAUAAGCAGUUUUCAGCAAGGUAUUCUCUACAUGUGCUAUAGGUAAGAGUGAUAUAUAGUUUUGUAGCAAGAUAAUUCCUAGCAAGUGACAAGUAACAAUAGUAGCAAGUGUGCAACAAGGCAGCCUAAUCCUUUUUAUAGCAAAGGAGAGGCCGUAAAGUACUCUUAUAUAAAGUAAGCGCUCCCGAGGACACAUGUGAAUUUCUGCCUAGUCAUGUUCAUCAUGUUGAGUUGAUUCACGUUUGCUACUUUGAUAAUUUGAUAAGUGGGUGGACCGGUGCUAAGGUGCUGUUCUUACUUGAACAACCAACCAACUUAUGAUUACCCUCUCUCGCAACCAGCCACAACUAUGAAAGAAGAAUUAAGAUAAAUCUAACCAUAGCAUUAAACGUGUGGAUCCAAAUCAGCCCCUUAUGAAACAACACAUAAAGUGUGGUUUAAGCUUCUGUCACUCUCGCAACCCAUAAUCUACUUGUUACUCCACAAUGACUUCCCUUAGGCCCAUAGCAUGGUGAAGUGUCAUGUAGUCGACGUUCACAUGACACCACUAAGAGAAGCACAAACAUACAUAUCAUCAAAAUAUCGAACGAAUACCUACUUCACAUGAUUACUUAUAACAAGAAUUCUCCCAUGUCCUCAGGAAUAAUAGUAACUACUCACACCUCAUCAACAUGUUCAAGAUUAGAGGUAUAAUAAUAAUGAUUAAGGAUCUGAAAAUAAUAUCUUCCACCAAGUGAUCCAACAAGCAUCAACUACAAGAUGUAAUCAACACAACUAGUAACCCAUAGGUAGCAAUCUGAGGUUUUGAGAUAAAGAUUGAAUACAAGAGAUAAAAUAGGGUUGGAGAUGAGAUGGUGUUGGUGAAGAUGUUGAUGAAGAUUUGUCCUCCCACAAAGGAGGAACCAUUGGUGAUGGCGAUGGCUUCGAUCUCCCCUCUCGGAGAGGAAUUCCCCUGACAGAACCUAACUGCCGGAGUGCAAAAGGGCCUUUGCCCAGGUUUCCGCCUUGAGACAGCGACGCUUUGUCCUGAAAGUUUUCUUCUGAUUUUUUCUAGGGUAAAACACACCAUAUAUAUAGGAAAGGGGGGGGGUCAGGAAACCUGUUGGGCACCCACAAGCCAUCACAACACAUUGUAUUGGCUUGUGGCCAGCGGGUGGCCCCGCUCUGGUAUAUUUUUGGCCCGAUAAUUCUCAAAUAUUCCGUAAAAAUUAUCCAUGAAGUUUCAGGUCAUUUGGGGUUUCGUGAUUUUCUAGCCUUUUUCAGGGUUUCCCGGUCAAGAAUUCCAGUUUCCAGAUAUUUCCCUCUUUAUGAUGUACCUUGCAUAUUCAAAGAGAAAUGACAUAGGAAUUGUAUUAAUAGGUAAUAAUGUACAAGAAUAACACAUAUAUCAAUAAGAAAUCAUGAUGCAAAAUGGAUGUAUCAACUCCCCAAGCUUAGACUUCGCUUGUCCUCAAGCGAAAGCCGAGCUCGAAAAUAAUGGCCACAUGAUUUGAGAGGGAGAACUCGAUGAAAACAAAAUACGGACAUGAGAGCAUCAUGAAUAUUACAAUAGUAGAAAUUAUUUUAUCAUAAAUCUCCUCAUAAACAAGUAAAAAUCCAUUCACAAUCAUUGAAGUAUGAAGCAUAAACCUUACUGAUAAUCAACAAACUAAGUUCUGAGUCAUUGGGACAAUCAUAAGUCAUCUUAUUUGAGAUGAGAUUCUAUGUAAGAGAUUUCUUAUUAGCAAGUUCACAUACUCAAGACAUAUUCUAUGAUUGCUCACGCUCAAGACAUAUUUUUGAAGCUCAUGUUUCCAUAGGACACAUAGGAAGAUAGGGGCUUAAAUGAUUUUCCACCCAACUCAUUUACCUCAAGGAUAAUGUCAACAAUAAUAAAUCAUGAUCAUCUAUAUCCACCUAGAUAUAUAAGUAUGAAUCUUUCUUCAACACAUGAUGCUUGCCACUAUAGAGUUAAUCUAUAGGAAGAUGACUAAACUUUAUUGACUCUACAAAAAGUAAAAGAUAGACCCUUCGUAGAGGGAAGCACAGGUUGUUAUGCGCUUUUUAAGCUUUGGAUAUGCAAACUCUUAUUGCAAUGGAACGUCACUUUAUAUUGCCCCUUAUGAUAGCAAACUUUAUUAUGCAUUAUGUCACUUUUGUUUCUUUGCCAUCAGAAGAUCGUACAAAGCUUAUUGUCCAAUGCAAUAAAAUAUCAUACAUAUCUAGAAACAAUUUUUAUUGCUUGAUGUACCGAUGACAACUUACUUGAUGGAUCUUAUUCAAUCCAUAGGUAGGUGUGGUGGACUCUCAUGGGAAGAAACUAGGUUUUAGGGGUCAUGGUUGCACAAGUAGUAUCUCUACUUAGUGUAGAAGAUUUUUUGGCUAGCAAAAUAUCUAAAGCAAGCACCACACGUUAAAGGAUCCAAGAUCAUAUAAAUUCUAUGUGAAUAUAAACUACCAUGAUCAUUAUGUUGCCUUCCAUGUACGACAUCAACACUUGAUCAUUAUAUAAUAUUUGGUGACGGCUCACAAUCAUAAAAGAUGUCCAAGAUAGUGUAUUUGUAUGUGAAUCUCCUCUCAUCUAUCAUAAUCUUGCUUAGAUUGUAUUAAUGACUAAUACUAUGUUUGUUUAUUCUCAACAACUUUUAUCACUUAUACCCUUUUCUAUGUGAAGUCAUUACUCCUCAUGAGAUAAGCAUAUGAUCUUUUCUAUUUCUUUUAUUGCCAUGCUAUGAUAAUGGGUGCAUUCAAGUAAAGCACACAAACUAUAUUAAUCUUUAUUAUAUAACUCUCACACUCGAUUACAAGGGUAGGUGGAUCUCAAAGCAAAAAUUCUAAGCAAAGCAGAUCUGAAAUUUUAUUUCUCUAAAUCAUGAAAUAGCUAAAGAUCAAACUAAGAUACAUAGCAAUGGUAAAAGUGACGGUGAUACGAUACCGAGGCACCUCCCCCGAAAUCGGAACAAGCCAAGGGUGGUGCCCAUUCCCAAGUACUCAGGCGUCCUUCUUUGGUGAUGGUGGUGAUGAUGCGACAUGCUUGUACUUUGCCUUCCAUGACAUAGGUUCCCCAUUGAAAAAGGAAGAGAUCAUCUCUGGAAUACUGAAAUCUACACCUACACUCAUCCUCUUGAAACAAGAUUCAUACUCAUGGUUUUGGUUUUGCAGAUCAUACAUUUGAGCCUGCAGGUCUUGGAGCGUGUCAUGGAGCUUGAAGAUCAUCUCCACAAUUUCAUUGUUUUCCUUAUUGUUCUUACGGAUAGAAUUCAUAAUCAUGGAGUGGUUGGCACUGCGUCAUGCUCCACAAUCCCUUGGCACUUGAAGAUCUCUUGCUCGACCACAACGAGCCUGGCCUUCACACUUCCCUCCUUGUCACCACCACCAAUCAAUCACACUCCACGACUAGCUGAAUCCUCAGGUGCCGUCCAUACCAACAACAAUCCAGGGGGAGUUUUGUUUGCAAUUAUUUUUUCGAUUUGAGCAUGGAACUGGGCAUUCCGAUUACUGGCCCCUUUCUCGUGAGUGAUAGUGAAUAAACAUGUAUCGAGGAUAACACGCCUAGCAUGGAAGAUACUGACCGCCCCUUGUCACCACAUGAGCGGUUCGGGCAUACAAAACAGAUUAUUACUUGAAGGUUUAGAGAGUGGCACAUGCAAAUUUACUUGGAACGACAGGUAGAUACCGCAUAUAGGUAGCUAUGGUGGACGCAUAUGGAAUAACUUUGGGUUUAUGGAAGUGGAUGCACAAGCAGUAUUCCCGCUUAGUACAAGUGAAGGCUAGCAAAAGACUGGGAAGCGACCAACUAGAGAGUGACAACAGUCAUUAAUAUGCAUUGAAAUUAACCAACAUUGGGUGCAAGCAUGAGUAGGAUAUAAAUCACCAUAAACAUGAAUAUCAAAGAGGUAUGUUGAUUUUGUUUCAACUACAUGCGUGAACAUGUGCCAAGUCAAGCCACUUGAAUCAUUCAAAGGAGGAUACCAUCCUAUCAUACUACAUCAUAAUCAUCUUGAAAUUCAUGUUGGCUUCCAAGACAAACCAUUAUAAGCUCCUAGCUAAUUAAGCAUGGUAUCACAAACUAUGAUCUCUAAGUCGUCAUUCAAACAUGUUUCUCUCAUAACAAUGCUGAAUUAGGAAUGAUGAGCUAGGCAUAUUUACAAAAACAAAAUAGGUCGAGUUCAUACCAUCUUUUCAAAGCUCAGUCACUUCAUCAUAUAUCGUCAUUAUUGCCUUUCACUUGCACGACCGAAUGACGUGAAUAAUAAUGAGAGUGUUCAUGCAUUGGACUAAGCUGGAAUCUGCAAGCAAACUCAGAGGAGAAGACAAAGUAAUAUGGCUCUUUAAAGGAUAAACAAUCAUGCAUGUGAGAGCCACUAAACAUUUUAAUCAUGGUCUUCUACCUUGACCCAAAGAAAAAGAAAACUAUUUACACGGGAAAGCUCCCAACAAGCAAAAGAAGAACGAGAAACCUUUUUGGGUUUUCCUUUUUAAUUACCACUAAGAAAGCUGGAAAGUAAACUCACAACUAUUUUUUUUGUUUUUCUAAAUUUAGACAAACACACGAGAAGAAAGCGAGAAAAAGAAAUAAACUAGCAUGGAUGAUACAAUGGCAAAGUAUGAACACCGACUAUCAAACCGAAUGUGUGAGCAUGAAUAUAAAGUCGGUGAGAAACACGUACCCCCCAAGCUUAGGAUUUUGGCCUAAGUUGGUCUACUCCCAAGGAGGGAAGUAAGCGUCUCCGGGGUACUCCGGAGUGUACUGAGGGUGCCACUGCUGGGUGAGCUUCUUUGGCUCCCACUAAUAAACUGGCAUCUGGUACUCGACUGGUAUCUCGGGCAUGGGUGCCUGUGGUGGCGUUAUGCCCCAAUAUUCAUAGAUGUCCGAGAGCAUAAUAAUGUACCUGCCUCGAUGAAGAUUGAACAAAGAAGGAGCAGGCAAAGUAAUAGUCUCACGAUUACCCUGGCUAAAUACCAAGUUAUAAAUCAUCCUCUUAUUAUUAUCAUUAUCAAGAAAGUCAUGGCGAACCAUGCUAUUAUAAUCUAAAUAUCUCUCAGGAAGAAGCAUCUCUUCUUCCUCGUACAGUCUAAUAGGUAUCUGAAAAUGUUUAGCAAGGCGGGUAGCAUAGAUACCUCCAUAAUCAGCGCCUUUAGUACGGUUCGUGUUCAACCGUUGAGCCACUAUAGCGCCCAAGCUAUAAGUUUUAUCUUUAUAAAGAGCUUCGCGCAAAACCGCAAGAUCUGGGGAGCUAAGAGCCCUAGCUUUCCCAUGGCCAAUCAAACAUUUUCCCACAAAUAAUGGGAGAUACCGAAGCACGGGAAAAUGUACACUAGCAACUCUAGCGCAAGACACUCCUCUCUCCUCUCCUACAUCAAUAGUAUCAAUGAAAGCCUCCAAGUCCCGUGGGCGAGGUUCAUGAAUAUCCCCAACAUAAGGUAAAUUGCAAACAUUGCAGAAAUAUUGAAGUGACAUGCGCUGGGGGAUAUCAUAUAACUUGAACUCAACCAUAGGAGGACUCUUCCUUGGAUAGAAAUUAAAGCUUUGCACAAAAAUAUUAGUGAGGAGGAGGUAUUGUGGACUCUUAUCUUCGACAAAGGCGGUAAGGCUUGCGUUCUCCACCAAGUAAUAAAAAUCCUCAUAAAGAUCGGCAGCGUGUAAGAACACAUCACUUGGCCACUCGCACGCUCGAACUUCUGCAACUCGGGGGACCGGAUACUUGGGUUUCUUCUUCUCAUUUUGAUCUUCCUUGGGGUCAUGGCUCGAAGAGCCUCUUAGGAACCUCCUCAUCUUUUCCUUUUUCUUUCUCUGAAAUUUUCUGAAAUUUUUAGUGACUCAAAAGUAAAGUGAACAAGGCUCAACAAAACUCAUAACAACUACUCCUACAAGUGCCUAGAGGCCAUAUCAUGCAUCAAAACUACUUGGGACCAACUAAAAUUAACAUGCAAAGUUCAAGAACAGGGUCACCAAGACAGCAAAAAUACGCAAUGAAUAAAGCACUAGAGUAAAAACUAAUUGGACCAAUGGAGGAGUCACAUACCAAGGAAUAAUUCCCUAAAACAGUUUGGUGAAUGGGGCUUUGCACAAGGAGAUUGAAAAACAUAGCAAGAAGAGCAAGAACACAAAUUUGAGCUGUGGAAUGAUUUUUUCUGGAGGUAGAAGAAGGAGAUGGGAGCUGGAAUAAGUGGAGGGGGCCAUGUGGGGCCCACAAGCUUGCCAGGCAUGGCCAGGGGGGUGGCCGUGCCUCCUGGGCUUGUGGCCUAGUGGUGCAUCCCCGUGACUAGCUUCCUAUCUCAGAAAUUUUCAAAUAUUCCAGAAAAAAUCAUACUUGAAUUUCAGGGCAUUUGGAGAACUUUUAUUUUCUGGUCACUUUUCUAAGGGACGGAAAAAGCAGAAAACAGGAAAAAUAAAGCUAAAUUUAUCAUUUUUCUUCUAAGCAACAUAAAGUAAAAGUUGGGAGCAGAGGGUUGUGACUCCUAGAUUCAUCCAUCUCAUGGUCAUCAAAAGAAAUCCGUCAAUGAGGUUGAUCAAGUCUCCCUGACAAACUUAUUUCGAAUCACAUAAAACCGGAGAAUUUUAGAAUAAUCACUAGGUUACCUCAACGGGGAUGUGCAUAUCCCCAACAAGUAAAUCAUACUUCAUCUUGGCAGUAGAUAUAGGGCAUUCAAAGCUUCCAAUAAGAAUUGAUGAAGAUUUCUCAAUAGCAUUGAUGCAAUGAACUCGAUAUUGUUUCUUCGGAAAGUGCACCGUAUGCUCAUUACCAUUAACAUGGAAAGUGACAUUGCCUUUGUGCAAUCAAUAGCAGCACCUGCAGUGUUUAAAAAGGGUCUUCCAAGGAUAACCGCCAUGGCACCAUCCUCGGGAAUAUCCAGAAUAACAAAGUCCGUUAAGAUACUAACGUUAGCAACCACAACAGGCACAUCCUCGCAAAUGCCGAUAGGAAAAGCAGUUGGUUUGUCGGCCAUUUGCAAAGACAUUUCAGUAGGUGUCAACUUAUCCAAUUCAAGUCUAUGAUAUAAAUAGAGAGGCAUAACACUAACACCGGCUCCAAGAUCAUAUAAAGCAGUUCUAACAUAAUUUCCUUUAAUGGAGCAAGGUAUAGUGGGCACUCCGGGAUCACCUAGUUUCUUAGGAGUCCCACCCUUGAAGGUGUAAUUAGCAAGCAUGGUGGAAAUCUCAACCUCAGGUAUCUUCCUUUUGUUAGUCACAAUAUCUUUCAUGUACUUAGCAUAAGGAGACAUUUUGAGCAUAUCUGUCAAACGCAUUUGCAAAAAGAUAGGUCUAAUCAUUUCAACAAAGCGCUCAAAAUCCUCGUCAUCCUUUUUCUUGGAUGGUUUGGGAGGAAAGGGCAUGUGUUUCUGAACCCAUGGUUCUCUUUCUUUACCAUGCUUCCUAGCAAUAAAGUCAUCCUUAUCAUAUCUCCUGUUCUUAGGUUGUGGGUUAUCAAGAUCAACAGCAUGUUCAAUCUCCACAUCCUUAUCAUUACUAGGUUGAGCAUCAACAUGAACACCACUAUCAAUAUUAUCAUUAGGCUCAUGUUCAUCACCAGAUUGUGUUUCGGCAUUAGAAACAGAGACAUCAUUUGGAUUCUCGGGUGUAACAGCAAUAGGUUUUCUAGCAUGCAAGUUCCUAUCAUCUUUCUUUUUCUUCUUAAUACCAGUAUGACUAGGUGCAUCAGUGUUAACUCCUUGAGAAUCUUGCUCAAUUCUCUUAGGAUGGCCCUCGGGAUACAAAGGUUCCCGAGUCAUUCUACCACCUUUAGUGACAACUCUAAGAGAAUUGUCAUUCAACUCAUUAAGCAAGUCAUUUUGAGCCUUAAGUACUUGUUCUAGUUGAGUAGUGACCAUAGAGGCAUGUUUACUCAAAAGCUUAAGAUCAUUGACAUUUCUAUCCACACAAGCACUUAUAUGAUUAAUCAUACGAGCAUUUUGUUCCAAUUGUCUGCUAACAUAAUCAUUAAAACUUUGUUGUUUGGCAACAAAGUUAUCAAAUUCAUCUAAGCAUAAGCUAGCAGGUUUAUCAUAUGGAAUAUCACUCUCAUUGAAUCUACGAAGAGAAUUUACCUCUACUACCUGUGUCGGGUUAUCAAGACCAUGUAUUUCUUCAAUAGGUGGUAGAUUCUUAACAUCUUCAGAUUUAAUACCUUUCUCUUGCAUAGAUUUCUUGGCUUCUUGCAUAUCUUCAGGACUGAGGAAUAGAAUACCUCUUUUCUUCGGAGUUGGCUUCGGAGGUGGUUCAGGAAUAGUCCAAGCAUUAUCAUUGAUCAAGAUAUUAUUCAAUAGAAUUUCAGCUUGUUCCAUAGUUCGUUCCCAAAAACACAACCAGCACAACUAUCUAGGUGGUCCCUAGAAGCAUCGGUUAGUCCAUUAGAAAAGAUAUCAAGCAUUUCAUUCUUCUCAAGAGGAUGAUCAGGCAAAGCAUUAAGUAACUGGACAAGCCUCCCCCAAGCUUGUGGGAGACUCUCUUCUUCAACUUGCACAAAGUUAUAUAUAUAUCCUGCAAGGCAGCUUGUUUCUUAUGGGCAGGAAAAUAUUUCUUAGAGAAGUAGUAGAUCAUAUCCUGGGGACUACGCACACAACCAGGAGCAAGAGAAGUAAACCAAGUCUUAGCAUCACCCUUUAGUGAGAAAGGAAACAACUUAAGGAUAUAGUAAUGGCGAAUUGUUUCCUCAUUCAUGAAUAGGGUGGCUAUAUCAUUCAGUUUAGUAAGGUGUGCUACAACUGUUUCAGAUUCAUAACCAUGAAAAGGAUCAGAUUCAUAACCAUGAAAAUGAUCAGAUUCAACCAAAGUGAUCAACUCAGGAUCGACACAGAAUUCAUAAUCCUUAUCAGUAACAAAGAUGGGCGAAGUACCAAACUUAGGAUCAUAUUUCAUUCUAGCAUUCAGAGAUUUUUCUUUCCACUUGCGCAAUAAAUUCUCAAGAUCAUAGCUAUCCUUACAAGCAAGAAAGCCUUCAGCUACCUCUCCCUCCAUAACAUAACCCUUAGGUAUAUCAGGCAAUUCAUAUCUAGGAGAGCUAGGUCUAACAGGUGAAACAUGAGGUUCCACUUCAAUAAUUUCAUCAGUUUCAGAAGUAUCAUCACAUUCAGCAGUAACUCUAGCAAUUUGUGCAUCAAGAAAUGCACCCAGUGGAAAAUCAUUAUCAAGCAAAGCAUCAUCAUAAGCAUCAUGGAUAGCAGAAGCAGCAUCAUCAAGCACAGGCGACAUAUCAGAAUUACCAAUAGGUGGUGGUGUCGCAAAUUUACUCAUAACUGAAGGUGAAUCAAGUGCAGAGCUAGAUGGCAGUUCCUUACCUGUCCUCGUAGUUGAGGGCAAGACUUUAUUUUUUGGAUCUCUCGGAUUCCUCAUAGUGAUCAACAGACAUAAAUCCCAAGUGACUCAGAGAAUAGAGCUAUGCUUCCCCGGCAACGGUGCCCGAAAAAGGUCUUGAUAACCCACAAGUAUAGGGGAUCGCAACAGUUUUCGAGGGUAGAGUAUUCAACCCAAAUUUAUUGAUUAGACACAAGGGGAAGCCAAAGAAUAUUCUCGAGUAGUAGCAGUUGAGUUGUCAAUUCAACCACACCUGAAAGACUUAGUAUCUGCAGCAAAGUGUCAGUAGCAAAGUAGUGUGAUAGUAACGGUAGCAGCGGUAACAACAGCAGUAGUGGCAGCAGUAGCGUAAAGUAACAUAGCAAGGACCAGUAGGAAAAGACUCGUAGGCAUUGGAUCGGUGAUGGAUAAUUAUGUCGGAUGACAUUCAUCAUGUAACAGUUAUAACAUAGGGUGAUAUGUAACUAGCUCCAGUUCAUCAAUGUAAUGUAGGCUUGUAUUCCGUAUUUAGUCAUACAUGCUUAUGGAAAAGAACUUGCAUGACAUCUAUUGUCCAUCCCUCCCAUGGAAGCAGGGUCCUAAUGGAAACUAAGGGAUAUUAAGGUCUCCUUUUAAUAGAGAACCGGAACAAAGCAUUAGCACAUAGUGAAUACAUGAACUCCUCAUACUAUGGUCAUCUCCGGGAGUGGUUCCGGCUAUUGUCACUCUGGGGUUGCCGGGUCAUAACACAUAGUAGGUGACUACAGCUUACAAGAUAGGAUCAAGAACACACAUAUAUUGAUGAAAACAUAAUAGGUUCAGAUCUGAAAUCAUGGCACUCGGGCCCUAGUGACAAGCAUUAAGCAUAGCAAAGUAGUAGCAACAUCAAUCUUAGAACAUAGUGGAUACUAGGGAUCAAACCCCAUCAAAACUAACUCGAUUACAUGAUAGAUCUCAUCCAACCCAUCACCGUCCAGCAAGCCUGUGAUGAGAUUACUCAUGAACGACGGAAUUGGCGAUGAAGGAUGGUUGGUGAUGACAACGACAUCGAUUUCCCCUCUCCGGAGCCCAGAACGGACUCCAGAUCUGCCCUCCAAAGGAAGAACAGGUGGUGGCGGCGGCUCCAUGUCGUGAAACGCGAUGAACUCUUCUCUCCUAAUUUUUUCUGGGCAAGAGAGAAUAUAUAGAGCUGGAGUUGAGCCACGAGGGCCUCACAAGCCUGCCAGACGCGACCUAGGGGGGGGGCGCCUCAUGGGCUUGUGGGCUCCUGGCUCCGUGUCUCCAGGUAAUUCUUGCGCCAGUAUUUUUUAUAUAUUCCACAAAAAAUCCUCAUAAAUUUCCAGGUCAUUCCGAGAACUUUUAUUUCUACGCAAAAACAACACCAUGGCAAUUCUGCUAAAAACAAUGUCAGUCCAGGUUAGUUCCAUUCAAAUCAUGCAAAUUACAGUCCAAAACAAGGGCAAAAUAGUUUGGAAAAGUAGAUACGUUGGAGACGUAUCAAGACUCCCGAACAACUUACGACCAAUUGAUCUCAAAUGGUCAUAGAUUUACGACCAUUUCUGCUAGUGUCAUUGCCAGAAGGUCGCUAGUUGACAUAUUUCUUGUAGUGAGGGAGCCCCGAAACACUUUUUACUCUGUCGCAAGUCUAUGUUCUGACGGGGGGGGGGCAUAUGGAGAUCCGUUGCGGCACCCUGACGAAGGGGGAUCGAUCAUGGAGGACCUUUUCACCAACCUUGUUGCCCUCAUGAUGAUGUGUGAGUAAUUUACUUCAGACCUACGUUUCCAUGGCAGAACCUAGAUGGCAAUCUCUCUCUCUGGAUCUUCAAUACAAUAAUCAUAUCAUCUUUGCUUUGAUCCGUAUGAUGUAAUUACUUUUUUGUGGUGCGUUUGUUGGGGUCCGAUGAAUUGGGGGUUUAUGUUCAGAUUAUUCAUGAUAAAUAUUUUAGUCUCCUAUGAUUACUUAUGUGCAUGGUUAUGAUAUCUUCAUAAUUCUCUGUGACCUAUUGAAAUUGUUUGGCCAACUAGAUUGAUAUUUCUUCGGUGGGAGAGGUGUGUUGUAGUAGGUUCAACCUGACAAAUUUCUAUAUCCCAGUGACAGAAGGGGACAAGGUGCGUCUUUGUGUUGCUUCUACUAAAUAUAAAACGGUGGGGUUUAUUCAUAUUGCUUGAGUUUACUUUGUCUACAUCCUGUCAUCUUACUCCAUGCAUUACUGUGUUCGUCGUGAACUUAAUACGUAGAGAUGCAAGCAUAGAAGUGCUCUUGAUGUGAAGUAAUAGUAAUAAGUGCAGGCAGGAGUCAUCCUAUUUGUUUAUGGACUUGAUGCCUAUAUACACAUGAUCAUUGUCAUGAAUAUCGCAUAACAAUCUACUUUUCUAUGAAUUUCCCAACAGUAAUUUGUUUAUCGACCAAAUGCUUAUUUUCAUUAGAGAUGCCACUAGGGAUAGGCAUGGCCCCGAGUCUAUUCACAACAUAUUGACAAAACCUUCAUUACCUUGCUGCCAUUUACUUGUUUUUAUUUUAUUUUACUAUCUACAAUUAUCUACACACCUUACUUGCUUGCAAAUAAUGGGACCAAGGGGACUGACAACCCUCUUGCCCGCGUUGGGUGCAAGUUGUUUGUUCUUUUGUGUGCAACCGCUGAAGAUGGUUGUAGUUGAUAUUCCUAUUGGUUCGAUAAACCCUUGUUUCAUAACCAAGGGAAAUACUUACCUACAUUGUGCUGCGAUAACAUGUUCCUCUUCAUGGAAAAACCCAACGCAUAUCAUAGUAUCAUUCACCUCAAUGCCUUCUUCACGAAUGUUAUGCCCAAGUACUAUACCUUCAUUCACCAUAAAGUGGCACUCCUCCUAAUUCAAGACAAUAUUAGUUUCUUCACAUCUCUACGAAACUCGAUCGAGGUUGCUCAAGCAAUCAUCAAAAGAAGUCAUGUAAACGAAAAAAUCAUCUAUGAAAACCUCAACAAUCUUUUCACAAAAGUCAGAGAAUAUAAUAGUCAUACAUCUUUGAAAGGUAAUAGGUGCAUUGCAUAGACCAAAAGGCAUAAGCCUAUAAGCAUAAUUUCCAAAAGGGAAAGUAAAGGUAGUUUUCUCUUGGUCCUCUUUUGACAUAGCUAUUUGAAAAAAACGAGAAUAUCCAUCAAGAAAACAAAAGUGUGUGUGUUUGGACAGCCUCUCUAACAUUUGGUCAAUAGAAGGCAACGAGUAAUGGUCUUUUCUAGUUGAUUUACUUAAUUUCCUAAAAUCAAUCACCAUCCUAUAACCAGUUACGAUUAUUUGUGGAAUAAGCUCAUUUUUAUCAUUAGGAACAAUAGUUAUACCUGCCUUUUUAGGAACACAAUGAACAUGGCUUACCCAUCUACUAUCAGCAAUAGGAUAAAUUAUACCUGCCUCUAGAAGUUUUAGUAUCUGAGUUCUUACCACUUCCUUCAUCUUAGGACAGAGACGACAUUGAUGAUCAACGAGAGGUUUAGCAUCCUAUAUCCAAUGGCAUCCCUAUGCUUAUUUAGAAUUUUAAGUAAUCUCUUUUCUUCAUGUCCUUUAAGGUUAUGACUGAUAAUAACAUGACAUAUCUUCUUUUCAUUCAGAUAGGCAUAGUUCAAAGUAUCAAACAAUGUCUUUAGCUCAAACACGGGAUCUCCUUUGGGUGGAGGAGGAUCCCCUAAGAUAUCAACUCGUAGGUUGUGUUUAAGAUGGGUGUUUGUCUAAGAAAUAUAUCAUCUAUCUCAUUUCUUUCGUUCAUAUUCAUAUCAUUUUCUUGGUCUAGAAAAUAUUUUUCUAACGGAUCAAUACGAGGUACGACAAUAUAAGUAAUUAAGACUAAUUAUUUAAUUGUUAUUACACAAUUCUUUUUCGUGUGGUUGUCUCCUAAGCUUGGAGAAAUUAAAUUCAUGAGACAUAUCACCAGAGCUUACUAUGACCUUCUAAGUAGCACAACUAACCUGAGCAUUAACAGUAUUCAAGAAAGGUCUACCAAAUAUAAUGGGACAACAGUUAUCUUGUUCUGAACCAAGCACUAGGAAAUCAGUGGGAUACUUGACUUUUCCACACAAGACUUAAACAUCUCUAACAAUCCCAAGCGGUGAAAUAGUAUCACGGUUUGCAAGUUUAAUGGUGACAUCAAUAUCUUCAAUCUUAGAGGGUUCUAUAUCAUGCGUAAUUUCUUGAUAUAAUGUAAAAGGUAUAGCACUAACACUAGCACCAAUAUCACAAUAGCCAUGGUAGCAAUGAUCUCCAAUUUUAACUGAAAUGACACGUAUGCCUACAACUGGUUUAUUUUUAUCGAGCUCAUUUCGCUUGUUUCUAACAUGUUUUAGAAUUCUUGGAGCUUCUUCACAGAAGUAAAUAACCUGCCCAUCAAUAUAUCAACUAGGAGAUAUCUAAUCAUAGCAACAUUAGGCUCAACAUUUAUUUCUUCAUAAGGUUUCGGUGUCCUAACAUGUCUUCUAUUAACCAUAGUGGUAGCCUUAGCAUGCUCCAUCCUAACGGGAAAAUGAGGUUUCUCAAUGUAAGCAGUAGGAACAAUCGGAUCAACAUGGCUAAUAAUUCUUUCUUCCUUCCUAAUUUUAACAAGUUCCUGAGAUGAUUUUUCAAUGGGAGGAUGAUAUUUAAACCACUUCUCCCUGGCGUCGGUGUCAAAACCGGCGGAUCUGAGGUAUGGGGUCCCGAGUUGUGGACCUUGGAUCAAUGGGUUACAACGAAUGAAGGAGACUCUAUUUACCCAGGUUCGGGCCCUCUUGAGGAUGUAAAACCUUAUGUCCUGCUUGAUUAUAUUUAUGUGUAUGAGGAUUAUAGAGUUGAUCUACCUCGAGAUCAUAUGAGCUAAAACCCUAGAUGAGUCAACCUACCUAUGCGAACGAAACUCUCUGGUUUCUAUAGACACCAGGGGUUCCUAGGGUUACAUACAACCAACCUCUAGUCGGGGAUAGAUGCGCCGAUAUAACCUACUCAACUUGGAUGACACGCUAGUCUCCGGUGCUUUCCCUCUUGAACACGAGGUCGUCACGCAGUCCGAUCUUCAAUAAUACGACCCAUUAGGCCACCCUCUAAGAGAUGGGCCGACCGUCCGAGGACCCCUUAGUCCCGGACUCCCUCAGUAGCCCCCGAACUGGCCUCCAACACUGAUGUAUAUUGUCUUCGGCAACUCCUCGUAUCCAGAGUAAUCGGCUUGCAAGGCGAGUUCCCUUCAUGUUCGGCUGGCGUAAACUUGGUCGUUUGGUGAUGUCGUGCCUUUAAAACACGCACUGCAUAAUAAAAAGGCUUCAAAACCCCGGUGUGAAGAGGUCCUCAUUUGAUAGCCUUUUUGACGAAAGGUCGCGAUAACCAGUUAUGACAAAAACUCGAUUCACGGUUCGAGGCUACUUUCUCAUGGGCACGUCUUGUCAAUGAGGAGAUCGUGCUCCGCAUUUAAGGGGAUAUGAGUAAUGGUGUGGGUAAUCCUACGUGCAUUCAUCGGCCGAGUCGUUUCGGGAAGUGGCAGGGCCCGCGGCGCCAUAAACGGGAUCCUUGGCCUUGCACCCCCCAUAAAAGGGAAAAAAGAUCCUCAAAGCCACCACAUGCAUUCCAGAUCCGACCGCCCUUUCAUUCAAGCUCCAAGCGCCCAGAUCCAUUUCACUUUACGUCCUCUCCAAUCCGCCCUUCCCCAAGCUCAGCCAUCGCUGGCUCAGGCUCCCAAGGCAAGUGGGAGGUCUCAUGCGUCUCCGACCAGGAUAUCCGGGAGCUGAAGGAUGCCGACUAUCUCUCGCCGGACAUUGCCCAUCGUGCGCUAGAAGAAGGCCAGGUGGUGCCUACAACAAAGCCAGGAGAAAUGGUGGUGUUCGUCCCCCACUUCAUCCGAGGACUAGGCUUCCCACUCCACCCCUUCGUCACGGGCCUGAUGUUCUACUAUAGGUUAGAUUUUCACGAUCUUCCCCCGAACUCAUUUAUGCACAUCUCCGCUUUCAUCACCCUUUGUGAGGCCUUCCUGUGGGUUCAACUGCACCUCGGGCUAUGGCUCAAGACAUUCAACUUCAAGCCGAAGUCAGUCACUGGCCAACAUGCCGACUGUGGUGGAGCGCAAACUCCCCAGGGUCGAAUGGUCAGAGGGCACUUUUAUUGACACCAUCAAAGCCUCGCAAAGGGAGUGGUUUUACAUCACCGAACCCUGGGAAGCAAACUGAUCGACGCCUGCCGAGUUCAGAUCCGGACCCCUCGAGAGGCUAACCUCGUGGGUUAGAAAAGGUCUUGACUAGGGAUCAGCCUCGGAGGUGAAAGCGCUGCAGAAGCGCAUCACACAGAUGGUGGAGGCGAAUAUCAAGUUGACCAACGUGGUUGAGGUCAUGCUCCGCUCCUGUGUCCUUCCCUGCCAGCGUAGGGACACUCCAAUGUGGUCCUACAGGCUUGGUGACCCCAGCACCAUGAGCCAGUUCUAUCAAACUACCCACAAGAAAUUGUGGAGGGUGUUGUUCAAAUCUCCAUAGGAAUGGCCGAGCUAGGAAAAAGACGUCGGCUUGGAUGCCUAUCACCCUCCCUUAGCAUUAUGACCAAGAUUUUAUUCCUAUUUAAAGCUUUAAUAUUUAGCAAGGAUCUUAUCAUAUCCCCCACCGUCCUUGCAGGGCUGGCUAAAAAAGGCCGAGAAAAUAAAAUGGCUCAACCUCCUCGCCUGAUGAUCCCACGUCGCCAUUGUUGAUUGCGAUGCUGGUGGUGGCGCUAUACACGGCGCGAGAGGAAAAUGAGAAGAAUAAAAGAGAGACCUGCGGGGGUCUACGCUCGAGGGGUCCUCUGGAUACUAAGUCCGGAGACACCCACGCUUCCUUCACUUAUGAUGAAGAGGAUGCAGAGGACAAAGAGGAGAAAGAUUCGCUACAAGAAAGAGGGUGGCACCAGAGGAGGCCAAGGAGGGCAUGCCUCCUCAGGUCCCGAAGAAAACCUGCAAGAGCAAAGUCACCCUGCCCGACGACAGCCUGGAUUCCGAUGUGGACUCCGAGCCCUUUGAGAGGGUUCCACGAAGGACCCCCAGGAUCAAGCCCCCGACCCAAAGGUAUGUAAUCCGAAUUUCAUUUAAUGGAAUUAUACUGAGUUUUGUUAAUAAACAUACACUCUCAUUUCCUUGAAGCAACCCUGCCGGAAACCUCCCGACGGACCAGGUCUCAAAGGGGGAAUCACCAUCGGUCGAGCUAGAGGAGAGCGGGAAUGCAUCGUGUACUACUCUCCAUCAGGCAUCAGACAAGGCUGCGGAGGUGAUAUCCCACCAGGCUCCUCCAAACACGAGGGUCGAGGUGGUGAUGGAUGAGGUUCAUACGUCGGCCAUUGAAGACUGAGAGGUACCGAUCGAGGUUCAUUCCUCGGCCACCGAAACCCAGGAGGUCGAUCCCCUCCCGACGAGUGGAGAGGGGGCCGUGAUUCGUCUGAGCUUACCCUGGAGAUAGUUCCAAGGAGCUCCGAUCCUCUGGCGUCUUCAACGUUGUCUUCAGUGCCGCCUGUGAUAGAACAGGCUGCGGCCGGAGUGGCCUCCAAUGAUGGAGGAGGCUCUAUCCAAUUCAUCCAUCGCUAAUGAACAUCACACCCUUAUGGGUGUGAUUCUACAAAGCAUCCAGUCCAUUGAUAGCGGACUGAAGGGAGCCUUCAGUGGUUUGCUGGUAGGCUUCAAGGUAAACCGAUUAGUGUUAGAUUUAUUUAUAAGGUUUUCACAUGCCUUAUAGGUAUGAUAGCCCCCGAGCCAUGGGUGAGUUGAAAAACUUACCCGUGGAUCAAAACAACUUAUGGUCAUGAAUAAAAACAGUUCGGGGAACCUUGAACUAUAACUUCUCACGGGUGUACUUCGACCAAGUGACCCAGUCUUGUUAGCUCGAAUGCUUAUCUAUCGCUAACUUGUCUCGCAGGCCUCAUCCUCGGUUGUGGCCUCCAACACCCUUGAACUUGCCGAGCUGAACUAGAAACUCAAGGUUUCCGAUGAGGAACUCAGCCUUCUUAAUAGUCGGCUCGACGAGAAACAAGGUAAGCUUAAUGCGUGCCGCUAAGACUCUUGUUGUACUUAAUAGUUUAGUAAAGUGUGGAUUUGAUAUAUGACAUCUUGAUUUUGAUUAUGUGAGCAGCUAUGGAUGUGGAGUUUGAGAAACUCAAGGCUGAAUUGGAGAAAGCCAAGCAGGAGGCCACCGCUCAUAAGAUGAUGGCCGAGCAGACCGUCGCCGAGUUAAGCUCGCUGAAGGUUGAGAGCGGCGGGCACAAGGCUAGAGUGGCCGAGGUCCAGCACGAGCUUCAAGAUGCGAGAUCUAAGAGCAAGGCCUUGGAACAAAAAUCCAAAGAACAAGCGGCCGAGCUAUUCAAGCUGUACUGCGAGCUCAAAUCGGAGCGAGUAGAGAAGCGAUUCUUCGAAGAAGAAGUGCGCCAAGCCAAGAAAAUUGCGGACGGUAAGCCAUACUUACUGCAAUGUGCCUUUGGUGGAAACAUGUUUGCCUUUCUUACACGGCUAUGGCGUUCCCCAGGCACCUUUACGAACCUCCCCCGGCAUGUAGUAGACGCGGUGAAGCACUACGUGGCCCAAGACGGGGAUGCCGAGCAGAGUCUUUUCUGGGCACAGUUUCAGACUCCCGAGCCCAACCCCCUUCUCGUCUAUCAGAUGAAACAACUCAUGGAGUUGCACAGGAUGGCGGAGCCAGGACCUCUACAUCCGGUUGUGGCCUGCCGAGCCUCUUCCGAGUAGUUACUUCGGCUUAGUGCGGAAGUUGUACGAUGUCGUGCCUCAACUCGAGGUCCUGAAAUGCUCUGUUUGCAUAGAGGCAGCUCGGAUGGUUUUUGCGAGGACCAUGAUACACUACCCGCGGGUGAAGCCCCUUACGAUGGCAACCGCACCUCCACCUCCUGGAAAGGAGCACACACGUCCACAACUUUAUUUCUCUGCCGCUAUGGAGGGUGCUCGGGCCAUAGAAGCCCAGUGUUCCAAAGAUGUAAUGUAUGAGUGAGGAUAUUAUCUUGUGCCUUGAAAUUUUUUAUUAUUGUGAAGUUUGUCCCAGUGUAAUGCACUUUGUAUUAUUUUUACUCCUGUUCGGCCGUUUAAUCUGAAAGGUUCGAGUCAUCUGCUUCAGCCCCCAUGUAGAGCCUACAAGGGGUGUUUCGACAUUCGCACUCUGACCCUUAGCCAAUAUAUUAGUGCCCGAAGGCGGUAGUGUGUGAAGGAAAUGAGGCAAUCUAAAUAUGCGGCUUUAGUGCUUUCACAUAGCCUUAGGAGCUUGAAUUCGGAGGCUGGUUACGAGCCCGCAAUUUUUUUUGUGGUAGUCGGAUAAACCGGUAUUUGAAAUAGUUACCACAAGGUUUGGAAAGGUUCAAAACCCUCCAUAUGACACGUAAUAAAACCUCCAUCGGUCAUUAGUAAUUAAGCUCGGAUUGUAGACCAUUUCUCGCUUAUUAUGACAAUCAGUUUUCGGCUUUCUCCAGUGAGGUAUUUUAGCUAGGCCAGCUAGGAAUACAAUCAAAGUAGCUCUCCCUUUAUCCCUUUAGCUGAACUAGCGGAACAUAAAGGGGUAAGCACAUGAGUGGGGCAACCCAACUAUUGACCCAAGACAUAAUUCUGAACUCAUGCAUAUAAAGAAAUAUCCUACAAACUGAACACUUAAAAUUAGUGACGGGUAGUGCUCAGGGCGGUAUUUUCAUCCAAGCCCCCGGUCUAUUAGCCGAUCGCACUUGAUAUUUAUUGAAGAAAUUUACCCUUCGGUGCCAAUGAGUGCUACUUCUCAAACAACAUCGCCAGAAAUUGGCACGUUGACGGAGACUUGGCUUGCGUUGGUUUUUCCCUUGAAGAGGAAAGGGUGAUGUAGCACAGGAGCAGUAAGUAUUUCCCUCAGUUUGAGAACCAAGGUAUCAAUCCAGUAGGAGAAUCGCGUCAAGUCCAGAGUACCUGCGCAAACACAAAAGAGCUUGCACCCAACGCUAUAAAGGGGUUGUCAAUCCCUUCAAGAUUGAUUGCAAAGUGAGAUCUGAAGGCGGAAAGUGCAACGAAGUAAAAGAGUAAGGCUGAAAAUAUGGUGUGAAGUACACCCGGGGGCCAUAGUGUUCACUAGAGGCUUCUCUAAAAAUAGCAAAUAUUACGGUGGGUGAACAAAUUACUGUCGAGCAAUUGAUAGAACCGCGCAAAGUCAUGACGAUAUCUAAGGCAAUGAUCAUACAUAUAGGCAUCAUGUCCGAGACAAGUAGACCGGUACUUUCUGCAUCUACUACUAUUACUCCACACAUCGACCGCUAUCCAGGAUGCAUCUAGUGUAUUGAGUUCAUGACGAACAGAGUAACGCCUUAAGCAAGAUGACAUGAUGUAGAGGGACAAACUCAAACCAAUGAUGAAAACCCCAUCUUUUUGCCCUUGAUGGCAACAACACGAUGCGUGCCUCGCUACCCCUUCUGUCACUGGGUGAGGUCACCGCACGGUAUGAACCCGAAACAAAGCACUUCUCCCAUUGCAAGAAUCGUAGAUCAAGUUGGCCAAACAAAACCCACAACUCGAAGAGAAUUACAAGGAUAUGAAAUCAUGCAUAAGAGAGAUCAGAAGAAACUCAAAUAAGAUUCAUAGAUAAUCUGAUCGUAAAUCCACAAUUCAUCGGAUCUCGACAAACACACCGCAAAAGAAGAUUACAUCGGAUAGAUCUCCAUGAAGAUCAUGGAGAACUUUGUAUUGAAGAUCCAAGAGAGAGAAGAAUCCAUCUAGCUACUAGCUAUGGAUCCGUAGGUCUAUAGUGAACUACUCAUGCAUCAUCGGAGAGGUCAUGGUGUUGAUGAAGAAGCCCUCCGUAUCCGAAUCUCCCCUUCGGCAGGGCAUCAGAACGUGCCCGAGAUGGGAUCUUGCGGAGACAGAAGCUUGCGGCGGCGGAAAAGUAUUUUCGUGGUUCCCCUGAUUUUUUUAGGGAUUUUAGGGAAUUUAUAGGCGAAGGAGCUAGGGCAGGGGAGGCCCAGGGAGCCCCAAAGCCUGGGAGGCACGGGCCCCUUGGCCGUGCCAUGGGGGCUUGUGGCCUCCCCCGGGACUCCCUGGCUUGGUUCCCAAGCUUUCUGCGUAUCUUCUGUUCCGGAAAAAAUCUUUUUGGAAGUUUUAUUCUGUUUGGCUGUUUAAAAUCCUCCUCUGAAAAGGGUCAAAAACACGGAAAAACAGGAAUUGGCACUUGGCACUGAGUUAAUAAGUUAGUCCCAGAAAAGAUAUAAAAGGCAUACAAAACAUCCAAAGUUUGACAAGAUAAUAGCAUGAAACCAUCAAAAAUUAUAGAUACGUUGGGGACGUAUCAAUGAGCAGGAAACAUAUAUAUGUAAAGAUAUUGUAAAAGAGUAUAUGAAUAAUAUUUGAUAGGAAUUUUUAUAGUUCAUGGCGCCAAGGCAGCUGUUACAGGUAACUAUUGUUUUGAACAACAUAUUUCAAAGCAACUUUUUACCACGACCUUUGAUACUUCCAUUUUGCAUCAUGCUUUUAUAUUGAUAUUUAUUGCAUUAUGGGCUGUCAAGAAACAUUAUGGUACAAUACUUAUGCCUUUCCUCUCUUAUUUUACAUGGUUUACAUGAAGAGGGAGAAUGCGGGCAGCUGGAAUUCUAGACUUGAAAAGCAGCAAAUCUAAGAGACCCAUUCUGCACAACUCCAAAAGUCCUGAAAAUUUACGAGAAUUAUUUUGGAAUAUAUAAAAAGUAUUGGGCGAAAGAAAUACAUCAAGGGACCUGCCAGGUGGCUACAAUCCACGGGGGCGUGGCCUACCCCCUAGGCACGCCCUGCAGGCUUGUGGGCCCCCUGACAGGCCUCCGGUGCCCUUCUUCUGCUAUAUGAAGGGUUUUGAGCUGAAAAAAAUCAUAUCAGAACUUUUGGGGCAAAGCACCGCCAUCUCGAGGCGGAACUUUGGCAGAACCAAUCUAGAGCUCCGGCGGAGAUGUUCUGCCGGGGAAACUUCCCUCCCGGAGGUGAAAAUCAAAGCCAUCGUCAUCACCAACGAUCCUCUCAUCAAGAGGGGGUCAAUCUCCAUCAACAUAUUCAUCAACACCAUCUGCUCUCCAAACCCUAGUUCAUCUCUUGUAUCCGAUCUUUGUCUCAAACCUCAUAUUGGUACCUGUUGGUUGCUCGUAAUGUUGAUUACUCCUUGUAGUUGAUGCUAGUUGGUUUACAUGGUGGAACAUUAUAUGUUCAGAUCCUUAAUUAUUAUUAAUACUCCUCUGGUUAUGACAUCAAUAUGCUUUCUGAGUAAUUACGUUUGUUCCUGAGGACAUGGGAUAAGUCUUGCUAUAAGUAAUCAUGUGAAUUUGGUAUUCGUUCGUUAUUUUGAUGAGAUGUAUGUUGUCUCUCCUCUAGUGGUGUCAUGUGAACAUCGACUACGUGACACUUCACCGUUAUUUGGGCCCAGGGGAAAGCACUGGGAAGUACUAAGUAGAUGAUGGGUUGCUAGAGUGACAAAAGCUUAAACCCUAGUUUAUGCGUUGCUUCGUAAGGGGCUGAUUUGGAUCCAUAUGUUUCAUGCCAUGGUUAGAUUUAUCUUAAUUCUUAUUUCAUAGUUGUGGAUGCUUGCAAGAGAGGUUAAUCAUAAGUGGGAGGUUUGUCCAAGUAAGGGCAGCACCCAAGCAUCAGUCCACCCACAUAUCAAAUUAUCAAAGUAACAAAUGCGAAUCAUAUGAGCAUGAUGAAAACUAGCUUGACAGAAAUUCCCAUGUGUCCUCGGGAGCGCUUUGCUUUAUAUAAGAGUUUGUCCAGGCUUGUCCUUUGCUAUAAAAAGGAUUGGGACACCUUGCUGCACCUUUGUUACAUUUGUUACUUGCUACCCGCUGCGAAUUACUUUAUCACAAAACUACCUGUUACCGAUAAUUUCAGUGCUUGUUGAGAAUCCUUACUGAGAACCACUUGUCAUUUCCUUCUGCUCCUUGUUGGGUUCGACACUCUUACUUAUCGAAAGGACUACGAUAGAUCCCUUAUACUUGUGGGUCAUCAGCCUUCCAUGGGUGACUUGACGUUUGCCCUGCUUCCAGCUGUGCAAUUUCUCCUAUGCUUCUUAGAAGGGAGGGGUAGUAUCCUUUAAAUGUGGUUGUUGUCGGCAGACGUACCUUGAAUAGAGGGUCUUGAGAAGUUGUCGUGCUAUGGGUGAGGUUGACGCUUGGGAGAUCCUUAAUGGCAUCUCAUUUUCCUCCAUGAAGACGUUUGGAGCAUAGUUUGGUCGAACCAAACAUAUGGUCCUUGGUGGUGGAUCCCCAUAGCUGCACAUGGUAUAUUGAGAAUGAAAUUUGUGUCUAUGAUAGACAUACCUUAUGGGUGACCGGGCCAUGCAGUGGGGAUCGUAUCCCUAUUUUCUUUGAGACGGAGAUGUCUCCGGGGGAUCUGAUUGAGCUCGGGCUCGCUUGCCCGCCUGUCGUGCCUCGAUGGCUAGCUUGUGGCUUGAUGCUUCAUUGUCGUAUUGGCAUUCAGCUGCCAAGGACACUGUGUGCUCCGGGGUCUGGAGGGAGCAUUAUGUGUUUCCGUUGGUGGUGAUAACUCCCCUCAGUCCGAGCAUCUUGAGCUUUAGGUAGGCAUAAUGAGGCACAAUGUUGAAGCGGGCGAAUGCCGUGCGAUCGAGUAGUGUGUGAUAUCCACUGUGGAAGGGGACAAUGUCGAAGGUUAAGUCUUUGCUGCGGAAGUUGUUGGGUGAGACGAACACAACCUGUAGUGUUACCGUGCCGGAGCAGUGGGCUUCGAUGCCUGGGAUCACUCCUUUAAAGGCAGUGUUGCUGGGUUUGAUCCUUGAUGGGUCUAUGCCCAUCUUUUUCAUCGUAUCUGAGUAAAUCAGGAUAAGGCUACUUCCUUCGUCCAUAAGGACUCUAGUGAGGUGGUACCCAUCUAUGAUGGGGUCUAAGACAAGGGCGGUCGACCCUCCGUGACGGAUACUGGUCGGAUGAUCCCUAUGAUCGAAGGUGAUCAGGCAAGCUGACCAUGGGUUGCACUUUGGGGCUAUGGGCUCUAUGGCGUGGACCUCCUGAAGGACUUGGUUCCUCUCCUUCUUUGCUAUGUGACUAACGUAUAUCAUAUUCACGGUUUUCACCUAUGAGAGGAACAGUUUCUAGCCCCUAGUGUUUGGACCGUAGGGCUCUUCAUCAUCCUCGCUUCAUGGGCCCUUCCCUUGUUCCUCGACUGCUAGGUUGCCGACAUGUUUAAACACCCAAUAGUUACGGUUGGUGUGGGUGGCGGUCUUGUCUUGGAUGCCAUGGAUCUGGCAGGUCCUUUCCAUAAUUUUAUCUAAUGGAGUCGGUCCAUCCCUGUUCCAUUUAAAGGGUUUCUUCCGCGGUCCUGAUUUUGAGCUGUGGAAGCUAGCAUUAACGGUUGUGUCGUCAGCGUCACCGUUACGGUCACGACGUUUGGUCUUGUUUCGCCUUGCCUUGCCAUUUCCAUCCUGAACUUCAGAGGUGCCGGGGUCGUCCGCAUUAUGUCCGCGCCGAGGUAGCCAAUUGUCCUCGCCCAUGCAAAAGUGGGUCAUUGUAAGUGCAUCUAGUGCCCCUUAGUGAUUUUGGUGGUUUGAAGACUUAUAGGUUAAGUAUCUAAUGUGUUUGUGAGUGUACACAUGAUCUAUAAGUCAUUGAGGAGUUUGAGAUAUUUGAAGAAUAUCGACCCCUAAAAAUAUAUGUCUUCAGUUGAAGAAAUUGGCCUGAAGCUGAAGAAAUGAAUCGUGAGGAAUCUGCGAUGAAAUUGAUAUUCCUCAUGAAGAUUCUGAUAUUGAGAAGUCCGGUGGUUCCUGAAGAAAAUCAUUCUGAAGAAUUUGAAGCAUGAAGAUUUACACUUUCUGUUUUACUUUCUUCGCAUUUGAGUAAUAGGAACACCGUACUGUUAAAGGGGGUCGAAGUUACACUAUGGAAUGAAUUUCCUCAUGAUGCUCAACCCAAGCCUAAUCCUAUCAAAAGACUCAAGUGAGGAAUAUGAGUGACAUGAGGACUCUCACAGUUGAGGGUUCCGACCGUUUCGAUAACCACGCCAAGUCAUUGGUCUUAUCCACACCAACGGUCAUAUUAUUUAAGGGCAUUAGUGUCAAAUCAUGUCGGGAUGCUCCCAUGCUAUAAAUAGCCACCCCCACAACCACUAGCUGGUUGGCUGCUCCGUUAGAAACUGACACUUGUCAUAAGAGCAACCCAAAUUCCUCAGAGCUUUCGAGAGUAAUUCAUCAGUGAGGAAAUACACCACCCACCGAAACCACAAACCAAAUCUAGUGAUUGAGCAUCACUGAAGAAGUUGUUCCUGUGUGGGACUGAAGCCUUUUACCUUUGAGGACUGUGCAUCCUCCAUACGGUUAGGCGUCAUGGUCUAGAGCAAUCCAGCAGUCAAUUGUGGAUCGCCGGGUGACCAAGUUUGUGAGGGUUUGGAAGUUUGCCCUGAAGACUUACCACGAGCGUUGGGCGAGGACCGUGUGUCCUUAGCUCAAGGAGAAUACGGUAGGGACUGUGUGUCCCGGGACUGGGUGUCCUUUGGUUUCAAUACCAAGCCGCUCCAAACCAUAUGUACAAGUGUCACAGCAGUUGGAACUGGGUCAUCAACAACAGUCUUCACUGAGAAACGGGUUCUAAUUCCUCAACUCUCUACUUUUCUUGUAUUGUGUGUUGAUGACUUUCACUGUGACUGUUUGAAGAAUUUGCUGAAGACUUUCUCUGAAUUUCCUCAACCCCAAAUUCUACACGAUAGUUAAUCAUCAUCUGUAUUCUGCGUGCCUGCUUACUGUGCAAUCUGUUUUCACAUUCUUCACUCUGAAAUACUGCUGUUGUGAACGUUUGCACGUCUGAUCCUUUACUGUUUCCGCUGUAAGUUAGUCAUCAUUGAGGAAUUUCUUCAAAAGGAAUUUCCUCAGUGAUGAAAUUCUAAAAAUCUCCUAUUCACCCCCCUCUAGUCGAUAUAACGCACUUUCAAUUGGUAUCAGAGCAAGGUACUCCCUUGUUUUGUGUGAUUUUGGUUUAACCACCUGGAGUUUUAGUUAUGUCGACUGCAGGCAUGUUUAAGGUGACUGCAGCAUGUCCUACCUACGAAGGAAAGAACUUUCCCUUCUGGAAGAACAAAAUGCAAAUGCAUUUACAAGCUAUUGAUAAUGAUCUCUGGUAUAUUGUGGAAAAUGGUGUCCCCAUUAUCUCUGCCAGUGUCACUGCGGCUGAUGUGAACAAAUUCAAGCAACUCGAUUCUCAAGCGAAGAACAUCAUCUGUGGCCAUCUGAGCCCUGGCCAGUUUGGAAGAGUAAGUGCUUUGGGCUCUGCAACACUGAUCUGGGAGAGACUGUGCAAGGUAAAUGAAGGAGUAUCAACCCAACGUGACUCUCGUGUUGAUAUUCUUCGCAAUCUCUUCAAUCGCUUCAAGAGACAUGACAAUGAAAGCUGCCAAGACACCUUUGAUCGCCUCACUGACAUAUCAAAUGAACUGCAAGCACUGGGAGCUCGAGACAUCACUGAUCACGAAGUUGUGAAGAAACUACUGAGAUCUUUGGAUUCUUCAUUUGACACUUUAGUUCUGAUGAUUCAAGAAAGACCAGAUUACAAGAUGCUUGAUCCAGCUGAUAUACUAGAAAGGCUAAAUACUCAUGAAUUCCAGCUAGAAGAAAAGAGAGAUCUAUAUGGACCAAGCUAUUCCAGACCACGUGCACUGAAGGCUAGAGCAAUUUCCUCAUCUGAAGACGAAGAUACAGAUGACAACAUUUGUGACCCUGAAGAAUUUGGACAGGAUCUUACAAUGCUCGUGAGGAAAUUCCAGAGAUAUACACGACGUGGUCAGUUCGGUAAAUCUUCAAGAAGAGACAUGAGGAAAUCAGAAUCUUCAUUUGAGGACUACAAGAAACGAACCUGUCACAAGUGCAAGAAAUCAGGUCAUUACAUUGUUGAUUGUCCUCGUUGGGGAAAGGAAUCAAAGAAGAAGAAAUACAAGGAUGACAGUUCUGAUGACUCGAAGAAGAAGAAGAAAUCUUCAAAAUCCUCAUCUUCAAAGCCCUCAUCGCACCAGAAGACUAGUUUCCGAAAGGCUCGGGCACUUAUUGGCAAAGAAAUGGACUCCGAGGCAGAAUCAGAGGAAGGUGAUGAAGAAGAUGGGUCUGAAGAAGACUCAGAAUCUGGACAGGCUAGUCUUGCACUGGCAACCACCUUCGUCAGCAAGUCAAUCUUCAAUCUUGAAGAAAAUGAUUGCACCAUCCAUACUGAUGACUAUGCUGAUGACUUCGCUCCAACCUAUUGCUUCAUGGCAAAAGGAUCAAAGGUAUCAAAUAAUGCCUCCUCCUCUGAUUCAAGUGACUGUGAACCUGAUGAUUAUAAGAAACCCGGUUACAGUAAACUUGCUAUCAUUGCCACUAAACAACAAACUGCUCUGGAAAAGCUUCAGAAACUGCUAGACAAAAGUGAUGAUCUGUUGAAUGAUGAAAUGAACCUUACCCAAAUCCUCACUGAUGACAUGAAAAGUCUUUAGUCUAGAUUUGAUAAUCUUCAGGAUCGUUAUGAUACACUCCUCACUGAUCAUGAGAAGCUUUCCUAUGAAUUUCUUCAAAGGAAGCUUGAUCUUGAGAAGCUGAGGAUGUCUCAUGAUGAUCUUCGUAUGGAAAAUGAUUCAUUACUAGCUCAACAGAUCAGGCCUAGUCAGGUUGAAUUUAUUCCUCCAUGUCUUAAAUGCAUUGAACGCGAAACUGCUAAUUACUCACCAGAAUUUUCAAAUGCAACCAUUGCUACAAAUUCUUCAACUGCACCUGUUGUGUCUAUUUCCUCACUUGAGGAAAACACAAAUGUUACUGAUGAAAAUGCAGGGUUGAAGGAGUUGUACGUGACAGGCAUGUACAAAAGCCUCAAAGGACAUCAAACCCUUUGUGAUGUGCUCAAAAAGCAGAUCUUGAACAUGAACCCGAGGAAAGAAGGAAUUGCCUUUGAGAGGAAAUUAAAUGCUGAUGGAUCUUAUUGGAAACCUGAGCAGUAUCCCAAAACCUCAUGGGUUGCUGCUACUGGGCCUCCUUUUGAUCCAUCUAAUCUAACUGGUUUUUCAUGUGAACUAUCCUAUUCCUCGGAUGAGUCAUUUGAUUCCAACUAUAAACUGUUCAAAAAUCAAUCUAGUGAAGUAUUUGCUCGAUAUGUUGGAACUAACUGCAGGAAUGGCCCUCCUCUGAGGAAAAUCUAGGUUCCCAAAAGCUGUCUUGAAAAUCUUCAGGUGAAUGUCCUCAUGACAUCACCACUGAAGAAUCUGAACCCCAGAUCAAAUUCCUCAGGAGGACCAAAGUCUUCAAGAGGAUCAAAAUCCUCAACUGGUCAAAACUAUGCUCGUACCCGUGCUUAUGCAUCUAACAUGCAGGANNNNNNNNNNNNNNNNNNNNNAGGGAAACUACAAGGAAUAUGAAUAUGGGCGUUACUCCUCAAAUCAUUAUGUUCAUAAAUCCUCAAACCAGUUCUCUGCAUAUUCAUAUGAGUACUUUAAUCCCCCUACUGUUAAGAGAAGUGCAUUUGCUUCAAUGCCACCUUUCUCAUAUGGUGCUCGCAGGAUGAUGAACGCUUUGCCACUCCUUCUGAUGUGGGUGGUGAAGAAAUCAAACUAAUCACUUCUGCAGGUCAGGUCUCCAGAUGAAAAUCAUCAUCUGAAGAAUUUGCUGGAGACCUGAAGAAAUGCUUGAUAGGACGCAAGCUAAUGAUUGAUGAAAUAGAGAUAUUUCACUCGUCCUUACAUUUCUGUUAUGAUGAAAUUACUGAUCUGAUGAAAUUAGUAUCAUAUUCUUCAAAUCUGAAGCAUAUGAGAUGGUAAGCAGUACUAAUUCAUUUGCAGGAUGACAAACCCAAAAAUAUUGAGUGGGUUCUUGAUAGUGGCUGCACACAUCACAUGACUGGUAAUAAAAGCUUACUGAUGAAUAUGCCACUAACUCCAUCACCUCUGAAGCAAAUCACAUAUGCUGACAAAGGUAAAAGCAAGGUAUUGGGACUUGGCAAAGUGGCUAUUUCCAAGGAUAGGCAUAUGGACAAAGUGAUGCUUGUUGAAUCCCUUGGUUUUAACCUUAUGUCAGUCUCAAUGCUUUGUGAUCUUGAUAUGAUUGUUAUCUUUGGUAGAUAUAGAUGUGUAGUUAUCAUGGAAUCUGACAGAUCCAAAGUCUUCGAAGGGGUAAGAAGAGGGGAUUUGUACAUUGUUGACUUCUAUACAGGUCCUCAACCAGCCACUUGCUUACUAGCAAAAACCUCAGAAGGAUGACUGUGGCACCGAAGACUAGGUCAUGCAGGCAUGAGGAAUUUGCACACGCUCGCGAAGAAGAAGCAUGUCAUCGGCAUCGAAUCAGUCAAGUUACUCAAGGAUCAUCUCUGCGGUGCUUGUGAAUCUGGGAAAAUGACCAGAUCCAAGCAUCCCUCCAAAACCAUCAUGGACACUACACGUCCAUUCGAAUUGCUUCAUAUGGAUUUAUUUGAACCUACUCACUAUGCCACACUAACCAAUGCAACAUCUCUAUAUGGCUUCGUCAUAGUUGAUGAUUAUUCCAGAUACACUUCGGUGCAUAUUAUAGUGUAUAAAACUGAAGUGCAGGAAAUCUUCAAACGAUUUUCUUCAAGGGCCUCGACGAACUUUGGCAUCAAGAUCAAACAUAUCAGGAGUGAUAAUGGAACCGAGUUCAAAAACACUGGUCUUGAUGAUUAUCUUGAUGAACUUGGUAUUACUCACGAAUUGUCUGCUCCUUAUACUCCUCAGCAGAAUGGUGUCGUCGAAAGGAAGAACAGGACUCUGGUUGAAAUGGCGAGAACCAUGCUUGAAGAAUAUCAGACUCCUCGCCGCUUUUGGCCUGAAGCAAUCAACACUGCAUGCCAUAUCAUCAACAGGGUAUAUCUUCACAAAUUCCUCAAGAAAACCUCAUAUGAACUCCUCACUGACAAGAAACCCAAUGUAAGUUAUUUCAAAGUCUUCGGUGCAAAAUGCUGGAUUAGAGAUCCUCACCACAGCUCAAAAUUUGCACCUAAGGCACAUGAAGGUUUUAUGCUCGGUUAUGGAAAGGAUUCGCACACUUACAGAGUCUUCAACAACUAUCACAACAAAGUUGUUGAGACUGUAGAUGUGCGGUUCGAUGAAACUAAUGGCUCGCAAAGAGAGCAAUUGCCUUCUGAUCCAGAUAAGCUGUCUCCUGAGGAAGCAAUAAAGCUCAAGCCUACUGAAGACAUUGUCCCAUCUGAGGAAAUCGAUGAAGAAACGAUCCCCAUCGCUGAUAAAAACCAAGAAGAUGCUCCUGAGGAAAUUGCAUCAGCACCACUUCCUCAGCCCAGACAAAAUCCUCAACCAGCUCAUCCGAGGAUUGCAAACGAAGUUGAACUUGACAAAAUCCUCAACGACAUCAACGCGCCAGGUCCUCUCACUCGCUCAAAAGCUUCACACUUAGUUAACUUUUGUGGGCAUUUCUCCUUUGUAUCCAUCACAGAACCCUCAAAAGUUGCUGAGGCUUUUCUGGAACUGGAGUGGAUCCAAGCUAUGCAAGACGAACUUCUUCAAUUCAAGUUGAAUGACGUAUGGGAGCUCGUCAAACGACCAGAUCCUCGCAAGCACAACAUCAUCGGCACCAAGUGGAUUUUCCGAAACAAGCAAGAUGAGGACGGUCAAGUGGUGAGGAACAAGGCACGACUUGUAGCCCAAGGCUACACCCAGGUUGAAGGAAUAGAUUUCGAUGAAACUUUUGCACCUGUUGCUAGACUUGAAGCUAUCCGAAUAUUACUUGCUUAUGCUAAUCAGCAUAACAUCACCUUAUAUCAAAUGGAUGUGAAAAGUGCAUUCCUCAAUGGUAAGCUUGAGGAAGAAGUAUACAUUGCUCAGCCCCCAGGUUUUGAGGAUCCAAAGAAUCCAGACAAAGUCUUCAGACUCAAAAAGGCGCUGUAUGGCCUCAAGCAAGCCCCUCGGGCAUGGUAUGAUACAUUGAAGGAAUUCCUCAUGAAGAAAGGCUUCAAACCUGGUUCACUCGAUCCAACUCUUUUCACUAAAUCCUAUGAUAAUGAGCUAUUUGUGUGUCAAAUAUAUGUUGAUGAUAUUAUAUUUGGCUGUACUGGCAAAAGAUACAGUGAUGAAUUUGCCUACAUGAUGAGUGAGGAAUAUCAGAUGUCCAUGAUGGGGGAGCUGAAAUUCUUCUUAGGUCUUCAAAUUCAUCAACAAAGCAAUGGAAUCUUCAUAUCACAGGAGAAAUACCUCAAGGAUGUUCUGAGGAAAUUCGACAUGCACGAAUGCAAAGGUGCCAAGACUCCAAUGCCUACCAACGGCCACCUCGGCACUGAUGAAAAUGGUAAAGAUUUCGAUCAGCAGGUAUACCGUUCUAUGAUUGGCUCCUUAUUGUAUCUAUGUGCAUCUAGGCCAGAUAUAAUGCUUAGUGUUUGCAUGUGUGCACGUUUUCAAGCAAAACCGAAGGAAUCACACCAUAAGGCUGUGAAACAUAUUCUUCGAUACUUAGCUCACACACCAACACUAGGAUUAUGGUAUCCCAAGGGCUCCAAUCUUCAUCUGGUAGGGUAUUCUGAUUCAGACUAUGCUGGUGACCGUGUGGAUCGCAAGUCAACUUCUGGCACAUGUCAUUUCCUCGGAAGAUCACUAGUUUGUUGGUCCUCAAAGAAGCAGAACUGCGUAUCACUCUCCACUGCCGAAGCUGAGUACAUUGCUGCUGGUUCUUGCUGUGCUCAAUUGCUAUGGAUGAAGCAAACCCUCAAGGACUACGGCAUCAACAUGAAUAAUGCACCUCUCUACUGUGACAAUGAGAGUGCUAUCCAGAUUGCAUACAACCCAAUACAACACUCGAAGACCAAGCACAUCCAGAUUCGUCAUCAUUUUCUUCGGGACCAUGUCCUCAAGGGCAAUAUCCUCAUCGACCAUGUGAAGACUGAUGAUCAACUGGCAGAUAUCUUCACUAAGCCCUUGGAUGAGAAAAGGUUUUGCAAGUUGCGGUGUGAGCUAAAUAUCUUAGAAUCUUCAAAUGUUUUGUAAAAACAUGCACACAUCCUAACACUUAUGCAAAGUUGAUGACUUAGAUGUGCAACACAUGAUGAAUCGAUUUUCUUCAACUGAUGAAGAAUGUCACUCUGAAUGUGAAGAAAUUAACGAAGAAAUUGAUUCUCAGGGCCCUACGACAAUUGUACGCAGCGUCUGUAAUCAACAUUCUUAUAUGAUGGGUAAUGCCACCGCCCUAUGUGAAAUUCCUCAAGUUGUUUUUCAUCUAAUGAUCAAUUUCCUCAAAAUGUGUUUUUCUUCAAAACAACUGUUCUUCAUUGUGAUGAUUUAUUACAAAAUCUUCAAAAACACUUGAUGACUUUAAUUUGACUAGGUAGAUUGUGAUUUCUAGUCCUCAACAGCAUUCACUUAUGGCUAAUUCUUCAAGUUGAUGUUUCUGCUAAGUGAAUGUGAUCGGAUCCUACUUUCCCUCUAUGUUAUACUUAUCCAGUCUAUUCAAUUCUUCAUAUGCGUUCUAUUUGAAACUUUGUUCAAAAUCCUCACUGCGUCCUUGUCAGCUGAUGAUUUUGUAACGAAAAUCCUCAAAUCUUCAAAAAUUGUUUCUUUAAAGACACAGUAACUGAACCCCCACUUCCCACGAUCGGAUAACCACGAUCUCCACUAUCUCCACCGCAUCGUACGGAAGCUACACGUGUCCUGCGGAGAUGUAGAGGCAGGGGCUAUUUGGUCCGACAUUUUUGCGCCAAACAGUAACUUUUGGGCUAUAAAUAUGUCCUUAUCCCCCUCGGCAUCCUCUUCUUCGCCUCAUCGCUCUCCUGCCACAGCACACUCCACCGAACCCUAGCACACCGCUGGUAGUCUUGUCGCCGGUGAGGAAGAGCUUCACUGCCUCGACCUCUUCGUCGCCAGAACCACGCCGGAGUCGGAUCAUCUUCGUCCGCCGCCGCCGUAGACGUCCUCUGUCGCCAAGUUAGGGUGCAUUGGGCACUUGAACGAAGAGCCUCUCCAACACUACUUUCUGUGUUCUUCGUACGCACCUUCCAGGGUAAAUAUAUCCCAUUUUUACAGCAGAUUAGAUCUGAAAUUUUACAUCUUCUAUGUGAAAUCUGUUUUUCCUCAAGAUACGACGCGCACAUGAUUCCUCAAACACUACAUAUCACCACAAUCAUUGAUGAACUAUGCUAAGCAUCUAAGAUUAUCACGAGAUUCCUCAAUUGUGCGAAUUUUCGGAUCUGUACAACUCUGGAACCCAAGAACAGUAUGCUUAGGCAAAUUCCUCAACCACUGGUUAUAUUCCUAAAACUGUCAAACUUUUUCAUUUUCUUCAAAUCUGAGAACGCAUAUGACCUCUCCAAAUUCCUCGCAACCAUACUCUGUUCACAGGUACACACAUGUCAGCUGAUUAAUCUCUCGGUUCUCAUCACAUUAACUCAUUUGCAACGUUUCUGGAAGAAACUCUUCAAGGCUCAUCAGAAUCCUCAAGAGUUCAAAAUCAUCAGCAAAAUCCUCAACUGAAGAAAAUGGAGGAAGACAGAAAAUAGAAGGGAGGAAAGAAGCUUGAGCUAAACACAGCUAUCGAUAUCCCUGAGGACAUUUACUUGGACUAUUGCACGCCUUAUGAACAUGAGACAAUGGCCAAGAGAAAGAUACGGCUCCAGAAGAUUGAACAUCGAUGGGCGAAGGAAUGGAAGGAGUACAGGUUUGUGAUUCCCAAAUAUGCGAAGAAAUUCGCUUUGAAGCCUCCUGGCAGAAGGGCACCACUUGAGGAUCAUCAAGUAGCACAUCCAUCAAGCCUCAAGACCAUUGAUGACUAUCCAGAUGAAAAGGAAAAGCAUCUGGCCAAGCUCAAGAGGCAAGCAGAAGCUGCAGUGAGGAAAUUCAAUGAAUCCUCAGCUGCUGCCUCCGGUGCUGCUCAUUCCUCAGCUGCAGAAACCUCAGGCUUAGAAAUUCCUCAAAUGCAGUCUGCGCCAUGAAAGCCAAAGGCUCCAAAGCCUCAAGAGAAGUCUGCUCAGGCUUCUGUCACAAAAAUCUCAGCACCAAAACCCUCAUUACCAAAACCUUCAACACCAAAACCAUCAGCGCCAAAGCCCUCAGCACCAAUCUCCUCAGUAUCAAAAUCCUCAGCUCCAACUCCAAAGCCUCAAGAGAAACCAAUACCGAAGCAUGUCGUGAAGCCUACGACCGCCAACUCCAGCUCCUCAUUCCCAGCUGCAACUAGCUCGGAGACAAAGUCUUCAACACCUCUUGUGAAGACUUUGACAACUGCUGAACGUGCACCUCUGCCCAGCCCCAGCAAAAUCAUCGCAGUCCCAUCUGCAUCAGAGGGAAGUGAUGAAUAUGAUGAUGAAACCCUGCAAGCCAUCAUCAGAAACAAGCAAGAAAGGGUAGCACAAGCAUCAUGUAGUGCUAUUCCUCUGGCCAUGGACCCCAAGGUCCUCCUUGACUACAUCAAUAUCUGGUAUGAGGAUCCAAACACUCCUAUUGAUGAUUUGAAGCUUCCUCCUGGCAUCAGCCACAUGGUGGCCAUCUUCAUAAAUGAAGCCAAGUGGAAAGAACAGCAGGCCAGGCAGGCAAAGGUUGCAAAGGCCAAAAAGGAGAAAUUCCUCAGGCAGAAUCUCCUCAAACUGACUCCUGAUGCACUGGUGUCAACCCAGGCAGAGCUGCAAGUACUGACUGACAAGUACGCCAAGCUGUCAGAUCGCAAAAGCAUCAAGAGCAAUUUCAUCAAGCUAGCCACUAGUGCUGUUGAUGACUACAACAAGAGAACCGCACCCCCAGCACCAACUCCUCAACCCUUGGUUGAGCAGCCAGAAGAUGCAUCUCCCGAUGAGGAGGAAACUCCUCAAGCUGAGGAAGAACACCAAGAGCGCCGUGUUGAUGAACCGGCCAUUGAAGAAAUCAUCACGGAAACUGCAACUGAUGAAAUUGUUGCCACUGAUGAGACUGCUCCUGAUCCAGCUACUUCAUCAAAGUAGGCUGAUGACUCUGUUCCAGCUGGUUCCUCACUACCAGCUGAAGAAUCUGAAGAAAGAACACCUUCACCAAAAGCUUCAAAGGUGAAGAAGAUAAUUCCGUCUGCAUCAGAGGUAAAGAAAAAAAGGGCUACUGAAAAGGAAGCCAAGAAGAGAAAAGCUUCCUCAGCAGUAGAAGAGACAGAGGCAAAGCGCCUCAAAGAAAUUGAAGAAACUGCUCCUCUGGACCGAGUGCCUCUCAAUGUCGCCCCUUCCUAUGAGAUGGUCGUCAUUGAUGACCCAGCUACAAGCGCAAAUGAGGAAAUAAAGGAUGUCACCUCUGAGGAACACACUGAUGAGGAAAUUCAGAUUGACGACAGUCCUCAACCUCUUAUUCCUCAGACAGAGACUGCUCAAGCAUCAGCUGCACAAGCUGAUGAAACUGCUUCUGCCACAAAGCCAGCUGAGGAAAAACAAUCUGAACAUCCUCAUGCUGAUGAAAUUAUACAUUCUGAGAAGACUCCUCAAGAUGAGGAACAGGCUGACCCAACUCCUCCAAAUGAGAAAGAAGUGGAAAUUCCUCAGCCUGAGGCUCAGCCAGAGCAAGCAUCAUCUCCUCAGCAUGAAGUACCAGCUGAUGAAAUUCCUCACCCUGAGGAAAAUGCUGAAGAAAAUGUAUCCGCCCAAGACAAUGACUUCAUUGUGCUCAACCCAGAGACUGCUAUUGUUGUCUCCUCCCCUAUUCCUCAGCAAAAUCUUCAGCCAGUUCAGCGUCAGCCAUUCUCCAAGCGUCCAAAGUUUCAGAAAGAAAAUUUCUUUGAGGAACGCAUGUACUUCAUCGGAGAGAACCCUUAUGACAAGCCUCAAAUGAGGCAUCUGAAGUUUUGGACAAGGACUCAGAUGAACUACUAUGCCUCUGUGCUUUGUGGAUGCAACAAGAUUUUCUAGCACAUGCAUAUUCCUCAUGUUGAGCUUGAAGCAAUACCUUGCCUAGAGCCAGUCCUCAGUGUACUCCACGGUGCAGGUUUGCUCCCAAUGUGCUCAGACAUAUCAGACUGGAACAUUGAGCUUAUUCUUCAGUUCUAUGCCACUCUUCACAUAUCUGGCAACCCUGAAGACAUUAACACAUGGGUGUUUGAUUGGAUGACCCAAAACACUCACUACAAGGCUCCUGCCUCUGAACUCCUUAGAGAACUGCCCAUACCAAUUCCCUCAGAUGCGGCAGUGAAACUUUAUGGUGAGCGUGAGCUGCCAAAUGGAAUGAUGGAAGUCCUCAUGAAGCCUUUGGCUGCAGGCAAAUCUUCAAGAACAACCUUCCUCGUCCACGAGCUCAAGUACACACCCCGGUCUGUUUACAGAAUCCUCUACAGUGUGCUAGCACCGAUCAAAGGCCAUGACGAUGAAGAAGAUGUUGUAGGCCUCAUGAAGAAUAUCCUCUUCAACAUCAUUCACGGUAUUCCUAUCAAUAUCCAUGAUUUCUUCUUGAGGACUUUGGCCGACAAUGCCAUGUGCCCCUAUGAUCACAAGAUAUAUGCCCCGUGGAUUAUGAGAUUCAUCAGGACAAGGACAGUCAUCAACUUUCACGCUGAUUGUCAAAACCAUGUUGGUUAUAUGCCUCCUAUUCGGGUCAACAAGAAGACUUUCGAGCCCAUUGAAGGAAAAGGAAAAUCUAUGAUUGAAGAAGGCAGCAGGCCCCUUGAUGGCCAGUUCAGAGAACCAGAAGCAUAUUCUUCAUGGGACGAUACUGAGACUCGUCCAGCAAGCCCAGUUCCUCCUCGCGUGCUGAACACCAGAGAGCUCCUCCUCAGUCUUCACCAGAAGGUGGAUCGCAACCACAAAUGGGUCAAACGCCAGUUUGGUGCCAUUCUGAAAACCCUCACUGAAACACAGAACUCUGUGAAGAUUAACCAUCACUAUCUGCAUGAGGUUUUCGAUCGCACCUGGGCUACACUUGCACAUCUGAAGACUCAGACUGAGCUUGAAGAAAUGGACUUUGAGCGAGACUUUGACUGGUCGUGGCCUCCCAAGAAGAAGUUCAGGCCCAUUCCAGUGCCAGACCUUGAAGACAGCUCCUUUUCUUCAUUCUGCACUGCUGAAUCUGAUGAAGAACAGCUUGACACUGCAACCGGCCCCAGGAAGAAGACUACUCUCAAGAAGCAUCACGGCUCUUCCUCGACCGCCAAGAAAUGAAGUCUUCACGGGUGUUAGUCCUCAGUUUGUCCCUUUUUUGUCACUUGAUGACAAAGGGGGAGAAACUCGAGUGUUAGUCUUCAAGCGAGAUAUUUUUGGGGCUUAUAAACUAUAUUUAAGUUACAAACUCUUGGCUCUUCUGAAGUUUUUAUGUAAUGAGUUGUAACUUAAGCCCGAUGGUACUCUGACGCUUUUGAACGUUUUUCUUCGCCUGCUUACUGUGCAAUCUGUUUUCACAUUCUUCACUCUGAAAUACUGCUGUUGUGAACGUUUGCACGUCUGAUCCUUUACUGUUUCCGCUGUAAGUUAGUCAUCAUUGAGGAAUUUCUUCAAAAGGAAUUUCCUCAGUGAUGAAAUUCUAAAAAUCUCCUAUUCACCCCCUCUAGUCGACAUAACGCACUUUUAGUCAUGAGGGAAGUGAGAGUGGACAUUAUUCUCGACCUAUCCUGGCCGAGCUUGCGAGCCAGCCAUUCAUCCCGGAUAUUGUGCGUGAAGGAGACUAUCACCUCGGCGUAUAGACAAUCCAUGAUCUGGUUCUUCUUAGUUAAGAACCUAUUCCAGAAUUCUCUGUCUAAUUCGCCCGCCUUUUGGUCAACGUUGCUCAGGUCGGAGGAGUACGGUGGUCGGACGUAGGUUCGCUAAAAAAUAGACAGGAAGGCUUCUUCAAGCUCUUGCCAACUUCCGAUGGAAUUUUUGGGUAGGCUGUUUAGACAGUGUCGUGCUGGCCCUUUCAGCUUUAGGGGUAGGUACUUGAUGGCAUGGAGGGAAUCUCCUCUGGCCAUAUGGAUGUGGAGAAGGAAAUCUUUUAUCCACACGGCGGGAUCCGUAGUCCUUUUGUAUUGUUCUAUGUUCACGGGUUUAAACCCUUCAGGGAAUUGGUACUGCAUGACCUGAUCUGUAAAGCAUAGUGGGUGGGCGGCUGAUACGUCUCCAACGUAUCUAUAAUUUUUGAUGGUUCCAUGCUAUUAUCUUGUCAACUUUGGAUGUUUUGUAUGCAUUUUAUAUAUUUUUUGGGACUAACCUAUUAACUCAGUGCCAAGUGCCAGUUCCUGUUUUUUCCGUGUGUUUGACCCUUUUCAGAGGAGAAUAUUAAACAUAGUCCAAAUACAAUAAAAUCUUCGGAAUGAUUUUUUCCGUAACAGAAGAUUCGCAGGGAACUUGAGAACCAAGGCAAAGGACCCCGGGGGAGGCCACAAGCCCCCUAGCCGCGGCCUGGGGGGGCUACCAGGAUUGUGGCCCACCCCCAUGGCUCCUUUGCCCUACUUCUUCCGCCUAUAAAUUCUCCAAAAAUCUGAAACUGCCAGAGAGAGCCACGAAAAUAUUUUUCCGCCGCAAGCUUCUGUCUCCGCAAGAUCCCAUCUAGGGACCGUUUUGGUGCCCUGCCGGAGGGGGGAUUCGGACACGGAGGGCUUCUUCAUCAACACCAUUGCCUCUCCGAUGAUGCAUGAGUAGUUCACCACAGACCUUCGGGUCCAUAGCUAGUAGCUAGAUGGCUUCUUCUCUCUCUUGGAUCUUCAAUACAAAGUUCUCCAUGAUCUUCAUGGAGAUCUAUCCAAUGUAAUCUUCUUUUGCGGUGUGUUUGUCGAGAUCCGAUGAAUUGUGGAUUUAUGAUCAUAUUAUCUAUGAAUAUUAUUUGAGUCUCCUCUGAUCUCUUAUAUGCAUGAUUUCAUAUCCUUGUAAUUCUCUUCGAGUUGUGGGUUUUGUUUGGCCAACUUGAUCUAUAAUUCUUGCAAUGGGAUAAGUGCUUGGUUUUGGGUUCAUACCGUGCGGUGUCCUCACACAGUGACAGAAGGGGUUGUGAGGCACGCAUCAUGUUGUUGCCAUCAAGGGUAAAAAGAUGGGGUUUAUAUCUAUUGCAUGAAUUUAUCCCUCUACAUAAUGUCAUCUUGCUUAAGGCGUUACUCUGUUUGUUAUGAACUCAAUACACUAGAUGCAUGCUGGAUAGCGGUCGAUGUGUUGAGUAAUAGUAGUAGAUGUAGACAGUAUCAGUCUACUUGUCUCGGAUGUGAUGCCUAUAUGUAUGAUCAUUGCCUUAUAUAUCAUCAUGACUUUGCGCGGUUCUAUCAAUUGCUCGAUAGUAAUUCGUUCACCCACCGUAAUACUUGCUAUCAUGAGAGAAGCCUCUAGUGAACACUAUGGCCCCCGGGUCUACUUCACAUCAUAUUUUCAGCUCUACACUUUUACUUUAUUGCACUUUCCACCUUCAGAUCUCACCUUGCAAUUAAUCAUGAAGGGAUUGACAACCCCUUUAUAGCGUUGGGUGCAAGUUUGUUUGUUUUUGCGUAGGUACAUUGGUGACUUGCCUUAAUACUCCUACGGGACUGAUACCUUGGUUCUCAAACUAAGGGAAAUACUUACUGCUACUGUGCUGCACCACCCUUUCCUCUUCAACGAAAAAACCAACGCAAGCUCAAGAGGUAGGACGAAGAAUUUCUGGCGCCGUUGCUGGGGAGGAUCAAGUCAAGAAUAGUCUCCCGUCAACGUGCCAAUUUCUGGCGCCGUUUCCGGGGAGUAUCAAGUCAAGAAUUGUCUCCCUUCAACGUGUCAAUUUCUGGCACCGGGGACUAUUCUAAGUGAAUCUUAUCCAAGUAACUGUCGCAAACUCAUCUCUUGCAUUUACUUUUUUGCCUUUUGCCUCUCGUUUUCCUCUCCCCCACUUCUAAAAACAAAAAUUACAAAAAUAUUUGCCUUUUUCGUUUGCCUUUCCUUUGCUUGUGUGCUAUGUGCCUUCAAUAUGCUUGCAUCUUCGCUUGCUGAAAAUCUAGUGAUAUGGAUCCUCACCCACUUGCUAAUCUCUUUAAGAGAUCCAAUUAUGUUGAACCAAUUGCUAGUGAGUUUUGUGCACUAGAUUAUCUUUAUGAAGUUUUGCUUAAGAUGCGUGAAUCUGAAAAUUGUGAUGAAGAAAUUUAUGAAGUGAUUCAUGAGGGCUCCUUGAAUGAAAAGCAUAAUUGCAAUGGGUCACUAUGAAUUCUAUUAAUUGCAAUCAUGCUAAAAAUAUGCAAAACCCUAAGCUUGGGGAUGCUAGUUUUGCUAUGUCCACUACUUGUUUCAAUGAUCGUGAUUGGGGUGAUAAUUUUUCUUAUGAUCUUGAAAAUUUUUUUAAGCCUCAUGAUGAAUAUGAUAUUUGCAAUAAUACUGAAAGUGGGAUUGGAGAAGUCAUGACUUUAGUUCAUGAUAAUCCCACUAUUUUUGAAGAGCNNNNNNNNNNNNNNNNNNNNNNNNNNNNNNAAGAGCGUCAACUUUGCAUGCUUGUGGAUCAUGAAAAGAAUAUCCUAUGUGAUAGCUAUAUUGUUGAAUUUGAAUUUGAUCCCACAUGUAAUUCUUAUGAGAAAGGAAAAUAUUGUGGUAGAAACUCGUUAUGUUGAGAUUGAUAUUGUCUCUUUCUUCUUCCUUGCAUAUGGUAGUUAUUGCUUGUCUUCAUAAUUUGUUUUCCUAUAAAAUGCCUAUACAUAGGAAGUAUGUUCGACUUAGAUAUGUUUGUCACAUGUUUCAUGAUGCUCUCUUCGUGUCUGAUUGCUAUCUUUUAUGUGAGCAUCAUUGAAUUAUCAAUGCCUAGCUAAGGGCGUUAAACAAUAGCGCUUGUUGGGCGGCAACCCAAUGAAUUUAUCUUUGCUUUUUGCCUUUUGUUUUGUUGUGUCCACACCAUCAUAAUUCUGUUAUGAUUGUGUUUUUUGUGUUUAUUUUUGUGUUUGAGCCAAGUAAAACCUUUAUGAUUAGUUUUGGUGAUGGUUGUUUGAUCUUGCUGAAAAAGACAGAAACUUUGCGCUCACGAAAUUAUUUUUAAUUCCUAUCCAGAAAAAGAUUUUGAGUUGAUUCUUUUUGCUGCGGGUUGAUAUGCCAAUUUCCCUAAUUUUCAUAGUUUUUCAGAAUUUUUGAGAUAUCAGAAGUAUACGAAGUAUACAGAUUGCUACAGACUAGUCUGUUUUUGACAGAUUCUGUUUUUUGUUGUGUUGAUUGCUUAUUUUGAUGAAACUAUGGAUAUUAUCGGGGGGUACUAGCCAUGGAAAAGUGAGAAUACAGUAAUCUAACAUCAAUCUAAAUAGAAAUCAAGUUUACUACAGUACCUGAAGAUUUGGUAGUUUGUUUUCUUAUGAUAAUGAUAUCACGAGAUUCUGUUUAAGUUUUGUGUUGUGAAGUUUUCAAGUUUUGGGUGAUGUUCUCAUGGACAAUGGGAUAAAGAGUGGAAAGAGCUCAAGCUUGGUGAUUCCCAAGGCAUCCCAAGCCAAAUUCAAGGACACCAAAAAGCCUAAGUUUGGGGAUGCCCCGGGAAGGCAUCCCCUCUUUCGUCUUCAAUCCAUCGGUAACGUUACUUGGAGCUAUAUUUUUAUUCACCACAUGAUAUGUGUUUUGCUUGGAUCGUCGUGUAUUAUAGCAGUCUUUUCUUUUUAUUGUGUCACAAUCAUCCUUGCUGCACACCUUUUUGAGAGAGACAUGCACUCAUCAUGAAUUUGCUAGAAUUCUCAUUGCGCUUCGCUUAUAUCUUUUGAGUUAGGCAAUUUAGCUCGCAUGUGCUUCACUUAUAUAUUUUGAGCUAGAUAACUUUGCUCUAGUGCUUCACUUAGAUCUUUUUGGAGCACGGCGGUGUCAUAUUUUGAAGAAAUAAAAACUCUCAAUCUUCACUUAUAUCUUUUUGAGAGUGCUCUCUCUGAGUAACUUGGUAGUUGGCUUGUGCUAUGAAAGUAGUCCUAAAGAUGAUAGGCAUCCAAAGAGGAUAUAAUAAAAACUUCCAUAUUCAAGUGCAUUGAUUAUUAAGAGAAGUUUGAUUCCUCUCAAUUAGUUUUGAGACAUGGAUUUGGUGAUAUUAGAGUUAUGUUAGUAGGGUGUUGUGAAUCUAGAAAUACUUGUGUUGAAGUUAGUGAUUCCCGUAGCAUGCACGUAUGGUGAACCGCUAUGUUAGGAAGUCGGAGCAUAAUUGAUUUAUUGAUUGUCAUCCUUUGUGUUGCGGUCGGGAUCGCGCGAUGGUUAACACCUACCAACCCUUCCCCUAGGAGUAUGCAUUUAUCACUUUGUUUCGAUUACUAAUAAAACUUCCUCAAUAAGUAUAUGAGUUCUUCAUGCCUAAUGUGAGUCCAUGGUAUAGAUGCACUUUCACCUUCCACCAUUGCUAGCCUCUCUAGUGCACAAACCCACCAAUACCUUCCUCAAAAGAGCCACCAUACCUACCUAUUAUGGUAUUUUCAUAGCCAUUCCGAGAUAUAUUUCCAUGCAACUCUCACCGUUCCGUCUCAUGACUUGUGCCGUCACUUUCAUAUUGCCAUUGAAUGAUCAUAAGAUAGCUAGCGAGAUGUUUCAACGUCAUACGCUAAGCUAGAUCGCUGCACAUCCCGGUACACUGCCGGAGGCAUUUCCUAUAGAGUCAUCAUUGCUCUAAGCAUUGAGCUGUGAGUAAAUAAAAGUGUGAUGAUCAUCAUUAUUAGAGAAUUGUCCCAUGUGAGGAAAUAAAUAAAUAAAAAGAGGCCAAAGAUGCCCACCAAAAAAAAUAUAAAAAAAUAUAUGAAAAGAGGCCAAAGAGCCCAAACAAAAAAAAGAGAAAAAGAGAGAAGGGACAAUGCUACUAUCUUUUUCCACACUUGUGCUUCAAAAUAACACCAUGUUCUUCAUGAUAGAGAGUCUCUUGUUUUGACACUUCCAUAUACUAGUGGGAAUUUUCAUUAUAUAACUUGGCUUGUAUAUUCCAAUGAUGGGCUUCCUCAAAAUUGCCCUAGUUCGUGAGCAAGCAAGUUGGGUGCACACCCACUAGUUCUCCUUUUGAGCUUUCACACACUUAUAGCUCUAAGUGCAUCCGUUGCAUGGUAAUCCAUACUCAUUCACAUUCAUAUCUAUUGAUGGGCAUCCCCAUAGCCCGUUGAUACGCCGAGUCGAUGUGACCAUCUCCUCCUUUUUGCCUCACAACCUCCACCACACUCUAUUCCACCUAUAGUGCUAUAUCCAUGACUCAUGCUCAUGUAUUGCAUGAGAGUUGAAAAAGUUUGAGAAAAUAAGAGUGCGAAAACAAUUACUUGGCCAAUACCGGGGUGCAUGAUUUAAAUUCGUUGUGUGGGGAUGAUGGAGCAUAGCCAGACUAUAUGAUUUUGUAGGGAUAACUUUCUUUGGCCUCGUUAUUUCAAGAGUUCAUGAUCACUUUGCUAGUAUGCUUGAAGUACUAUUGUUUUCAUGUCAAUAGUAAACUAUUGUUUUGAAUCUUACGGCAUUACUAGAAAAAAGGCUGUUAGUGGCGCACCUAUUUUGGCUAUUAAUGGCGCACUAUAGGUGCCCCACUAUUAUCAUGCCACUACUAAUAAAUAGUAAUGGCGCACCCAUGGUGCGCCACUGUUAAUAUACAUAACAGUGGCGCACCACCUGGUGCGUCAUUACUAUCCCAGACACUAAUGGCGCACCUCCUGGUGCGCCAUUACUAUCCCAGACACUAAUGGCGCACCACCUGGUGCGCCACUAAAGUGCAAUUUGGUGCGCCACUACUAUGAAUAUUAGGAUUUUUAUUUUUUUGCUUUUCUGAUAUUUGCACAGGUUACAAAAUACAUUAUAGCACAGAAUAUAAACAACACAACUUAUAAAUAGCAGAUUUAUCGAAUACAAUAGAAGAUUAGUCUCCGAAUACAAUUCAUCAUAUUAGUCUCCGAAUUCAAAAUAACGAACAAAGUUAGAACAUUACAAGUCUCGAGACCGCGAGUAGCGAGCUUGUCUUCACAUUACAAGUCGAUAUCUAAACUACGAUCACAUAGAAGAGGGUUGCGGUCACGAUGAGCAUCAUCGCGAUGAAACUGAUCUUCAUCCGGUUCCUCCUCCGCUCCCUCCUCUCUCCCGUUAGAUAGCGCGUGUAUCUAGCUUCCGCCUCCGCCCUAGUGAUGUACCCUUUGUAACUGUUACCGCUGAAACGGUAAACCUAUCUCCGACACUCCUCCCAGUCGUCAUAGACUUCGGGAACCUCACCCUUGUACACGACAUACGACGACAUCUCUAUGCACUAGACAAACAAAACGUUAGUAGCAAUUUACAGAUAAUAUAUAAGCAAUAUAUAAGUAUGCAACAAAAGGAUCGGAAGAGAAAAGCAACACAUUAAUAGCACGAUUCAUGGUCCUACUAAUAAAUAGCAUCGACUACAUAUAAGUUGAAAGACUGUCCAAACUAAAGAGACAUACAAGUUCAUUAAAGUUUAAUUACAACAUGAGCUAAUCGAUAUUUCACAACUACGUAUCAUCAGUACUUUCGACUCGACUCAGGGACCGGAGCGUGGAUGAAGCCGCCGUCUUUCGUGAUGGUCAUGAAUGUGCGGUCGUUGUCAGCCUGCAUUUGUAGUGUUGUGUCAAUUUCACUAUUGGACGGUUGACAGUUUAGGUAGAACUGCCUAGAUCUAGGAAGGACAUCUUGAUAGAUGAUUUCCGCCAACUCCGACUGGAUGCGAAAGAAUUAUUGUCUGAUGUCCUCGUCCUGGAUUGCCGACAAGCGUGCGGCCCAUUCUUUGAGAUCAUUUGGUAGCAUAUGGUGAUGCUGGUCCCAUACGAUCGCCCGGAUGUGAUGGAGGGCGUAGUAGGCAUCCUUCUGACUGCCAGGCGGCUGCUUGACGCAGGGGAACGUCGUUACGUGGGUGAACACGUGCUUGCCGUACCUAACAAUUGGCCUCCUGAAGGUGCCUCCAGAUUUGGCAUAGCCGGGGAGGACAUCAUCAAGAACUUUCUUGAUAUUUGUGUAGUCUUCCUUCGACUGACGGUCCAAGUCGAAAUACGUGGCCAUGGAAUAUUUUGGGCUUAAGAGGAUGAGUGUGCAAUGUGUGUCACUGCACAAAACACGAAAUGUUAGAAAAAAAGAACGAUCGAAAUCUAAGAAAUCAUAUGUUACAGGGCGAUGAGGGGAUGACUUACUCGGAAAAGUAAGGCAUGAGGAAGUUAUCUUUAGCUGCAUUCACCAGAAUGACGCCUUCGAGGUAUGAACUCACGACUUGCGGGUCCCCAGCGCCGCCCAAGAGCUUGGCACGCAUGUAGAAGGGGUCGACUAUCACCAUAUCCGGGGUCUUGUCUCUAAUGAUCCGCAUCUCCAUACUGAGCGAAAAUAGCCGAAUGAAGGUGUAGUGCAGCGGAUAAAGGUUAAUCAUAGCGAAGAUGUCAUCAAACCGCAGGACGAUCAUACGCCCGAUGGUGCUAUCGACAAAGCCCUUGCCCUCUGGCACCUUGGCGACGAAAACCGGGUAUGUCACAUCAUUCUCGGAGAGACGCGACUUGUCCAUAUAAAGAACAGCGUCAUGCAGACUCCGCAUAGCAACGGUUGCAGCAUUGAGCAGAUUAGUCGGUAGCAUCGGCCUACCCGCCACAUGCACCCUCCUCUCAAUCUAUAUCUAUACUUAUACUAAUUUGUGGCUCUCUAAAAAAUCCCACGUUAAUUACAUUUUUGAGCCGUUAAUCUGGUGGGACCGAAUUAUUACGGUGUAGAUCUACUCUUGAUCUGUUAGAUAAAAAAUAAUUUAAAUUUAUGAUUUAUGUCAUUCCACAAUUGCGGAAAAAACAACUUGACCCAACCUUUCCAACUACCACGUUAAUCCUUAGAAUGUACCUAACUAUACAUCCAAUCUGACCGUCAACCAUCCCUAACUCCCGAUGAUAGUAAUCCCAUGUCCCUCCUUCAUGUCGUGUAUCCAUGUGCCAAGCCAUCCCUAGCACCGACUCCUUCAGGCCUCUGGAUCCCUAGCAUCGUUCAUCUCAGCCUGGUGGCGUCCUCCAUGCUCCACUCACGUUGGUUUGCUUGAGGAAAAAUCCACGACUCUCUUUCUCACCUGCAAUAUUUUCCUUCAGGCCUCUGGAUCUCUAGCGCCGUUCAUCUCAGCCUGGUGGCGUCUUCCAUGCUCCACUCACGUUGGUUUGCUUGAGGAAAAAUCCACGACUCUCUUUCUCACCUGCAAUAUUUUCAUGUACAAGGCACACAUUCUAUUUAACUGAUCUGUCUUUUUUUAUCAAAAUCAUUUAACUGAUCUAUCUUUUCUACGUGUGAUCUAUCCUUUUUUCUGCAUGUGCAACCUAUCUUUUUUUGCGAGAUUCUGUCAAUAAAUUCAUUAGAUCUAUCUUUUUCUUACAAGUAACAUAACUGUUGUGAAAAAAGGUGCCCACAUACACGUAACAUUCAUUGUACCCUCUCCAAAAGGAACGACCAUAUCUUUGUAGUAGUAUUUACAAGCCACGAUGAUCUAUCUUAAAAAAGCCACGAUGAUCGUUCCCUUAAAAGGCCACAAUUAUUAGCACCUAAAACCAUAAAAGGUCAACAAAAUUACUACCCCAAAAAAAAAGAAACAGGUAACCCAAUCUAUUACAUCGAUCAUGUUCUCCUUGGGGGUUAGGGCAGUCGUCGCUAACCAUGAUGCCCAGCUUUGGGUCGUUCAUAAUCACCAUGCUCAGGUUUGGGUCUUCCUUAAUCAUGAUGCCUAGCUUUGAGAGUCCCUGAAGCACCAGCCCCACGGCAUAUUGUGCCACGAGAAGUAAAUCUCCACCUCGCCAGAGAAGUUGCUCAUAGGUACCGGCAGGUGCCCUUCUUGACCCGCUCCUUCUGGUUGUUUCUUCUUAUUCGUCUGGAAACGUGUAUCUUCUUAACAGGGUUUGGUCACGGUACCAUGCAUCUCUAUUCGGAAUAUAAAACCUUCAUAUCUCAUCUAUACAUGGAGCAGUCCCAAGAAUCCAUCCAAUUCACAAUGCACUUUUAUGAAGAAUGAUAGUGCUGAAUUAGUAUAUCAAUCUUUUGUCCAACCAUCUUUUUAUUUUUGGGUCUUUUUGAAAGAGUCCAUCCUUAUUUUGUGGUCACCUUGACCACUUUGUAUUGUUGUCUAACCAUUAUGGUAUACCAAUUCUGGAGUACAUGUUCUUGGCUGAUGCAUUUGAACAGUAUUUGAUGUGGAGACAGACUUCAAAAUGGAGGAUUGCGAGACAAGUACUUCUUUCCAUUGAAUAUGCGUUGGCUACACCUGUUCUGCCCCUGCCCGGUUUCAAGAAGAUUCAGACAUGGGCUUCUGGCUAGAAUAUGUGGUUACGGCACCUUGAACCCAGCAAGCAUGUCAUCAGUGGCGAGCACUAAAAUUCAUUGGAAGAAUAUCCACCAAGUAAUAGUACAUGAAAGGAAUGAAAUCCCUUCUUAACCUGAACACCGAAAAUAUUUUGCAAGAAAGGAAUAUGUAGCCGCAUUUUUAGAAGAAAGGCCUGUUACGAUAGGUAUAAUAUGGAGGGUAAUAGAAGAGCCAUUGAUCAAUGGCACCUAGGCGGCGCAAGUUAAUUAGUAAGAUAGUGAAAACUCUACAUCAACUGUUGUUCCACUACAACGAGAAUACUACCAUCUAAUAUGUAUGUAAAUAUGGAAGAUAAAUUGCUGGCCCUUGAUCAAUUGUGCCUAUCUGGCGUAAGUUCCUUACAAAGAUAGUGAACACUCUGUAUCAACUAUUGUUCCAGUGCUAAUGCCGUCAUGUAAUAUGUACGUCAACGUGCAAGAAAAAUGUCAUCUAAGAGCAUCCGCAAUGUAGUAGUAUAGUAUCUACUUAAAUAAUUGUGUCUAUACACAUAUUCAUGUUCUUAUAUGUGUUGCAAGUGCAUCUAAUGCAAAUCUGCUUUAUCACACGUUUUUCCCUUGAUGUUUGAAAUAAGCUCUUUGUAAGUUUUCACAUUCUGUUAUUUGGCAAUUUGUAAUGAUUAAUGUAUCGUCAAUGAGUUGUCAUUGAUCACUCACUUGAGUGACAUGCAUUAUUUAAUGACUUAUUUUCUCGCAAUUAUUAAUAGGAAGGAUAUAGUGUGGGGAGCUGCGACCAUGAUACUAUAUGUUUGUUCUGAUUAUUUUUCUAGAAUUAUUUAUUUAUAAUAGUAAAGUGAUAAAUAUUUAUGAUUAACGAAGAAAAUGUUUUCACAUAGAUCAUUUUUAUUAAUAUUAUAUGCCAUUCAUAUAAAAGAUUAGUUGUAUUUUGACAUUGACACAGUCUUUAAUAUGUAAACAUUGACCAGUAUUUUCUAUUUUAAUAAAUGUAUACAAAUAAAGGAAGCUAUAAUAUUCUAGAAAUAUUUUUUGUCCAAUUCUCUAAAUUUGUUUUAUUCUAGAUAAUUAACAUAAUAUGCAUAGUCAAAGUUUUAGAAGUUUGGUUGAAGGGAUAUGCAAACGUCACUUGCAUUGAUAUGGAAGGAGUAUGUUGUCAAUGACUGUUAGAGCAUAUAUCUCCAUAUGUGGUUUUGAUAAUUGAUGACAAUUCCUAUGGACUAAUGGUUGCCUUAAGUUACAUUUAUAGGAUUUGUCCAUAGGCACUUCUUGAAGUCCAUCUGUUGGGUUCAAGGAGUUUAUAUGAUGACCAAGACGGUAUUCAAGGUAUUAUCCAAAGAAUGGUCAUAGAGACACAUGGUUGAUCAAGAUCUCAGACAAAGAGUAAAUCAAGAUGAUCAACACACAAAGCGUACAAGAUGUACCGAGAGGGAUCAAGUGAUCCCAUGGUAUGGUAAGCAUUGUCCAUUACGUAUUUGUGUACUAACCCAUGGUCUUCGUGAGAGUUCUAUGUGGGGGUUAGGUGUGUUUUCAUGGGCUUGCGUCAAAGGGAAGAUCUCAUACAACCCAUGAAGUAUGACGUCAAGUUGUGAUCGUCAUCAAGAUUGUGAUGUGCAAGUUCAAGUGGAUCAGCACGAAGAUAUCAUGCUUGAAGCUUGCCGUCCAUUGUGGUGGCAAUGGACUUGUGAAGAUAUGCUGAAGAGUGGCUCACCCAUAGUGAGUAUGGGGGAGCAAUCAACUAGUCUUCAUCAAGCCAACACAAUCAAUAAAGGUGGUCCAUCUUGAGGAAGCCAAGAUCAUCAUCAUCUAGCUCAAGAGGACGAGGUGCAAGGUAUAGGUUUGCCCUUGAUAGGUUUUCUGUUUAGGAUAGAUUGUUGUACUAUCAAGGGGGCUCUCAAGUGAGUAGCUUGAUCGUAUCAUUCGUUGAGAGCUCAAACCAUUUGCAUCCUUGCAUCAUACUUAUUGGUUCUUGUUUGGUGUUUCUCUUUGUGAAGUUUUAGAGCUUAUGGUCAUCUUCGUGACAAGCUCGAGUUCAUCGAAAACGGAGUCCAUAUGCAUCUACUAUGAUGUUUUCGAUGUUGGAGUUUUUGCCGGUUAUUCAUUCAUAGAGGACUCACAUCUCUAUAUCUUUGGCAUUUUCAUAACUGCAUGAUCUUAAGAUAGCCCUUGUCGUCCUGAAUCCAACAAGCUUGGGUUUGCUCGAUUCGGAGCUCGUAUGCGAAAGUUAUGGCUGUUUCAGUGGCGAGCGGUAGUACCGCUGGACCUAGCGGUAGUACCGCUAGAAUUGGCGGUAGUACCGCUGGCCCUAGCGGUAGUACCGCUGGCUGGCGGUAGUACCGCCCCUGGUCAGCGGUAGUACUGCUCCAGGAGCUUAGUACCGCCUGCCUAGCGGUUGUUCGUGGACGGACCUUUUUGCGAAGACUUUCUUGGCGGUGGUAGUGCCUUUGCACUACCAGGGGCCCAGCGGUAGUACCGCUGGGGCCAGCGGUAAUACCGUUGGAGUGCCAGCGGUAGUACCGCUAGCUGGCGGUAGUACCGCUGGAGUGCCAGCGGUAGUACCGCCGCAGCUCGGGCAGAGAGUGGGGGUAACGGUUUGAUUCCUUCCCCCACUAUAUAAAGGGGGUCUUCUUCCCCCUUGGUUUUAUCUAUCCGUUGAGCUCUUGUUCUACCUCCAUUGUUGACAUUCUUAGAGCUUGAUUACUCUCAAUCCCUCCAAUGAUUCUUGCUUGUUCUUGAGGGAAAAGAGAGAGGAGAUCUAGAUCCACAUCUCCACCAAUCACUUUCUCCUCUAUGUGAGGGGAACCCCUUGGAUCUUGAUCUUGGAGUUCUUUGUGAGCUCCUUGUUCUUCCUCUCACAUUUCUCCAUAGCUUUCGUUGUUGUGGAGGGAUUUGAGUGUGAGGGACUUGACCACUUCGUGUGUUCUUGCCAUUGCAUUAGUUGCAUCGGUUUGAGUUCUCCACGGUGAUACGUGGAAGUGAAGUUUGAAAAGCUUAUUACCUUUGGUACUUAGUACCCUAGAUAUUGUUCUUCGUGGAUGCUUUGGCAUCCUAGAAGCUUGGUGGUGUCUCGGAGCUCAAUCAUUGUGGUGUGAAGCUCCGGGCAAGCGUCGGGGGUCUCCAAUUAGGUUGUGGAGAUUGCCCCGAGCAAUUUGUACGGGUACCGGUAACCGCCCCCAAGGGUUGCCACGUGUACGGGUUCGGUAACCGCCCCCAAGGUUUGCCAUUUGUACGGGUUCGGUGACCGCCCUCAAGGGUCCCUUAGUGGAAUCACGGCAUCUUGCAUUGUGCGAGGGCGUGAGGAGAUUACGGUGGCCUUAGUGGCAUCUUGGGGAGCAUUGUGCCUCCACACCGCUCUAACGGAGAUUAGCAUCCGCAAGGGUGUGAACUUCGGGAUACAUCAUCGUCUCCCCGUGCCUCGGUUAUCUCUUACCCGAACCCUUUACUUAUGCACUUUACUUUGUGAUAGACAUAUUGUUUAUUGUAAUAUAUCUUGCUAUCACUUAGUUGUUUAUAUUGCUUAGCAUAAGAUGUUGGUGCACAUAGGUGAGCCUAGUUGUUUGUAGGUUUUGUGCUUGACAUAUUAAACGUUAGUUUUAUUCCGCAUUUGUUCAAGCCUAAACCUUAAUUAUUUUAAAGCGCCUAUUCACCCCCCCUCUAGGCGACAUCCACGUCCUUUUCAAUGACUAACACCGCCAAUUGUUAGUGUGCACAAAUAUUGAAAUACGUAUAUGCAUAAAUAGACAUAAGAAAUGAAUUAGAGUAUUACACAAGCUAAUGAAACAAGGCAAAAAUAAGUGUGCUUAAGGUAAAUUCAAGGAGCUCUUCGGAGGGUUUACUAGUCGUGGGCUUUGUUUUUUUCAGAACCAAACUAACGAAGCGGCCCAUCGAUGCGUCGGGCAAGCAAUCGCAGAUAGGAGGACAUUAAGAUAAAUUAUAUUCCCACCUUCCUAGAUGUAUGUAUUAAGAUUCAUUUUAACCCUCUAUUUGAGUAUUAUAAGCUCCUGGCUUGAAAAAGGCGACCAUUCAUGCCUGAAAUGAUUGUGUGAUUUUUAUUUGUUAAUGUUUGUAUUAAGAUUCAUUCUACCCCUCUAUUUGAGUAUUAUAAGCUCUUGGUUUGAAAAAGGCGACCAUUCAUGCCUAAAAUGACUGUGUGAUUUUCAAUUGUUAAUUGUUCUUAUAAUAUGGAUAGAAACUAUAUAAUGACCUAUCGGCAUGCUAUCUCAAAAUAUAUAAAUAUGUUGUGCCAAUUAGUUUAUAGUCUAUCCGACGUGACCAUAACUUCUCAUAGAAACACACUCCCUUAUGAAUCCAAGCUUUUCAGAACUUUUAGGUUGAGCUGCCAUGUCCCAUAAACAUAGUUGUACACAUCACAUUGCCAUAUGAUCGUAAGAAAAUAUUUGGUAACUAGCCCGUGCGAACACACGGGUUCACGACUAGUAUCCUUAGAUAUUGGUGGCCCGUCCUGAGCAUGGAUCGUACUCGGUGCCGGCUGGCUCGCACCCUUGUUAUUUUUUCUUUUCCGUCCCUUCUGCUUCUUCUGCUGUAAUGGGACCGAGUUCUGCUCAGAGACCACCUUCUUGAGUGUGUUGGGGCUGAUAAUAUUGCACACCUCGGCUAUUUGAGUCUCGGUGAAGGCGGCAGCUGGAGGCGUCUCCUGAGACCUGAACAGACGACGCCUGUUGAAAUUGGGUUUCUCCGUGGUACCAGCUAGAUCGCCAUCAUCUUUUGCAGGGUUGGGUUCUUGAGAAGGAGGCCCGAACAAUUCGUCACCGUACCCAUGUUCGUUGAUGUACUUAUCGACGUUGGAAAUUGUAUCAUCGUCGUCGUUCGGAUCCUGUGCCAUAUGCAUGUUUGGAUCAACUGACGACGGUAGCGUUGCGGCGGUCUUGGGGUGGUGUCUCCCGCCCCCAAACGAAUCUGGCUCUUUGGCCAAAGCAUGGACCAGUUUAAGCAGGCGCUGAGGGUCAUCACAUCAUCUUCGUCGGCCCCAGCGGGUCGAUACGGAGGUAACAAGUCGUCGCAGCCCCGCAACACCCGAACCAGUUGAACCCUAUACACGGUGGGUGGCAUCACAUUACCGUGGAACACGCGGUUGACCGGUUCAACCAUUUUGGCCUUGGCGACAUCGAUCAACUCGCCAUCCACGAAGUGUAGGAGAGUGCAUGGAACGUUGGCGGCGCCCUGCAAAAACAUGUAGGGUGUCAGGGAUGCCCAGUCAAAGGCAAGGAGAUGAAGUCAUCGGUCGAGGCUUAGUUACCGUGAUGGCGUCGAGCUCGGCUAAUGUUGAGGCACCGCCAACGGCGGGCGUGCAAGUGACGGAGGGGCCACUUGAUGCCGAGGUGCUGGCUGGUGUAUUCUUCCCACACACGGGUUCUUUAAGCUCCAAUACCGGCGCCGACGCUGGAGGCACCUGCAAUGCCGCCUCCGCCGGAGACACCGAUGCCGGCGCGUUGUGCGAGUUGCUACCCGUGAAGCUGGGAAUCGGGGGCGACCCCUGUUGGCCGCCCUCAAUCCACCCCCGCAGUCCCUCAAGCAAGGAAGGCAUAAUGGCGGUGAUCGUCGCUCCCAGUUGGUCACGCACUUACUCUUGGACUAUCUCUGGAAUCCGCGCCACUUGUGCCUUGAGUUCUUUAACCUCACGCUCCUGGCUUUCCGAGAUGGUCUUUCUCUCCUUUCGCCUAGCCUUAUAGUAUUCUGACCAUUUCGUGGAAAAGCCUUCGCCAGCCACACGACCAGCUGACGACGGCUUACUGAGCUUAUCCUUGUGUUUCAUUACGUUCAACGCCCUAUUUAAAGUGCUGUCCCAAGGGGCAGACGAGGAGCUCGGAGACCCCGCGCUACUACUUUCAGUCUCCUGCGGAAGGAACGUGAACCAUUUAGAAAUUUGGCUUCAUUAAUUAGAAUGCAACCAUAUGGAGCUAAUUAUGCGGGGGUGUAUUCCUUACCAGAACAUGCUCAAGCUCCUUCACCUUCGGAUCCGUGGGAAGCUCCUUUGUUACCGGGUCCACCUUGUACCGAGCCCUGACAUAGUUCCUGGUCUGCUUUUCACGGUAUUUAUCGAAGAGGGGCGGUAGGCCUUGCUCAGCAUGCUUCGCGUCCUCCUUGUCCCAUUUAGGUUCCGCCACUCUGUAACCGUCAGGACCGAGUUUGUGGACCCCUAAGUUCAAGUCCCGCAUAUCUUUCCCCCACUGACUUGAUUCCGCGGAUGCGUUGCUCUCGCACUUGAUCUUGAAUUCCAGGUAGUCAGCUUCGCUAAUCGAAGGAUUUGUCUCCUUGAUCUUCUCAUAACUAUCGCCUCUUAGAAUCCUUCUCUUCACCGAGGCUCUCCAAGUAGCCAGGGUUGUGCUCAUCUUCGUGAGGGCGGCACUGUUCACUUUGUUCCCUAAGAGGCGUGUGUUUGCGACGUCACCGGGGAACUUGUAUCGUUCGUGCAGCUUUGUGAAGAGGAGGUUGCACAAAUUCGCUCGGCCUUGAUGCCUUAGGUUCUCGGUGUUGAUCGAGAGGUGCUUCCGAGAAUGCACCCGAGUUGUCCCGCGUACCCACCGACUAAUUCUUUGGGCGCCGUUGGAUGCCCACUGGAGGACACUUCAGCAAAUUCCUCCCUGACGGUGCUGAGCACGUAUAGGCGCCGGUCUUUCCGUUUCUUCUUCGGUUGGCUUCCAUUUGUGCGUUCGCUGCCAUCAUUAGUGGUGGCAUCCACGGCGGCACCAUCAGUGGUGUCAUCCCCGAUGCCACUAGGGGUUUUGUAGUUAGGAUUGGUGUCUUCUGGGGCGUCCUCAUAGCGGCGAGGUUCUUCCUCGAGCUCCUGGAACAGCUCUCAGAAUGGCUUGCCCGAAUCGCCGGCCUCAUCAUUGUUAGCCAUGUUCACUCUAAAUAGGAAAAAGGCUACUAGAGUUAUUGGAUGAGAUCAGGAUAAUAUCUAUUCUUCUUAGAUUUAGAGGAAAACUGAGAAUAAAACAUGCAAAUUGAUAUGAUGAAGAUGAAGAUUUGGGAGCAGAGCUUAGGUUAGAGUGAUGAGAGUGGUGUUAUCAUUUCCUAGCUCGCUGCCUUAUCCAUUAUUUGGGCUUAGGAGACAUGGGGACAAAUAGAUGUGCGAGUUUGCACACUCAUACUUGGCUUGGAGAACAGAAGGGUAUAUGGUCUUGUGUCUACAAUUAUCAAUUAUUAGGAAAGGCAAAUGGAUGAGAGUGGUGUUAUCAUUUCCUAGCUCGCUGCCUUAUCCAUUAUUUGGGCUUAGGAGACAUGGGGACAAAUAGAUGUGCGGGUUUGCACACUCAUACUUGGCUUGGAGAACAGAAGGGUAGAUGGUCUUGUGUCUACAAUUAUCAAUUAGCAGGAAAGGCAAAUGGACGUUGAAUUCCCUUCUUUUUGAAAAAUGGACGCUUAGAAAUAUUUGCUUUGUAGAAAUAACAUUGUCUCUAAAUGUUGAUUAAUUUUUGUUUCGGUUGAGAAUCGGGCACCUUCUAGGUCAAGAAAAUUGGGCAUGACCUUUGCUAAUUUUCUUGACCUAGGAGUGCCCCAUUCUCAACCGAAAUGGAAAUUAAUCAACAUUUCAGGAGAAAGGGGUAACCUUCAGAACACAAGCAGUAAGUUCAAAAGGUGAUACCCACCGAAAUAAAUGGAUCAAAUAUUAAGUUUAGUAAACUCCCAUGACAUCACUGUCAGCAUGCAGAGCGAAAGUAUCAUUCUCAGCUAGAUGAACUUUCAUCUCAGUGUACCUUAAUAAAUUGAUCAAAUAUUAAGUUUAGUAAACUCCCAUGACAUCACAACAAAGGUUUUGCACUAUGGAUACUCGAUUGAAGAUGAACUAAUAAUGAGGAAAUUAGCACAGUUCCAUCAAAAAAUGGCAUAAAUUGGAAAAAUACCAUCCAGUGUAAGGAUGACAUGCAGGGCCACGUGUUAGUGUCACUUGAUAUAUAUAAAUUUUCAACUUCUUUACAUAGUACUAAGAAAUAUUGCCCAAUUAGAUUAGAUUUUCAAGAAAACACCAAGCACUAAUAUUUGUGCACCUUCAGGUCCUUCACCCAAUUGGAUCUGACCCCUUAUCUUUUUUCCUCUUCCUUCCCUAGCUCAGAUGGAGAAAGGGGGAGAGAGUUCAAGGAACAAGAUGCACAUGCUAGAUGAUACUGGCAUCAAUGUGCACUUCAAAGUGGGAAAACUGAGUCACCAACCCAACAAUCCUACCAUCCAUGCAAUAAAAACUACUAAGCAAAGGGAAAACUGGUAUAUGGAAAAUAUAGGGACAACAACGUAUAAUGUAACUUGCUGUAUGCUUCAUUUUUAGGGGGUCAUGACUAAUUUGCUCAUUUUUGAAAACUUGCUGUAUUAUAUAACUUGCUGUAUGCUUCAUUGUCCUCGCGGUAACUUGCUGUAUGCUAUAUGAAAAACUGAGUGAAUAUCAGAAGAGGGCGGGAUACUCACUGUUGGCAGAAUUUGGAGCAACCAACACUAAGGGAUGCUCAUAUGUACAAAUUCUGUUUGCAAAAAGAGCCCGAUGAACAGAAUUUGCAUAUUAGAACAAGGCAUUUUUCUACGAACUAUAAAGAAGGGAAUGAGUAAAACUAAAGGCACUCUCUGCCUGUACAAAUUAGCCUCUGAAAUAGUUCAGGGGACGAAGAAUAGUCUUCUCCCCAAUAAAGAUGAGCAAGAUCUAAAUCAGUUAGCAACCAUAAACAUCGUAUGGCUAAAUGUAAAUAUAAUCUUUCUCUGAAAUUAAAAUCUUCCAAAUCAACUCUAUUUCUAAACACAAAUAAGUUCCAGUUCCUAGAUAUAAAGCAUUAAAUGAUACAAUAGGGACUGCAAUGAUUAGGCUACUUUCUCGCCAUAGCCGACUUGACAACAUUCAAGAUUCAGACGUACUCGUAGAACAAAACAGAUUUCUCGCCAUCAUUAUAUAUAUCAAUCCCAGCAAUCCUACCAUCCAUGCAUCAUAAUUAACCCAAUAUGUUGUAUUAACUUGCAACUGUUGCGAAUUGGUUAAAUUUUCCCCUAACACUGUUGAAUUGAGUUAAAAGGUGUACAGAGCAAUAGUAUCAUGUAUUUUUACCAUCUUAGUUUCCACUGCUGAACAUCUUUUAUUCAUUAGGAUAUAGGGCAUUGAUCUAGUUUCUUACCGGGUUACAGAUGGAGGAGCACGGAUCAGUGUCGAUUAGCAGAUACAUGUCGAGGAGAUCGAGCAGUAGGUCGCGGGCGCGGGAGUGCGACGAUGCGGGCGGCACAGCGGAUGGCCGGGGAGCGCGCGCGGGUCGGCAGGGAGUUGGGGAUUGGCGGGAGACUAGUGGUGGAGUAGAGGCAUGGAGGGCGGCGGCGAUGGUUGACGAGGGGUCCGCGACGGUGGCCGAGGCCUGGGGCGGUGACGAGGGGGCGGCGGCGAUGGUUGACGAGGAGGGCGGCGACGGUGGCUGACGAGGGGAGAUGGGAGGGAGGGAGGGGUGCGGUUGGAGUGGAGAUGCGGGGGAGAGGCGAGUGAGGGGAGGGAAGAAGGGGAUAGUACGAGGAGGGUUAGCAAUGGCGCACCAUUUAGGGGUGCGCCAUAAGUGGCAUAUCACUGGCGCACCUUUUAGUGGUGCGCCAUAAAUGAGGAGGGAUAGCAAUGGCGCACCUUCUCCUAGUGCGCCAUUACUAACUUUUUUUUGGAUGUUUAGUUGCAUGUAAUAAUAUUGGUUAUCACUUUUUACUUGCAUGUAAUAAUUUUGGUUAUCACUUUUGGAUUUUUAGUUGCAUGUAAUAACUAAAAUUAUUACUAAUUUUUGAUUUUUAGUUCCAUGUAAUAAUUUUGUUACAUAUUGCAUGCACAUGACUUAAUAACCGAAAAGUAAAGGAAUAGCCAAAAGGUUUACACCUAACCCAUCCAUAAAUCUCACGGAGAGAGACACUUACAAAAAAUCAUGUUAUGAGGUGAUAUCACAUUGUGAUUCGAUCUUCACAAUUAUCUAUCUUUUCACAAUGAUCUUCUUGCCCUUCUUUCUUGUGGUUGAAUAAUUUAGCCCUGGAACCCCUUGAAUUCUUCUCUUGAACGGACGUCCUUUAGGUAGGGUGGUCCUGCUUCUUCUUGUGGUGUGUGCUACUUCAUCGUCGUUGUCAUCUUCCAUCUUCGGGUCGCCGUACUUGUCGAAGUAUUGCUCAUUGGCGACUCCAUCCAUUCCGAUGAUGUUCCUUUUGCCUCUCCUCACGACAACACGAUUGGGCUUUGACGGGUCGGUAAUGAGGAAGCAUUGGUCCACUUGGCAAGCCAGUACCCAUGGCUCAUUUUUUGCGGUGACGUUUGCGCCCGCGGUCUUGGAUUCAGCUUCAUGUAUAACCAUGGUGGUGAAAUACCGGUCUUGUUUUAGGACGCUCUUGGCCCAUCUGACACGGAACAUCGGAACCUUCUCUCCAGCGUAGUAUCUUUCCUUGUCGUUACCGGUGUAGGAUUCCAUCGUUACCCCAGAGUUCUGAUAAUCGCUCUUCAUGUCCUUUUCCUUGGUGUAGAAUGUGUAGUCGUUGAUAUCGUACGCCUCAUAGGUCAUCAGGUCGUGCUCGGCGCCCAGUGACAAGGCGAAUAUGAGUUUUUCUUUGAUGGAAGAAUCCUCAUGUAAAGGGUAGGAUAGAAGCUUGUCCUUGAAUCAACGCGUGAAUUAUGAGUUGUGCUCUUUGAUUAUAUCUCCGUCCGUCCUCUAUUGGCCUCGGUCAUUGUACGUCUUCUCAAUAAAGGUUUUGUGCUCUACCACCCAAGGAUCGACCACGUCUAUGUGUUGUAGCGCGACUAGGUUUGCUCUUUUAAAGUCGGCAAGUCGACCCUUGAAGUCGACAUGCAUUUCGCGGCGACCCUUGCGGUGACCCCAUCCAGCGAGCCUGCCGAGGUGCCUGUUGACGGGCAGACCAACGGGGUUCUCGAUGCCUAGAUAAUUCAUGCAGAAGGAGAUGCACUCUUCGAUCAGAAAGCCCUGGGCUAUGCUUCCAUCUGGAUGUGCCCUGUUGCGAACGUAUCCUUUGAUGACACCAUUCAUCCUUUCGAACAGCAUCAUGCUGUGCAGGAACGUCGGCCCAAGUUGGAUGAUAUCCUCCACGAUAUGGACCAGCAGAUGCACCAUAACAUCGAAGAAUGUGGGCGGGAAGUACAUCUCAAGCUCGCAUAGUAUCACCAUGAUCUCUUCCUGUAGCCUUCUGUGUUGCCUCAUGCCAACCGACUUCCGAGAGAUGACGUAUAAAAAGUUGCAUAGGCCAAAUAGCGUUUCACGGACGUGCACGUCCAUGAUCCCAGGGAUUGCAACUAGAAGUAUCUACGUCAUCAGCACGUGAUAGUCAUGAGACUUCAUCCUGCUGCAGUCGUGAGACUUCAUCCCGCUGAACUUCUGCUUCGCUGAGUCUAGGUAUCUGCCUAUCUUCCCCGCGUAACCGUAAGGAAGUUUUACUCCUAGGAGGCAGGUGAAAAACUGAUCUAUCUCCUUCUGACUUAGAGUGAAGCACGCGGGAGGGUAGUCAUAUUCGAUCUUCUUGGCCUUUUUGCCUUUGCGACGACUUUCCGUGUCCUUCGCCUCAUCAUCAUCAUCAUCAUUAUUAGGGCGUUUUGCGUGAAGCUCCUCCCUGAUGCCCAUUGAUUGCAAGUCUGCCCUUGCUUUUGGCCCAUCUUUGGUCCUCUCUGGCAUGUUGAGUAGGGUACCAAGUAGACUCUCGCACACAUUCUUCGUGAUAUGCAUGACAUCAAGGCUGUGAGGCACACGGAGGAUAUUCCAGUAUGGCAAGCCCCAGAAAACAGACCUCGUUUUCCAUACCCUCAGCAGCGGCUCUGGCACCUUUCGCUUCUUUCCCAGCGGUGGGCACUCUUUCCAAUUUUUCAACAACUUGUCUAUUUCCUCGCCGCUCCUCGUUCGUGGGGGUUCUUCGGGGUUCGGUUUCACCAUCGAACAGAUCCUUGCGUUUUCUCCAUGCGUCAUCGUCGCAAAGCCACCUUCGAUGUCCCAUGAACAUGAUUUUCGAAGACCCGAGAUCUCUAUCUAGCUGGCGAUACAUUGUGUCAUCCAUGCACCUGCAGCAUGCACAAAAUCCAUGGACCACCAGCCCCGCGACAUAUCCGUAACCAAGAUAGUCGUGCACCAUCAUGAGCAGUGCGUCUCUCAUAGGGAAAUAUUGUUUCGUUGCGGCGUCCCACGUAAUGGCUGGCGUUUUCCACAGCGUGUCUAGCUCCUCUUUCAGCAGCCCCAGAUACAGAUUGAUGUCGUUCCCUGGUUGUUUCGGCCCUUCAAUUAGCAUACUCAUGUGAAUGUAAUUCCUCUUCAUGCACAUCCAGGGGGAAGGUUGUACAUCCACAGAAACACAUGCCAGGUGCUAUGUGUGCUUCUCUGGCUGCUAAACGGAUUGACUCCGUCAGUGCUCGCGCCCAGCAUGAUGUUCCUUGGAUCAUCCCCAAAUUCUGGGUGUUCGAAGUUCAACGCUUGCCACUGGCUCGCAUCCUUAGGGUGACUCAACAUCUUGUCUUUUUUAUUUAUCUCUGGUUCAUUUCUGUAAUCUUCUCGCUUCUUCUCCUCCCUAUCCGCGUGCCAACGUAGGAGAUCUACUUGCUUAGGGUCCGCGAAAUACCGCUGCAGACGAGGAGUGAUCGGAAAGUACCACACCACUUUUCGAGGAGCUUUCAUCCUCUUCUUGUAUCGAGUGACGCCGCACACCGGACAUAUGGUAGAGUCCGCGUGCUCGUCCCGAUAAAUGAUGCAAUCGUUCAUGCACACAUGGUAUUUCAUGUGCGGUAAAUCCAGAGGACACACAAUUUUCUUCGCCUCCUCGAAACUGGUCGGGCACUUGUUCCCCAUGGGAAGACGUUCGUGCCAGAAUGACAUGUUCUUGUCGAAGCAUGUGUCGGUCAUUUUGUGUUUUACCUUCAUCUCCAUAGCCAUGAGCGUUACUUUCAGGCGGGUAUCCUCAGGCUUGCAUCCUUCAUACAAUGGAGUAACCGCGUCUAUCUCUAGUUGAUCUAGCUUGGCUUUCUCUCGGGCGGCAGCUCUUGUGUUACCCGUCUGCUUGAGAAGCAGCUCUUGAAUAUGAGGGUCCUCCACCCAGCCCAUCGAUGGUCCAUCGCCGUUUGCUCCGUCAUCUUCAUCUUCAUGAUCAUGCCCUUCGUCUUGAUCUUCCUCAUCAUCAUGUCCGACAUCUUCUACAUGAUGACUGUGUCCUGCAUCUACUUCGUGAUCAUGUCCUGGAGAUUCUUCGUCUUCUCGCCCGACCUCGCCGCUAUUGUCCUGCAGCCCUUCCUUAUUUCUUGCCCGACCCCCAUGGACGACUUCAUAAUCAUCUUCAUCACCUUGCCACCGAUAGCCAUCCAUGAAACCACGCACGAGCAGGUGGUCCCGCACCUGUCUGGAUUCCGGUCCAUAAGGCUCUUCAGCUUGCAUCUUCGACAUGGACAUCUCAUCUCCGUCUCGUUCUUUUGAAGCAUCUCGGCCUUCGUAGAGCUCAAAAACCUAUUCAUGAUGCCUUCGGUCAUCGUGCGGACCAUGGUCGCGUGCGUGGUAGAGCAAAACGAUAUUUUAGAACCAAUUUGUUUUGGCAUGACUUUGCCUAAAAAUAAGACCAAAAAGAAUGCAUAGUGCCAAAUUCUCGCCGAAACGGAAAUGAAUCAACAUUACGGCAAAAUAUUGGCAACUAUCGCAUUUCAAAUACCAGUACCUGCAAACACUAACAUAUGCAACACCACAAACAUACGUAGAUCUAGGCCAUAUAAAGUGUGUACACGUUGGAGGGAGAAAAGAGUAGAUCUAGAACAUAAAGAAAGCUUUCCCCUUACUUACCUAUCAAAAAAAGGAAAUUUUACCACUUAAUUUGGGUGAAUCUAUGGUGCAAAUGAGGUGAGGAGGAGGAGGUAGCUGAGACCAACAAGGUUGGUAGAGGUGGAGAGAAUGAAGUGAGGGGAAAGUGAGUGUGAAGUGGGUGUCAAAAAUAUCUACCGCUCCCAGGUUACUGAUACGUCUCCAACGUAUCUAUAAUUUUUGUUGGUUCCGUGCUAUUAUCUUGUCAAAUUUUGGAUGUUUUGUAUGCCUUUUAUAUCUUUUUUGGGACUAACUUAUUAACUCAGUGCCAAGUGCCAGUUCCUGUUUUUUUUCGUGUUUUUGACUCUUUUCGGAGGAGAAUUUUAAACGGUGUCCAAACGGAAUAAAACUUCCGAAAAGAUUUUUUCCGGAACAGAAGAUACACACGGGAGGUGAGAACCAAGGCAAAGGCCACUAGGGGAGGCCACAAGCCCCCUAGGCGCGGCAAGGGGGGCCCCGCGCCUAGCUGGCUUGUGGGCCCCUGUGGCUCGUCUGCCCUACCUCUUCCGCCUAUAAAUUCCCGAAAAAUCCAAAACUGCACGAGAGACCCACGAAAAUAAUUUUCCGCCGCCGCAAGGUUCUGUCUCCGCAAGAUCCCAUUUGGGGCACGUUCUGCUGCCCUGCCGGAGGGGGGAUUCGGAUACGGAGAGCUUUUUCAUCAACAACAUGGCCUCUCCGAUGAUGCGUGAGUAGUUCACCAUAGGCCUUCGGGUCCAUAGCUAGUAGCUAGAUGGCUUCUUCUCUCUCUUGGAUCUUCAAUACAAAGUUCUCCAUGAUUUUCAUGGAGAUUUAUCCGAUGUAAUCUUCUUUUGCGGUGUGUUUUUCGAGAUCCGAUGAAUUGUGGAUUUAUGAUCAGAUUAUCUAUGAAUCUUAUUUGAGUUUCUUUUGAUCUCUUAUAUGCAUGAUUUCAUAUCCUUGUAAUUCUCUUCGAGUUGUGGGUUUUGUUUGGCCAACUUGAUCUAUGAUUCUUGCAAUUGGAUAAGUGCUUGAUUUUGGGUUCAUGCCGUGCGGUGACCUCACGUAGUGAUAGAAGGGGUAGCGAGGCACACAUCAUGUUGUUGCCAUCAAGGGUAAAAAUAUGGGGUUUACAUCAUUGGUUUGAGUUUAUCCCUCUACAUCAUGUCAUCUUGCUUAAGGCGUUACUCUGUUCGUCAUGAACUCAAUACACUAGAUGCAUCCUGGAUAGCGGUCGAUGUGUGGAGUAAUAGUAGUAGAUGCAGAAAGUAUCGAUCUACUUGUCUCGGACGUGAUGCCUAUAUGUAUGAUCAUUGCCUUAGAUAUCGUCAUGACUUUGCGUAGUUCUAUCAAUUGCUCGACAAUAAUUUGUUCACCCACCGUAAUAUUUGCUAUUUUGGGAGAAGCCUCUAGUGAACACUAUGGCCCCCGGGUCUACUUCACAUCAUAUUUUCAGCCUUACACUUUUUUACUUCGUUGCACUUUCCGCCUUCACAUCCCACUUUGCAAUCAAUCUUGAAGGGAUUGACAACCCCUUUAUAGCGUUGAUUGUUUGUGUUUGCGCAGGUACUCUGGACACUUAGCUUGAUACUCCUAUUGGAUUGAUACCUUGGUUCUCAAACUGAGGGAAAUACUUACUGCUUUUGUGCUGCAUCACCCUUUCCUGUUCAAGAGAAAAACCAACGCAAGCUCAAGAGGCAGCAGAAGGAUUUCUGACGUCGUUGCCGGGGAGGAUCAAGUCAAGAAUAGUCUCCCAUCAACGUGUCAAUCUCUGGCACCGGGGAUUAUUCUUGGUGAAGCUCAUUCAAGUAAGUGUCGCAAACUCAUCUCUUGCAUUUACUUUUUUGCCUCUCGUUUUCCUCUCCCCCACUUCUGGAAAACAAAAAAUUACAAAAAUAUUUGCCUUCUUCGCUUGCUUUCCUUUGCUUGUGUGCUAUGUGCCUUCAAUAUGCUUGCAUCUUCGCUUGCUGAAAAUCUAGUGACAUGGUUACUCACCCACUUGCUAAUCUUUGUAAGAGAUCCAAUUAUUUUGAACCAUUUGCUAGUGAGUUGAGUGCACUUUACUUUCUCUAUGGAGUUUUGCUUGAGAUGCGUGAAUUUGCAAAUCGUGAUGAAGAAAUUUUUGAAGUGAUUCAUGAGGGCUCCUUGAAUUAAAAGCAUGAUUGCAAUGAUUUCAUCAUAAAUUCUAUUAAUGACAAUCAUGCUAAAAAUAUGCAAAACCCUAAGCUUGGGGAUGCUAGUUUUGCUUUGUCCACUGCUUGUUGCAAUGAUCGUGAUUGGGGUGAUAAUUUUUCUAAUGAUCUUGAAAAUUUGUUUAACCAUGAUGAUGAUUAUGAUGUUUGCAAUAAUAUUGAAAGUGGGUUUGGAGAAGUCAUGACUUUAGUUGAUGAUAAUCCCACUAUUUUUGAAGAGCGNNNNNNNNNNNNNNNNNNNNNUGAAGAGCGUCAACUUUGCAUGCAUGUGGAUCAUGAAAAGAAUAUCCUUUGUGAUAUCUAUAUUGUCGAAUUUGAUUAUGAUCCCACAUGUAAUUGCUAUGAGAGAGGAAAAUGUUGUGGUAGAAACUUUCAUGUUACCAAAUCACCUCUCGUUAUGUUGAGAUUGAUAUUGUCUCUUUCUUCUUCCUUGCAUAAGGUAACUACUGGUUGUCCUGACAAUCUGUUUUCCUAUAAAAUGGCUAUGCAUAGGAAGUAUGUUAGACUUAGAUAUGUUUGUCACAUAUUUCAUGAUGCUCUGUUCGUGUCCGAUUGCUAUCUUUUAUGUGAGCAUCAUUGAAUUAUCAAUGCCUAGCUAAGGGCGUUAAACAAUAACGCUUGUUGGGAGGCAACCCAAUGAAUUUAUCUUUUCUUUCUGUUUUGUUGUGUCCACACCAUCAUAAUUCUGUUAUGAUUGUGUCUUUUGUGUUUCUUUUUGUGUUUGAUCCAAGCAAAACCUUUAUGACUAAUUUGGUGAUGGUUGUUUCAUCCUGCUGGAAAAAGACAGAAACUUUUCGCUCAGGAAAUUAUUUUUCAUUUAUAUCCAGAAAGAGCUUUUGAGUUGAUUCUUUUUGCUGCUGGCUGAUAUACCUUUUGCCCAGGAUGUCAUAAUUUUUCAGAAUUUGUGAGGUACCAGAAGUAUACAGAUUGCUACAGACUGGUCUGUUUUUGACAGAUUAUGUUUUUGUUGUGUUGGUUGCUUGUUUUGAUGAAACUAUGGAUCGUAUCGGGGGGUACUAGCCAUGGAAAAGUGAGAAUACAGUAAUUUAACACCAAUAUAAAUAGAAAUCAAGAUUGCUACAGUACCUAAAAGAGGUGGUAGUUUGUUUUCUUGUGCUAAUGAUAUCACGAGUUUUUGUUUAAGUUUUGUGUUGUGAAGUUUUCAAGUUUUGGUUGAUGUUUUCAUGGACAAAAGGAUAAAGAGUGGAAAGAGCUCAAGCUUGGGGACGCCCAAGGCAUUCCAAGCCAAAUUCAAGGACACCAAAAAGCCUAAGCUUGGGGAUGCCUUGGGACGAAGGCAUCCCCUCUUUCGUCUUCAAACCAUCGGUAACAUUACUUGGAGCUAUAUUUUUUUAUUCACCACAUGAUAUGUGUUUUGCUUGGAGCGUCUUGUAUUGUAGGAUUCUUUUCUUUUUGUUGUGUCACAAUCGUCCUUGCUGCACUUAUCGUGAAUUUGCUAGAAUACUCUUUGAGCUUCGCUUAUAUCUUUUGAGUUAGGCAAUUUAGCUCACAUGUGCUUCACGUAUAUCUUUUGAGCUAGACAAUUUUUCUCUAUGUGCUUCACUUAGAUCUUUUAGUGAACGGUGUUGCGUAACUUUGUAAUUGGCUUGUGCUAUGAAAGUAGUCCCAAAGGUGAUAGGUACCCAAAGAGGAUACAAUAAAACUUCCAUCUUCAUGUGCAUUGAGUAGGAAGAGAAGUUUGAUUCCUCUCAAUUAGUUUUGAGACAUGGAUUUGGUAAUAUUAAAAGUUAUGUUAGUAGGGUGUUGUGAAUCUAGAAAUACUUGUGUUGAAGAUAGUGAUUCCCGUAACAUGUACGUAUGGUGAACCGCUAUGUUAGGAGGUCGGAGCAUAAUUGAUCUAUUGAUUGUCAUCCUUUGUGUUGCGGUCGGGAUCACGCGAUGGUUUACACCUACCAACCCUUCCCCUAGGAGUAUGCGUUUAGCACUUUGUUUCGAUUACUAAUAAAAACUUUCGCAAUAAGUAUAUUAGUUUUUCAUGACUAAUUGAGUCCAUGGUAUAGAUGCACUUUCACCUUCCACCAUUGCUAGCCUCUCUAGUACCACGCAAUUUUCGCCGGUGCACAAACCCACCAUAUGCCUUCCUCAAAACAGCCACCAUACCUACCUACUAUGGCAUGUUCAUAGCCAUUCCGAGAUAUAUUGCCAUGCAACCCCCACCGUUCCGUCUCAUGACUUGUGCCAUCACUCCCAUAUUGCCAUUGCAUGAUCGUAAGAUAGCUAGCAAGAUGUUUCAAUGUCAAACGCCAAGCUAGAUCGUUGCACAUCUCGGUACUGUCGGAGGCAUUUCCUAUAGAGUCAUCAUCGUUCUAAGCUUUGAGCUGUGAGUAAAUAAAAGUGUGAUGAUCAUCAUUAUUAGAGCAUUGUCCCAUGUGAGGAAAAAAAGAGGCCAAAGUUGCCCACAAAAAAAGGAGAUAUGGAAAGAGGCCAAAGAGCCCAAACAAAAAAAGAGAGAAGGGACAAUGCUACUAUCUCUUUCCACACUUGUGCUUCAUAAUAGCACCAUGUUCUUCAUGAUUGAGAGCCUCUCGUUUUGUCACCACCAUAUACUAGUGGGAAUCUUUAUUAUAUAACUUGGCUUGUAUAUUCCAAUGAUGGGCUUCCUCAAAAUUGUCGUAGGUCUUCGUGAGCAAGCAAGUUGGAUGCACACCCACUAGUUCUCCUUUUGAUCUUUCACAUACUUAUAGCUCUAGUGCAUCCGUUGUAUGGAAAUCCCUCCUCAUUCACAUUGAUAUCUAUUAAUGGGCAUCUCCAUAGCCCUUUGAUACGCCGAGUCAAUGUGACCAUCUCCUCCUUUUUGUCUCACAACCUCCACCACACUCUAUUCCACCAUAGUGCUAUAUCCAUGGCUCACGCUCAUGUAUUGCGUGAGAGUUGAAAAAGGUUUGAGAAAGUAAGAGUGCGAAAACAAUUACUUGGCCAACACCAGGGUUGUGCAUGAUUUAAAUUAGUUGUGUAGGGAUGAUGGACAAUAGCGAGACUAUAUGAUUUUGUAGGGAUAACUUUCUUUGGCCUUGUUAUUUCGAAAGAUCAUGAUUACGUUGCUAGUUUGCUUGAAGUAAUAUUGUUUUCAUUUCAAUAGCAAACUAUUGUUUUGAAUCUUACAGAUAUGAACAUUCAUGUCACAUGAAAGAAUUUACAAAGGACAACUAUGCUAGGUAGCAUUCCACAUCACAAAUUCAGUCUUUAUCACUUCCCUACUCGAGGACGAGUAGGAGUUAAGCUUGGGGAUGCUUGAUACGUCUCCAACGUAUCUAUAAUUUUUGUUGGUUCUAUGCUAUUAUCUUGUUAAACUUUGGAUGUUUUGUAUGCCUUUUAUAUCUUUUUUGGGACUAACUUAUUAACUCAGUGCCAAGAGCCAGUUCGUGUUUUUGCCGUGUUUUUGACCCUUUUCACACGAGAAUUUAAAACGGUGUCCAAACGGAAUAAAACUUCCGAAAAGAUUUUUUCUGAAACAGAAGAUACGCAGGGGGCGUGAGAACCAAGGCAGAGGCCACGAGGGGAGGCUACAAACCCCCUAGGCGUGGCCAGGGGGCGCCUAGCAGGCUUGUGGGGCCCCUGUGGCUCGUUUGCCCUACCUCUUCCGCCUAUAAAUUCCCGAAAAAUCCAGAACUGCGCGAGAGAGCCACGAAAAUACUUUUCCGCCGCCGCAAGGUUUUGUCUCUACAGGAUCCCAUCUGGGGAUCGUUCUGGUGCCCUGCUGGAGGGCGGAUUCGGAUAUGGAGGGCUUCUUCAUCAACACCAUGGCCUCUCCGAUGAUGCGUGAGUAGUUCACCAUAGACCUUCGGGGUCCAUAGCUAGUAGCUAGAUGGCUUCUUCUCUCUCUUGGAUCUUUAGUACAAAGUUCUCCAUGAUCUUCAUGGAGAUCUAUCCGAUGUAAUCUUCUUUUGUAGUGUGUUUGUCAAGAUCCGAUGAAUUGUGGAUUUACGAUCAGAUUAUCUAUGAAUCUUAUUUGAGUUUCUUCUGAUCUCUUAUAUGCAUGAUUUCAUAUCCUUGUAAUUCUCUUUGAGUUGUGGGUCUUGUUUGGCCAACUUGAUCUAUGAUUCUUGCAAUGGGAGAAGUGCUUGGUUUUGGGUUCAUACCGUGCGGUGACCUCACUCGGUGACAGAAGGUAUAGCGAGGCACGCAUCGUGUUGUUCCCAUCAAGGGUGAAAAGAUGGGGUUUAUAUCUAUUGCAUGAAUUUAUCCCUCUACAUCAUGUCAUCUUGCUUAAGGCGUUACUCUGUUUGUUAUGAACUCAAUACACUAGAUGCAUGCUAGAUAGCGGUUGAUGUAUGGAGUAAUAGUAGUAGAUGCAGACAGUAUGAGUCUACUUGUCUCGGACGUGAUGCCUAUAUGUAUGAUCAUUGCCUUAGAUAUCAUCAUGACUUUGCGCGGUUCUAUCAAUUGCUCGACAGUAAUUCGUUCACCCAUCGUAAUACUUGCUAUCAUGAGAGAAGCCUCUAGUGAACACUUUGCCCCCCGGGUCUACUUCACAUCAUAUUUGUAGCUCCACACUUUUACUUUGUUGCACUUUCCACCUUCAGAUCUCACCUUGCAAUUAAUCGUGAAGGGAUUGACAACCCCUUUAUAGUGUUGGGUGCAAGUUUGUUUGUUUUUGCGCAGGUACAUUGGUGACUUGCCUUGAUACUCCUACUGGAUUGAUACCUUGGUUUUCAAACUGAGGGAAAUACUUACUGCUAUUGUGCUGCAUCACCCUUUCCUCUUCAAGGGCAAAACCAACGCAAGCUCAAGAGGUAGCAGCAGCGCCUCUGACCCGGGCUAUACUAAGCUGGAGAUCGACUGUUGGUUGUGCCCGGUACGAUUCCCGAUCUCAGUUGUUGUGGGUAAACUGAGGUUGGUCUCCAUCCCGUCGAGUGGGAGAGUACCUUCUAGAUCCAUAGAUGGACCUGUUGCGACUUGUCCAAGUCGUGAUGUAGGUUGUGUCUGCUCCUAGGUUGCACAUGUUCCUCCCCUUUCCCGCUGGGAGGCUCGUGUCUAUACUUGGCUUCUCUGUCCGCUCUGUCACGCCCUCGAGGUGGGCGAUUAGGCCGAUCAUACAGUGUGCGCCUAGGGACACAGGAUCUGGGGCCUCAUCAUCGAACCGAGGCAGCAUGCGCCAGCAUGGGUAGCUUUUGUUUUGAUCCAGCCACUCGGUGCCAUAUACUUCUUCGGUUGCGAGUACUUUCAUUUAUCUAUUGUUGAUGGUAUCUUCUUCGUCUUGGAGCCGAUCUUGCUUCGCGUGGAGGCUGCGGGCGGUAGCUAUGAGCUGCUGCCUGAACCCUUCCUGACCCUCAAGGUCCUCGCGAACUGUGAAGUGUUCGGCCUCUAAGUUGUCUUCCGCAUCAUAGGGGAGGAGGUAGUUGUCGUCAUCUGAAUCGUCGGUGUCAUCAGGAUCGGACUGACUCUCGGGCUUGUUCGGGUCCUCCGGUGGCUCGGGAGCCCCAAGGUUACCGAGGUCCUCCGACGUUGUAUUUCCCCGGUGCCCUGUAUGGUCUCCCUUCCCUUGUUCGCCUUGGCUUGUUUACGCCGUCUUUGGUGCUUUGAUGGCUUCUCCCUGGACUUAUCUCCAUUUUGUGUGGGGGUAUGAUGUCUACUACACAACUUUAUUCUUGUAGACUCGUGUUGGGCCUCCAAGCGCAUAGUUUUGUAGGACAGUAGCAAUUUUCCCUCAAGUGGAUAAACUAAGGUUUAUCAAUCCAUGGGAGGUGUACGAUGAAGAUGGUCUCUCUCAAGUAACCUUGCAAUCAAAUACACCCAAUACAAUGGUAAAUUGUAUAGGUGCACUAGUUUGGCGAAGAGAUGGUGAUAGAAGUGCAAUACGGAUGGUAGAUAUAGGUUUUUGUAAUCUAAAAUACAAAAAUAGCAAGGUAACAAGUGGAAAACAUUGAGAAAAAUGUUGUAUUAAUGCUUGGAAAUAAGGCCUAGGGUACAUACUUUCCCUAGUGCACUCUCUCAAUAAUGCUGACAUAGUUGGAUCCCUCAACGUGCAACAAAUAAUCACUCCAAAGUUCCUAUAUAGUGGAGAACAACAAGAUGAAAAUGGUGUAGGUAGUAGAACCACCUCAAAGUUAUUCUUCCCGAUAAAUCUAUUCAAGAGUUCGUACUAAGAUAACAUCAAGCUAUCCUUUCCGUUCAAUCUAUUCAAGAGUUCAUACUAAGAUAACAUCAAGCUAUCCUUCCCGUUCGAUCUAUCUAAGAGUUCGUACUAGAAUAACACUAAUGAUACAUAUCAAUCGACCCUAGUGUCACCUAGAUACUCCAGUGUCACCUCAAGUAUCCGUGGGUAAAUUAUGCGACAUGCAUCAAACAAUUUCGGAGCUAUCAUAUUCAAUCCAACCCAAAGAGCGUGCAAGGAGCACCCCAAGAUUUCUAUCGGAGAACAUGGUAUGAGAACGAGCAACCAACCCCUAUGCAUAGAUCCCCAAGGUCACCGGAACCGGCAAGUUGAUGCCUCAACAUAUAUCAAGUGAAUCAAUAGAAUACCCCAAUGUCACUACGGGUAUCCCACGCAAGACGUACAUCAAGUGUUGUCAUACCAAUAUGCUCAAUCCAACAUGACAAGAUCUUAAAGGAAAAGACUCAAUUCAUCACAACUAGAUGGUAAGUGAAAUACAUCAUAUGAUCCAACUAUAUUAAAAAAGCCCGUGUUCUUGAGAUCAUGCCAUCUCAAGAUCACGAGAGAGACAGAGAGAGAUUGAACACAUAGCUACUGGUAUAUACCCUCAGCCUCGAGGGUGAACUACUCCCUCCUCGUCAUGGCCUCCGCCAGGAUGAUGAAGAUGGCCACCGAUGAUGGUUUUCCCUCUCCGGCACUGUACUGGAAUCACUCUAGAUUGGUUUUUCAGCAAUACAGAGAGUUGCGGCGGCAGAGCGGAAUUUCUCUCUUUACUUCUGGGGCUUCUCACAUUUAUAGGAUUUUUCAGCGUUGGAAUCACGCGCAACGAAGCCACGUGGGCCCCACAAGCCAUCAGGGCGUGUCCAAGGCCGUGGCUGCGCCCUCUUGGCUUGUGCCUCCAUGGAAACCCUCCUCUGGUGGUUCUUUGUUCCAACAUUGCUCAUAUGUUCCAUAAAAAAUCAUAAAAAAGUUUCGGGCGAUUCCGAGAAAUUCCAUUUUCUACACAAAAAAACAACAUCACAGUAAUUCUGCUCAAAAUAGCGCCAGUCCGGGUUAGUUCUAACUAAAUCAUAUAAAGUGCAUCAAUACCAUAUAGUUAUUAUAAACAUAGGAAAAUAUGGCAUGAAUAUUUCAUAAAUUAUCGAUACGUUGGAGACGUAUCAACAUCCCCAAGCUUAAUUCCUACUCGUCCUCGAGUAGGUAAAUGAUAAAAGAAAUAAUUUAUGAAGUGUGAAUGCUAGCAUAAUGUACAAUAUUGAUCAAGGAUAAUUUCAGCCAUUUUUCUAGCAUCAUAACCAACAAGUAUUUCUCAUAAAGCUUCUCAAGAUCAAGUAGCAAGUUAUUCACAUGUUAAAGUAUAUACCAGAAACUUUCUUGAAAAAUAGCAAACUAUGUUUUCAGUUAUCAAACAAUUACAAUUCAUCUUAUUUUCAGGAAGGGUCUAUGUAAGAGCUUUGAUUCAGCAAAUUCCACAUACUCAUCUAUCAUUUAGUCAUCCAUGAUUGCUGACACUCAAAGUAUAUUUUUAGAACAAACAGUUUCAGUCAAACACAAGGAAGAUAGGGGCUUAAAGUCUCACCUCCCAACUUAUUUAUCUCGGGGAUAAUGUGAACAAAUAUUCAAUUGGUAUAUGUGUGUGGAUCUUUCCCCACCACAUGAUGCUUGCCAACUACGGAAUUAAUAGAUUGGAAUAAGAAGUUGACUCGACAUGAAAAGUAAAAGAUAUGCCCUUCAUAGAGGGAAGCAUAGGUUGCCAUGCGCUUUUUAUUUUUGGAUGUAUAAUCUGUUAAAGAAAAGGAACGUCACUUUAUAUUGCCCCUUGUGAUGGCACCCUUUAUUAUGAAGUCCGUCACUUUUAUUUCUUUACCAUCUCAAGUUUGUACAAAGCUUAUUUUCCCUUCCAAUAAAAGAACAUACAUAUUUAGGAGCAAUUUUUAUUGCUUUUUGCACCGAUGACAACUUACUUGAAGGAUCUUAUUCAAUCCAUAAGUAGAUAUGGUGGACUCUCAUGGCAAGAAACUAGGUUCAAGGAUUUGGAUGCACAAGUAGUAUCUCUACUUAGUACGAAGUUUUGGCUAGCAAAAGGUUCUAAACAAGCACCACAUGUUACAGGAUCCAUGACAAUAUAACUGCUAUGUGAAUAUAAACAAACAUAAUCAUUAAGUUGUCUUCCUUGUCCAACGUCAACUACUUGAUCAAGUUUGAAAAUAAUUAAUGGGGCUCACAAUCAUAGAAUAUGUCCAAGAUAGUAUAUCUAUAUAUGAAACCUCUCUUCCUUCAAUGUUCUUUCAUGAAUCGUUUAAAUGACCAAUGUUAUGUUUACUAACUUACAAUAAAUUUUACCGCAUAUACUCCUAGUAUGUGAAGUUAUUUCUCCCCAUGGGAUAAGCUUAUGAAGCAUACAUAUGAUUUCACAUUUAUGAUAUUCAAUUCAUUCAACGUUUUACUCUUAGGAUAUAAGUGAAGCACAAGAGUAAACGUCAAACUACUCUCAAAAUAUAUAAGUGAAGAACAAUGAGUAGUCAAAAAAUUAAGUAGCUAUAUGAGGACUCUCUCUCAGUAAAGAUUUGUAGAUCUUGAUAUUUUAUUCAAACUGCAAAAAACACAAAAAUAGCACUUCAAGAAUAGCAUAUAUCAUUUGAACGAAUAAAAAAUUAGGCUCAACAUAGGCUAGCCGAUAGUUGACGAAGAGGGGUGGGAUGCGUAGCAUCCCCAAGCUUAGAUGCUUGAGAAUUCUUGUAAUAUUAUCUUGCGGUGCCUUGGGAAUCCCCUAGCUUGAGCUUUUGUAUCUCGUUCAAUCCUCCCAUGUCCCGGUUUCACCUAUGUCUCAAAAACUUCAUCCACACAAAACUUGAAAAGAACUCGUGAGAUAGGUUAGUACACAUAAGAAUAAAUCAACACUUCAUGUACUACCAAGACAAGUUGCAUAAUAAUUUUCAAACAUUAUAUACUGUAUACUAUCAUUUCCACAAUUUAUAUCUACCAAUUUAAGUCUUGAAAACUAUAGAAGAAGUAGAUAACAAAACUAUGACAUCAAUCUGUCUAAACAGGACAGUCUGUAGCAAUUUAUUGAAACAAUGUACUUCUGUAACUCCAAAAAUAUUACAACUUUAGGACAUGAUAGAAAAUUUGUAUCCAAAUACUGAGUAUAAAUUUCAGAAACUUUCGAUGUUCCAGUAAAAUUACAUAAUUCAAAUACUACAGCAAAAGUUUCUGUUUUUAUACAGCACAACUCACCCAUGUAAUUCAAGCAUCCUAAAAGAAAUUCUUGGAACUUUUUGAUUGAAAAAUAAUAUUAUAAAUAACAUCUAACAGAGAACAAAAAAAUAAAAUGAUGCUCCAAGCAAAACUCAUAUUAUGUGACGAAUAAAAAUAUAGCUCCAGGUAAGAUAUACAGUAUCGAAGACGAAAGAGGGGAUGAUUUCCGGGGCAUCCCUAAGCUUACCCGCUUGGGUCUUCCUUGAAUAUUACCUUGGGGUGCCUUGGAAAUCCCCAAGAUUUGGGUCUUUCCAGUCCUUAUUCUCCUCAUGUCGGUAUCUCACCAAAAACAUGAAAACUUCAAUCACACAAAACUUAACAGAACUUCGUGAGAUGAGUUAGUAUAAUAAAGAUAGAUCAUUCACUUAGGUACCAUCAAGACAAGAUUCAUAAUUGUUACCACAUAAUACCUACUGCAUUCUAUCAUUACCAUAAUUUAUAUCACGAAAUAUAAGCUAUAGAAACACUAAAACAAGCAAAGUAUGCAUGCAAAUCAGAAUAUGUAAAAAACCGAACAAUCUGUGAAGAUCUGACUGAACACCAUACUUACUUGGCUCUAAAAAUUCUUAACAAUUAGGAAAACGCAUACAAUUUUCAUAUAAAAACUUUAUAAAAAUUUCAGAUUUUUUUGACUUUCCAGUAAAAUCACAUAAUUCAUAUACUAGAGGCAAAAGUUUCUGUUUUUGCACACAUUCAAACUAACAAGUUUCCACACUAUCCCAAAGGCUUUACUUGGCACUUUAUUGAAAUAAAAUAUACAAAACAUGAUUACUAAAGUAGAUUAAUCAUGUGAACACACACGAAUAUAAUGUAAAAGUUUUGGGUUGUCUCCCAACAAGCGCUUUUCUUUAAAGCCUUUUUAGCUAGGCAUGAUGAUUUCAAUUAUGCUCACGUAAAAAAAUUGAAUUGGAACACAAUGGGAGCAUCAUGAAGCAUAUGACAAGCACAUUUAACUCUAAUCCUCUUCCUAUGCAUAGGUAUUUUAUGAGCAAACAAUUUUUGGGAACAAGAAUCAACUAGCAUAGGAAGGCAAAACAAGCAAAACUUCAAGAUUUUCAACACAUAGGGAGGAAACCUGAUACUAUUGCAAUUCCUAAAAGCAUAAGUUCCUCCCUCAUAAUAAUUUUCAAUAGCAUCAUGAAGGAAUUCAACAAUAUAAGUAUCACCUAAAGCAUUAUCUUCAUUAUGCACAAGCAUAGAAUUUUCCACAUAAGUAAUUUUCUCCCCAUUCAUAGUAGUGGGAGCAAACUCAACAAAAUAACUAUCAUGAGACAAUUAAUUGACAUAACCAAAUUGAAUAUUAAAAUCAUGAUGACAAGUUUCAUGGUUAUCAUUACUCUUCAUAGCAUACAUGUCAUCAUCAUAAUCAUCAUAAAUAGGAGGCAUGCCAUUAUCAUAAUAAAUUUUCUCAUCAAAACUCGGGGGACUAAGAAUAUCAUCUUCAUCAAACGUAGCAUCCCCCAAGCUUGUGGCUUUGCAUAUCAUUAAAAUCAUGGACAUUCAAAGAAUUCAAACUAACAAAAUUUCAAUCAUGCUCAUCAUUCAAGGAAUUCUCAGUAAAUAUUCUCACAAAUUCUUUGUCUAACAAUUGAGCACAAUUUUCCAAACCAUUAUUUUCACGAAAGACAUUAAAAAGACUAAACCAUUGAGGCAAUGUAAAUCCCAUUUCUAUUAGUUUUAUUUUAUAAAACCAAACUAGUGAAAAACAAGAAAUUAAAAAAUUUAAUUGCAAGAUUUCAAGAUAUACCUUCAAGCACUCACCUCCCCGUCAACGGCGCCAUAAAAUAGCUUGAUGUGUACUACACAACUUUAUUCUUGUAGACUCGUGUUGGGCCUCCAAGCGCAGAGUUUUGUAGGACAGUAGCAAUUUUCCCUCAAGUGUAUGACCUAAGGUUUAUCAAUCCGUGGGAGGUGUAGAUGACGAUGGUCUCUUUCAAGCAACCCUGCAAUUAAAUACAAGAAAUCUCUUGUGUCCCCAACACACCCAAUACAAUGGUAAAUUGUAUAGGUGCACUAGUUCGGCGAAGAGAUGGUGAUAGAAGUGCAAUAUGGAUGGUAGAUAUAGGUUUUUGUAAUCUGAAAAUAUAAAAAGAGCAAGGUAUCAAGUGGCAAACAACGGGCAAAACGUUGUAUCAAUGCUUGGAAAUAAGGCCUAGGGUACAUAGUUGCACUACUGCAAUCUCUCAACAAUGCUAACAUAGUUAGAUCCCUCAACGUGCAACAAAGAAUCACUCCAAGGUUCCUAUCUAGUGGAGAACAAUAAGAUGAAAUUGGUGUAGGUAGUAGAACCACCUCAAAGUUUUUCUUUCCAAUCAAUCUAUUCAAGAGUUCAUACUAAGAUAACAUCAAGCUAUCCUUUUCGUUCAAUCUAUUCAAGAGUUCGUACUAAGAUAACAUCAAGCUAUCCUUUCCAUUCGAUCUAUCUAAGAGUUUGUGCUAGAAGAACACCAAUGAUACAUAUCAAUCGACCCUAAUGUCACCUAGAUACGCAAAUGUCACCUCAAGUAUCCGUGGGUAAAUUAUGCAACAUGCAUCAAACAAUUCUAGAGCUAUCAUAUUCAAUCCAAGACAAAGAACGUGCAAGGAGCACCCCAAGAUUUCCAUCGGAGAACAUGGUAUGAGAACGUGCAAUCAACCCCUAUGCAUCGGUCCCCAAGGUCACCGGAACCCGCAAGUUGAUGCCUCAACAUAUAUCAAGUGAAUCAAUAGAAUACCCCAAUGCCACUACGGGUAUCGCACGCAAGACAUACAUCAAGUGUUGUCAUACCAAUAUGCUCAAUCCAACAUGAUGAGAUCUUAAAGGAAAAGACUCAAUUCAUCACAACUAGAUGGUAAGGGAAAUACAUCAUAUGGUCCAACUAUAUUAACAAAGCCCAUUUUCUUGAGAUCGUGCUAUAUCAAAAACAUGAGAGAGAGAGAGAGAGAUUGAACACAUAGGUACUGGUAUAUACCCUCAGCCUCGAGGGUGAAAUACUCCCUCCUAGUCAUAGACCACAACAUGUCCCUAGUGAGCCUCUUGUUGGCUAGCUCGUUGAUCAAUAUAUGGUAAUGGUUUCCUGAUCAUGGACAUUGGAUGUCAUUGAUAAUGGGAUCACAUCAUUAGGAGAGUGAUGUGAUGGACAAGACCCAAUCCUAAGCAUAGCACAAGAUCGUGUAGUUUGUGUGCUAGAGCUUUCGUAAUAUCAAGUAUCAUUUCCUUAGACCAUGAGAUUGUGCAACUCCCGGAUACCGUAGGAGUGCUUUGGGUGUAUCAAACGUCACAACAUAACUGGGUUAUUAUAAAGGUGCACUACGGGUAUCUCCGAAAGUGUGUGUUAGGUUGGUACGAAUCGAGACUAGGAUUUGUUGCUCCGUGUGACGGAGGAGUAUCUCUGGGCCCACUCGGUAAUGCAUCAUCAUAAUGAGCUCAAUGUGACUAAGAAGUUAGCCAUAUGAUGAUGUGCUACGGAACGAGUGAAAAGACUUGUCGGUAACGAGAUUGAACAAGGUCUAGGGAUACCGACGAUCGAAUCUCGGGCAAGUAUGAUACCGGUAGACAAAUGGAAUUGCAUACGGGAUUGAGAAUCCUCGACAUCGUGGUUCAUCCGAUGAGAUCAUCGUGGAACAUGUGGGAGCCAACAUGGAUAUCCAGACCCCGCUGUUGGUUAUUGGCCGGAGAGGUGUCUCGGUCAUGUCUGCAUGUUUCCCGAACCCGUAGGGUCUACACACUUAAGGUUCGGUGACGCUAGGGUCGUUAUGGUAGUCAUAUAUGUGGUUACCGAAAGUUGUUCGGAGUCCUGGAUGAGAUCCCAUACGUCAUGAGGAGUUCCGGAAUGGUCCGGAGGUAAAGAUUUAUAUAUGGGAAGUCCUAUUUUGGCCACCGGAAAAUGUUCGGGAUUAUUCGAUAUUUUACCAGGAAGGUUCUAGAAGGUUCCGGAGUGGGGCCCACCUGCAUGGGGGACCCACAUGAACGUGGGUAGUGGGGGCAAGGCCCCACACCCCUGGUCAAGGCACCGCAAGAUCCCCCCUUAGAAGGAAUAAGAUCAUAUCCCGAAGGGAUAAGAACAAGAUCCCUAAAAAGGGGGAUCACAAUUGGUGGGGAAGGGAAAGAUGGGAUUUCUUUCCUCCCACUGCUAACGCCCCAAUGGACUUGGAGGGCAAGAAACGAGCCCCUUCCACCCCUAUAUAUAGUGGUGAGGCGCAUGGGAGCUGAACCCUAGCCCCUGGCGCAGCCCUCCCCCUCCUACACCUCCUCAUCCUCCGCGGUGCUUGGCGAAACUCUACCGGAGAACCACAUAGCUCAACCGCCAACAUGCCGUCGUGCUGCCGGAGUUCUCCCUCAACUACUCCUCCCUCCUUGCUGGAUCAAGAAGGAGGAUACGUCCUCGGGCUGUAGGUGUGUUGAACGCAGAGACACCGUGUCGGGACCCCGAUCCUAAGCCAUAGGAAUUCUGCCUGUAACACAUCGCAUCCCUUUGUGGUCUCACGCACGGUUAACUCCACGGCUGCAGCCUUACCUUAGCCGGGACAGUUUGCGUCUUUUGACUCACGUAUGCAUUAGUGUCGCUAGCAUUCCAAUGUCAAAGAACCCGGAUCAACAAGUCUAGUCAUAAACCAAAGUGGCAGUACCGCACAAGGACAUGCAUACAUGACCCAACAAAGCAGGUGUCGGUCACAACGAGUGUAGACGAGUCGUAGCAAGCUACAAGGACUCCAUUACAUCGCGUGACAUUUCCCCAAAGGGGACAGACACAUCAUCUAAGAAGGACACAUGCCGGUCAACCAAUGUGUCCGGAGCAGUAGCAAGCUACCAUGGCUCGUUGGAUCACAAAGGGGCAUUUCCCUGUAAGGAGUGCUACUAAAAUUCACGACUAGGUAAUCGAACCCCAUACAUAUCAAUUACGACACACGUACGCAUGGCAUACUGAUAUGUAUAGAUAUAUCGAUGGCAUCAGAACAUAACCAUAAACAUACAAGCUUUAUUUAAGAGGCUCAGAAGAGCCACACACAUAAUAUUACACAGUAAGGGUCUCACGACCCAAUAGCAGUCAUUCAGUUACAAGCCAACGGAAGAGUUUAAAACUGUCUGAGUAUAGACAGGUGCAACUAAAGGGGCACAUGGCCUGACUAUACUACAGAUCCAACGUAGGGCCAGAUCGUAGCUGGGACACCAGCUACUCGUCGUCGUCGAUGUCUACGAAGAAGCCUCCAUUAGGGUCAUUAGCAACCUCUGCAACAUUUAUUAAGCAAACAUGAGUACGAAGGUACUCAGCAAGACUUUAGGAUAACUAUCUACUCAUGCAAUGUAUCAAAAGGUAUUGUGGGGUUUCAUGCGGAAAGCCAGCAUUUGACUCGUGGCUAGACAACUUGCAUUUUUAAAUAAUUUUGACAACUUGAUUUCUCGCACACGAGUCCACUAACACCACAACAAUACACCAUCGUGGAAUCAUUCCGUCUCCAUACGGAAUUGCCGUCCACGACACUCACGGUUAUCUCACUACUAGGAAAAGGGCUAUAGAUGAAAUAGAUACUAAUGGCGCACCACACAAGCCGUGCGCCACUACUAUAUAGUAAUGGCGCACCAUGUGAGGUGUGCCAUUAGUGUGGUGGAUACUAAUGGCGCACCACACUCUCGGUGCGCCACUACUAUUUUUUUUUUGCAAAACUACUAAUGGCGCACCAGCACCUGGUGCGCCAUUAGUAACCUGGUUACUAAUGGCGCAUCUGUUAGUAGUGCGCCACUACUAUAAAAAAAAUUUGUUUUUUUUUGCAAACUACUAAUGGCGCACCAAAGCUAGUGCGCCAUUAGUAACCAGUGUUACUAAUGACGCAUCUGUUGGUGGUGCGCCACUACUAAUUUUUUUUUACAGAACUACUAAUGGCGCACCGGAGGAGGUGCGCCAUUAGUUACCAGGUUUACUAAUGGCGCAUAUGUAGGUGGUGCGCCAUUAGUAACCUCGGACCAGCUAGAUAUUUUGGACAGCCAGCUACCACACUCACUUUCCCCACUUUCAUUCUCUCCACCUCCUCCUCCAAGCUUGUCUCGGGUGCCUCCUCCUCCUCACCUCAUUUGCAUCAUAGAUUCACCCAAAUUAAGUGGUUAAAUUACCUUUUUUUGAUAAGUAAGUAAGGGGAAAGCUUUUAUGUUGUAGAUCUACUUUUUUCUCCCUCCAACAACGUGCACAUGCACUUUUUAUGGCCUAGCUAGAUCUACGUAUGUUUGUUGUGUUGCAUAUGUUUGUGGUGUUGCAUAUAUGUUUGUGUUUGCAGGUACCGGUAUUUGAAAUGCGAUAGUUGCCAAUAUUUUCCCGAAAUGUUGAUUCAUUUCCGUUUCGGCGAGAAUUUGGCACUAUGCAUUCUUUUUUGUCCUAUUUUUAGGCAAAGUCAUGCCAAUUUUUUUUUGGUUCUAAAAUAUCGUUUUGCUCUACCCCGCAGGCGACCAUGGUCCGCACGAUGACCGAAGGCAUCGUGAAUAGGUUUUUGAGCUCCGCGAAGGCCGAGAUGCUUCAAAAGAACGAGACGGAGAUAAGAUGUCCGUGUCGAAGAUGCAAGCUGAAGAGCCUUAUGGACCCGGAUUCCGUAAAGGUGCGGGACCACCUGCUCUUGCGUGGUUUCAUGGAUGGCUAUCGGUGGCAAGGUGAUGAAGAUGAUUAUGAAGUCGUCCAUGGGGGCCGGGAAAGAUAUGAGGAAGGGCAUGAGCAAGACAACCACGGCGAGGGCGGGCGAGAAGACAAAGAAUCUCCAGGACACAGUCAUCAUGUAGAAGAUGCCGGACAUGAUGAUGAGGAAGAUGCCGGAGCAGACGAAGGGCAUGAUCAUGAAGAUGAAGAUGCCGGAGCAAACGACGAUGGACCAUCGAUGGCCUGGGUGCAGGACCCUCAUAUUCAAGAGCUGCUUCUCAAGCAGACGGAUAACGCAAGAGCUGCCGCCCGAGAGAAAGCCAAGCUGGAUCAACUGGAGAUAGACGCGGUUACUCCAUUGUAUGAAGGAUGCAGGGCCGAGGAUAACCGCCUGAAAGUAACGCUCAUGGCUCUGGAGAUGAAGGUAAAACACAAAAUGACCGACGCAUGCUUCGACGAGAACAUGUCAUUCUGGCACGAACGUCUUCCCAAGGGGAACAAGUGCCCGACCAGUUUCGAGGAGGCGAAGAAAAUCGUGUGUCCUCUAGAUUUACCACACGUGAAAUACCAUGUGUGCAUGAACAAUUGCAUCAUUUAUCAGGACGAGCAUGGGGAGUCUACCAUAUGUCCGGUGUGCGGUGUCAGUCGAUACAAGAAGAGGAAGAAAGCUCCUCGAAAAGUGGUAUGGUACUUUCCGAUCACUCCUUGUCUGCAACGGUAUUUCGCGGACCCUAAGGUAGCAAAGCUCCUGCAUUGGUACGCGGAUAGGGAGGAGAAAAAGCGAGAAGAUGACGGAAAUGAUCCGGAGAUAAAUAAAAAAGACAAGAUGCUGAGUCACCCUAAGGAUGCGAGCCAGUGGCAAGCGUUGAACUAUGAAUACCCAGAAUUUGGGGACGAUCCAAGGAACAUCGUGCUGGGCGCGAGCACCGAUGGAGUCAAUCCGUUUGGCAGCCAGAGAAGCACACAUAGCACCUGGCCUGUGUUUGUGUGGAUGUACAACCUUCCCCCCUGGUUGUGCAUGAAGAGGAAGUACAUUCACAUGAGUAUGCUAAUUGAAGGGCCGAAACAACCAGGGAACGACAUCAAUCUAUAUCUAGGGCUGCUGAAAGAGGAGCUAGACACGUUGUGGAAAACGCCAGCCAAUACGUGGGACGCCGCAGAGAAAGAAUAUUUCCCUAUGGGAGCCGCACUGCUCACGAUGGUGCACGACUAUCUCGGUUACGGAUAUGUCGCGGGGCAGGUGGUCCACGGAUUUUCUGGAUGCGUCAGGUGCAUGGAUGACACAAUGUAUCGCCAGCUAGACAGAGAUCCCGGGUCUUCAAAAACCGUGUUCAUGGGACAUCGAAGGUGGCUUCGCGACGAUGACACAUGGGGAAAACGCAAGGAUCUGUUCGAUGGUGAAACCGAACCCCGAAGACGCCCCCUUAUGAGGAGCGGCGAGGAAAUAUACAAGCUGUUGAAAAAUUGGAAAGAGAGCCCACCGCCGGGAAAGGCGCCAGAGCCGGGAAAGAAGCGAAAAGCGCCAGAGCCGCUGCUGAAGGUAUGGAAAACAAGGUCUGUUUUCUGGGACUUGCCGUACUGGAAGAUCCUGUGUGUGCCUCACAGCCUUGAUGUCAUGCAUAUCAUGAAGAACGUGUGCGAGAGUCUGCUUGGUACCCUGCUCAACAUGCCAGAGAGGACCAAAGAUGGACCGAAAGCAAGGGCAGACUUGAAAUCAAUGGGCAUCAGGGAGGAGCUUCACACUAAUAAUGAUGAUGAUGAUGAUGAGGCGAAGCAGGACACAGAAAGUCGUCUCAAAGGCAAAAAGUCCAAGAAGACCGGAAAUGACUUCCCUCCCGCGUGCUUCACUCUAAGUCAGGAGGAGAUCGAUCAGUUUUUCACCUGCCUCGUAGGAGUAAAACUUCCUUACGGUUACGCGGGGAAGAUAAGCAGAUACCUAGACUCAGCGAAGCAGAAGUUUUGCGGGAUGAAGUCUCACGACUGUCACGUGCUGAUGACGCAGAUACUUCCAGUUGCAAUCCGUGGGAUCAUGGACGCGCACGUCCGUGAAACGCUAUUUGGCCUAGGCAACUUUUUCGACGUCAUCUCUCAGAAGUCGGUUGGCGUGAGGCAACUCAGAAGGUUACAGGAAGAGAUCGUGGUGAUACUAUGCGAGCUUGAGAUGUACUUCCCGCCAGCAUUCUUCGAUGUUAUGGUGCAUCUGCUGGUCCAUAUCGUGGAGGAUAUCAUCCAACUCGGGCUGACGUUCCUGCACAACCUGAUGCCGUUCGAAAGGAUGAAUGGUGUCAUCAAAGGAUACGUUCGCAACAUGUCACGUCCAGAGGGAAGCAUUGCCAGGGGCUUUCUGACCGAAGAGUGCAUCUCCUACUGCACGAAUUAUCUAGGCAUCGAGAACCCCGUUGGUCUGCCCGUCAACAGGCACCUCGGCAGGCUCGCAGGAUGGGGUCACCGUGAGGGUCGCCUCGAAAUGCAUGUCGACUUCGAGGGUCGACUCGCCGAAUUUGAAAGAGCAAAUCUAGUCGCGCUACAACACAUAGACGUGGUCGAUCCUUGGGUCGUAGAGCACAAAACCUUUAUUGAAAAGACGUACAAUGACCGAGGCCAACAGAGGACGGACGGAGAUAUAACCAAAGAGCACAACUCAUGUUUCACGCGUUGGAUAAAGCAGAAGCUUCUGUCGUACCCUUUACAUGAGGAUUCUUCCACGGAAGAACAACUCAUAUUCGCCUUGUCACACGGCGCCGAGCACAACCUCAUGACGUAUGAGGCGUACGGUACCAACGGCUACACAUUCUACACUGAGGGAAAGGACAUGAAGAGCGAUGGUUAUCAGAACUCCGGGGUAACGAUGGAAUCCUACACCGGUAACGACAAGGACAAAUACUACGGAAGGAUCGAGGAGAUCUGGGAGCUGAGCUACGCUGGAGAGAAGGUCCCGAUGUUCCGUGUCAGAUGGGCCAAGAGCGUCAUAAAAGAAGACCGGUAUUUCACCACCAUGGUUAUACCCGAAGCCAAAUCCAAGACCGCGGGCGCAAACGUCACCGCGAAAAAUGAGCCAUGGGUACUGGCUUCCCAAGUGGACCAAUGCUUCUUCAUUACCGACCCGCCAAAGCCCAGUCGUGUUGUCGUGAGGAGAGGCAAAAGGAAGAUCAUCGGAAUGGAUGGAGUCUCCAAUGAGCAAGACUUCGACAAGUACGGCGACCCGAAGAUGGAAUAUGACGACGAUGAUGAAGUACCAGCAUACACCACAAGAAGAAGCAGGACCACCCUACCUAAAGGACGUUCGUUCAAGAGAAGAACUCCAUUUACGAAAAAUAAGGGCAAGAAGAUUGUGAACAAAUAGCUAGCUAAGAUCGAUUGUAUUUAAAUUUGAUGAUAUUUUUUCAUAUUCAAUAUUGAAUAUUCAUGAGGACACUCGAUCUCGAUCCCCUCCAUCUCGAUCGCUAUCACCCCUCGCAAGAUCCCCCUCGCCGCCGAGCACCCCCGCACCCUCCCCCGCUCCACCGCCGUCGCCGUCGGCAUACUUACCACUAGAACACCUAUUCACAAGAUACUAGGCACUUCUCAAAAAAAUACUAGGCACUUCUCAAACCAAGGUGCAACCAGCACAAGAAAACAAUGCAAAAAAAAUACUAGGCACUAGAUGUUGUUGUGAGGCACUAGAUAUUCAUAGGCAUCUAAUUGCAAACAUCAAAAAAAAUACUAGACAUCUACUUGCAAACAUAAAAAAAAUACUAGGCACUUCUCAAACCAAGGUGCAACCAGCACAAGAAAACAAUGCAUAGAAAAAAAAGGAAAAAAAAAGAGGGGGGAACAGGAUUCGAACCCGCAACCUCCUGCUAGGAGGCAAAACCCACGGACCACUACGCUGCUACUUCAGAGGUUAACAACAUAGAGAAGGCGCACCUCAUAUACAUGCACCAUUACUACAUAAAAAACCAUUCUAAUGGCGCACCGCUCGGGGUGCGCCAUUCCUAAGCCGGAUCGCGCCCUCCUCUCUUCUCCCGCGGCCUCCCCCCUACCCCUUUCCACCAAAGAGCAGCUCCCCCACCUUCGUCCACGCAGCCCACGGAGCUCUGGCGGCGCUAGGGUUUGCUCCGCCUCUGCCUCCGCCGCCGCCGCCGCCUCCGCCUCCGGCACGUAGCCGCCGGCCGUCCCGUCACCGCCUCUGCCCGCCUUGCCGCCCUUUCUCGUCGCCGGACGCCCAUCUUCCCAGAUCCUCGGCACCUGCCUCUCCGUCGCGCCCUCGACCUGCACGGCGCUCGGCGCCAGCUGCGCCACCGCCCCAGGCCGUGACCCCGCUGCCCUGCCCCGCCGCGUGGCGCCCCUGCAAGCCGGCGGCAGCCACCGACCGCCCAGUCUGCACCCCGACACUUGGCUUAGUCUGAUUUGAGGUACCAUUUUACAAUUCCCCAAUUUUUUGGUUUAGGGUUAGGCGGUUAGCUUCAUUGCUCGCUGAUUUGUUGUGUUGUGCAUACUCGACUACAGUACAUGAACAUGAACUGGUUAAUUUAGCACAUCAUUUUUGUUCAAUUCUGUCAUUGAUUGAUAAAUGGUAAAUUCAUAUUCAUAUUCAUGAGGUUAUCAGGGUUUCUUGCUUUAGUUGCAGUCCUGCUAAGUUUGUAAUUAAAUAGUCCAAACAAAGUGGCAGGUGAUGCUGCAAGGUUAUAUUUUUUCUGCUGGUUUAGCUUAUAUUGGUUGGCAUGGAUGAGUGUUAAGUCACUGAAUAUUGUUUAUGUUUUGAUCUUUAGUUGGCUAUAUAUAAGUUUCACCUGCUGGCUCAAGUUUACUUUAAUGAUGCAAGUUAAAUAUAUAGCUACAAGCUAAUUUAAACAACAAACAGUGGCCCAUACUAGUGUUAGCUCGUGUGGUAUCGCACGCUUGCACAGUUUCGUGACCUCUUUUUCUCUACUUUUGAAAUGUUAGUUUGCUCAUGUGUAUUAAUCAAGGUGACAAACAGCAUGUUGGAGUAAACUUGUAAGGCACAUACUCUUUUGAUACUUAGGUGCACGUGAACUUGCAAGAGAUGCUCGAGCUACAAGACCCGAUGACCUCAUGAAUUCUGUUGUUGGAGGGCUAGCAAGUGGAGCUGUUCUUGGCCGAAUAGAAGGUUGGUCAUUAUACUCCAUGGUCAUAUGUUGACUUAUAUUUCUUUUCAUACUUAACAUCUUUCAGUGACUGUAGUGCUCAAUUCCUCCUUGUCCUUAUGAAUUUGAUCUCUAUAGUACACCAAGCAAGCUUAUAUAUCUGAAAAACUUAAGUUUAUGAUAUCACACAUACUAGCAGAUAAAGAUGCAUAUUAUAUUACAUUACGCACUGAAGCUCAGGGAAAUGUGCGAUUAUAGUCAGUCAUGUGCGUUCUGGUGGAGCUUGUGCAAAUGCUUAGAAGGUUGGUUCUGUGCCAACUAGCUGCAUUAGAGAUCAGACACGACCGAAAUAAUUUUUCACUAGGCUCGUAUUCACGCAUCUCUCUGCCUUGCCUUCUAUCCUUCCCUCCCAUUGCUCAACUGGAGGUGAGAUGCUGAUGCGUUAGAUAGAAGGAUGUUUUAUUUUCUGCUUCCAUACCAUCUACUGUAUUUCAUUCGAUCGAGAAGGGUUCAGUCCCAGUUCUUGAUUUCUGUAGUGAUUCUUAGAUCUUGCCCCCUUCCAUCCACCAAAUCUUCCAAUCAAUUUUCAGGUUAAUGUCAGGGCCCAACCACUCUGGAGAGCCGUGUUGUUCGCCGCACCUUUUAGAUCUUGGAGAUAUAGAUGGCUGGGCCAGUGCAACAAGCCUAGGUUUGAUGUCUUGGGAUCAAGAACACUCUUGACAAUGCUUGUGGUUUUCCUAGUGGCAUGAUAACUAGCAUAUGACAGGAAGAUGAGCACCAACACAAGAGCCUGACACGAUCUAAAGGAGAGAGGGCCACCGCGGAUACACUCGAAGAGCUGAAUCCCCAACGGCUUUAUGCUACCCAUUCUGCUUCUGCUCUCAUUAGAGGAGCCCAUGGGUGAGCCUGAAUUUGGUUUAUCCACUAACUGUUAAUGUAGCCGGGAAGAAGGCCGGCCGGUGUUAAUUAUUGCCUUUAUCUGAAAAAAAUGUCAAGCAUGGCAAUCGUCAGAACUAUCCAGAUAAGAUGAUAUAAAAAUGAAAGUGCUGACCGACAGCUUGGCACAAAUGUGGAACUUGGAGUUAUGAAAAUGAAAGUGACAGGUGCAAAUGCUUAAUUUUGCAACAAGGAGUAAUCAUCCUAUAACAAUGUUUGGAAGAAUUAUUGGGGCAAAGGACUAGAUGGUUCCUGAAAUAAAAUAAACAGAGCACACUAUAUUACUAUGAGUUUUUUAGCCUAGGUGGGAUGUUGCAAGCACAUCAUUGUUAAAUCACUGAAUCAGCGGCCCCUGGCAUCAGCAUACAUACGCCUACAAAUGAGCACUUUUCAUCAGAAUCAACCUCACAGGAUAGCCAAGCGCUCAGGCUCAAAAUUAAAAUCAGGGACCCUUUAUUGCAAAUACACCACCCCGGAUUGAGCAGAGAAAACAACCACUAUCUUCAUACAGUUGACAUUAACCUGAAAACAAAACUAAUUUACAAACUGUACCAACAAACAGUGUGCUCCUUGCAAUUCAACUUGAUUUUUGAGUUUGGUCAUACAAUACUCAUAUGUAGCACCCAUAUAGUUAUAUCAACUGUCAACUGUAAAUACCUCUGCUCCUUGCAAAUAAAUUUAAUAACUUAUGUAGCAGUAUGGUUUAUACUUGUCACGUGCACAUGCCGAUGUUUACAACUUGAUGAAUAAAUUUAUUCGCGGAAGAGAAGGCAAUAUUAACACUGAGCUAUGUAUGUGUAUAUGCAGCCAAGAUAAGUAGCGAUCCACUACGACGACCCCAUUCGCUGCAGGUGUUCUUUCUUUCCUUCUACAGUACAUCAGUAGUAGUACUAUCUUGUUUGUACAGUAUGAUUUUUUUGCUGUCUUUAUUCACUGCUCUCUCAAACGUUCAGCAUAUUAAUCUUCCCAAUGGGGUUGAACCAACAGCCAGUGGGUUUCCAUUUUAAGUUUCUACCAGCAACCUGUGUUUCUAUCUUGGGAUACUUCCAUUUUUCAUGCUGGACAUACGCCUGCCAUAGAAGUAUCCUAGGAGAACAUAAUCUUCAUAGUUCAUCCAUUCCUGCACUUUCUGUUGAAAUGUAGACAUUCAUAGUUCCAUAUAAAUAUUGGAAUGUAGUGCAUCCAGAUGUUAGCAUUGUGGUGCUAGUUUGCUGGGUUUUGUUUACGACCAUCGUGUCGUGAUGAUUUUGCAGGUACCCCGAGAGGCCCUUGAGUUUGCCGGAAUGUCGAUUAACUUCCGUUCCGGCAAAUUCAGGUACUCCAUAUGUCCUAUUUUCAGCAAAGGUAAUGCUGAAAUUUUCGGUGAAUUUUAGCAUGACUUUGCUAAAAAUAGGACAUAUGGGGUACCUGCGACUAAUGCAUGGGCCGAGGCAUCUUAGUACUUAAUUAAGUAGGAUCAACUGCCCCUUUAUUCUUGCUGCAUUAAACCAUAGGUGGCAAUAGAGCCAAGUGAUUAGGCCCAACUUCCCUUUUCUUGAUAGGGUAUAUUAUUAGAAGAUACCCAUAUAUAUCAGUCAACCUAGGGUGCCUCGGCAUUGAUAAACCCUAAAUGAUGAAACCAUAGGGUGCCUCGGCAUUGAUAAACCCUAAACUUUUUUCCUAUUUAGAGCGAAACAUGGCCCACAACGAUGAGGCCGGCGGUUCGGGAAAGUCAUUCUGGGAGCUGUCCCAGGAGAUGGAGGAAGAACCUCACCGCUAUGAGGACGCCGCGGUAGACACCGAUCCCGAGUACACAACCCCUAGUGGCGUCGGGGAUGACACCACUGAUGGUCCCGCCGAGAAUGCCACCACUGAUGAUAGCAGCGCACACACAGAUGGCAGCCAAUCGAAGAGGCAACGGAAGGACCGGCGCCCGAACGUGCUCAGCAUCGUAAAGGAGGAAUUUACUGAAGUGAACUCCGACGGGUAUCCAAUGGCGCCCAAAGAAAUAGUCAAGGGGUAUGCGGUUCAUAAGGGGUACACGGUUCAGCUCGGGUGCAUUCUCCGGAGCACUGUCUCGAUCAACACCGAGAACCUAAGGCAUAAGGACCGAGGGAAUUUGCGCAACCUCCUCUUCACGAAGCUGCACGAAUGAUACAAGUUCCCCUGUGACGUCGCAAACACACGCCUCUCAAGGAAUAAAGUGAACAGUGCCGCCCUCAUGAAGAUGAGCAAGGCCCUAUCUACUUGGAGAAGCGUGGUGAAGAGAAUGAUUGACAAAGGUGAUAGUUAUGAGAAGAUCAAGGCGAAAAAUCCUUCGAUCAGCGAAGAUGACUACAUGGAGUUCAAGAUCAAGUGCGAGAGCAAGGCAACCGCGGAAUCAAGUCAAUGGGGGCAAGAAAUGCGGGAGUUGAACUUAGGGGUCCACCAACUCGGUCCCGGCGGUUACAGAGUGGCGGAACCUAUAUGGGACAAGGAGGACGCGGAGCGUGCCGAGCAAGGCCUACCACUCCGCUUCGAGAAAUACGGUGACAAGCAGACCAGGAACUAUGUCAAGGCCCGGUACAAGGUGGACCCUGUAACAAAGGAGCUUACCACGGAUGCGAAGACCAGGGCGCUUGAGCGUGUUCUCGUAAGGAAUACACCCCAUGUAAUUAGCUCCAUAUGGUUGCAUUCUAAUUAAUGAAGCCAAAUUUCUAAAUGGUUCAUUCCUUCCGCGGGACACUGAAAGCAGUAGCGCGGGUCGUCUCAGAGCUCCCAUUGGGACACCAAUUUAAAUAGGGCGUUUAGCAUAAUGAAAAACAAGGAUAAGUCCAGUAAGCCGUCGUCAGCUGGUCGUGUGGCCGGCAAAGGCUUGUCCACGAAAUGGUCGUCAUACUAUAACGCUGGUGGGCGAAAGGAGAGAAAUACCAACUUCGAAAGCUAGUCGCGCGAGGUUGAAGAACUCAAGGCAAAAGUGGCGCGGAUUCCGGAGAUGGUCCAAGAGCUAGUGCAACACCAAGUGGGAGGGUGAUCACCGCCAUUGUGCCUACCUUGAUUGAGGGGCUGCAGGCGUGGAUUGCGGGCGGCCAACAGGGGCCGCCCCCGAUUCCUAGCUUCACGGCCAGCAACUCGCACAACGCGCAGGAAACACCAUUGGUAUCUCCGGCGCCGGUGCCAUUGGUGUCUCCGGCGCCGGCCGGCACCUCGGCAGCAAGCGGCCCCUCCGUCACUUGCACGCCCGCCGUUGGCGGUGCCUCGACAUUAGCCGAGCUCGACGCCAUCACAGUAACUAAGCCUCUCUCGGCCGAUGACUUCAUCUCCUUGCCUUUGACUGGGCAUCCCCUAACGCCCUAGAUGUUUUCGCAGGGCGCCGGCGCCGACGUUCCAUGCACUCUCCUGCACUUCAUGGGCGGCGAUUUGAUCGAUGUCGCCAAGGGCAGAAUCAUUCAACCGGGCAACCCCAUGUUCCACGGUAAACCGAUGCCACCCACCACGUAUAGGGUUCAACUGGUUCGGGUGCUGCCAGGCUGCGACGACUUGUUACCUCCGUUCCACCCUGCUGGGGCCGACAAAGAUGAUGUGAUGAUCCUCAGCGCCUGCUUAAGCUGGCCCUUGCUUUGGCCGAAGAGCCAGAUUCGUUUGGGGGCGGGGGACACCACCCCACAGACAACACCGCCAGUCGUGCCGGCGCCAAGCCAUGGCAAGACUGCCGCAAUGCUACCGGACAUGCAUAUGGCACAGGAUCCGGACAUGCAUAUGGCACAGGUUUCGGACGACGACGAUGAAGACGAUGGUACAUUUACCAAGGUCGAUAAGUACUUUGCCGAACAUGGGUACGGUGAGGAAUUCUUGGGGCCUCCUUCUCAAGAACCCAACCCUGCAAAAGACGACCGCGAUCUAGCUGGUACCGCGGAGAAACCCAAUUGCAACAGGCGUUGUCUGGUGUUUAGUUUUGAGGAGACGCCUCUAGCUGCUGCCUUCACCGAGCCUCAGAUAGCCGAGGUGCGAAAUAUUAUCAGCCCCAACACACUCAAGAAGGUGGUCUCUGAGCAGAUGAAUUGGAUCCCAUUACAUCAGCAGAAGAAGGGACGGAAAAGAAAUACUAACAAGGGUGCGAGCCAGCCGGCACUGAGUACGAUCCGUGCUCUGGACGGGCCACCUUCACCUAAGGAUAUCUCGAGGAGGGUGCAUGUGGCGGGUAGGCCGAUGCUACCGACUAAUCUGCUCAAUGCUGCAACCGGUGCUAUGCGGAGUCUGCAUGACAGUGUUCUUUGUUUGGAGAAGCGGCGUCUCUCCGAGAAUAAUGUGGCAUACCCGAUUUUCGUGGCCAAGGUGCCAGAGGGAAAGGGCUUUGUCGAUAGCGCCAUCGGGGGUAUGAUCGUCCUGCGGUUUGCUGACAUCUUCGCUAUGUUUAACCUUCAUCCGCUGCACUACACCUUCGUUCGGCUAUUUUUGCUGAGUAUGGAGAUGCGGAUCAUUAGAGACAAGACCCUGGACCUAGUGAUAGUCGACCCCUUUUAUAUGCGUGCCAAGAUCUUGGGCAGCGCUGGGGACCGGCAAGUCGCGAGUUCAUACCUCGAAGGCGUCAUUCUGGCAAACUCAGAAAAGGAUAACUUCCUCGUGCCUUACUUUCCCUGGUAAGUUAUCCCCUCAUCGCCACAUAACAUAUGAUUUCUUAGAUUUUGAUCGUCCUUUUUUUUCUAACAUUCCGUGUUUUGUGCAAUGACACACGUUGCACACUCAUCCUCUUAAGCCUGAAAUAUUCCACGGCCACGUAUUUCGACUCGGACCGUCAGUCAAAAAAAAGACUACACAAAUAUCAAGAAAGUUCUUGAUGAAGCUCUUCCCGGCAACGCCAUAUCUGGAGGCACCUUCAGCAGGNNNNNNNNNNNNNNNNNCAGCAGGACAAGUCUCAGGCAUGGCAAGCACGUGUUCACUCACAAUACGACGUUCGCCUGCUUCAAGCAGCCGCCUGGCAGUCAGAAGGAUGCCUACUACGCCCUACAUCACAUGCGGGCGAUCAUACGGGAUAGUAAUCACCUUCGGCUACCAAAUAAUCUCAAAGAUUGGGCCGCACGCUUGUCGGCAAUCCAGGAUGCGGACAUCAGACAAGAAUUCUUUCGCAUCCAGUCGGAGUUUGCGGAAAUCAUCCAUCAAGAUGUCCUUCGUACCUCGGGGCAGUUCUACCUCAAAUCUCUGCUGUCCAAUAGUGAGAUAGAUACAAUGCUACAAAUGCAGGCUGACAAUGACCGCAAUUUCAUGACCAUCACGAAAGACGGCGGCUUCAUCCAUGUUCCCGUGAAUCGCUACUAAUUCAUAUUGCAAUAUUAAACUUUAAUGAACUGGUAUGUCUCUUUGGUUUGGACAGUCGUUCAACUUAUAUAUAAUCGAUGCUAUUUAUUAGUAGGACCAUGAAUCAUGCUGUUAUAGUUGUAAUAUUAAACUUUAAUGAACUUGUAUGUCUCUGUGAAUUGUUACUAACGUUUUGUUUGCCUAGUGCAGAGAGAUGCCGUCGUAUGUCAUGUACAAGGGUAAGGUUCCCGGAGUCUACGACGACUGGGAGGAGUGUCGGAGACAGGUUCACCGAUUCAGCGGUAACAGUUACAAAGGGUACACCACAAGGGCGGAGGCGGAAGUUAGAUACGCGCGCUAUCUAGCGGGAGAGAGGAGGGAGCGUUGGAGGAACCGGAUGAAGAACAGUUUCAUUGCGAUUAUGCUCAUCGUGAUGACCGCCGCUCUCUUCUAUAUGUGAUGGUAGUUUAGAUGGUCGAUAUAUCGACUUGUAAUGUGAAGACAAACUCGCUACUCGCGGUCUCGAGACUUGUAAUGUUCUAACUUUGUUCAGUAUUUUAAAUUCGGAGACUAAUAUGAUGAAUUGUAUUCGGAGACUAAUCUUCUAUUGUAUUCGAUAAAUCUGUUGUUUAUAUGUUGUGCUAUCUAUAUUCUGUGCAAUAAUAUAUUUUGUAAUUUGUGCAAAUAUCAGAAAAAAUAAAAUAAAUACCUAAUAUUCAUACUAGUGGCGCAUCACUCAGCACAUUAGUAAGCCAGAGCAUAUGGGUAAAUAUGGCCCUGGGAGGCAUACUAAUGGCGCACCAUAAGCUAUACUAAUGGCGCACUAGUAUCUAUACUAAUGGCGCACUGUGAGCAAUACUAAUGGCGCACCGUGGGCAAUACCAAUGGCGCACCGUGAGCAAUACCAAUGACGCACCGUGAGCAAUACUAAUGGCGCACCGUGAGCAAUACUAAUGACACACUACCUGGUGCGCCAUUAGUAUACCAGAUACUAAUGGCGCACUUGUAGUGCGCCAUUAGUAAAAAAAUCUAAUGGUGUGAUGCUAGUGGCGCACCUAUAGUGCGCCAUUAGUAGCAAAAAAAAUGGUGCGCCAUUAGAAGGCCUUUUUCUAGUAGUGUCUUGACAAUUUUAUGAGUAUCCAUUGAAGUUAUCUAUGAACAACAUAUGUCUCCAAGUAGUCCAUAUCCGCGGACGCGGCUAUUCGAAUAGAUCAUAACCCUGCAGGGGGGUACUUCGUCGCACACGCUCUCGCCACUUAUCGCCAUGUGCACGUCAUGCACCUCAGCAACCUUCAAACGGAAGCGCGGCGAGGGAGUCGGCCACGACCGUUAACCACACUAAUACCUAGUCUAGGUUUAUCGCCUAUCUGAGGGUAACCCGCACGGAAGUCCGGCCGAGGUUUCCGCCACGGCCCCAAACGAUGUGCGCAGGGUUCUCAAGCCCACCAUCCAGGUGCCACUUGGUACACCGUGCCACUGCCUACCGCAUCACAGCCCACCUCUCAGGUCAACACCAUGCACGGCCUCUAGCAUGACUAUAAACACCAGAAACUACUUGCAACUCCUGGACCGAGUACUAAGCGAUUAAUAAGUAGAGAGGGUCAAUUAAGUAUCCCAACGUGUGGUAGUAUCUAGUCUUGGAUUACAUACACGGAACUCAGUUCCUAAGGACGGUUCCAAUGAAACAACCCACCAUGUACUCCUACACAGCCUUUCACCAGUACCUUUACCAAAUCAGGUUCAACACACAACCUUUACUUACCGAACACAUUCUCACAAUCUGUUCAUCUCCCAGAUGACAGACCAUACAUAACUCUAAGCAUAGCAUGCUAGCAGGAUAUGACACAUCAUGGCUCAAGCAACUACCAGGUAUGCUAGGUUGCAAGGUUCGGCUAUUUACUGUAACAAGGAUAGGUCAUGCAAAGGAAGUGGGUUCAACUAACGUGGCAAAGCAUUUGAAGCAUUUGAUCCUAAUGCAAAAAGUAAGUGCAGGAGCAAGAGCAUGGGAUUUAUCGGGAUGAUCAAAAUGGUUGCUUGCCUUGUUGCUCAGAGGAGUGACAAUAUUCGUAAGACGGAUAUUCGGUGGAAUCCGGGGGAGCGGAGCCUACCGAAAGGAAUGACAACAAUCAAUAUCAAUCAUAUGCAAUCAAGAUGAUGCAUGAGCAUGGCAUGAGAAUGCAAGGUGACAAACUAAUAUAGUUAGCAUAUAUUAGGUUUGAAGUUGAUUUGAAUCAAAUUCAAAUAUCACUUCAAACGAGGUAUUCUCGGAUACCAUUUUAAUUGAUUCGACUUGAUGCUCAGAUCAACUUGAUGUUAAAAUGCAUGUGAUGACAUGUUAAGUUGCUGGUUAGUAAUUAGAACAGUGUUUGAUCAUGCCAUUCAUAGUGAAAUUUAAAUAUUUGCCAAAUUUCAUUUAUAAAGUAUUUAUAAGAAUUGACUUAUUCAUUAAUCUACAUAUUUGGGUUCUGUAACAUUUUCAAACAUGUUUGAAAAUGGCAUAUUCAGAUUCCUUAGAUUUUUCUGAUACUUUUUCAUAUAUAAAUUAUUUUCAUUGGAGUUACAGAUUAAUUUCUAUGAAUUUUUGAAGUUUUGGCAUUUUUCUAGAAUUCUUUUAAAUCUAGAAAUGCAUUUACUGCAUCAGCCAUACGUCAACAUGACCUCAGCAGGUCAAAAGCGCCAGCCCAGGUCAAACCUGGCGGCUGGGCCCCACAUAUAAGUGGCUCUGGGUUACUGACUUUGUUUCUGAUUUAAUUUUUACUAAUUAAACGCGUGGGGCCUCAUGUCAGUGCCUCAUUAGGUUAACUAGACAGGGAGGUUAGUGCUAAUGACGGCCACUGCAUCCUUCCAGAGAGCUGCCGACGACCACCACAUCCGAUGGCAGCACCUCGCCGGAAUCGGCAAACGGCGACGGUUGGACGCCGGAGACCACCAGGAGGUAGCACGCGUUGGGCCGCAUCCAUUCCUGUAGGUUUGAGGGCGAGGGGGUCGCUGGAGACGACAGGAGCAACGACGGGGCGGCGGCCCGUGCUCGGCAAGAUGGGGUCGAGGCCAGGGAUGCGAGGGGGACGAAUUUGGGGGUGGCUACGGGUUGCUGGGAGCUCCCUGAGCAUGCUGAUGUGCUCAGCAGCGAUGCUCGGGGGGGGCGCUAGCCACGGGGUGCCAUGGCCGGCGGCAGGAGCUCGGGCUCCAUGGCGGGAGGGGGCUAGAGGAAGAGGGGUUCGACGGAAAGGGGGGGAAAGAAAGAAGAGCUCACAGCGGAUCAAGAGAGAUAGGCGGCUGGCUCGAGGACGACCUGUGGCCGGCGGAUCGACGUCGGCUUCCGGCGGCCUUCGGUGGUGUUGACGCGGGGAGACAGACGAGAGAGAGAGAUCUGGGGAUAAGAAUGAGGAGGAGGGGAUUGGAACGGCUCUCCCGAGCUUAUCCUAGCCACCAGGUCGGCGGGGAGGCCAGACGGGCAGGCAGGAGGUGGCCGGCUCGGCCGCCGUGCUCAUCUUCUCCCCUGCCUACUGGCAGGAGGAGGAAGAUGACCGGGGAGCCCUUGGUGGGCUGGGCCGGCGACAAAUAGAGGUGAGCCCUACCUUUCUCUUAUUUCUUUUCUAUUUUGUUUCUGUUUUGCUAAUUCAUUAACUUGCUAUUUAUUUCAGCUCCCAAAUAGUUUGUAAAACUAUUUUAAACACACCAAAAUAUUUGUUGGAAUAUUUCCAACCAUUCCCAAAGUUUUCAAUAUUUUUGAAAGUUUAAAGUUUCUGAUUUCAAAUUUAAAACUUGAAACCAGUAGCUUUUUGCAUUUAUUUAAAAUGCUUAAAGUGUCAAGAAAAAGGUUUUCUUCAUUGCUUAUUUACUUUCAUGAUUUAUCAGAAAGAUUGAACUUUUCUUGAGGCCAUUUUGGGUUCAUUGAUUUUAACUAUUUAGAAUUUUCCCUCAUUUUGAGAAGUGGCUAGGGUUUUAGCAUUUUCCUUCAUAAUUUACUUUGUUCUUGUUGAGAAAUUUCUAGAUGCAAUGCAAAGAAAACAUGAGCACAAGCUAACUUGCUUAAGGUGUCAGGGAUGUGACAACUCACCCCCACUCAAAAGAAUCUCGUCCCGAGAUUUAGAAGUCGUCGGGAAUAACGCAGGAUACUCAAGGCGGAGACGAUCCUCUCUUUCCCAAGUUGCCUCCUUUUCAGAAUGAUUUGACCAUUGAACUUUAAGAAACUUGAGGUUUCAACGUUGAGUGGUACGCUCAGCUUGAUCAAGAAUACGCACGGGGUAUUCUCGGUAUGAAAGGUUAUCUUGGAGAUCAAGCGUUUCGUGGUCCACUUCACGGAUAGGAUCCGAAAAGCAACGCCUGAGUUGCGAGAUGUGGAAGACAUCAUGAACCUUGGAAAGAUGCGGAGGAAGUUCCAACUGGUAGGCAACUUCUCCUCGUUUGGCAAGAAUGCGAAAAGGACCAAUGUAACGAGGAGCCAACUUGCCCUUGAUACCGAAUCGAUGGGUACCCUUCAAAGGUGUAACCCGAAGGUAAGCCUUCUCGUCAACUUCAAAGGUCACAGCCUUAUGAUGACGAUCAUAUUGGCUCUUUUGACGAGACUGGCUGUUUUCAACUUUUCACGAAUAAUGCGAACCUGCUCUUCUGCAUCCUGGAUCAUAUCCGGGCCAAGGAGUUGCCUCUCCCCGGUUUCUGACCAAUUAAGAGGUGUUCGACAUCUUUGUUCAUAGAGAACUUCAAAAGGAGCUUUGCCCAAGCUUGAUUGAUAACUAUUGUUAUAAGCGAAUUCGGCGAAUGGAAGCACUUCUCCCAAUUCAUACCGAACGAUAUAACACAAGCUCGGAGCAUAUCUUCUAGGAUUUGAUUCACUCUUUCUACUUGACCACUUGAUUGGGGAUGGAAAGCAGUGCUAAAAGAUAAGUGAGUCCCCAUGGCAUUCUGAAAACUUUCCCAGAAGCGAGAAGUAAAGAUACUCCCACGGUCCGAGUUAAUCUCCAGGGGAACACCAUGAAGAGACACUAUUCGAGAGAUAUAUAACUCUGCUAGCUGGCUAGCUGUUAUACUCUCACGAACGGGAAGAAAAUGAGCCACUUUGGAAAGACGGUCAAUGACCACAAAUAUAGCAUUAUUUCCUUUCUUGGUCUUGGGAAAUCCGGUAAUGAAAUCCAUACUAACUUUAUCCCACUUCCAUUCAGGAACAACUAGAGGUUGAAGGGUGCCAGCAGGCCUUUGAUGUUCUGCCUUAACUCGACGACAAACGUCGCAGUUAGCAACGAACUCAUCAAUUUCUCUCUUCAUCGUAGUCCACCAAAACCUCUGGCGUAGGUCCUGAUACAUCUUAGUACUACCAGGAUGAAUGGUGAGAGGAGAAUCAUGAGCCUCCUUAAGGAUCAAUUGCCGCAGACGUUUGCUCUUGGGAACCACUAAACGGUUCUGAAAGAACACAACACCUUUCUCAUUGAUGGCGAAAUCCCUAGCGUUACCGCUAGCAAUAUUCUCCUUGAUCCGGGAUAUACCCUUAUCAUAAGCUUGCACAACUAUGAUUUGAUCCCUAAGAGUAGGCUUCGCCACCAGGGUAGAAAGGAAUCCUUGAGGAACAAUGUGAAGAUUCAACUUCCGAAAGUCCUCAUAGAGAUGUGGUUGACCUUGUUGUAGCAUCAAAUUGUUACAAUAAGAUUUACGACUUAGUGCGUCGGCCAUAACAUUGGCCUUCCCUGGGGUGUAAGUUAUCCCUAAGUCGUAAUCCGAGAUCAACUCAACCCACCAUCUUUGCCUGAGAUUCAAAUCCGGCUGGGUGAAGAUAUAUUUCAGACUUUGGUGAUCAGUGAAUAUUUCGCAACGAUUACCUAGAAGGUAAUGUCGCCAGGGUUUUAGUGCAUGGACCACAGCUGCAAGCUCAAGGUCAUGUGUGGGAUAAUUAUCCUCAUGUGGACGCAACUGUCGAGAUGCAUAUGCGAUCACAUGACGAUCUUCCAUGAGAAUGCAACCUAAUCCUUGUCGCGAGGCGUUGCAAUAGGUAACAAAGUCCUUAGAAAAAUCUGGUGGUAGCAACACAGGUGCGGAAGUCAGGCCUCUUUUCAGUUCCUGAAAACUAUGCUCACACUGUGGUGUCCACUCGAAAUUUUUAUCCUUCUUGAGGAGUUCAGUUAGAGGCUUUGCAACCUUGGAGAAAUUCUCGACAAAGCGGCGACAAUAGCUCGCUAGACCAAGAAAACUCCUAACUUGCUUAACCGAUUCAUGUUGAGUCCAAUCAAGGACAGCUUGAACUCUCUCAGGAUUGACAGCAAUACCCUUACCAGAGAUUACGUGACCUAGAUAGGUCACUUCUGGUAACCAAAAUUCACAUUUUGAAAACAUGGCAUAAAGGCGAUGCUCUCGAAGUUUCAUCAAUACCAGCCUUAGAUGCUCAGCAUGUUCUUGUCCGUUCUUCGAGUAGAUGAGAAUAUCAUCGAGGUAUACCACGACGAAUUUAUCCAAAUACUCCAUGAAGAUUGAAUUCAUCAGACGAGAGAAGGUGGCUGGGGCAUUGGUUAAACCGAAGGACAUGACGGUGUACUCGUAUUGGCCAUAACGAGUAACAAAAGCCGUUUUUGGAAUGUCCCCGUUCUUGAUCUUGAUUUGAUGGUAACCCAACCUCAAAUCCAUUUUGGAGAAGACUGAGGAUCCAGUGAGCUGAUCGUACAGGUCGUUGAUCCUGGGAAGCGGAUACUUGUUCUUUAUGGUGACCAGAUUAACUGGUCGGUAAUCUACAACCAUCCGAUUCGUUCUGUCUUUCUUCUUGACGAAGAGGACGGGGCAAGCCCAAGGGGAAGAGCUAGGACGAAUGAAACCUUUAUUCAAGGCCUCAUCUAGUUGCUUCUUAAGUUCGGCUAGCUCCAGGGGUGCCAUCUUAUAUGGUCUUCUGGCUAUUGGGACAGUUCCCGGAACAAGAUCUAUCACAAACUCUACAUCUCUGUCAGGUGGAAUCCCUAGCAGUUCCUCUGAAAAACAUCCGGGAAGUCACAGACUACCGGAAUGUCUUCAAGUUCCGGAAGAGGGUUGGCAUUUAGGGAAUAGAGUUGGCAUUCGGCAACUCGAGUAGAGACAUUUACUAUCUCACCCGAGGGAUGGGUAAGCUGGACAUUUCUAGAAUGAGUAUCAAUCUUGACAUAGUGAGCUGACAUCCAGUCCAUGCCCCAGAUGAUAUUAAUAUCCGAAGAUUUCAAGGCUAUCAACGAGGCUAGAAAAACUAGCCUGUCUGCUAGAAUUUCAUUGUCAUAGGUUAUCCUAGAGGUUUGCCAUUUACUACCACGAGUUUGGACAACCAAUGGAAUUGGCAUAUCACAAAAAGACAUGUUAUGCAACUGUGCAUAACUUUCUGAAAUGAAGGAAUGAGAAGACCCAGUGUCAAAGAGAACAGACGCGGGGUGAUGAUUAACAAGAAGCGUACCCAGUAUGACGUCGGGAUCCUCUGCAGCUUCUUCUGCUGAGACAUAGUUCACAUGGCCACGUGCAGGAGUUGGCUUCACAUAGUAAGCUUUGCUUGACUUGCCUUGCCCGACGGACUUUCCGGGUUGCUUGGCACCCACAUUUUGAGGACACUCAUGGGAAUAGUGCCCUGGUUCUCCACACUUAUAGCAUAUCACUUGGUUGGCACGUGGUGCAGCGUUGCUUGCUGGACCACCAUAAGCUUUUGCUGGAGGGUUGGCCUGAUUCGUCUGAGGCACCACGUAGGAUGGCCUCGGAGUGUAUCUUGGCGGCAGAGAACUGUUUGGAACCCACAGCCUGCGUUUUGGAAACGCGGAACCAGAAGACGAGCCAAAAUCACGGGAGUGCUUCCUUGUGGCCUCGAAGUCAGUAUGACCAGUCUCGGCACUGAUCGCCUUGUUGACCAGGGCUUGAAAGCUUGCACACUCGUGGAGGCGCAGAUCAUGACGAAGCUCAGGGCUCAGACCCUUACGGAAUCUUGCUUGCUUCUUGGCGUUAGUAGACACCUCCUCUGUUGCAUAGCGGGCGAGGUUACUGAACUCGCGGCUAUAGGCAUCCACGGUCAACUUGCCCUGAGUGAAGGCACAUAACUCCUCUCUCUUUCUGUCCAUCAGGCCCUCUGGAAUAUGGUGCAGACGAAAGGCUGCACUGAAGUCCGCCCAUGUGGCUGCUGGUUCAGCNNNNNNNNNNNNNNNNNNNNAGCAGGACGCAUAGCUUCAAAGUUCUCCCACCACAGAUUGGCGGGUCCUUCCAAGAAAUAUGCCGCAAAGGUCACCUUGUCGGCCUCAGAAACAUUCACAGAGCGAAUCUUGCGUGAGAUGCUGCACAGCCAGUCAUCAGCAUCGAGGGGAUCGACGGAAUGAUGAAACUUUGGAGGAUUCAGCUUCACAAAGUCGUUGAGGGACACUGCAGCAUUCCUAGCUGACGAGCCAUAUUCUUCUCAAUACGCUCUAACAGUCGGUUGGUCUCCCUUUUGUUUCUCUCUGCCUCAAGCAUAACUUCCGCCAGAGAGGGCGGGUGAGGCAGGUCUUCCUGCGACGCUUGACUACCCUCGCCUUGCUCAUGAGCAGGGGCACGGUUCAACCUGGUGAACACCAUCCUAACAAACAAACUCACAGCUUAGACCAAUAUCAUAUCAAUACUAGCUAUGGAUUAAGAAUGUACUGAACACACGGAAUGCGGAAAUGAAUAUCCGAACAGCAUGGUAACAAGCAACUGCUAUAUAUACACCAUGGUUCAUACACACCCUUACAUAGUUCAGUACAACCUUAACUGAAGAGCAAACUAAUGAAAUUAUGAAACUACUCAUCAGAGGCUUACAAGCUUCCUAUACAUUAUUUAUCUAGGCCUCCGGAAUUCAUUUCACAUCACAGGCAUACUUCACAAGUCACGCAAGACUGUGAACGUACGGCUACUACCAUACUAUCCUUCCGCUCACAGCUCAGGCAUCCGCAUAGAACAUCUCAUAGAGAUUACCUCCAUGACCUGGAAGCUCAACCUGCGGAUCAGGAAACACUCUAGCUUGAGACCCCUGGGAUCCAUAAGGACACAGAUGUGGCCUUGGUCCCCUGACUGGUGGUAAGAGGGGCCCUCGAAGAGGGGUGACUCCUCCUAUAGCUGGACAGUCAACGUGGGCCGGAAGAUGGGUCCUAACAGGGUUCAGCAUCUCCAUAUCUCCGUACCCUGUCUGGACUACCGGUGCCAGCUGCGUCAAAGCCGUCCACAGACGGGCACGGGUAGCAUAAAGCUCCAUGCGGAGAGCACGAGCAUCCCUGUCUCUGUUCUCUAGCAUCUCAAUAGUGGACUGUAGUAGUGGAUCCUCCAUAGAAGAAUCAAAAUAGACUCCACUGAGAUAUCCCUCUUCACCAGGCUGAGAGGCCGGAACAUAGUAGAACUCUGAAUUCUGCAACAGUGCAUGUCUCGCUCUCAUAAUGGUCAGCAUUGAAUAGGCAGCAUCUUGUACUGCCAUGUCAACAGUGACUCCCAACCCAUAGGACCAAUGGAUUGGCUCCUCGGCUCCAAGGUAGUCUGGAAAUACCCUAACAGUGCAGAUAUACUGGCUCUGGUUGAAGUCUCGGUACUGUUCCUCCACUGUGUACUCGGGGUACCAGCGGUAACCGCACAUCGACAUCACCCACACCAGCAUGGCCGUAUGACCCGGCACAUCAAUGCACCUGGUCAGACGUACCACCUGACGAAAAGGACGGCCAGGCAUCUGUAAAUAGAGAGUAAUGCAAAAGCAUUAGAGCUCUGAAUGCAAAAUUGGGUAGCAUAACGGCUGUAAAUGCUCAAAAACAAAUUUUGAGACAACCCAAAAAUGGAAUAGCGUAACCACUCAACUAUCAAGUUCAACUCUCUGAUCAUCAAACUUACUUCCUUUUUCCUAGGAAUGAAAGAAACCCAAUAUCUCUUGACCCGUAGUCCUAUAAUCUACCGAUCAGAAACACGAGCCUAGAAGAAGAUGAGUAACCUAGUCCUUAAUUCCCGCAGAAAAGACGAGGAUGACCAGAAUAGAAUAACUUAAGAAGAGAACAAGAGUCUUACGUUCCCUUCCACAAACAAUUCCCUUAUAUAUAACUAAUGCAAUUCUAGACUCAACUUCGACCAGUUUGGCUUAGUAAUCCUACAGUCAGUCAGGCUCUGAUACCAACGCUGUCGGGACCCUGAUCCUAAGCCAUAGGAAUUCAGCCUGUAACAUAUUGCAUCCCUUUGCGGUCUCACGCACGGUUAACUCCACGGCUGCAGCCUUACCUUAGCCGGGACCGUUUGCGUCUUUUGACUCACGUAUGCAUUAGUGUUGCUAGCAUUCCAAUGUCAAAGAACCCGGAUCGACAAGUCUAGUCAUAAACCAAAGUGGCAGUACCGCACAAGGACAGGCAUACAUGACCCAGCAAAGCAGGUGUCGGUCACAGCGAGUGUAGACGAGUCGUAGCAAGCUACAAGGACUCCAUUACAUCGCGUGACAUUUCCCCAAAGGGGACAGACACAGCAGCUAAGAAGGACACAUGCCGGUCAACCAAUGUGUCCGGAGCAGUAGCAAGCUACCAUGGCUCGUUGGAUCACAAAGGGGCAUUUCCCUGUAAGGAGUGCUACUAAAAUUCACGACUAGGUAAUCGAACCCCAUACAUAUCAAUUACGACACACGCACGCAUGGCAUACUGAUAUGUAUAGAUACAUUGAUGGCAUCACAACAUAACCAUAAACAUACAAGCUUUAUUUAAGAGGCUCAGAAGACCCACACACAUAAUAUUACACAGUAAGGGUCUCACGACCCAAUAGCAGNNNNNNNNNNNNNNNNNNNNNNNNNNNNNNNNNNNNNNNNNNNNNNNNNNNNNNNNNNNNNNNNNNNNNNNNNNNNNNNNNNNNNNNNNNNNNNNNNNNNAGAUUCAAAACAAUAGUUUGCUAUUGAAAUGAAAACAAUAUUACUUCAAGCAAACUAGCAACGUAAUCAUGAUCUUUCGAAAUAACAAGGCCAAAGAAAGUUAUCCCUACAAAAUCAUAUAGUCUCGCUAUUGUCCAUCAUCCCUACACAACUAAUUUAAAUCAUGCACAACCCUGGUGUUGGCCAAGUAAUUGUUUUCGCACUCUUACUUUCUCAAACCUUUUUCAACUCUCACGCAAUACAUGAGCGUGAGCCAUGGAUAUAGCACUAUGGUGGAAUAGAGUGUGGUGGAGGUUGUGAGACAAAAAGGAGGAGAUGGUCACAUUGACUCGGCGUAUCAAAGGGCUAUGGAGAUGCCCAUUAAUAGAUAUCAAUGUGAAUGAGGAGGGAUUUCCAUACAACGGAUGCACUAGAGCUAUAAGUAUGUGAAAGAUCAAAAGGAGAACUAGUGGGUGUGCAUCCAACUUGCUUGCUCACGAAGACCUACGACAAUUUUGAGGAAGCCCAUCAUUGGAAUAUACAAGCCAAGUUAUAUAAUAAAGAUUCCCACUAGUAUAUGGUGGUGACAAAACGAGAGGCUCUCAAUCAUGAAGAACAUGGUGCUAUUAUGAAGCACAAGUGUGGAAAGAGAUAGUAGCAUUGUCCCUUCUCUCUUUUUUUGUUUGGGCUCUUUGGCCUCUUUCCAUAUCUCCUUUUUUUGUGGGCAACUUUGGCCUCUUUUUUUCCUCACAUGGGACAAUGCUCUAAUAAUGAUGAUCAUCACACUUUUAUUUACUCACAGCUCAAAGCUUAGAACGAUGAUGACUCUAUAGGAAAUGCCUCCGACAGUACCGAGAUGUGCAACGAUCUAGCUUGGCGUUUGACAUUGAAACAUCUUGCUAGCUAUCUUACGAUCAUGCAAUGGCAAUAUGGGAGUGAUGGCACAAGUCAUGAGACGGAACGGUGGGGGUUGCAUGGCAAUAUAUCUCGGAAUGGCUAUGAACAUGCCAUAGUAGGUAGGUAUGGUGGCUGUUUUGAGGAAGGCAUAUGGUGGGUUUGUGCACCGGCGAAAAUUGCGUGGUACUAGAGAGGCUAGCAAUGGUGGAAGGUGAAAGUGCAUCUAUACCAUGGACUCAAUUAGUCAUGAAGAACUCACAUACUUGUUGCGAAAGUUUUUAUUAGUAAUCGAAACAAAGUGCUAAACGCAUACUCCUAGGGGAAGGGUUGGUAGGUGUAAACCAUCGCGUGAUCCCGACCGCAACACAAAGGAUGACAAUCAAUAGAUCAAUUAUGCUCCGACCUCCUAACAUAGCGGUUCACCAUACGUACAUGUUACGGGAAUCACUAUCUUCAACACAAGUAUUUCUAGAUUCACAACACCCUACUAACAUAACUUUUAAUAUUACCAAAUCCAUGUCUCAAAACUAAUUGAGAGGAAUCAAACUUCUCUUCCUACUCAAUGCACAUGAAGAUGGAAGUUUUAUUGUAUCCUCUUUGGGUACCUAUCACCUUUGGGACUACUUUCAUAGCACAAGCCAAUUACAAAGUUACGCAACACCGUUCACUAAAAGAUCUAAGUGAAGCACAUAGAGAAAAAUUGUCUAGCUCAAAAGAUAUACGUGAAGCACAUGUGAGCUAAAUUGCCUAACUCAAAAGAUAUAAGCGAAGCUCAAAGAGUAUUCUAGCAAAUUCACGAUAAGUGCAGCAAGGACGAUUGUGACACAACAAAAAGAAAAGAAUCCUACAAUACAAGACGCUCCAAGCAAAACACAUAUCAUGUGGUGAAUAAAAAAAUAUAGCUCCAAGUAAUGUUACCGAUGGUUUGAAGACGAAAGAGGGGAUGCCUUCGUCCCAAGGCAUCCCCAAGCUUAGGCUUUUUGGUGUCCUUGAAUUUGGCUUGGAAUGCCUUGGGCGUCCCCAAGCUUGAGCUCUUUCCACUCUUUAUCCUUUUGUCCAUGAAAACAUCAACCAAAACUUGAAAACUUCACAACACAAAACUUAAACAAAAACUCGUGAUAUCAUUAGCACAAGAAAACAAACUACCACCUCUUUUAGGUACUGUAGCAAUCUUGAUUUCUAUUUAUAUUGGUGUUAAAUUACUGUAUUCUCACUUUUCCAUGGCUAGUACCCCCCGAUACGAUCCAUAGUUUCAUCAAAACAAGCAACCAACACAACAAAAACAUAAUCUGUCAAAAACAGACCAGUCUGUAGCAAUCUGUAUACUUCGUAUACUUCUGGUACCUCAAAAAAUCUGAACAAUUACUAAGGCCUGGGAAAAAAGCAUAUCAACCAGNAGCAAAAAGAAUCAACUCAAAAGCUCUUUCUGGAUAUAAAUGAAAAAUAAUUUCCUGAGCGAAAAGUUUCUGUCUUUUUCCAGCAGGAUGAAACAACCAUCACCAAAUUAGUCAUAAAGGUUUUGCUUGGAUCAAACACAAAAAGAAACACAAAAGACACAAUCAUAACAGAAUUAUGAUGGUGUGGACACAACAAAACAGAAAGAAAAGAUAAAUUCAUUGGGUUGCCUCCCAACAAGCGUUAUUGUUUAACGCCCUUAGCUAGGCAUUGAUAAUUCAAUGAUGCUCACAUAAAAGAUAGCAAUCGGACACGAACAGAGCAUCAUGAAAUAUGUGACAAACAUAUCUAAGUCUAACAUACUUCCUAUGCAUAGCCAUUUUAUAGGAAAACAGAUUGUCAGGACAACCAGUNAACCAGUAGUUACCUUAUGCAAGGAAGAAGAAAGAGACAAUAUCAAUCUCAACAUAACGAGAGGUGAUUUGGUAACAUGAAAGUUUCUACCACAACAUUUUCCUCUCUCAUAGCAAUUACAUGUGGGAUCAUAAUCAAAUUCGACAAUAUAGAUAUCACAAAGGAUAUUCUUUUCAUGAUCCACAUGCAUGCAAAGUUGANNNNNNNNNNNNNNNNNNNNNNNNNNNNNNNNNNNNNNNNNNNNNNNNNNNNNNNNNNNNNNNNNNNNNNNNNNNNNNNNNNNNNNNNNNNNNNNNNNNNGCGUGCUUCACUCUAAGUCAGAAGGAGAUAGAUCAGUUUUUCACCUGCCUCCUAGGAGUAAAACUUCCUUACGGUUACGCGGGGAAGAUAGGCAGAUACCUAGACUCAGCGAAGCAGAAGUUCAGCAGGAUGAAGUCUCAUGACUAUCACGUGCUGAUGACGUAGAUACUUCUAGUUGCAAUCCCUGGGAUCAUGGACGUGCACGUCCGUGAAACGCUAUUUGGCCUAUGCAACUUUUUAUACGUCAUCUCUCGGAAGUCGGUUGGCAUGAGGCAACACAGAAGGCUACAGGAAGAGAUCAUGGUGAUACUAUGCGAGCUUGAGAUGUACUUCCCGCCCACAUUCUUCGAUGUUAUGGUGCAUCUGCUGGUCCAUAUCGUGGAGGAUAUCAUCCAACUUGGGCCGACGUUCCUGCACAGCAUGAUGCUGUUCGAAAGGAUGAAUGGUGUCAUCAAAGGAUACGUUCGCAACAGGGCACAUCCAGAUGGAAGCAUAGCCCAGGGCUUUCUGAUCGAAGAGUGCAUCUCCUUCUGCAUGAAUUAUCUAGGCAUCGAGAACCCCGUUGGUCUGCCCGUCAACAGGCACCUCGGCAGGCUCGCUGGAUGGGGUCACCGCAAGGGUCGCCGCGAAAUGCAUGUCGACUUCAAGGGUCGACUUGCCGACUUUAAAAGAGCAAACCUAGUCGCGCUACAACACAUAGACGUGGUCGAUCCUUGGGUGGUAGAGCACAAAACCUUUAUUGAGAAGACGUACAAUGACCGAGGCCAAUAGAGGACGGACGGAGAUAUAAUCAAAGAGCACAACUCAUAAUUCACGCGUUGAUUCAAGGACAAGCUUCUAUCCUACCCUUUACAUGAGGAUUCUUCCAUCAAAGAAAAACUCAUAUUCGCCUUGUCACUGGGCGCCGAGCACGACCUGAUGACCUAUGAGGCGUACGAUAUCAACGACUACACAUUCUACACCAAGGAAAAGGACAUGAAGAGCGAUUAUCAGAACUCUGGGGUAACGAUGGAAUCCUACACCGGUAACGACAAGGAAAGAUACUACGCUGGAGAGAAGGUUCCGAUGUUCCGUGUCAGAUGGGCCAAGAGCGUCCUAAAACAAGACCGGUAUUUCACCACCAUGGUUAUACAUGAAGCUGAAUCCAAGACCGCGGGCGCAAACGUCACCGCAAAAAAUGAGCCAUGGGUACUGGCUUGCCAAGUGGACCAAUGCUUCCUCAUUACCGACCCGUCAAAGCCCAAUCGUGUUGUCGUGAGGAGAGGCAAAAGGAACAUCAUCGGAAUGGAUGGAGUCGCCAAUGAGCAAUACUUCGACAAGUACGGCGACCCGAAGAUGGAAGAUGACAACGACGAUGAAGUAGCACACACCACAAGAAGAAGCAGGACCACCCUACCUAAAGGACGUCCGUUCAAGAGAAGAAUUCAAGGGGUUCCAGGGCUAAAUUAUUCAACCACAAGAAAGAAGGGCAAGAAGAUCAUUGUGAAAAGAUAGAUAAUUGUGAAGAUCGAAUCACAAUGUGAUAUCACCUCAUAACAUGAUUUUUUGUAAGUGUCUCUCUCCGUGAGAUUUAUGGAUGGGUUAGGUGUAAACCUUUUGGCUAUUCCUUUACUUUUCGGUUAUUAAGUCAUGUGCAUGCAAUAUGUAACAAAAUUAUUACAUGGAACUAAAAAUCAAAAAUUAGUAAUAAUUUUAGUUAUUACAUGCAACUAAAAAUCCAAAAGUGAUAACCAAAAUUAUUACAUGCAAGUAAAAAGUGAUAACCAAUAUUAUUACAUGCAACUAAACAUCCAAAAAAAAGUUAGUAAUGGCGCACUAGGAGAAGGUGCGCCAUUGCUAUCCCUCCUCAUUUAUGGCGCACCACUAAAAGGUGCGCCAGUGAUAUGCCACUUAUGGCGCACCCCUAAAUGGUGCGCCAUUGCUAACCCUCCUCGUACUAUCCCCUUCUUCCCUCCCCUCACUCGCCUCUCCCCCGCAUCUCCACUCCAACCGCACCCCUCCCUCCCUCCCAUCUCCNNNNNNNNNNNNNNNNNNNNNNNNNNNNNNNNNNNNNNNNNNNNNNNNNNNNNNNNNNNNNNNNNNNNNNNNNNNNNNNNNNNNNNNNNNNNNNNNNNNNAUACUUUUGUCGACUUUGCCAGCCUUCUCAUCAGUAUCUAGGGUAGUUCCGCCUCAGUGACCAUUUCCCUCAUAACAGAAGCACUUAGUCUCGGGUUUGGGUUCAACCUUGGGUAUCUUCACUAGUGCAGCAACUGGCUUGCCGUUUCAUGAAGCAUCCCUUCUUACCCUUGCCCUUCUUGAAACUAGUAGUUUUGCUAACCAUCAACAAUUGAUGCUCCUACUUGAUUUCUACUUUCGCAGUGUCAAACAUUCCGAAUAGCUCAAGGUUCAUCAUAUGUAUCCUUGAUAGGUUAUAGUUCAUCACAAAGCUCUAGUAGCUUGGUGGCAGUGACUUUGAACAACCAUCACUAUCUCAUCUGGAAGAUUAACUCUCACUCGAUUCAAGCGAUUGUAGCACUCAGACAAUCUGAGCACAUGCUCAAUGUUUGAGCUUUUCUCCCUUACUUUGUAGACAAAGAAUCUUGUCGAAGGUCUCAUACCUCUCAACAAGGGCACGAGCAUGAAAUCCCAAUUUCAUCUCUUGGAACAUCUCAUAUGUUCCGUGACGUUCGAAACAUCUUUGGCACCUCAAUUCUAAGCCGUUAAGCAUUACACACUAAGCUAUCACGUAGUCAUCAAAAACGUGUAUGUCAGAUGUUCGCAAUAUCAAUAGACGACGCUCGAGGUUCAGCACACCGAGCAGUGCAUUAAGUACAUAAGACUUCUGCGCAGCAAUGAGGAUAAUCCUCAGUUUACGGAUCCAGUCCACAUAAUUGCUACUAUCAUCUUUCAACUAAAUUUUCUCUAGGAACAUAUCAAAAACAGUAGAGAUACAAUGCAAGAUACAACAUUAUUUGCAAAGACCUUUUGACUAUGUUCAUGAUAAUUGAGUUUAGCUAAUCAUAUUACUAAUAACUCCCACUCAAAAUAGACAUCCAUCUAGUUAUUUGAGUGGCGCAUGAUCCAAAUCCACUAACUCAAGUCCGGUCAUUACGUGAGUUGAGUAUAAUUUCAGUGGUGAACAUCUCCAUGUUGAUCAUAUCAACUAUAUGAUUCAUGCUUGACCUUUCGGUCGCUUGUGUUUCGAGGCCAUGUCUAUACAUGCUAGGCUCGUCAAGUUUAACUCGAGUGUUCCGCGUGUGCAACUCUUUUGCACCCGUUGUAUGUGAACGUUGAGUCUAUCACACCCGAUCAUCACGUGGCGUAUCGAAAUGACGAACUGUUGUAAUGGUGCUCAGUCGGGGAAAACACAAUUUUAUCUUGAAAUUUUAGUGAGGUAUCACCUUAUAAUGCUACCGUCGUUCUAAGAAAAAUAAGGCGCAUAAAAGGAUUAACAUCACAUGCAAAUCAUAAGUGACAUGAUAUGGCCAUGAUCUUGUGCUUCUUGAUCUCCAUCACCAAAGCAUCGGCCUGAUCUUCAUCGUCACCGGCGCCACACCAUGGUCUCCAUCAUCAUGAUCUCCAUCGUUGUGCCGUCAUCGAGGUUGUUAUGCUAUCUAUGCUAUUGCUACUAAAGCUACUACCUAGCAAUAUAGUAAACGCAUCUGCAAGCACAAACGUUAGUUUAAAGACAACCCUAUGGCUCCUGCCGGUUGCCGUAGCAUCGACGUGCACGUUGAUAUUUAACUAUUACAACAUGAUCAUCUCAUACAUCCAAUAUAUCAUAUCAUGUCUUUGGCCAUAUCACAUCACAUGCAUACCCUGAAAAAACACGUUAGGCGUCCUCUAAUUUGGUGUUGCAUGUUUUACGUGGCUGCUAUGGGUAUCUAGUAUGAUCGCAUCUUACUUACGCAAAGCCACAAUGGUGAUAUGAAAAUUGCUAUUUAACCUUCUCCAAGGACCGCCUCGGUCAAAUCUGAUACAACUAAAGUUGAAGAAACAGACACCCGCCAGUAAUCUUUAUGCAACAAGUUNNNNNNNNNNNNNNNNNNNNNNNNNNNNNNNNNNNNNNNNNNNNNNNNNNNNNNNNNNNNNNNNNNNNNNNNNNNNNNNNNNNNNNNNNNNNNNNNNNNNACGCUCAUCGGACCACACACAUCGGUAUGUAUGAUUUCCAACAAGUCACUUGCACGCUCCAUUGUUCCGGAGAACGGAGUUUUAGACAUCCUGUCCAUGAGGCAUGGUUCGCACGUGUCAAGUGAAUCAAAGUCAAGUGACUCCAAAAGUCCAUCGGAAUUGAGUUUAUUCAUGCGCUUUACACCAAUAUGACCUAAGCGGCAGUGCCACAAAAACAUGGCGCUAUCAUUGUUAACUCCAACUCUUUUGGUCUCAAUGUUAUGUAUAUGUGUAUUAUCAUUAUCAAGAUUCAAUAUGAACAAUCCUCUCACAUUGGGUGCAUGACCAUAAAAGAUAUUACUCAUAGAAAUAGAACAACCAUUAUUCUCUGACUUAAACGAGUAACCGUCUUGCAAUAAACAAGAUCCAGAUAUAAUGUUCAUGCUUAACACAAGCACUAAAUAACAAUUAUUUAAGUUCAUAACUAAUCCUGAUGGUAACUGAAGUGAAACUGUGCCGACGGUGAUUGCAUCAACCUUGGAACCAUUUCCCAUGCGCAUUGUCACUUCAUCUUUCGCCAGCCUUCGCCUAUUCCGCAGCUCCUGUUUCGAGUUGCAAAUAUGAGCAACAUAACCGGUAUCGAAUACCCAGGCACUACUACGAGAGCUGGUUAAGUACACAUCAAUAACAUGUAUAUCAAAUAUACCUGAUUUUUCUUUGGCCGCCUUGUUAUCAGCCAGAUACAUGGGGCAGUUGCGCUUCCAGUGACCCAUACCCUUGCAAUAAUAGCACUCCGUUUCAGGCUUAGGUCCAGCUUUGGUUUCUUCGUCGGAUUGGCAACCAGUUUGCCGCUCUUCUUUGAAUUACCCUUCUUUCAUUUGCCGUUUCUCUUGAAACUAGUGGUCUUAUUCACCAUCAACACUUGAUGCUCUUUACGGAGUUCUGACUCUGCGACUUUCAGCAUCGCGNNNNNNNNNNNNNNNNNNNNNNNNNNNNNNNNNNNNNNNNNNNNNNNNNNNNNNNNNNNNNNNNNNNNNNNNNNNNNNNNNNNNNNNNNNNNNNNNNNNNUCCAAUAUAUCACAUCACAUCGUUGGCCAUAUCACAUCACAAGCAUACCCUGCAAAAACAAGUUAGACGUACUCUAAUUGUUGUUGCACGUUUUACGUGGUGACCAUGGGUAUCUAGUAGGAUCGCAUCUUACUUACGCAAACACCACAACAGAGAUGUAUGAAUUGCUAUUUAACCUCAUCCAAGGACCUCCUCGGUCAAAUCCAAUUCAACUAAAGUUGGAGAAACCGACACUCGCCUGUCAUCUUUGAGGAACGGAGUUGCUCGUAGCGAUGAAACCAGUCUCUCAUAAGCGUACGACUAAUGUCGGUCUGAGCCGCUUCGAUCCAACAAUACAAGCGGAAUCAAAAAAAGACUAAGGAGGGCAGCAAAUCGCACAUCACCGCCCACAAAAAAAUUUGUGUUCUACUCGAGAUGACAUCUACGCAUGAACCUAGCUCAUGAUGCCACUGAUGGUGAACGUCGCAUGGGAAACAAAAAAUUUCCUACGCGCACGAAGACCUAUCAUGGUGAUGUCCAUCUACGAGGGGGAUUUCAGAGCUACGUACCCUUGUAGCUCGCACAGCAGAAGCGUUAAUAAACGCGGUUGAUGUAGUGGAACGGCCUCACGUCCCUCCAUCCGCCCCGCGAACCGUCCCACGAACCGUCCCGCGAUCCGUCCCACGAUCCGCUCCGAUCUAGUGCCGAACGGACGGCACCUCCGCGUUCAGCACACGUACAACUCGACGAUGAUCUCGGCCUUCUUGAUCCAGCAAGAUAGACGGGGAGGUAGAUGAGUUCUCCGGCAGCGUGACGGUGCUCCGGAGGUUGGUGGUGAUCUAAUCUCAGCAGGGCUAUGCCCGAGCUCCGCAGAAACGCGAUCUAGAGGAAAAACCGUGGAGGUAUGUGGUCGGGCUGCCAUGGAAAAGUUGUCUCAAAUCAGCCCUAAAACCUCCGUAUAUAUAGGUGGGACGGGAGGGGCCUAUCCUUGGGGCUCAAGGAGCCCCAAGGGGUUCGGCCGACGGGGGGGGGAGGAUUCCUCCUCCAAUCCUAGUCCAACUAGGAUUGGAAGGUGGAGUCCUUCCCUUCCUUCCCACUUCNNNNNNNNNNNNNNNNNNNNNNNNNNNNNNNNNNNNNNNNNNNNNNNNNNNNNNNNNNNNNNNNNNNNNNNNNNNNNNNNNNNNNNNNNNNNNNNNNNNNAUCCAAAGUUUGACAAGAUAAUAGCAUGAAACCAUCAAAAAUUAUAGAUACGUUGGAGACGUAUCAAGCAUCCCCAAGCUUAACUCCUGCUCGUCCUCGAGUAGGGAAGUGAUAAAGACUGAAUUUUUUAUGUAGAAUGCUACCUAGCAUAGUUGUCCUUUGUAACUUGUUUCAUGUGGCAUGAAUGUUCAGAUCCGUAAGAUUCAAAACAAUAGUUUACUAUUGACAUGAAAACAAUAGUACUUCAAGCAUACUAGCAAAGUGAUCAUGAACUCUUGAAAUAACGAGGCCAAAGAAAGUUAUCCCUACAAAAUCAUAUAGUCUGGCUAUGCUCCAUCAUCCCCACACAACGAAUUUAAAUCAUGCACCCCGGUAUUGGCCAAGUAAUUGUUUUCGCACUCUUAUUUUCUCAAACUUUUUCAACUCUCAUGCAAUACAUGAGCAUGAGUCAUGGAUAUAGCACUAUAGGUGGACUAGAGUGUGGUGGANNNNNNNNNNNNNNNNNNNNNNNNNNNNNNNNNNNNNNNNNNNNNNNNNNNNNNAGUAGAGUGUGGUGGAGGUUGUGAGGCAAAAAGGAGGAGAUGGUCACAUCGACUCGGCGUAUCAACGGGCUAUGGGGAUGCCCAUCAAUAGAUAUGAAUGUGAAUGAGUAUGGAUUACCAUGCAACGGAUGCACUUAGAGCUAUAAGUGUGUGAAAGCUCAAAAGGAGAACUAGUGGGUGUGCACCCAACUUGCUUGCUCACAAAGACCUAGGNNNNNNNNNNNNNNNNNNNNNNNNNNNNNNNNNNNNNNNNNNNNNNNNNNNNNNNNNNNNNNNNNNNNNNNNNNNNNNNNNNNNNNNNNNNNNNNNNNNNNNNNNNNNNNNNNNNNNNNNNNNNNNNNNNNNGACCACUAGUAUAUGGAAGUGUCAAAACAAGAGACUCUCUAUCAUGAAGAACAUGGUGUUAUUUUGAAGCACAAGUGUGGAAAAAGAUAGUAGCAUUNNNNNNNNNNNNNNNNNNNNNNNNNNNNNNNNNNNNNNNNNNNNNNNNNNNNNNNNNNNNNNNNNNNNNNNNNNNNNNNNNNNNNNNNNNNNNNNNNNNNGUUAUAACCAACUUGGGUUCCGCUUUUGCCGCUGUGCAGAAUACUCCAAAUUUUGCCCACAAUAAAAUCACCAAGUCUGUCUUUGUUCCUAAAAGUAGUGGUGAAUCAUCUAGUAUGAAAGAUGAAAACCUGAAGAUGGUAAGUGAUCACGCUACUUAUGGUUUGAGCACCAAAGACGACGAUACAUGAUUCUAUCGCUCCUAUGCCUAACUAAGGGCGUUAAACAAUAGCGCUUGUUGGGAGGCAACCCAAUGAAUUUAUCUUUUUCUUUCUGCUUUGUUGCGUCCACACCAUCAUAAUUCCGUUAUGAUUGUGUUUUUUGUGUUUCUUUUUGUGUUUGAGACAAGCAAAACCUUUAUGACUAGUCUUGGUGAUGGUUGUUUGAUCCUGCUGGAAAAAGACAGAAACUUUUCGCUCACGAUAUGAUUUUUCAUCUGUUGUGAUUGUGUUUUUUGUGUUUCUUUUUGUGUUUGAGCCAAACAAAACCUUUAUGACUAGUCUUGGUAAUGGUUGUUUGAUCCUGCUGGAAAAAGACAGAAACUUUUCGCUCACGAGAUGAUUUUUCAUUUUUAUUAAGAAAGAGCUUUUGAGUUGAUUCUUUUUUAUGCUGAUUUAUAUGCUUUUUCCCCAUACCUUCGUAAUGUUUCAUAUUUUUUGAGGUACCAGAAGUAUAUGAAGUAUACAGAUUGCUACAGACUGGUCUGUUUUUGACAGAUUCUGUUUUUGUUGAGUUGGUUGCUUGUUUUGAUGAAACUAUGGAUAGUANNNNNNNNNNNNNNNNNNNNNNNNNNNNNNNNNNNNNNAUAAGUAAAACAACUAACCAACGACCAAGUUGGUUGCUUGUUUUGAUGAAAUUAUGGUUAGUAUCGGGGGUACUAGCCAUGGAAAAGUGAGAAUACAGUAGCCCAUCAUCAACAUAGAUGGAAUUCAAGUUUGCCACAGUACCAAAAGAAGUGGUAGUUUGUUUUCUUGUACUAAUGUUAUCACAAGUUUCGGUUUAAGUUUUGUGUUGUGAAGUUUUCAAGUUGUGGGUGACGUUCUCAUGGACAAAGAGAUAAGGAGUGUAAAUAGCUCAAGCUUGGGGAUUCCCAAGGCAUCCCAAGCCAAAUUGAAGGACACCAAAAAAGCCUAAGCUUGGGGAUACCCCGGGAAGGCAUCCCCUCUUUCGUCUUCAAUCCAUCGGUAACAUUACUUGGAGCUAUAUUUUUAUUCACCACAUGAUAUGUGUUUUGCUUGGAGCGUCCUGUAUCUUAGGAGUCUUUUCUUUUUGUUGUGUCACAAUCAUCCUUGCUGCACACCUUUUUGAGAGAGAGAGACAUGCACUCAUCGUGAUUUUGCUAGAAUGCUCAUAGUGCUUCACUUAUAUCGUUUGAGCUAGAUACUUUUGCUCUUGUGCUUCACUUAUAUAUUUAGAGCACGGCAGUGCGUGAUUUGGUAGUUGGCUUAUGCUAUGAAGAUAGUCCCAAAUGUGCUAGGUACCCAAUGAGGAUGCAAAAACCUCCAUCUUCAUGUGCAUUGAAUAGAAAGAGAAGUUUUGAUUCCUCUCAAUUAGUUUUGAGACGUGGAUUUGGUAAUAUUAAGAGUUAUGUUAGUAGGGUGUUGUGAAUCUAGAAAUACUUGUGUUGAAGUUAGUGAUUCCCGUAACAUGCACGUAUGGUGAAUCGCUAUGUUAGGAAGUCGGAGCAUAAUUGAUCUAUUGAUUGUCAUCCUUUGUGUUGAGGUCGGGAUCGCGCGAUGGNNNNNNNNNNNNNNNNNNNNNNNNNNNNNNNNNNNNNNNNNNNNNNNNNNNNNUUGUAUUGAGGUCGGGAUCACGCGAUGGUUUACACCUACCAACCCUUCCCCUCGGAGUAUGCGUUUAGCACUUUGUUUCGAUUACUAAUAAAAACUUUCGCAAUAAGUAUAUGAGUUCUUCAUGACUAAUGUGAGCCCAUGGUNNNNNNNNNNNNNNNNNNNNNNNNNNNNNNNNNNNNNNNNNNNNNNNNNNNNNNNNNNNNNNNNNNNNNNNNNNNNNNNNNNNNNNNNNNNNNNNNNNNNAUGGCUCGCGCCCAUGUAUUGCGUGAUAGUUAUAAAAAGUUUGAGAAAUUAAGAGUGCGAAAGCAAUUACUUGGCCAAUUCCAGGGUUGUGCAGGAUUUACACUAGUUGUGUGAGGAUGAUGGAGCAUAGCCAGACUAUAUGAUUUUGUAGGGAUAACUUUCUUUGGCCUUGUUAUUUCGAAAGUUCAUGAUUACCUUGGUAGUUUUCNNNNNNNNNNNNNNNNNNNNNNNNNNNNNNNNNNNNNNNNNNNNNNNNCAUUAUUUUGAAAGUUCAUGAUUACUUUGCUAGUUAGCUUGAAGUAUUAUUGUUUUCAUGUCAAUAGCAAACUAUUGUUUUGAAUCUUACGGAUCUGAACAUUCAUGCCACGUGAAAGAAGUUGCAAAGGACAACUAUGCUAGGAAGCAUUCCACAUCAAAAAUUCAUUCUUUAUCACUUCUCUACUCGAGGACGAGCAAGAGUUAAGCUUGGGGAUGCUUGAUACGUCUCCAACGUAUCUAUAAUUUUUGAUGGUUUCAUGCUAUUAUCUUGUCAAACUUUGGAUGUUUUGCAUGAAUUUUAUUUAUUUUCUGAGACUAACUUAGUAACUCAGUGCCAAGUGCCAGUUCCUGUUUUUUCCAUGUUUUUGACCCCUUUCAGAGGAGAUUUUGAAACGGAGUCCAAACGGAAGAAAAUCCCCGAAAAGAUUUUUUCUGGAACGGAAGAAGAUCAGAGGACUUGGGAGCCAAGCCAGAAGAGCCCCAGGGGCCCCACAAGCCCCCACCCCACAGCCAGGGGGCGCGCCAUCCAGGCUUGUGGGCCCCCUGGAGGUCCCUUGACCUAGAUCUUGCACCUAUAAAUUCCCAAAUAAUCCCAAAAAACCAAGAGACGAUCGCAAUUACUUUUCCACCACGGCAAGCUUCUGUCUCCGCAAGAUCCCAUCUGGGGCACGUCCCGGUGCCCUGCCGGAGGGGGGAUUCAGACACGGAGGGCUUCUUCAUCAACACCAUGACCUCUCCGAUGAUGCGUGAGUAGUUCACCAUAGACCUACGGGUCCAUAGCUAGUAACUAGAUGGCUUCUUCUCUCUCUUGGAUCUUCAAUACAAAGUUCUCCAUGAUCUUCAUGGAGAUCUAUCCGAUGUAAUCUUCUUUUGCGGUGUGUUUGUCGAGAUCCGAUGAAUUGUGGAUUUAUGAUCAUAUUAUCUAUGAAUAUUAUUUGAGUCUCCUCUGAUCUCUUAUAUGCAUGAUUUCAUAUCCUUGUAAUUCUCUUCGAGUUGUGGGUUUUGUUUGGCCAACUUGAUCUAUGAUUCUUGCAAUGGGAGAAGUGCUUGGUUUUGGGUUCAUACCGUGUGGUGACCUCACCCAGUGACAGAAGGGGUAGCGAGGCACGCAUCGUGUUGUUGCCAUCAAGGGUAAAAAGAUGGGGUUUUUAUCAUUGGUUUGAGUUUAUCCCUCUACAUCAUGUCAUCUUGCUUAAGGCGUUACUCUGUUCGUCAUGAACUCAAUACACUAGAUGCAUGCUGGAUAGCGGUCGAUGUGUGGAGUAAUAGUAGUAGACGCAGAAAGUAUCGGUCUACUUGNNNNNNNNNNNNNNNNNNNNNNNNNNNNNNNNNNNNNNNNNNNNNNNNNNNNNNNNNNNNNNNNNNNNNNNNNNNNNNNNNNNNNNNNNNNNNNNNNNNNNNNNNNNNNNNNNNNNNNNNNNNNNNNNNNNNNNNNNNNNNNNNNNNNNNNNNNNNNNNNNNNNNNNNNNNNNNNNNNNNNNNNNNNNNNNNNNNNNNNNNNNNNNNNNNNNNNNNNNNNNNNNNNNNNNNNNNNNNNNNNNNNNNNNNNNNNNNNNNNNNNNNNNNNNNNNNNNNNNNNNNNNNNNNNNNNNNNNNNNNNNNNNNNNNNNNNNNNNNNNNNNNNNNNNNNNNNNNNNNNNNNNNNNNNNNNNNNNNNNNNNNNNNNNNNNNNNNNNNNNNNNNNNNNNNNNNNNNNNNNNNNNNNNNNNNNNNNNNNNNNNNNNNNNNNNNNNNNNNNNNNNNNNNNNNNNNNNNNNNNNNNNNNNNNNNNNNNNNNNNNNNNNNNNNNNNNNNNNNNNNNNNNNNNNNNNNNNNNNNNNNNNNNNNNNNNNNNNNNNNNNNNNNNNNNNNNNNNNNNNNNNNNNNNNNNNNNNNNNNNNNNNNNNNNNNNNNNNNNNNNNNNNNNNNNNNNNNNNNNNNNNNNNNNNNNNNNNNNNNNNNNNNNNNNNNNNNNNNNNNNNNNNNNNNNNNNNNNNNNNNNNNNNNNNNNNNNNNNNNNNNNNNNNNNNNNNNNNNNNNNNNNNNNNNNNNNNNNNNNNNNNNNNNNNNNNNNNNNNNNNNNNNNNNNNNNNNNNNNNNNNNNNNNNNNNNNNNNNNNNNNNNNNNNNNNNNNNNNNNNNNNNNNNNNNNNNNNNNNNNNNNNNNNNNNNNNNNNNNNNNNNNNNNNNNNNNNNNNNNNNNNNNNNNNNNNNNNNNNNNNNNNNNNNNNNNNNNNNNNNNNNNNNNNNNNNNNNNNNNNNNNNNNNNNNNNNNNNNNNNNNNNNNNNNNNNNNNNNNNNNNNNNNNNNNNNNNNNNNNNNNNNNNNNNNNNNNNNNNNNNNNNNNNNNNNNNNNNNNNNNNNNNNNNNNNNNNNNNNNNNNNNNNNNNNNNNNNNNNNNNNNNNNNNNNNNNNNNNNNNNNNNNNNNNNNNNNNNNNNNNNNNNNNNNNNNNNNNNNNNNNNNNNNNNNNNNNNNNNNNNNNNNNNNNNNNNNNNNNNNNNNNNNNNNNNNNNNNNNNNNNNNNNNNNNNNNNNNNNNNNNNNNNNNNNNNNNNNNNNNNNNNNNNNNNNNNNNNNNNNNNNNNNNNNNNNNNNNNNNNNNNNNNNNNNNNNNNNNNNNNNNNNNNNNNNNNNNNNNNNNNNNNNNNNNNNNNNNNNNNNNNNNNNNNNNNNNNNNNNNNNNNNNNNNNNNNNNNNNNNNNNNNNNNNNNNNNNNNNNNNNNNNNNNNNNNNNNNNNNNNNNNNNNNNNNNNNNNNNNNNNNNNNNNNNNNNNNNNNNNNNNNNNNNNNNNNNNNNNNNNNNNNNNNNNNNNNNNNNNNNNNNNNNNNNNNNNNNNNNNNNNNNNNNNNNNNNNNNNNNNNNNNNNNNNNNNNNNNNNNNNNNNNNNNNNNNNNNNNNNNNNNNNNNNNNNNNNNNNNNNNNNNNNNNNNNNNNNNNNNNNNNNNNNNNNNNNNNNNNNNNNNNNNNNNNNNNNNNNNNNNNNNNNNNNNNNNNNNNNNNNNNNNNNNNNNNNNNNNNNNNNNNNNNNNNNNNNNNNNNNNNNNNNNNNNNNNNNNNNNNNNNNNNNNNNNNNNNNNNNNNNNNNNNNNNNNNNNNNNNNNNNNNNNNNNNNNNNNNNNNNNNNNNNNNNNNNNNNNNNNNNNNNNNNNNNNNNNNNNNNNNNNNNNNNNNNNNNNNNNNNNNNNNNNNNNNNNNNNNNNNNNNNNNNNNNNNNNNNNNNNNNNNNNNNNNNNNNNNNNNNNNNNNNNNNNNNNNNNNNNNNNNNNNNNNNNNNNNNNNNNNNNNNNNNNNNNNNNNNNNNNNNNNNNNNNNNNNNNNNNNNNNNNNNNNNNNNNNNNNNNNNNNNNNNNNNNNNNNNNNNNNNNNNNNNNNNNNNNNNNNNNNNNNNNNNNNNNNNNNNNNNNNNNNNNNNNNNNNNNNNNNNNNNNNNNNNNNNNNNNNNNNNNNNNNNNNNNNNNNNNNNNNNNNNNNNNNNNNNNNNNNNNNNNNNNNNNNNNNNNNNNNNNNNNNNNNNNNNNNNNNNNNNNNNNNNNNNNNNNNNNNNNNNNNNNNNNNNNNNNNNNNNNNNNNNNNNNNNNNNNNNNNNNNNNNNNNNNNNNNNNNNNNNNNNNNNNNNNNNNNNNNNNNNNNNNNNNNNNNNNNNNNNNNNNNNNNNNNNNNNNNNNNNNNNNNNNNNNNNNNNNNNNNNNNNNNNNNNNNNNNNNNNNNNNNNNNNNNNNNNNNNNNNNNNNNNNNNNNNNNNNNNNNNNNNNNNNNNNNNNNNNNNNNNNNNNNNNNNNNNNNNNNNNNNNNNNNNNNNNNNNNNNNNNNNNNNNNNNNNNNNNNNNNNNNNNNNNNNNNNNNNNNNNNNNNNNNNNNNNNNNNNNNNNNNNNNNNNNNNNNNNNNNNNNNNNNNNNNNNNNNNNNNNNNNNNNNNNNNNNNNNNNNNNNNNNNNNNNNNNNNNNNNNNNNNNNNNNNNNNNNNNNNNNNNNNNNNNNNNNNNNNNNNNNNNNAAUGAUAUCACGAGUUUCUAUUUAAGUUUUGUGUUGUGAAGUUUUCAAGUUUUGGGUGAUGUUCUCAUGGACAAAGGGAUAAAGAGUGGAAAGAGCUCAAGCUUGGUGAUUCCCAAGGCAUCCCAAGCCAAAUUCAAGGACACCAAAAAGCCUAAGUUUGGGGAUGCCCCGGGAAGGCAUCCCCUCUUUCGUCUUCAAUCCAUCGGUAACGUUACUUGGAGCUAUAUUUUUAUUCACCACAUGAUAUGUGUUUUGCUUGGAUCGUCGUGUAUUAUAGCAGUCUUUUCUUUUUAUUGUGUCACAAUCAUCCUUGCUGCACACCUUUUUGAGAGAGACAUGCACUCAUCAUGAAUUUGCUAGAAUUCUCAUUGCGCUUCGCUUAUAUCUUUUGAGUUAGGCAAUUUAGCUCGCAUGUGCUUCACUUAUAUAUUUUGAGCUAGAUAACUUUGCUCUAGUGCUUCACUUAGAUCUUUUUGGAGCACGGCGGUGUCAUAUUUUGAAGAAAUAAAAACUCUCAAUCUUCACUUAUAUCUUUUUGAGAGUGCUCUCUCUGAGUAACUUGGUAGUUGGCUUGUGCUAUGAAAGUAGUCCUAAAGAUGAUAGGCAUCCAAAGAGGAUAUAAUAAAACUUCCNNNNNNNNNNNNNNNNNNNNNNNNNNNNNNNNNNNNNNNNNNNNNNNNNNNNNNNNNNNNNNNNNNNNNNNNNNNNNNNNNNNNNNNNNNNNNNNNNNNNNNNNNNNNNNNNNNNUUCAAGUGCAUUGAUUAUUAAGAGAAGUUUGAUUCCUCUCAAUUAGUUUUGAGACAUGGAUUUGGUGAUAUUAGAGUUAUGUUAGUAGGGUGUUGUGAAUCUAGAAAUACUUGUGUUGAAGUUAGUGAUUCCCGUAGCAUGCACGUAUGGUGAACCGCUAUGUUAGGAAGUCGGAGCAUAAUUGAUUUAUUGAUUGUCAUCCUUUGUGUUGCGGUCGGGAUCGCGCGAUGGUUAACACCUACCAACCCUUCCCCUAGGAGUAUGCAUUUAUCACUUUGUUUCGAUUACUAAUAAAACUUCCUCAAUAAGUAUAUGAGUUCUUCAUGCCUAAUGUGAGUCCAUGGUAUAGAUGCACUUUCANNNNNNNNNNNNNNNNNNNNNNNNNNNNNNNNNNNNNNNNNNNNNNNNNNNNNNNNNNNNNNNNNNNNNNNNNNNNNNNNNNNNNNNNNNNNNNNNNNNNUGUUAUUUUGAAAGUUCAUGAUUACCUUGCUAGUUUGCUUGAAGUAUUACUCUUUUCAUGUCAAUAGCAAACUAUUGUUUUGAAUCUUACGGAUCUGAACAUUCAUGCCACAUGAAACAAGUUACAAAGGACAACUAUGCUAGGUAGCAUUCUACAUAAAAAAUUCAGUCUUUAUCACUUCCCUACUCGAGGACGAGCAGGAGUUAAGCUUGGGGAUGCUUGAUACGUCUCCAACGUAUCUAUAAUUUUUGAUGGUUUCAUGCUAUUAUCUUGUCAAACUUUGGAUGUUUUGUAUGCCUUUUAUAUCUUUUUUGGGACUAACUUAUUAACUCAGUGCCAAGUGCCAGUUCCUGUUUUUUCUAUGUUUUUGACCCCUUUCAGCCGAGAUUUUGAAACGGAGUCCAAACGGAAGAAAAUCCCCGAAAAGAUUUUUUCUGGAACGGAAGAAGAUCGGAGGACUUGGGAGACAAGCCAGAAGAGCCCUAGGGGCGCCACAAGCCCCCACCCCGCGACUAGGGGGGUCGCGCCAUCCAGGCUUGUGGGCCCCCUGGAGGUCCCCUGACCUAGAUCUUGCGCCUAUAAAUUCCCAAAUAUUCCCAAAAAAAUCAAGAGACGAUCGCAAUUACUUUUCCGCCUCCACAAGCUUCUCUCUCCGCAAGAUCCCAUCUGGGGCAUNNNNNNNNNNNNNNNNNNNNNNNNNNNNNNNNNNNNNNNNNNNNNNNNNNNNNNNNNNNNNNNNNNNNNNNNNNNNNNNNNNNNNNNNNNNNNNNNNAGAGAAGCCUCUAGUGAACACUAUGGCCCCCGGGUCUACUUCACACCAUAUUUUCAGCCUUACUCUUUUACUUCGUUGCACUUUCCGCCUUCAGAUCUCACUUUGCAAUCAAUCUUGAAGGGAUUGACAAGCCCUUUAUAGCGUUGGGUGCAAGCUCUUUUGUGUUUGCGCAGGUACUCUGGACUUGACGAGAUUCUCCUACUGGAUUGAUACCUUGGUUCUCAAACUGAGGGAAAUACUUACUGCUCCUGUGCUGCAUCACCCUUUCCUCUUCAAGGGAAAAACCAACGCAAGCCAAGUCUCCGUCAACGUGCCAAUUUNNNNNNNNNNNNNNNNNNNNNNNNNNNNNNNNNNNNNNNNNNNNNNNNNNNNNNNNNNNNNNNNNNNNNNNNNNNNNNNNNNNNNNNNNNNNNNNNNNNNAAUGGGUGCAUUCAAGUAAAGCACACAAACUAUAUUAAUCUUUAUUAUAUAACUCUCACACUCGAUUACAAGGGUAGGUGGAUCUCAAAGCAAAAAUUCUAAGCAAAGCAGAUCUGAAAUUUUAUUUCUCUAAAUCAUGAAAUAGCUAAAGAUCAAACUAAGAUACAUAGCAAUGGUAAAAGUGACGGUGAUACGAUACCGAGGCACCUCCCCCGAAAUCGGAACAAGCCAAGGGUGGUGCCCAUUCCCAAGUACUCAGGCGUCCUUCUUUGGUGAUGGUGGUGAUGAUGCGACAUGCUUGUACUUUGCCUUCCAUGACAUAGGUUCCCCAUUGAAAAAGGAAGAGAUCAUCUCUGGAAUACUGAAAUCUACACCUACACUCAUCCUCUUGAAACAAGAUUCAUACUCAUGGUUUUGGUUUUGCAGAUCAUACAUUUGAGCCUGCAGGUCUUGGAGCGUGUCAUGGAGCUUGAAGAUCAUCUCCACAAUUUCAUUGUUUUCCUUAUUGUUCUUACGGAUAGAAUUCAUAAUCAUGGAGUGGUUGGCACUGCGUCAUGCUCCACAAUCCCUUGGCACUUGAAGAUCUCUUGCUCGACCACAACGAGCCUGGCCUUCACACUUCCCUCCUUGUCACCACCACCAAUCAAUCACACUCCACGACUAGCUGAAUCCUCAGGUGCCGUCCAUACCAACAACAAUCCAGGGGGAGUUUUGUUUGCAAUUAUUUUUUCGAUUUGAGCAUGGAACUGGGCAUUCCGAUUACUGGCCCCUUUCUCGUGAGUGAUAGUGAAUAAACAUGUAUCGAGGAUAACACGCCUAGCAUGGAAGAUACUGACCGCCCCUUGUCACCACAUGAGCGGUUCGGGCAUACAAAACAGAUUAUUACUUGAAGGUUUAGAGAGUGGCACAUGCAAAUUUACUUGGAACGACAGGUAGAUACCGCAUAUAGGUAGCUAUGGUGGACGCAUAUGGAAUAACUUUGGGUUUAUGGAAGUGGAUGCACAAGCAGUAUUCCCGCUUAGUACAAGUGAAGGCUAGCAAAAGACUGGGAAGCGACCAACUAGAGAGUGACAACAGUCAUUAAUAUGCAUUGAAAUUAACCAACAUUGGGUGCAAGCAUGAGUAGGAUAUAAAUCACCAUAAACAUGAAUAUCAAAGAGGUAUGUUGAUUUUGUUUCAACUACAUGCGUGAACAUGUGCCAAGUCAAGCCACUUGAAUCAUUCAAAGGAGGAUACCAUCCUAUCAUACUACAUCAUAAUCAUCUUGAAAUUCAUGUUGGCUUCCAAGACAAACCAUUAUAAGCUCCUAGCUAAUUAAGCAUGGUAUCACAAACUAUGAUCUCUAAGUCGUCAUUCAAACAUGUUUCUCUCAUAACAAUGCUGAAUUAGGAAUGAUGAGCUAGGCAUAUUUACAAAAACAAAAUAGGUCGAGUUCAUACCAUCUUUUCAAAGCUCAGUCACUUCAUCAUAUAUCGUCAUUAUUGCCUUUCACUUGCACGACCGAAUGACGUGAAUAAUAAUGAGAGUGUUCAUGCAUUGGACUAAGCUGGAAUCUGCAAGCAAACUCAGAGGAGAAGACAAAGUAAUAUGGCUCUUUAAAGGAUAAACAAUCAUGCAUGUGAGAGCCACUAAACAUUUUAAUCAUGGUCUUCUACCUUGACCCAAAGAAAAAGAAAACUAUUUACACGGGAAAGCUCCCAACAAGCAAAAGAAGAACGAGAAACCUUUUUGGGUUUUCCUUUUUAAUUACCACUAAGAAAGCUGGAAAGUAAACUCACAACUAUUUUUUUUGUUUUUCUAAAUUUAGACAAACACACGAGAAGAAAGCGAGAAAAAGAAAUAAACUAGCAUGGAUGAUACAAUGGCAAAGUAUGAACACCGACUAUCAAACCGAAUGUGUGAGCAUGAAUAUAAAGUCGGUGAGAAACACGUACCCCCCAAGCUNCUACUCCCAAGGAGGGAAGUAAGCGUCUCCGGGGUACUCCGGAGUGUACUGAGGGUGCCACUGCUGGGUGAGCUUCUUUGGCUCCCACUAAUAAACUGGCAUCUGGUACUCGACUGGUAUCUCGGGCAUGGGUGCCUGUGGUGGCGUUAUGCCCCAAUAUUCAUAGAUGUCCGAGAGCUCCUCUGGCUCCCACUGAUAAACUGGCGUCUGGAACUCGACUGGCGGCUCGGGCACAUGCGCCUGUGGUUGGGCCAAGCCCCAAUAUGCGUAGAUGUCCACGGGCAUAAUAGUGUACCUGCCUCGAUGAAGAUUGAACAAAGAAGGAGCAGGCAAAGUAAUAGUCUCACGAUUACCCUGGCUAAAUACCAAGUUAUAAAUCAUCCUCUUAUUAUUAUCAUUAUCAAGAAAGUCAUGGCGAACCAUGCUAUUAUAAUCUAAAUAUCUCUCAGGAAGAAGCAUCUCUUCUUCCUCGUACAGUCUAAUAGGUAUCUGAAAAUGUUUAGCAAGGCGGGUAGCAUAGAUACCUCCAUAAUCAGCGCCUUUAGUACGGUUCGUGUUCAACCGUUGAGCCACUAUAGCGCCCAAGCUAUAAGUUUUAUCUUUAUAAAGAGCUUCGCGCAAAACCGCAAGAUCUGGGGAGCUAAGAGCCCUAGCUUUCCCAUGGCCAAUCAAACAUUUUCCCACAAAUAAUGGGAGAUACCGAAGCACGGGAAAAUGUACACUAGCAACUCUAGCGCAAGACACUCCUCUCUCCUCUCCUACAUCAAUAGUAUCAAUGAAAGCCUCCAAGUCCCGUGGGCGAGGUUCAUGAAUAUCCCCAACAUAAGGUAAAUUGCAAACAUUGCAGAAAUAUUGAAGUGACAUGCGCUGGGGGAUAUCAUAUAACUUGAACUCAACCAUAGGAGGACUCUUCCUUGGAUAGAAAUUAAAGCUUUGCACAAAAAUAUUAGUGAGGAGGAGGUAUUGUGGACUCUUAUCUUCGACAAAGGCGGUAAGGCUUGCGUUCUCCACCAAGUAAUAAAAAUCCUCAUAAAGAUCGGCAGCGUGUAAGAACACAUCACUUGGCCACUCGCACGCUCGAACUUCUGCAACUCGGGGGACCGGAUACUUGGGUUUCUUCUUCUCAUUUUGAUCUUCCUUGGGGUCAUGGCUCGAAGAGCCUCUUAGGAACCUCCUCAUCUUUUCCUUUUUCUUUCUCUGAAAUUUUCUGAAAUUUUUAGUGACUCAAAAGUAAAGUGAACAAGGNNNNNNNNNNNNNNNNNNNNNNNNNNNNNNNNNNNNNNNNNNNNNNNNNNNNNNNNNNNNNNNNNNNNNNNNNNNNNNNNNNNNNNNNNNNNNNNNNNNNCCUUCAUUCACCAUAAAGUGGCACUCCUCCUAAUUCAAGACAAUAUUAGUUUCUUCACAUCUCUACGAAACUCGAUCGAGGUUGCUCAAGCAAUCAUCAAAAGAAGUCAUGUAAACGAAAAAAUCAUCUAUGAAAACCUCAACAAUCUUUUCACAAAAGUCAGAGAAUAUAAUAGUCAUACAUCUUUGAAAGGUAAUAGGUGCAUUGCANNNNNNNNNNNNNNNNNNNNNNNNNNNNNNNNNNNNNNNNNNNNNNNNNNNNNNNNNNNNNNNNNNNNNNNNNNNNNNNNNNNNNNNNNNNNNNNNNNNNNNNNNNNNNNNNNNNNNNNNNNNNNNNNNNNNNNNNNNNNNNNNNNNNNNNNNNNNNNNNNNNNNNNNNNNNNNNNNNNNNNNNNNNNNNNNNNNNNNNUUUGAAAAAAACGAGAAUAUCCAUCAAGAAAACAAAAGUGUGUGUGUUUGGACAGCCUCUCUAACAUUUGGUCAAUAGAAGGCAACGAGUAAUGGUCUUUUCUAGUUGAUUUACUUAAUUUCCUAAAAUCAAUCACCAUCCUAUAACCAGUUACGAUUAUUUGUGGAAUAAGCUCAUUUUUAUCAUUAGGAACAAUAGUUAUACCUGCCUUUUUAGGAACACAAUGAACAUGGCUUACCCAUCUACUAUCAGCAAUAGGAUAAAUUAUACCUGCCUCUAGAAGUUUUAGUAUCUNNNNNNNNNNNNNNNNNNNNNNNNNNNNNNNNNNNNNNNNNNNNNNNNNNNNNNNNNNNNNNNNNNNNNNNNNNNNNNNNNNNNNNNNNNNNNNNNNNNNUAAAGGGGUAAGCACAUGAGUGGGGCAACCCAACUAUUGACCCAAGACAUAAUUCUGAACUCAUGCAUAUAAAGAAAUAUCCUACAAACUGAACACUUAAAAUUAGUGACGGGUAGUGCUCAGGGCGGUAUUUUCAUCCAAGCCCCCGGUCUAUUAGCCGAUCGCACUUGAUAUUUAUUGAAGAAAUUUACCCUUCGGUGCCAAUGAGUGCUACUUCUCAAACAACAUCGCCAGAAAUUGGCACGUUGACGGAGACUUGGCUUGCGUUGGUUUUUCCCUUGAAGAGGAAAGGGUGAUGUAGCACAGGAGCAGUAAGUAUUUCCCUCAGUUUGAGAACCAAGGUAUCAAUCCAGUAGGAGAAUCGCGUCAAGUCCAGAGUACCUGCGCAAACACAAAAGAGCUUGCACCCAACGCUAUAAAGGGGUUGUCAAUCCCUUCAAGAUUGAUUGCAAAGUGAGAUCUGAAGGCGGAAAGUGCAACGAAGUAAAAGAGUAAGGCUGAAAAUAUGGUGUGAAGUACACCCGGGGGCCAUAGUGUUCACUAGAGGCUUCUCUAAAAAUAGCAAAUAUUACGGUGGGUGAACAAAUUACUGUCGAGCAAUUGAUAGAACCGCGCAAAGUCAUGACGAUAUCUAAGGCAAUGAUCAUACAUAUAGGCAUCAUGUCCGAGACAAGUAGACUGAUACUUUCUGCAUCUACUACUAUUACUCCACACAUUGACCGCUAUCCAGCAUGCAUCUAGUGUAUUGAGUUCAUGACGAACAGAGUAACGCCUUAAGCAAGAUGACAUGAUGUAGAGGGACAAACUCAAACCAAUGAUGAAAACCCCAUCUUUUUGCCCUUGAUGGCAACAACAUGAUGCAUGCCUCGCUACCCCUUCUGUCACUGGGUGAGGUCACCGCACGUUAUGAACCCAAAACCAAGCACUUCUCCCAUUGCAAGAAUCAUAGAUCAAGUUGGCCAAACAAAACCCACAACUCGAAGAGAAUUACAAGGAUAUGAAAUCAUGCAUAUAAGAGAUCAGAAGAAACUCAAAUAAGAUUCAUAGAUAAUCUAAUCAUAAAUCCACAAUUCAUCGGAUCUCGACAAACACACCGCAAAAGAAGAUUACAUCGGAUAGAUCUCCAUGAAGAUCAUGGAGAACUUUGUAUUGAAGAUCCAAGAGAGAGAAGAAUCCAUCUAGCUACUAGCUAUGGAUCCGUAGGUCUAUAGUGAACUACUCAUGCAUCAUCGGAGUUUACAUGAAGAGGGAGAAUGCGGGCAGCUGGAAUUCUAGACUUGAAAAGCAGCAAAUCUAAGAGACCCAUUCUGCACAACUCCAAAAGUCCUGAAAAUUUACGAGAAUUAUUUUGGAAUAUAUAAAAAGUAUUGGGCGAAAGAAAUACAUCAAGGGACCUGCCAGGUGGCUACAAUCCACGGGGGCGUGGCCUACCCCCUAGGCACGCCCUGCAGGCUUGUGGGCCCCCUGACAGGCCUCCGGUGCCCUUCUUCUGCUAUAUGAAGGGUUUUGAGCUGAAAAAAAUCAUAUCAGAACUUUUGGGGCAAAGCACCGCCAUCUCGAGGCGGAACUUUGGCAGAACCAAUCUAGAGCUCCGGCGGAGAUGUUCUGCCGGGGAAACUUCCCUCCCGGAGGUGAAAAUCAAAGCCAUCGUCAUCACCAACGAUCCUCUCAUCAAGAGGGGGUCANNNNNNNNNNNNNNNNNNNNNNNNNNNNNNNNNNNNNNNNNNNNNNNNNNNNNNNNNNNNNNNNNNNNNNNNNNNNNNNNNNNNNUAUUCAUCAACACCAUCUGCUCUCCAAACCCUAGUUCAUCUCUUGUAUCCGAUCUUUGUCUCAAACCUCAUAUUGGUACCUGUUGGUUGCUCGUAAUGUUGAUUACUCCUUGUAGUUGAUGCUAGUUGGUUUACAUGGUGGAACAUUAUAUGUUCAGAUCCUUAAUUAUUAUUAAUACUCNNNNNNNNNNNNNNNNNNNNNNNNNNNNNNNNNNNNNNNNNNNNNNNNNNNNNNNNNNNNNNNNNNNNNNNNNNNNNNNNNNNNNNNNNNNNNNNNNNNNNNNNNNNNNNNNNNNNNNNNNNNNNNNNNNNNNNNNNNNNNNNNNNNNNNNNNNNNNNNNNNNNNNNNNNNNNNNNNNNNNNNNNNNNNNNNNNNNNNNNNNNNNUUUGAUGAGAUGUAUGUUGUCUCUCCUCUAGUGGUGUCAUGUGAACAUCGACUACGUGACACUUCACCGUUAUUUGGGCCCAGGGGAAAGCACUGGGAAGUACUAAGUAGAUGAUGGGUUGCUAGAGUGACAAAAGCUUAAACCCUAGUUUAUGCGUUGCUUCGUAAGGGGCUGAUUUGGAUCCAUAUGUUUCAUGCCAUGGUUAGAUUUAUCUUAAUUCUUAUUUCAUAGUUGUGGAUGCUUGCAAGAGAGGUUAAUCAUAAGUGGGAGGUUUGUCCAAGUAAGGGCAGCACCCAAGCAUCAGUCCACCCACAUAUCAAAUUAUCAAAGUAACAAAUNNNNNNNNNNNNNNNNNNNNNNNNNNNNNNNNNNNNNNNNNNNNNNNNNNNNNNNNNNNNNNNNNNNNNNNNNNNNNNNNNNNNNNNNNNNNNNNNNNNNACUUUGUUAGCCGGUGUUUACACUUUGCCACUGUAUUAUCCAUGCUAGUUUAUUUUCGUUUUCUUGUUUUCUUGUUUUGUGUCCUUUUGAGAAAACCCAAAAGAUUUUUCUUUCUUCUNNNNNNNNNNNNNNNNNNNNNNNNNNNNNNNNNNNNNNNNNNNNNNNNNNNNNNNNNNNNNNNNNNNNNNNCUUUUGCUUGUUGGGAGCUUUUCCGUAUAAAUAGCUUUCCUUUUCUUUGUGUCAAGGUAGAAGAUAUUGGUUACAAUGUUUAUUGGUUCUUGCAUGCUUACCUGUUUAGCUUUCAAAGAGCCAUAUUACUUUGUCUUCUCCUUUGUGUUUGCCUGCAGACUCAGCUUAGUCCAAUGCGCUUAUUAUCGUUUUCAUCGUUCGAUCGUGCAAAUGAAAGGCAACAAUGAUGCUAUAUGNNNNNNNNNNNNNNNNNNNNNNNNNNNNNNNNNNNNNNNNNNNNNNNNNNNNNNNUUUUAUUUUUCUUCUUUUGCUUGUUGGGAGCUUUCCCGUGUAGAUAGUUUUCUUUUUCUUUGGGUCAAGGUAGAAGAUAUUGGUUACAAUGUUUAGUGGCUCUUGCAUACAUACCUGUUUAGCUUUCAAAGAGCCAUAUUACUUUGUCUUCUCCUUUGUGUUUGCCUGCAGAUUCAGCUUAGUCCAACGCGCUUAUUAUCGUUUUCAUCGUUCGAUCGUGCAAAUGAAAGGUAACAAUGAUGAUAUAUGAUGAAGUGACCGAGACUGAAAAGCUGGUAUGAACUCUAUCUAUUUUGUUUUUGUAAAUAUGACUAGCUUGUCGACCCAUAUUUAGCUUUGUUGUGAGAGAACCAUGUUUGCAAUGACAACUUAGAGAUCAUAGUUUCUGAUGCCAUGCUUAUUUAGCUGAGAGCUUAUAAUGGUUUGUCUUGAAUGCCAACAUAGAUUUUGAGAUGGCUAUGAUGUAGUAUGAUAGGAUGGUAUUCUCCUUUGAAUGUUUCAAGUGGCUUGACUUGGCGCAUGUUCAUGCAUGUAAUUGAAACAAAAUCAACAUAGCCUCUAUGAUGUUCGUGUUCAUGGUGAUUUAUAUCCUGUUCAUGCCUGCAUUCAAUGUUAGUCAAACUCAUUGCAUCUUGAUGACUGUUGUUGCUCUCUAGUUGGUCGCUUCCCAGUCUUUUGCUAGCCUUCACUUGUACUAAGCGGAAUACUGCUUGUGCAUCCACUUCCAUAAACCAAAAGUUUUUCCAUGAGAGUCCACCAUACCUACCUAUUUGUGGUAUCUACCUAUCGUUCCAAGUAAAUUUGCAUGUGUCAUUCUCUAAACCUUCAAGAAAUAAUCUGUUUUGCAUGCCCGAACCGCUCAUGUGGUGACAGAGGGCUAUUAGUAUCUUCCAUGCUAGGAGUGUUAUCCUCGACAUGUGUUUAUUCACAGUCAUUCACGAGAAACGGCCCGGUAAUUGGAAUGCCCAGUUCCACGCUUAAAUCUAAAACAUAACUGUAAAACAAGACUCCCCCCGGAUUGAUGUUAGUAUGGACGGUACCCGAGGAUUCAGCUAGCCGUGGAGUGUGAUUGAUUGGUGGUGGGGGAGUCAAAANNNNNNNNNNNNNNNNNNNNNNNNNNNNNNNNNNNNNNNNNNNNNNNNNNNNNNNNNNNNNNNNNNNNNNNNNNNNNNNNNNNGAUUGAUCCGUGGUGGGGGAGUUAAAACUUUACUUUUCUGUUUGGGAACCGCCUAUAGCAUGAGUAGCAUGGAAGAUAUUGAGAACUCUUGGUCAUUGCGUUGACAAUGAAAGCAUGCCACCCAAAAUUAUUAUCUCUGUUUUCAAAGCUUGAGCUCUGGCACCUCUGCAAAUCAAUGCUUCCCUCUGCGAAUGGCCUGUCUAUUUAUUUUCCUGUCAAGCCAUCCUCCUCUAUAUAAGCACCAAUUAGAGAGCACCUCUGUCAUUUUUAUGCUUUGCCUAUGACAGAUCUAUCAUGUAAUCGAGUUAGUUUUGAUGGGGAUUGAUCCCUAGUAUCCACUAUGUUUUGAGAUUGAUGUUGAUACUACUUUGCCAUGCUUAAUGCUUGUCACUAGGGCCCGAGUGCCAUGAUUUCAGAUCUGAAAUUAUUAUGUUGUCACCAAUAUAUGUGUGUUUUAGAUCCGAUCUUGCAAGUUGUAGUUACCUACUAUGUGUUAUGAUCCGGCAACCCCGGAGUGACAAUAACCGGAACCACUCCCGGUGAUGACCAUAGUUUGAGGAGUUCAUGUGUUCACCAAGUGCUAAUGCGUUGGUCCGGUUCUUUAUUAAAAGGAGAACCUUAAUAUCCCGUAGUUUCCUUUUGGACCCUGCUGCCACGGGAGGGAUGGACAAUAGAUGUCAUGCAAGUUCUUUUCCCUAAGCACGUAUGACGACACGCGGAAUGCAUGCCUACAUCACAUUGACGAACGGGAGCUAGCCACAUAUCUCUCCGUGUUAUAGCUGUUGCAUGAUGAAUAUCAUCCAAACAAAUCACCGACCCAUUGCCUAUGAGUUUGUCCUACUGCUGCUGCUGCUACUACUGUUACUUGUCUUGCUGUGCUGCUGCUGCUACUACUGUUGCUAUUACUGUCGCUUGCUACUGUUGCUACUUGCUACUGAUGUCACUACUGUUGUUCCUUGCCGCUGCUAUUGCUCGUUACACCGCCGUUACUCACUACUUUGAUGUUACUAUUGUGCUUGCAGAUACUAAUCUUUCAGGUGUGGUUGAAUCUGAUAAUUCAACUGCUAAUACUUGAGAGUAUUCUCUCACCUCCCGUCGUGCGAAUCAACAAAUUUGGGUCGAAUACUCUACCCUCGAAAACUGCUGCGAACCCACGCGUUGGUGGGCCAUCAACAACAUUCUUCUAGUUCCGUUGCCGGGGAGUGCUAGCAGCAUUCUUCUGGUGCCGUUGCAGGGGAAGGUUUGCUGUCAUCAACAUUCGUCUAGCCAUCGCUAGAGAUUGCAAUCAAGUGGCGGCCGGAGGAUGAACCAGCCUCAUGGUCGUGCGCCCCCUUGCGGUCGGUGCUCCACCACACCAUCGAUGCCGGCGACCGGAGAGCUCGAGGAAGGGGAGGGGAGAACUAGGGUUUGGGUGUCGGGUUUCGAGGAGGCAGCAUGACUGGAGUGGGAGCAUGGACUGUGACCGGUCCACGGUUUCCCAUUUUAGAAGGCAGCGACCACUCGCUUGGGUGGAUGAUAGGUGGGGCCGACUGCGCGUGCACAAUUAAUUUGGGCGGUGGAAGGUAGGUGCAUGCGUGCCAUGCAGCCCCGAUGCGGACGAGAGGCAUGCCCGUUCGUUGUCCGCCUAGACCCAAACCGGACGCAUGUUUGCACUUGGAAUGGGUCGGGACGGACACAAAACGGAUAAGAUGGGUCCAGGCCGUUGCGCACUGGGUUGUGGGGUUUGUCCGUUUUGCCCCAAACGGACAAGGCCAGGAGGGAUGGGGUCGUGCACUCGAGUGGGCCUAAUCCCACGAGCCCGAAACAUCAGCUGAAACUCGCUGAUGUACCUCUCGCCUCCUGAGCCUGCCGCCCGGAGCCCGCCGUGCGCCACUCUGACACCAGGCGUCCACCUCCCCACCCGCCGCUCGACACUCUGGCCGCGGCGGCCACCCCCCCUCUCUCUCUCCUCCCGCUAUGGCUGGAUCCCGCUCGCCGUCGGUGUCCUCCCGGCUGGCCNNNNNNNNNNNNNNNNNNNNNNNNNNNNCCCCCCCUCUCUCUCUCCUCCCGCUAUGGCUGGAUCCCGCUCGCCGUCGGUGUCCUCCCGGUUGGCACACGAGCGCCCUGUGAUGUCGGGUCUCGGCUUCUCUUCAUCGUCUGCCUCCUCGAGCACCCACGAGCAGGCUACGACAUCGUCGGUGCUGAGGUUGGGCGCAGACGGCCGUCGCCACGAAGCCCCUUGUGUUCAGCCGCCCCCCUCCAGGAGAUCCAAGUGNNNNNNNNNNNNNNNNNNNNNNNNNNNNNNNNNNNNNNNNNNNNNNNNNNNNNNNNNNNNNNNNNNNNNNNNNNNNNNNNNNNNNNNNNNNNNNNNNNNNUACAGAGGCAAGCAUAGAAGCGCCCUUGAAGUGAAGUAAUAGUAAUAGGUGCACGCAAGAGUCGGCCUAUUUGUUUAUGGAUGUGAUGCCUAUAUUUACAUGAACAUUGCCACGAAAAUCACAUAACUAUCCACUCAUCUAUCAAUUGCCCAACAGUAAUUUGUUUACCCGCCGUGUGCUAUUUUCAUGAGAGACGCCAUUAGGGAAAGCUAUGGCCCCGGGGUCUAUUCACAACAUAUUGCUAAAACCUCCAAUGCCAUGCUGCCAUUUAUUUCCUUUUAUUUUAUUUUGCAUUUUAAAAUUAUUUACACACCUCAUUUGCUUGCAAAAAACGAGACCAAGGGGAUUGACAACCCUCUUGCCCGCGUUGGGUGCAAGUUGUUUGUUCUUUUGUGUGCAGCCGCUGAAGAAGGUUAUGGUUGAUAUUCCUAUUGGUUUGACCUUGGUUUCGUAACUGUGGGAAAUACUUACGCAAUUUUUGUGCCGCUGAAGAAGGUUAUGGUUGAUAUUCCUAUUGGUUUGACCUUGGUUUCGUAACUGUGGGAAAUACUUACGCAAUUUUUGUUGCGAUAACCCAUUCCUCUUCAUGGAAAACCCAACGCACAUCACGAGUAUCAGAGACGUAUCACCUUCGUCUGACAGCUUUUAGUGAAAGGUCACGGCCGGUCACGACCACUGAUGAGUUAUGAAAGCUUGAUUCGUUAUUCGAAGCAAUUCCUCCAUUGGCACGUCCCGUCAAUAUGGAGACCAUGCCCCAUUUUUUAAGGGAUGUGAUCAAUGAUUUGUGCUAACCCACACGUGCACAACGACACGAUUAUAUCGGGAAGUGGCAAGGUGUNNNNNNNNNNNNNNNNNNNNNNNNNNNNNNNNNNNNNNNNNNNNNNNNNNNNNNNNNNNNNNNNNNNNNNNNNNNNNNNNNNNNNNNNNNNNNNNNNNNNGGAUUUUAAACGGAGUACAAACGGAAUAAAACUUUCGAAAAGAUUUUUUCCGGAACAGAAGAUACGCAGAAAGCUUGGGAACCAAGGCAAGGAGUCCCGGGGGAGCCAACAAGCCCUCAUGGCGUGGCCAGGGGGGCCGCGCCUCCCAGGCUUGUGGGCUCCUUGGGCCUCCCCUGCCCUAGCUCCUUCUCCUAUAAAUUCCCUAAAAUACCUAAAAAAUCAAGAGAUCCACGAAAACACUUUUCCGUCGCCGCAAGCUUCUGUCUCCGCAAGAUCCCAUCUGAGGCACGUUCUGGUGCCCUGCCGGAGGGAAGAUUCGGAUACGGAGGGCUUCUUCAUCAACACNNNNNNNNNNNNNNNNNNNNNNNNNNNNNNNNNNNNNNNNNNNNNNNNNNNNNNNNNNNNNNNNNNNNNNNNNNNNNNNNNNNNNNNNNNNNNNNNNNNNNNNNNNNNNNNNNNNNNNNNNNNNNNNNNNNNNNNNNNNNNNNNNNNNNNNNNNNNNNNNNNNNNNNNNNNNNNNNNNNNNNNNNNNNNNNNNNNNNNNNNNNNNNNNNNNNNNNNNNNNNNNNNNNNNNNNNNNNNNNNNNNNNNNNNNNNNNNNNNNNNNNNNNNNNNNNNNNNNNNNNNNNNNNNNNNNNNNNNNNNNNNNNNNNNNNNNNNNNNNNNNNNNNNNNNNNNNNNNNNNNNNNNNNNNNNNNNNNNNNNNNNNNNNNNNNNNNNNNNNNNNNNNNNNNNNNNNNNNNNNNNNNNNNNNNNNNNNNNNNNNNNNNNNNNNNNNNNNNNNNNNNNNNNNNNNNNNNNNNNNNNNNNNNNNNNNNNNNNNNNNNNNNNNNNNNNNNNNNNNNNNNNNNNNNNNNNNNNNNNNNNNNNNNNNNNNNNNNNNNNNNNNNNNNNNNNNNNNNNNNNNNNNNNNNNNNNNNNNNNNNNNNNNNNNNNNNNNNNNNNNNNNNNNNNNNNNNNNNNNNNNNNNNNNNNNNNNNNNNNNNNNNNNNNNNNNNNNNNNNNNNNNNNNNNNNNNNNNNNNNNNNNNNNNNNNNNNNNNNNNNNNNNNNNNNNNNNNNNNNNNNNNNNNNNNNNNNNNNNNNNNNNNNNNNNNNNNNNNNNNNNNNNNNNNNNNNNNNNNNNNNNNNNNNNNNNNNNNNNNNNNNNNNNNNNNNNNNNNNNNNNNNNNNNNNNNNNNNNNNNNNNNNNNNNNNNNNNNNNNNNNNNNNNNNNNNNNNNNNNNNNNNNNNNNNNNNNNNNNNNNNNNNNNNNNNNNNNNNNNNNNNNNNNNNNNNNNNNNNNNNNNNNNNNNNNNNNNNNNNNNNNNNNNNNNNNNNNNNNNNNNNNNNNNNNNNNNNNNNNNNNNNNNNNNNNNNNNNNNNNNNNNNNNNNNNNNNNNNNNNNNNNNNNNNNNNNNNNNNNNNNNNNNNNNNNNNNNNNNNNNNNNNNNNNNNNNNNNNNNNNNNNNNNNNNNNNNNNNNNNNNNNNNNNNNNNNNNNNNNNNNNNNNNNNNNNNNNNNNNNNNNNNNNNNNNNNNNNNNNNNNNNNNNNNNNNNNNNNNNNNNNNNNNNNNNNNNNNNNNNNNNNNNNNNNNNNNNNNNNNNNNNNNNNNNNNNNNNNNNNNNNNNNNNNNNNNNNNNNNNNNNNNNNNNNNNNNNNNNNNNNNNNNNNNNNNNNNNNNNNNNNNNNNNNNNNNNNNNNNNNNNNNNNNNNNNNNNNNNNNNNNNNNNNNNNNNNNNNNNNNNNNNNNNNNNNNNNNNNNNNNNNNNNNNNNNNNNNNNNNNNNNNNNNNNNNNNNNNNNNNNNNNNNNNNNNNNNNNNNNNNNNNNNNNNNNNNNNNNNNNNNNNNNNNNNNNNNNNNNNNNNNNNNNNNNNNNNNNNNNNNNCACGGAGAGCAUCUACAUCAACUUCAUUGCCUCCCCGAUAAUGCGUGAGUAGUUCACCACAGACCUACGGGUCCAUAGCUAGUAGCUAGAUGGCUUCUUCUCUCUCUUGGAUCUUCAAUACAAAGUUCUCCAUGAUCUUCAUGGAGAUCUAUCCGAUGUAAUCUUCUUUUGCGGUGUGUUUGUCGAGAUCCGAUGAAUUGUGGAUUUAUGAUUAGAUUAUCUAUGAAUCUUAUUUGAGUUUCUUCUGAUCUCUUAUAUGCAUGAUUUCAUAUCCUUGUAAUUCUCUUCGAGUUGUGGGUUUUGUUUGGCCAACUUGAUCUAUGAUUCUUGCAAUGGGAGAAGUGCUUGGUUUUGGGUUCAUACCGUGUGGUGACCUCACCCAGUGACAGAAGGGGUAGCGAGGCACGCAUCGUGUUGUUGCCAUCAAGGGUAAAAAGAUGGGGUUUUUAUCAUUGGUUUGAGUUUAUCCCUCUACAUCAUGUCAUCUUGCUUAAGGCGUUACUCUGUUCGUCAUGAACUCAAUACACUAGAUGCAUGCUGGAUAGCGGUCGAUGUGUGGUGUAAUAGUAGUAGAUGCAGAAAGUAUCGGUCUACUUGUCUCAGACGUGAUGCCUAUCUGCUAGAUCAUUGCCUUAGAUAUCAUCAUGACUUUUAGCGGUUCUAUCAAUUGCUCGACAGUAAUUUGUUUACCCACCGUGAUAUUUGCUAUUAUGAGAGAAGCCUAUAGUGAACACUAUGGCCCCCAGGGUCUACUCCACACCAUAUUUUCAGCCUUACACUUUUUGCUUCGUUGCACUUUCCGCCUUUAGAUCUCACUUUGCAAACAAUCUUGAAGGGAUUGACAACCCCUUUGAAGCGUUGGAUGCAAGCUUGUUUGUGUUUGCGCAGGUACUUUGGACUUGACGAGGCCCUCCUUCUGGAUCGAUACCUUGGUUCUCAAACUGAGGGAAAUACUUACUGCUCUUGUGCUGCAUCACCCUUUCCUCUUCAAGGGAAAAAAAAUCAGAGAAGUAACAAGAAGAAUUCCUAUGCUCCAGGGAAGGACUUAUGUUGCCGCAGCAGAAGAAUUUCUGGCGCCGUUGCCGGGGAGGAGGAUCAAGUCAAGAAUAGUCUCCCGUCAACAUGCCAGUUUCUGGCGCCGUCGCCAGGGAGGAAGAUCAAGUCAAGAACUCAUCCAAGUAGGUGUGGGAAACUCAUCUCUUGCAUUUACUUUGUUUGCCAGUUGCCUCUCGUUUUCCUCUCCCCCACUUCACCAAUUUUCCUUUUUUGUUCGCCUUUUCGUUCGCUUUUUCGUUCGCCCUUUUCUCUCGCUUGCUUUCUGCUCGUCUGUGUGGGAUAGUCUAUCGUGAUGGCUAGAUCCACCACUUCGAACGAUACUCCCAAAAGCGAAGUUCUCAAUUUCAAACAAAUUGAGGGAGAAAACUUAAAAGACGCUUGGUAUAGGAUUUGCAAUGCUUAGAGUANNNNNNNNNNNNNNNNNNNNNNNNNNNNNNNNNNNNNNNNNNNNNNNNNNNNNNNNNNNNNNNNNNNNNNNNNNNNNNNNNNNNNNNNNNNNNNNNNNNNAGGGUCACCAAGGUAGCAAGAAUACACGAAGGAUAAAGCACUAGAGCAAAAACUAAUUGGACCAAUGGAGGAGUCACUUACCAAGGAGCAAUUUCCCCAAAACAGUUCAGAGAAUGGUGCUUUGAGAAAGGAUAUCGAAAAUCACAGCCAAAUGAGCAAGAACACGGGUUUGAGCUGCGAAACAAUUUUUUCUGGAGGUGGAAGAAGAGGCUGAGAGCUGGAAUGAGUGGAGGGGGGGCNNNNNNNNNNNNNNNNNNNNNNNNNNNNNNNNNNNNNNNNNNNNNNNNNNNNNNNNNNNNNNNNNNNNNNNNNNNNNNNNNNNAUGAGUGGAGGGGGUGCCUGUGGGCCCCACAAGCUUGCACCCCGCCACCAGGGGGUAGGUGCGGUGACAGGGCUUGUGGCCCACUGGUCAGGCCCCCAGGCCAGCUCUCAGGCCCCGAAAUUUUCAAAAAUUCCAGAAAAAAUUAUACUAAAUUUUCAAGACCAUCGGAGAACUUUUAUUUUCGAGGUAUUUUUCUCAGGGACGCUAAAACAGAAAACAGGAAAAACUAAACUNNNNNNNNNNNNNNNNNNNNNNNNNNNNNNNNNNNNNNNNNNNNNNNNNNNNNNNNNNNNNNNNNNNNNNNNNNNNNNNNNNNNNNNNNNNNNNNNNNNNNNNNNNNNNNNNNNNNNNNNNNNNNNNNNNNNNNNNNNNNNNNNNNNNNNNNNNNNNNNNNNNNNNNNNNNNNNNNNNNNNNNNNNNNNNNNNNNNNNNNNNNNNNNNNNNNNNNNNNNNNNNNNNNNNNNNNNNNNNNNNNNNNNNNNNNNNNNNNNNNNNNNNNNNNNNNNNNNNNNNNNNNNNNNNNNNNNNNNNNNNNNNAAAUCAUACUUCAUCUUGACACGAGGAAUAGGGCAUUCAAAGCUCCCAAUGAGAAUCGAUGAAGUCUUUUCGAUAGCAUUGAUGCAAUGUACUGGAUAUCGUUUCUUCGGAAAGUGCACUAUGUGCUCAUUACCGUUGACAUGGAAAGUGACAUUGCCUUUGUUGCAAUCUAUAACAGCCCCCGCAGUGUUUAAAAAGGGUCUUCAGAGGAUGAUANNNNNNNNNNNNNNNNNNNNNNNNNNNNNNNNNNNNNNNNNNNNNNNNNNNNNNNNNNNNNNNNNNNNNNNNNNNNNNNNNNNNNNNNNNNNNNNNNNNNUGAGGAUAUAGCUGUGUUGGGGCACCCUCUCACGAAGUGGGAGGGGUAUAUAUAGUGGGGAGAGUAAAAUAGCCGUUGGGGACACUUUAAGUCUGACAGGGGUCGGACAUCCGGCAGUUUCUCGGAUGUCCGGACGCCCACAAGGUGUCCGACGUCCGACAGUGGUCGGUCGUCCAAGAGAUGUAUAUAUAUCUGGAAUCACUGUGUAGUUGAACAGGGACCGGACGUUCGGAGGAAGCCAGAAGUCCGAGUUAUUCGACUCAAACUUCUCUGGCGCGAGAUNNNNNNNNNNNNNNNNNNNNNNNNNNNNNNNNNNNNNNNNNNNNNNNNNNNNNNNNNNNNNNNNNNNNNNNNNNNNNNNNNNNNNNNNNNNNNNNNNNNNNNNNNNNNNNNNNNNNNNNNNNNNNNNNNNNNNNNNNNNNNNNNNNNNNNNNNNNNNNNNNNCAAACUUCUCUGGCGCGAGAUUCCGGAUUUCCGAAGGAGGUCGGACGUCCGGCCCUCGGACGUCCGGAGGGAGCCGGAAGUCCGAGUUAUAUGGCUCAAGUUUCUCUGGUAUAGGAUUCCGGAUUUCCGAAGCAGUCGGUCAUCCGGCCCUCGGACGUUCGGAGGAAGCCGGAUGUCUGAGGCAUUUGUUCUGUUUUCAGAUAACAACAGAGCAGUGGAGAUGUGGUCUGAGCAGAACAGUGGAGAUGUAGUUUGAGCAAGUUCAUCGCAAAACCUGUGAUCCCCUCUUAAUAGUGCGGGAUCCCUAAAGACUCAAGAAUUAUAAAAGGGGUACCGAUGAACCAUACUUGAGUGUAUACUUUUAUUCGCUGAUCAUCACUCCGCACCACUAACGUCAAAGGAACUGAUACCAUUGAGUUAGCCCUUUCACUUGAGCUUGAUGUUGUUGUUCCUUCUUGGCUCAAGUCGAAAGCAAGACAUGAUGAAGUCUUCAAGUAGCUCUCCCAUACACAAUGUGGAAAGCCUAGCUUAUGUAUUCAUCUUCAUUUGUCCACCAUGUGAACAUCCACAAGAAUCAAGCAUGUAGUGCUCAGGAAUGCUUAUCUUGAUCUUGUCCUUGUUAGCACACGAGCUUGUCCUUAUAAACACAUGAUCAUUCACAAUAGCUUAAAGGGGAUUAGUGAUUAGUUAUCUAUAUGUGUGUUGUCAGCAACACCAAAACACGAUUAAUGGCAUGACUGCACUUUCACACGAUACGUGCCUCGCUACCCCUUCUAUCACUGGGUGAGGUCACCGCAUGGUAUAAACCCAAAACCAAGCACUUCUCACAUUGCAAGAAUCAUAGAUCUAGUUGGCCAAACNNNNNNNNNNNNNNNNNNNNNNNNNNNNNNNNNNNNNNNNNNNNNNNNNNNNNNNNNNNNNNNNNNNNNNNNNNNNNNNNNNNNNNNNNNNNNNNNNNNNUGUCUGCUCUGUUUCAACGAGGAUCUAUCUUAGGUUUGGGUCCUGCUUCAUUAACCUACUACGGGAGCUGAUUGAUUGCUUCGGUGGUUGUUGCAACAGUGCAUGAUGUGCUGCACUGCCCUCUUGUAAAGAUCCAAACCAUUGUAUUGCAUAGUACUCGUACGAGCUACCACAUUUUUCUUUUCUUAAAAUGUUGCUCACUUGUCUUCUUUAAUUGUGGACCAGAUGAUCAAUCACGAUGACUGAUUUCGUUCCUCUCUUUAGUCUUGCAUGAUUGUGGUGGGUGUCUUUAGAUUACCAGCAGACUAUUUGAGCAUUCAUUCAAGUUGUCAGAUCAAGUCCCAUUCAUUUAAUCAGUCGUACUGUAGAAGCACAUCACAUUGCAAGUUUGCUAAUGUCAGACUGUUGAUCGUCAAAGGAUUUCCUCACCGGAAUGGAAUUUGAAUUCGAAUGCAGGGAGCCGGGGCUCCGGCCGGACGCCCAUGGACUGGGACGUCACCACAUUGGCAUCGAAGCGCUCGUCCGGUUUGAGUGUUGUGUUGACUCGCACCAGCUAUGGAGCGGCGUGACCGGCAUGAAUGCCCGGUCGGCCUACCGCGGGCUCGCGCGCCUGCACUCGCCGCACAAGCUCGCGCACGGCAACGUCAAGUCCACCAACGUCCUCCUCCGGCCGGACCACGACGCCGCCGCGCUUUCCGACUUCUGCCUCCACCCGAUCUACGCGCCGUCGUCUGUCCGCGCGGGCUCCAACGGCUACCGCGCCCCGGAGGUGGUGGACACGCGGCGGCCCACGCUGGAAGCGGACGUCUACUCCCUCGGCGUGCUCCUGCUGGAGCUCCUCACCGGCAAGUCCCCGACGCACGCGUCCCUGCAGGAGGGCGACGGCGGCACGCUCGACCUGCCGCGGUGGGUGCAGNNNNNNNNNNNNNNNNNNNNNNNNNNNNNNNNNNNNNNNNNNNNNNNNNNNNNNNNNNNNNNNNNNNNNNNNNNNNNNNNNNNNNNNGGUGGUUGCAGUCGGUGGUGCGCGAGGAGUGGACCGCCGAGGUGUUCGACGUCGAGCUCGUGCGGCUGGGCGCCAGCGCCGAGGAGGAGAUGGUGGCGCUGCUGCAGGUGGCCAUGGCCUGCGUGGCCACCGUGCCCGACGCGCGCCCGGACGCGCCGGACGUUGUCAGGAUGAUCGAGGAGAUCGGGGCCGGCCACGGGCAGACCACGACGGAGGAGAGCGCUCGGGCGACCACCUCCGAGGAGGAGCGGUCCCCGGCCGCCCAGACAUCGUAGCCCCGGACAUCUCGGCAUUGUUUUGUUGGAUGAAUUAAUUGUAUUUUCUUCUUUCUCUCUUCCCCUCUGUCAGUCUCAUCUCUUCCCCUCUGUCAGUUUCAUUAUUUUCUUUCAAGAAAAGUAAAUGUCUUUUUUGUGAUCUAUUCAGUCCCCUUUACCUUUGCGAUAAUAGAUUCACGCGCUCUCUUAACGAUCUCAUAGCCAUGCAUUUGGUCUGUCCUGCAAUAGACACAUGAAAACCAUGUAUUAAUAUUGUAUUGUUCUUGACAAAAAUUGUUGAUUACCAUGAGUGGAUAUACAGCCUUUUAAAAAAAGAAUCAAAUAUAGUGCAACUAUUAACGGAUCAGGUCUCGACUAGAAUUCAAACUACAUAACGCUUAUACAAAGUUCUUAACAUAACCAUGAGACAUGAGAAAAUUCUUCAAACAAAAUCCAUACUCAUUGCACCUGUUCUUCGAUUCGAUUCGCGUAUUGUACCCGGGAGAAGAAACUACAAAUAAAACAUUGUACUCUGAUCGCUCGUCCGAAAAUAAAUAUCCUGUAUUUAGUUCAAAUCUAUAUAAUAAUGUUCUUAACAUAACCAUGAGACAUGAGAAAAUUCUUCAAACAAAAUCCAUACUGUAGAGGUUGGAAGCAAAGUAAAAUAUGGUUCAACAACAACAAGAGACUAGUAGCAUCAACUCUAGUUCUUCAUCUUUUUUUUGGGCCUCGGCUAGUUGUUGUGCAAGAAAUUUUGCUAACGUGCACAAGGAUAUCACUUGUUCUAUCUAUAUGUACACAACAGCACUGCACUAAUUAAUAGGUAAGCAUUAUAGAAUAGCCAUGAACAAGUGAAAAUCCCUCCCAUAAUAAGUAACAAUCCUGCUAACAUGGACUAUUCCCAAAUCCUGGAGCAUACAAUGCAAAAAAGGUCCCAGCACAGAAUUAUAAGAGACUAAUUGCAUCAACAACAAAUAUGAUCAGUCAUAAUAAUUCACAGAAGAACGCCACCACAGAUCUAAACACACUACAUCAUCGGCUUGAUGGUCGGAACCACAAUCGCCCACGGCUCAAUGACCAUUUCAUUUCAGACACAGAGAGACAGAGAAAGACAGAGAGAGAGAUCAAAGACUUGCCUGAACCAAGGAAGAGCAACCACGGCUUGAUGGCCUUGAGUUGUCUCUAUCAACUCAAGGAGGCCCCUUUUCCUCCAAAAUAGAAUGACCUUGGUUUAAGCCACAAUCCUCUGAUAGAAGGCAGAGCAAAGUGGUUAGUACUUCAACUCAACAUUACUAUCAUGUUGGUUAGUUCAAUGGACUUAUAAGGAUCUUAAUAUACCACAUCAAACACUGGCUAUAGUAGCAAAGUAUACACAAUUGACAAUAAAUUGCCAACACAUCAUGGCUCAUACAUACAUUGUCAUGCAAAGUACAAGAAUGGUUCGGAGCGUCGGCCACCCCGCACGGCCACCCCGCCGGAGGGUGUUGGAAUGGAGCCGGCAGGCAUGCCCUCCGUNNNNNNNNNNNNNNNNNNNNNNNNNNNNNNNNNNNNNNNNNNNNNNNNNNNNNNNNNNNNNNNNNNNNNNNNNNNNNNNNNNNNNNNNNNNNNNNCUGCCCUUGUGUGGGCUCACGUCUGUUAUGGAACGACGUAACCGGCAUGAAUAUCCGGCAAUUAUUUCAUUUUAAGAGGUUUUGUGAAGUGCGACGUGACGUUCCGGAAAUCCCUGCUGUUUCAUGGGGUUUUCGAUAGGAGGACGCGUCCGUUCGUGUGAUGUGCCCCCGCGGACGCGUCUGAUGGCUUUGCGUUUGCGUGAAUAUAUGACAUUUUGGUGCGGAUGGAUAGAUUUUAAUUUUCGCUUGAGCCAGUAUUCAUUCAUUCUUGAAAGCGCCAAAGCUUUCCCGAACACGGGAAUUAUUUCAGAACCAAGGUAGAGCCGCAACGUGCCUUGCGCUUGGUCCGUUUGAACCUCUCAUGGAUCGGUCCUCUUUUUUAGUCGAUCUGAGCCGUCCGCCUACAUCAGAUGGAGGAGAAAACACCAACUAAAUUAUGGUUUGAUGGAUGAGAAUGGAUUUUCAAUUUGGUUUGAACCCAAAAAAUUAAACUUACAUGACGAGGAACGCGGGUAAUAUGUCUGGUUUGGUGGGUUUGCGAAAGAGGAGAGGGCGGGCAUGUUGGAAUUAUGCCCUGGAGGCAAUAAUAAAUGUAUAGUUAUUAUUAUAAUUCCUGUAUCAAGAUAAUAGUUUAUUAUCCAUGCUAUAAUUGUAUUGAAUGAAGACUCAUUUACAUGUGUGGAUACAUAGACAAAACACCGUCCCUAGCAUGCCUCUAGUUGGCUAGCCAGUUGAUCAAUGAUAGUCAGUGUCUUCUGAUUAUGAACAAGGUGUUGUUGCUUGAUAACUGGAUCACGUCAUUGGGAGAAUCACGUGAUGGACUAGACCCAAACUGAUAGACAUAGCAUGUUGAUCGUGUCAUUUUGUUGCUACUGUUUUCUGCGUGUCAAGUAUUUAUUCUUAUGACCAUGAGAUCAUAUAACUCACUGACACCGGAGGAAUGCUUUGUGUGUAUCAAACGUCGCAACGUAACUGGGUGACUAUAAAGAUGCUCUACAGGUAUCUCCGAAGGUGUUAGUUGAGUUAGUAUGGAUCAAGACUGGGAUUUGUCACUCCGUGUGACGGAGAGGUAUCUCGGGGCCCACUCGGUAAUACAACAUCACACAUAAGCCUUGCAAGCAAUGUAACUUAGUGUAAGUUGCGGGAUCUUGUAUUACGGAACGAGUAAAGAGACUUGCCGGUAAACGAGAUUGAAAUAGGUAUGCGGAUACUAACGAUCGAAUCUCGGGCAAGUAACAUACCGAAGGACAAAGGGGAUGACANNNNNNNNNNNNNNNNNNNNNNNNNNNNNNNNNNNNNNNNNNNNNNNNNNNNNNNNNNNNNNNNNNNNNNNNNNNNNNNNNNNNNNNNNNNNNNNNNNNNNNNNNNNNNNNNNNNNNNNNNNNNNNNNNNNNNNNNNNNNNNNNNNNNNNNNNNNNNNNNNNNNNNNNNNNNNAAGGCCUCCCUCCCACCAAACCAAGUAGGACUCGGUUUGGGGGGGGGAGAGUCCUCCCCCCUGGCUCGGCCGACCCCUUGGGGAUCCCUUGGACCCCAAGGCAAGGUCCCCCUCCCUCCUCCUAUAUAUAUGGGGCUUUUAGGGCAGAUUUGAGACGACUUUCUCACGGCUGCCCGACCACAUACCUCCAUAGUUUUUCCUCUAGAUCGUGUUUCUGCGGAGCUCGGGCGGAGCCCUGCUGAGACAAGAUCAUCACCAACCUCCGGAGCGCCGUCACGCUGCCGGAGAACUCUUCUACCUCUCCGUCUCUCUUGCUGGAUCAAGAAGGCCGAGAUCAUCGUCGAGCUGUACGUGUGCUGAACGCGGAGGUGCCGUCCGUUCGGUACUAGAUCGUGGGACUGAUCGCGGGAUUGUUCGCGGGGCGGAUCGAGGGACGUGAGGACGUUCCACUACAUCAACCGCGUUCACUAACGCUUCUGCUGUACGAUCUACAAGGGUACGUAGAUCACUCAUCCCCUCUCGUAGAUGGACAUCACCAUGAUAGGUCUUCGUGCGCGUAGGAAAAUUUUUGUUUCCCAUGCGACGUUCCCCAACAGUGGCAUCAUGAGCUAGGUUCAUGCGUAGAUGUCUUCUCGAGUAGAACACAAAAGGUUUUGUGGGCGGUGAUGUGCGUUUUGCUGCCCUCCUUAGUCUUUUCUUCAUUCCGCGGUAUUGUUGGAUUGAAGCGGCUUGGACCAACAUUACUCGUACGCUUACGAGAGACUGGUUUCAUCGUCACGAGUAACCCCCUUUGCUCAAAGAUGACUGGCAAGUGACGGUUUCUCCAACUUUAGUUGAAUCGGAUUUGACCGAGGAGGUCCUUGGAUGAGGUUAAAUAGCAACUCAUAUAUCUCCGUUGUGGUGUUUGCGUAAGUAAGAUGCGAUCCUACUAGAUACCCUUGGUCACCACGUAAAACAUGCAACAACAAAAUUAGAGGACGUCUAACUUGUUUUUGCAGGGUAUGAUUGUGAUGUGGUAUGGCCAACGAUGUGAGUUGAUAUAUUGGAUGUAUGAGAUGAUCAUGUUGUAAUAGAAAUAUCGACUUGCACGUCGAUGGUACGGCAACCGGCAGGAGCCAUAGGGUUGUCUUUAUACUAACAUAUGUGCUUGCAGAUGCGUUUACUAUUUUGCUAGGAUGUAGCUUUAGUAGUAAUAGCAUAAGUAGCACGACAACCCCGAUGGCAACACGUUGAUGGAUGAUCAUGGUGUGGCGCCGGUGACAAGAAGAUCGUGCCGGUGCUUUGGCGAUGGAGAUCAAGAAGCACGAGAUGAUGGCCAUAUCAUGUCACUUAUGAAUUGCAUGUGAUGUUAAUCCUGUUAUGCACCUUAUUUUUCUUAGAACGACGGUAGCAUUAUGAGGUGAUCUCUCACUAAAAUUUCAAGACGAAAUUGUGUUCUCCCCGACUGUGCACCGUUGCUACAGUUCGUCGUUUCGAGACACCACGUGAUGAUCGGGUGUGAUAGACUCAACGUUCACAUACAAUGGGUGCAAAAUAGUUGCGCACGCGGAACACUCGGGUUAAGCUUGACGAGCCUAGCAUGUGCAGACAUGGCCUCGGAACACAUGAGACCGAAAGGUCGAUCAUGAAUCAUAUAGUUGAUAUGAUUAGCAUAGGGAUGCUUACCACUGAAACUACUCUCGACUCACGUGAUGACCGGACUUGGGAUAGUGUAAGUGGAUCAUGAACCACUCAAAUGACUAGAGAGAUGUACUUUUUGAGUGGGAGUUUAGCAUAUAAUUUGAUUAAGUUGAACUCUAAUUAUCUUGAACAUAGUCUAAGUCCACUUUGUAUGUAUUUGUGUUGUAGAUCAUGGCUCAAGCAAGUGUCAUCCUGAAUUUUAAUACGUUCCUAGAGAAAGCUAAGUUGAAAGAUGAUGGAAGCAACUUUGUAGACUGGGCUCGUAAUCUUAAGCUAAUCUUACAAGCUGGAAAGAAGGAUUAUGUCCUUAAUGCUGCGCUAGGAGAUGAACCACCCGNNNNNNNNNNNNNNNNNNNNNNNNNNNNNNNNNNNNNNNNNNNCUGGGAAGAAGGAUUAUGUCCUUAAUGCUGCGUUAGGAGAUGAACCACCCGCUACGGCUGAUCAGGAUGUUAAGAACGCUUGGUUAGCACGUAAGGAGGACUACUCAAUAGUUCAAUGUGCAGUCUUGUAUGGCUUGGAACCGGGACUUCAACGUCGCUUUGAGCGUCAUGGAGCAUUUGAGAUGUUCCAGGAGUUGAAGUUUAUCUUUCAAAAGAACGCCCGGAUCGAGAGGUAUGAGACCUCCGAUAAAUUCUAUGCUUGCAAGAUGGAGGAAAACUCGUCUGUCAGUGAACAUGUGCUCAAAAUGUCUGGGUACUCAAACCGUCUAGCUGAACUGGGGAUUGAACUCCCGCAAGAAGCUAUCACUGACAGAAUCCUUCAAUCACUGCCGCCAAGCUAUAAAGGCUUUGUGUUGAACUACAACAUGCAAGGGAUGAACAAGUCUCCCGGCGAGUUGUUUGCGAUGCUGAAAGUCGCAGAGUCUGAACUCCGUAAAGAGCAUCAAGUGUUGAUGGUGAGCAAGACCACUAGUUUCAAGAGAAACGGCAAAGGAAAGAAGGGCAAUUCGAAGAAGAGCGGCAAGCCUGUUGCCAAUCCGCCGAAGAAACCCAAGGCUGGACCUAAGCGUGAAACAGAGUGCUUCUAUUGCAAGGGUAUGGGUCACUGGAAGCGCAAUUGCCCCAAGUAUCUGGCAGAUAAGAAGGCGGGUAAAGAAAAAUCAGGUAUAUUUGAUAUACAUGUUAUUGAUGUGUACUUAACCGGCUCUCGUAGUAGUGCCUGGGUAUUUGAUACCGGUUCUGUUGCUCACAUUUGCAACUCGAAGCAGGAACUGCGGAAUAGACGAAGGCUGGCGAAAGACGAAGUGAUGAUGCGCGUAGGAAACGGUUCCAAGGUUGAUGCAAUCGCCAUCGGCACAGUGUCACUUCAGCUACCAUCGGGAUUAGUAAUGAACUUAAAUCAUUGUUAUUUAGUGCCUGCGUUGAGCAUGAACAUUAUAUCUGGAUCUUGUUUAUUGCGAGACGGUUACUCUUUUAAGUCUGAGAAUAAUGGUUGUUCUAUUUCUAUGAGUAACAUCUUUUAUGGUCAUGCACCGAAUGUGAGAGGAUUGUUCAUAUUGAAUCUUGAUAGCGAUAUGCAUAUACAUAACAUUGAGACCAAAAGAGUUAGAGUUAACAAUGAUAGCGCCAUAUUUUUAUGGCACUGCCGUUUAGGUCAUAUUGGUGUAAAGCGCAUGAAGAAACUCCAUGCUGAUGGACUUUUGGAGUCACUUGACUUUGAUUCACUUGACACGUGCGAACCAUGCCUCAUGGGCAAGAUGACUAAGACUCCGUUCUCCGGAACAAUGGAGCGUGCAAGUGACUUGUUGGAAAUCAUACAUACCGAUGUGUGUGGCCCAAUGAGCGUGGAGGCACGCGGCGGAUAUCGUUAUUUCCUCACCUUCACUGACGAUUUAAGUAGAUAUGGUUAUGUCUACUUGAUGAAGCACAAGUCUGAAACAUUUGAAAAGUUCAAGCAAUUUCAGAGUGAAGUGGAAAAUCAUCGUAACAAGAAGGUCAAAUUCCUACGGUCUGAUCGUGGGGGUGAAUAUCUGAGUUUCGAGUUUGGUGCUCACUUAAGACAAUGUGGAAUUGUUUCACAGUUGACACCGCCUGGAACACCAAAGCGUAAUGGUGUGUCCGAACGUCGUAAUCGUACUUUGUUAGAGAUGGUGCGAUCUAUGAUGUCUCUUACUGAUUUGCCGUUAUCGUUUUGGGGUUAUGCAUUAGAAACAGCUGCAUUCACUUUAAAUAGGGCACCAUCAAAAUCCGUUGAGACUACACCAUAUGAACUGUGGUAUGGCAAGAGGCCAAAGUUGUCGUUUCUUAAAGUUUGGGGAUGUGAUGCUUAUGUCAAAAAGCUUCAGCCUGAAAAGCUGGAACCCAAAGCGGAAAGGUGUGUCUUCAUAGGUUACCCAAAAGAGACAGUUGGGUACACCUUCUAUCUCAAAUCCGAGGGCAAAGUGUUUGUUGCUAAGAACGGAACUUUUCUCGAGAAGGAGUUCCUCUCGAGAGAAUUGAGUGGGAGGAAGAUAGAACUUGACGAGGUUGUCGAACCUCUCAUCCCUCUGCAUGGUGGCGCAGGGCAAGGGGAAACCUCUGUCGUUGCAACGCCGGUUGAGGAGGAAGUUAAUGAUGAUGAUCAUGAAACUCCAGUUCAAGUUUCUGUUGAACCACGCAGGUCGACGAGAUCACGCGCUGCUCCAGAGUGGUACGGUAAUCCCGUCUUAUCAAUCAUGUUGUUAGACAACAAUGAACCUGCAAAUUAUGAAGAAGCAAUGGUGGGCCCAGAUUCCAACAAAUGGCUAGAAGCCAUGAAAUCCGAGAUAGGAUCCAUGUAUGAGAACAAAGUGUGGACUUUGGAGAUACUGCCUGAGGGCCGCAAGGCUAUUCAGAACAAAUGGAUCUUUAAGAAGAAGACGGACGCUGACGGUAAUGUGACCGUUUAUAAAGCUCGACUUGUGGCAAAGGGUUUUUCACAAGUUCCAGGAAUUGACUACGAUGAGACUUUCUCUCCCGUAGCGAUGCUUAAGUCCGUCAGAAUCAUGUUAGCAGUAGCUGCAUUUUUCGAUUAUGAAAUCUGGCAGAUGGAUGUCAAAACGGCGUUCCUUAACGGUUUCCUUAAGGAAGAGUUGUAUAUGAUGCAACCCGAAGGUUUUGUCGAUCCUAAAAAUGCUGACAAGGUGUGCAAGCUCCAGCGAUCCAUUUAUGGACUGGUGCAAGCAUCUCGGAGUUGGAACAAACGCUUUGAUGAGGUGAUCAAAGCAUUUGGGUUUAUACAAGUGGUUGGAGAAUCUUGUAUUUACAAGAAAGUGAGUGGGAGCUCUGUGGCGUUUCUAAUAUUAUAUGUGGAUGACAUAUUACUGAUUGGAAACAACGUAGAGCUUUUGGAGAGCAUAAAAGGUUACUUGAAUAAAAGUUUCUCUAUGAAGGACCUAGGAGAAGCUGCUUACAUUCUAGGCAUUAAGAUCUAUAGGGAUAGAUCAAAACGCCUGAUAGGACUUUCACAAAGCACAUACCUUGAUAAAGUUUUGAAACCGAUGCUUAAGUCCGUCAGAAUCAUGUUAGCAAUAGCUGCAUUUUUCGAUUAUGAAAUCUGGCAGAUGGAUGUCAAAACGGCGUUCCUUAACGGUUUCCUUAAGGAAGAGUUGUAUAUGAUACAGCCCGAAUGUUACAAGGUACGAGAUUGAAUAAGACUCAGUGCCCAGCAACUGAUGAAGAUAGAGAGCAUAUGCGCUCCGUCCCCUAUGCUUCAGCCAUAGGUUCUAUCAUGUAUGCGAUGAUGUGCACUAGACCGGAUGUUAGCCUGGCCAUAAGUAUGGCAGGCAGGUUCCAGAGUAAUCCAGGAGUGGAUCACUGGACAGCGGUCAAGAAUAUCCUAAAGUACCUGAAAAGGACUAAGGAGAUGUUUCUCGUGUAUGGAGGUGACGAAGAGCUCGCCGUAAAGGGUUACGUUGAUGCAAGCUUUGACACAGAUCCGGACGACUCUAAGUCACAAACCGGAUACGUAUUUAUUCUUAAUGGGGGUGCAGUAAGCUGGUGCAGUUCCAAGCAAAGCGUCGUAGCAGAUUCUACAUGUGAAGCGGAGUACAUGGCUACCUCGGAGGCAGCUAAGGAGGGUGUCUGGAUGAAGCAGUUCAUGACGGAUCUUGGAGUGGUGCCAAGUGCACUGGAUCCAAUAACCUUGUUGUGUGACAACACUGGUGCCAUUGCCCUGGCAAAGGAACCAAGGUUUCACAAGAAGACCAGACACAUCAAACGACGCUUCAACCUCAUCCGCGACUACGUCGAGGAGGAGGACGUAAAUAUAUGCAAGGUGCACACGGAUCUGAAUGUAGCAGACCCGCUGACUAAACCUCUUCCACGGCCAAAACAUGAUCGACACCAGAACUGUAUGGGUGUUAGAUUUAUUACAAUGUAAUUCACAUGGUGAUGUGAGGGCUAGAUUAUUGACUCUAGUGCAAGUGGGAGACUGUUGGAAUUAUGCCCUAGAGGCAAUAAUAAAUGUAUAGUUAUUAUUAUAANNNNNNNNNNNNNNNNNNNNNNNNNNNNNNNNNNNNNNNNNNNNNNNNNNNNNNNNNNNNNNNNNNNNNNNNNNNNNNNNNNNNNNNNNNNNNNNNNNNNAAACGUGUCGUUCUUUUGUAAAAAAAACCCUGGGUAGAGUCGCUCCCCUCCCGUCACCAAGCUCCGCCGACACGCUGCGCACCGCGCUCGCCAUGGGCGCCGACCGCGCCGUCCACGUCCUCCACGACCCCGACCCGGCCCGCCCGCUCCUCCCGCUNNNNNNNNNNNNNNNNNNNNNNNNNNNNNNNNNNNNNNNNNNNNNNNNNNNNNNNNNNNNNNNNNNNNNNNNNNNNNNNNNNNNNNNNNNNNNNNNNNNNNNNNNNNNNNNNNNNNNNNNNNNNNNNNNNNNNNNNNNNNNNNNNNNNNNNNNNNNNNNNNNNNNNNNNNNNNNNNNNNNNNNNNNNNNNNNNNNNNNNNNNNNNNNNNNNNNNNNNNNNNNNNNNNCGACCGCGCCCUCCACGACCCCGACCCGGCCCGCCCGCUCCUCUCGCUCGUCGUCGCCAAGCUCCGCCAACACACUGCGCAUCGCGCUCGCCAUGGGCGCCGACCGCGUCCUCCACGACCCCGACCCGGCCCCUUUCCUCCACCGGUCCAGGGAUGGGGUGGAUCCGAUCUGGCGGAGGAGGAGGUCUGUCCGUCGACGGCGGCUUCGGCCCCGGCGAGCGUCGCGGCGGUGGUCAGAGGUGGAGGCGAGGCUGAGGGGCCCUCCUCUCCGAUGGCUAUCCAUUCUAAUAUCACCAUCGCCCUGCCCUUGAUUCCNNNNNNNNNNNNNNNNNNNNNNNNNNNNNNNNNNNNNNNNNNNNNNNNNNNNNNNNNNNNNNNNNNNNNNNNNNNNNNNNNNNNNNNNNNNNNNNNNNNNNNNNNNNNNNNNNNNNNNNNNNNNNNNNNNNNNNNNNNNNNNNNNNNNNNNNNNNNNNNNNNNNNNNNNNNGCAGAGGUGACCGCCUUCAACCGCCACCAGCCCCGAGUCAGUCUGCGAGAGGGACUACAGGUCAGGACGACCCUGAGGCGCCAGAGAGCCUUAGUUACACGCUCAACUCUCACAUUUGCGUUGUGGACGAGAUUAGGGUGCGGCCUUACCAAGGUGUGUUAUUAUUGAUUGAUUGAUUUAGCAUGUGUGGUAUUGCAAUUUGCUUGAGCUCUUUCAUAGUGCGCACCGUUGAUUGAUUGCUUUAUUGAUUAGGCUAAAUGCCCCUAAAUUAGCUGAGGAUGCCUAGGCACUGCAAAUUUCUGUCUUGGUUAGAUUUGUCUGAUUGAUCCAUAGUAUUUAUAUGCCCUUUGUUUCGAAAAUUGUCGGCUUUUUUCAGGAUGAUGACCCUAUAUACUCUUCAAAGACGGCGCGAUUUCGNNNNNNNNNNNNNNNNNNNNNNNNNNNNNNNNNNNNNNNNNNNNNNNNNNNNNNNNNNNNNNNNNNNNNNNNNNNNNNNNNNNNNNNNNNNNNNNNNNNNUAUGCAGACUCUCCAAACGGAUCCGUAAAAAAAAUAUUCGCGGAAUAUGUUUUUUUACUGGUCGGCUUCUGUAAGUUCUGCUCGGACUCCACCGCAACGAUCCGCAAACAGAAAACUGCAAAUCUCGUAUUUGACAUAGGGUUCGGCAAACAAGUUCAAAUUCAAACGAAAUAAACAAUUUGCGCACAAAUAAAAGCGAAGUUCAUUACGCAAAAGAGGGCAUGCAAAGGUUUUGCACCCAUGUCCGGCAUCAUCUUGGGGGUCGAUCUUCACUCCGUGCCAUGGACUCCAUAUUGAAGUUCACCGGCGCCACCGAAUCCACAUCCGUCGCUUGUUCCAACUCCCGCACCGAAAUCAUCCACAUUGACACCAUAUGGAGCAGAGAAAACAUCACGGGACCUGGAUCACGGACCGGUCGAGGCGACCAUUCUCCUCUUCAAGAUCUCUCUCCUUGCCAUAUCAUGUCAUGUUUUGGUGAGGUCGUCCAUGUCAUUGCGGUUCAUUGACAUGAUCGUGUUCUCCUCGCGAGCAACAAUGACAUCGAUUUGGUUUCAGAGGCGCGUGCUUUUCUCUCCUCAAUGGCAGCUUUGCGGAGCCCCUCUUCCUUGAGCAUUUGCCUUUUUCUUGCUUCUCUUUUGCCUUCUUCUCUGCCAACUAUUUCUUGAUCUCCAACAACUUCAACAAAACCAACUCGNNNNNNNNNNNNNNNNNNNNNNNNNNNNNNNNNNNNNNNNNNNNNNNNNNNNNNNNNNNNNNNNNNNNNNNNNNNNNNNNNNNNNNNNNNNNNNNNNNNNCCACGAACCCUAGCCGCCUCCGCCUCAGCAAUGGCCGGCGUCUUUGCGUCUCGUCGGCGCUGCCAGACACCUCUCCCGCGCGCUCGCCUGCACCACCGGAAGCUCGCGGCGGCGCCUAUCGCGUAGUCGUGCCCGGCGCCGGCGGCCGGCAGGUCCAGGGGCAUGCAGUGAGUGGUGAUGGGUCGCCCCGUCCGGCAGGUCCAGGGGCAUGUAGUGAGUGGUGAUGGGUCGCCCCGGCCGGCAGAAGCUNNNNNNNNNNNNNNNNNNNNNNNNNNNNNNNNNNNNNNNNNNNNNNNNCUUCCGAUGCGGCGGCUCCUCUUUCCCCAGCCCCUCGUCGAUCGAUUACUCUUCGAUUUGGGCUGCUGCUGCCCCGUCUGGCGGAUCUCCCGGCGAUUCUCAUCGGACAGGUUGCAGGCUCCUCCACCCUGCAGCGUCUUUGCUAUUUUCAUUCUCAAAAAGAUUGCUUUUUUAUCUGUCUCUGGGCUGUCGUUUGCUUGCUCUACCGUUCCCUAAGGGUUGCAAUUUUGUUUUUCGCAGGUUGCUAUAACGGCCCCUCUCUGUCGCUGCGAUUGCUGUGAGGUGUGAGUCUUGACGGGGGCACCGGCAGCAGCAUCCUUUGGCCUGCCUCUGUUCACCAGAUGAGCACAUGCUCAGGUACCUUCUAUCGUCAGAGGAAUGCAUCUUUGUUUUGGUCCGCUUUCUUCUUUUAUGAAAUUCUCACUGACCAAGUUCCUUUUCUUUUUCUCCUUGUCCGGGACGUUUGGCAGGAGCUAAUUUUGAUGUAUGAUCAGGCUGGUCCUGGUGCCGCGUGCACCCGGACCUGUGCCUCUCGCUUGCAUGAUCUGGUGGUCUUCGUCACGUUUCCGUCGACGUUGCUAGGUGUCUGCCGUUGCCACUUACCCCUGCACUGUUGGAUGCUCAGUUUAGUGCCCGUGGCUUCGUUCGCAUGAGCCUCCGGCCCUGUGGCUGGUACCAUUUGAUUUCUUCCUCUCUAAGAUUUUAUUCAAUUCAUCUUGCAAGCUAGUACGUAUUUCUUUUCUCAUAGUUAGCUGCUGAGACUACAGCAAGCUCGCACUUCUUAUCAAGUACUCCCUCCAUCAAGAAAUAUAAGAGCGUUUAGAUCACUACUCCGUCCGUAAAGAAAUACAAGAGUGUUUAGAUCACUAUACAAGAGCAUUUAGAUCACUAAUAAAGAAAUAUAAGAGCGUUUAGAUCACUACUCCAGAGUGUUUAGAUCAC
rnacentral:lncRNA from 1 species